UGGCAGGCAUACCAGGUCGGUCAAGUAAAGUAGAGCGGAGCAAGUAAGCCUAUCAUAUUUUGGAUCUGAUGAAGGAUUGCGACCAGCGUACCUCUGUAGCGCUUGUUCGGUUCCUGCCGUGAAGGAAGCUCUGCUGGUGUCCGUAGGCUAUAUUGAUAUGCAAGUUAAUACUGUACUUAGCUUUUGUGCAUCGCACCAUCAUUUUCCACUGGUGGCUGCUUCUGUAGACUUUAAAGGAGGACUUGAGAUCCAAAGGAUGUCAAUCUGAAAGUAGCUGCAUUAACUGAAUCGUGCUGGGCGAAGUAUGUGUUGCAUCUAUGUGCGCCUUUCAUGUUUUCCUCUAGGUUAAUUCCAUUGUGUGCUAGGGUUGUAGCAGUUCCAUAAUGUUACAAAAAGAAGCAUUUUUUGUAGAGUUGUCACGAUAAUACCAACAUUGACUGUGGAUAAAUUCAUUGACCGUACUACUCAUUGCUGCUAAGAACAGGAGUUCUUGAUUUACAGUUUCAAGCAAAAUUUAUUUGGCAAACUCCCUUCCAGGAGUUAAGGUAUGUUUGUACUUUUGAGGAAUUUCCUCUCUUUUUCAAUACUAUCAGUAGUUAUUGAAUUUUGAAGUGAGAGCUUAACUGUUUUAAGUAAUUGAAGAAUUGUCGAACAUUUCUCGAACACAAUGCUACUAUGGCUACAUCCCGGGGAAUGACCAUAGGCACACCUUCCCAUGUACUAAAUCGACGACAAGCCUGCCGAUGCCAUUAGACACAUCUCAACCAUAGCACAAUGGCUGGUCAGGGACUCAGGGCACCCCUUGCCAUUGGUACCUGGACCGACCUUCUCGAUCUCGUGUCUAGCCUACUAGAUUUGUCUAGUCUAAUUUUGCCGCUCACGGUGCCUUUAAGUAAUAGGCACGUGUUACAUGUGUCUGACUCAAACGCCUAAUUAAUUUUUGGCGUGUUCCAAGUCUAAUUGUAACCCAAUACACAUAUUCGAUAUAAUCUUAACAACUACGUACUUCUGAAGAUGUAAUCCUUUGCUUCUCAUUGUGUACCUAACGGAAGACAAGGAAGGCUCGUCGGAGGCUUGCGCUUGCGGUGGCUGCUGCUUGAGAGACGCGAGAGACAAUUUUCGUGAUCAGUUCCGCAAACCGAUCUACCCUGCCGGCCGCUGAUGGAGGGAUCAGCCGAGCGAGCAAGCACCUGUGUGAAUUACCUGAAGAGCUACUCAAGGCUGUGAUUUUCACUUUGAAUCUUAGGGAAGCAAGUAUGUCAGGGCAACAGUUCACGCGGGCUAAUAAUCGUCCAGUGCCGCCAUACAAGAAACUUGAUAGUGUGUUUAUGGAUACCAAAUGGGAAUUAAAAUUUCAAAUGUUAACCGUGUGUGCACUCAAGUGUAUUGAAACACUUUCGGACUGUGCACCGAUCAUGCUCGACUCUUAACUCUCUUAGCUCCCCUAGUACUUGUCGCCCAUUCAAAUCUGAAUUGGGAUGGUCACUUAGGGCCAGUUCUUUUGGUCGAUUCUACCAGAAUCGCCCCCCUCCCCAGCUUCUCCCAGAAUCGCCACUUCAUAUAUUUUUUACAAUCCUAGCUAAUUAGACCUUAACUAGAUAGGAUUGUAAAAAAUAUAUGGAGUGUCGAUUCUGGGAGAAGCUGAGGCCUUUGAGCAUCUCCAGCAGCGCCCCCAACAGGCCCCCUCAGGCCACUUUUUCGGCGUCGAUGCCAAAAAAACGCUCCAGUCGCGCCCCCAGGACGCCAAAAAACGCCGGUUCGGUCCUUUUUUCUGCCCGGCGGUCACAGGCCAAACCCGGCGCACUGAGGGGCAGUUGGGGGCUCCGGCGGAAGGGAAAAGCACGGCUGGCCCACGCCAUCAGGGGAAAAGUCAAGGUUUUCUUCCCCGACUCGCCUCCCACCCCCCGCGCCCUCGGUCACUAGUAGCUAUAUCCCGGCUCUGCCCGCCGCCUUUCACCACUAGAUAACCAUUCCACGCCGGAAAAAUAGCGGAGCUUCGCCGCGGCAGCCCCUCCAACAGAAGCUGGGCGUUUCAGGCCGCCGUUUCCGGCCGCGGAGGGUCAGUUUAGCGGCGGGUACACGCCCAUCGGGCGCAAGGUGUUUGGCGAUUUUCCUGCCUCGGCGAUGGACUCGGAUGACGAGGAAGCGCUCGCCACACUGUUGGAGGAGGAAGCCGAGGCCGACAUCCAGGAAGAAGAGCAUCUCAUGGUGCUCGCCGCCCUCGCCCAGCUGCUAGCGAGCAAUGAAAAGCCGCGCGCGAGGUGGCUCGGCGCCGGGGCGGGUGAAAGCAAAGAACCGGCAUCGUCUCGAAGGGUACUGCAUGCUCUACUCCGACUACUUUGCCGAUGCUCCACUUCACGGCAAGAAAACAUUUCGGCGUCGUUAUCGGAUGAGCCGAAAGCUCUUCCUCAGGAUUGUGAAUUCCAUCCGGGAGUUCGACAACUACUUCAAGUGCAAGAUGGAUUGCACCGGCGCCCUUGGAUUCACCUCCAUCCAGAAGUGCACGACAGCGAUGAGGAUGCUUGCAUACGGAGCUCCCGGUGAUUCAAUCGAUGACUAUGGGCGCAUGGCGAGUCCACCAACAUAGAGUGUUUCUACAAGUUCUGUCGGGCAGUGGUGGCCGUGUUUGGACCGCAAUACUUGAGAACACCCAAUGCGGAAGACACUGCUCGGAUCCUAGCACAGAAUGCAGCAAGAGGAUUUCCUGGGAUGCUUGGAAGCAUCGACUGCAUGCAUUGGGAAUGGAAGAAUUGCCCAUUUGCUUGGCAGGGGAUGUACAAAGGUGCCAAAGGCGGUUGCAGUGUGGUACUUAAGGCGGUGGCCACACAUGACCUCUGGAUUUGGCACUCCUUCUUUGGUAUGCCAGGAAAUCACAAUGACAUCAACGUGCUGCAGUGCUCUCCUGUCUUUGCCAAGCUUGUUGAAGGUCAUUCUCCUCCGGUGAACAUCGAGAUCAAUGGGCGGCACUACAACAAGGGGUACUAUCUAGCUGAUGGCAUCUAUCCGAGAUGGUCGAUAUUUGUGAAGACGAUCUCAAACCCUGUGCCAGGAGGCAAGAACUCCUGGUUUGCGAAGGUUCAGGAGGCUUGCAGGAAGGGUGUCGAGCGGGCAUUUGGUGUGCUCCAAUCUCGAUUUGCUAUUGUCCGGUACCUCGCCCAAACCUGGUCGAAAGAUCAAAUAUGGGAGAUUAUAACUUGCUGUGUCAUCUUACACAACAUGAUUGUUGGGGAACGUAGUAAUUUUAAAAUUUUCCUACGCACACGCAAGAUCAUGGUGAUGCAUAGCAACGAGAGGGGAGAGUAUGAUCUACGUACCCUUGUAGAUCGCAACGGAAGCGUUGACACAACAUAGAGGAAGUAGUCGUACGUCUUCUACCCGAUCCGACCGAUCCAAGCACCGUUACUCCGGCACCUCCGAGUUCUUAGCACACGUACAGCUCGAUGACGCUCCCCGGGCUCCGAUCCAGCAAAGCUUUGGGGAUGAGUUCCGUCAGCACAACGGCGUGGUGACGAUGAUGAUGUUCUACCGACGCAGGGCUUCACCUAAGCACUACAACGAUAUGACCGAGGUGGAAUAUGGUGGCAGGGGGCACCGCACAUGGCUAAGGAACGAUCACGAGGAUCAACUUGUGUGUUCUAGGGUGCCCCCUUGCCUCCGUAUAUAAAGGAGCCAAGGGGAGGGGCAGCCGGCCAAGGUGGGUGCGCCAGGAGGGAGUCCUACUCCCACCGGGAGUAGGACUCCUAGUUGGACAAGGAGAGAGAGGGGGGAAAGAGGAGGAAGAGAGGAAGGAAAGGAAAGGGGGGGGGGCGCCGCCCCCCUUCCCUUGUCCUAUUCGGACUAGGAAGGGGAGGGGCGCGCGGCCACCUCCUGCCUUCUUCCCUCUUCUCCCUCAAGGCCCAUGUAGGCCCAAUAAACCCCCGGAGGGAGUUCCGGUAACCCCCCGGUACUCCGGAAAAAUGCCGAUUUCACCCGGAACGAUUCCGAUGUCCAAAUAUAGGCUUACAAUAUAUCAAUCUUUAUGUCUCGACCAUUUCGAGACUCCUCGUCAUGUCCGUGAUCACAUCCGGGACUCCGAAUAAACUUCGGUACAUCAAAAUGCAUAAAACUCAUAACAACUGUCAUCGUAACUUUAAGCGUGCGGACCCUACGGUUCGAGAACAAUGUAGACAUGACCGAGACACGUCUCCGGUCAAUAACCAAUAGCGGUACCUGGAUGCCCAUAUUGGCUCCUACAUAUUCUACGAAGAUCUUUAUCGGUCAGACCGCAUAACAACAUACGUUGUUCCCUUUGUCAUCGGUAUGUUACUUGCCCGAGAUUCGAUCGUCGGUAUCCAAUACCUAGUUCAAUCUCGUUACCGGCAAGUCUCUUUACUCGUUCCGUAAUACAUCAUCUCACAACUAACAUAUUAGUUGUAAUGCUUGCAAGGCUUAUGUGAUGUGCAUUACCGAGAGGGCCCAGAGAUACCUCUCCAACAAUCGGAGUGACAAAUCCUAAUCUCGAAAUACGUCAACCCAACAUCUACCUUUGGAGACACCUGUAAUGCUCCUUUAUAAUCACCCAGUUACGUUGUGACGUUUGGUAGCACCCAAAGUGUUCCUCCGGCAAACGGGAGUUGCAUAAUCUCAUAGUCAUAGGAACAUGUAUAAGUCAUGAAGAAAGCAAUAGCAACAUACUAAACGAUCGGGUGCUAAGCUAAUGGAAUGGGUCAUGUCAAUCAGAUCAUUCAACUAAUGAUGUGAUCCCGUUAAUCAAAUAACAACUCUUUGUUCAUGGUUAGGAAACAUAACCAUCUUUGAUUAACUCUGUUUGUCUAUGUAUUCACACAUGUAUUAUGUUUCCGGUUAAUACAAUUCUAGCAUGAAUAAUAAACCUUUAUCAUGAUAUAAGGAAAUAAAUAAUAACUUUAUUAUUGCCUCUAGGGCAUAUUUCCUUCAGUCUCCCACUUGCACUAGAGUCAAUAAUCUAGAUUACACAGUAAUGAUUCUAACACCCAUGGAACUUUGGUGCUGAUCAUGUUUUGCUCAUGGAAGAGGCUUAGUCAACGGGUCUGCAACAUUCAGAUCCGUAUGUAUCUUGCAAAUCUCUAUGUCUCCCACCUGGACUAGAUCCAGGAUGGAAUUGAAGCGUCUCUUGAUGUGCUUGGUUCUCUUGUGAAAUCUGGAUUCCUUUGCCAAGGCAAUUGCACCAGUAUUGUCACAAAAGAUUUUCAUUGGACCCGAUGCACUACGUAUGACACCUAGAUCGGAUGUGAACUCCUUCAUCCAGACUCCUUCAUUUGCUGCUUCCGAAGCAGCUAUGUACUCCACUUCACAUGUAGAUCCUGCUACGACGCUUUGUUUAGAACUGCACCAACUAACAGCUCCACCGUUUAAUGUAAACACGUAUCCGGUUUGCGAUUUAGAAUCGUCCGGAUCAGUGUCAAAGCUUGCAUCAACGUAACCGUUUACGAUGAGCUCUUUGUCACCUCCAUAUACGAGAAACAUAUCCUUAGUCCUUUUCAGGUACUUCAGGAUGUUCUUGACCGCUGUCCAGUGAUCCACUUCCUGGAUUACUUUGGUACCUCCCUGCUAAACUUAUAGCAAGGCACACAUCAGGUCUGGUACACAGCAUUGUAUACAUGAUAGAGCCUAUGGCUGAAGCAUAGGGAACAUCUUUCAUUUUCUCUCUAUCUUCUGCCGUGGUCGGGCAUUGAGUCUUACUCAACUUCACACCUUGCAAUACAGGCAAGAAUCCUUUCUUUGCUUGAUCCAUUUUGAACUUCUUCAAAAUCUUGUCAAGGUAUGUGCUUUGUGAAAGUCCAAUUAAGCGUCUUGACCUAUCUCUAUAGAUCUUAAUGCCUAAUAUGUAAGCAGCUUCACCGAGGUCUUUCAUUGAAAACUCUUAUUCAAGUAUCCCUUUAUGCUAUCCAGAAAUUCUAUAUCAUUUCCAAUCAGUAAUAUGUCAUCUACAUAUAAUAUCAGAAAUGCUACAGAGCUCCCACUCACUUUCUUGUAAAUACAGGCUUCUCCAAAAGUCUGUAUAAAACCAAAUGCUUUGAUCACACUAUCAAAGCGUUUAUUCCAACUCCGAGAGGCUUGCACCAGUCCAUAAAUGGAUUGCUGGAGCUUGCACACUUUGUUAGCUCCCUUUGGAUCGACAAAACCUUCUGGUUGCAUCAUAUACAACUCUUCUUCCAGAAAUUCAUUCAGGAAUGCAGUUUUGACAUCCAUCUGCCAAAUUUCAUAAUAAAAAAAUGCAGCAAUUGCUAACAUGAUUCGGACAGACUUAAGCAUCGCUACGGGUGAGAAGGUCUCAUCGUAGUCAAUCCCUUGAACUUGCCGAAAACCUUUUGCGACAAGUCGAGCUUUGUAGACAGUAAUAUUACCGUCAGCGUUAGUCUUCUUCUUGAAGAUCCAUUUAUUCUCAAUUGCUUGCCGAUCAUCAGGCAAGUCAACCAAAGUCCAUACUUUGUUCUCAUACAUGGAUCCCAUCUCAGAUUUCAUGGCUUCAAGCCAUUUUGCGGAAUCUGGGCUCACCAUCGCUUCUUCAUAGUUCGUAGGUUCAUCAUGAUCUAGUAGCAUGACUUCCAGAACAGGAUUACCGUACCACUCUGGUGCGGAUCUCACUCUGGUUGAUCUACGAGGUUCAGUAGUAUCUUGAUCUAAAGUUUCAUGAUCAUUAUCAUUAUCUUCCUCACUAAUUGGUGUAGGUGUCACUGAAACAGUUUUCUGUGAUGUACUACUUUCCAAUAAGGGAGCUGGUACAGUUACCUCAUCAAGUUCUACUUUCCUCCCACUCACUUCUUUCGAGAGAAACUCCUUCUCUAGAAAGUUUCCAAAUUUAGCAACAAAAGUCUUGCCUUCGGAUCUGUGAUAGAAGGUGCAUCCAAUAGUUUCCUUUGGAUAUCCUAUGAAGACACAUUUCUCCGAUUUGGGUCUGAGCUUAUCAGGUUGAAGCUUUUUCACAUAAGCAUCGUAGCCCCAAACUUUCAGAAACGACAACUUUGGUUUCUUGCCAAACCACAGUUCAUAAGGCGUCGUCUCAACAGAUUUUGAUGGUGCCCUAUUUAACGUGAAUGCGGCCGUCUCUAGAGCGUAUCCCCAAAAUGAUAGUGGUAAAUCAGUAAGAGACAUCAUAGAUUGCACCAUAUCAAGUAAAGUACGAUUAUGACGUUCGGACACACCAUUACGCUGUGGUGUUCCGGGUGGCGUGAGUUGUGAAACUAUUCCUUAUUGUUUCAAAUGUACACCAAACUCGUAACUCAAAUAUUCUCCUCCACGAUCAGAUCGUAGAAACUUUAUUUUCUUGUUACGAUGAUUUUCCACUUCACUCUGAAAUUCUUUGAACUUCUCAAAUGUUUCAGACUUAUGUUUCAUUAAGUAGAGAUACCCAUAUCUGCUUAAAUCAUCUGUGAAGGUGAGAAAAUAACGAUAUCCGCCACGAGCCUCAAUAUUCAUCGGACCACAUACAUCUGUAUGUAUGAUUUCCAACAAAUCUGUUGCUCUCUCCAUAGUACCGGAGAACGGUGUUUUAGUCAUCUUGCCCAUGAGGCACGGUUCGCAAGUACCAAGCGAUUCAUAAUCAAGUGGUUCCAAAAGCCCAUCAGUAUGGAGUUUCUUCAUGCGCUUUACACCGAUAUGACCUAAACGGCAGUGCCACAAAUAAGUUGCACUAUCAUUAUCAACUCUGCAUCUUUUGGCUUCAACAUUAUGAAUAUGUGUAUCACUACUCUCGAUAUUCAAUAAGAAUAGACCACUCUUCAAGGGUGCAUGACCAUAAAAGAUAUUACUCAUAUAAACAGAACAACCAUUAUUCUCUAAUUUAAAUGAAUAACCGUCUCGCAUUAAACAAGAUCCAGAUAUAAUGUUCAUGCUCAACGCUGGCACCAAAUAACAAUUAUUUAGGUCUAAUACUAAUCCCGAAGGUAGAUGUAGAGGUAGCGUGCCGACCGCGAUCACAUCGACUUUGGAACCGUUUCCCACGCGCAUCAUCACCUCGUCCUUAGCCAAUCUUCGCUUAAUCCGUAGUCCCUGUUUCGAGUUGCAAAUAUUAGCAACAGAACCAGUAUCAAAUACCCAGGUGCUACUGCGAGCAUUAGUAAGGUACACAUCAAUAACAUGUAUAUCACAUAUACCUUUAUUCACCUUGCCAUCCUUCUUAUCCGCCAACUACUUGGGGCAGUUCCGCUUCCAGUGACCAGUCUGCUUGCAGUAGAAGCACUCAGUUUCAGGCUUAGGUCCAGACUUGGGUUUCUUCUCUUGAGCAGCAACUUGCUUGCCGUUCUUCUUGAAGUUCCCCUUCUUCUUCCCUUUGCCCUUUUUCUUGAAACUAGUGGUCUUGUUGACCAUCAACACUUGAUGCUCCUUCUUGAUUUCUACCUCCGCGGCUUUCAACAUUGCGAAGAGCUCGGGAAUAGUCUUAUUCAUCCCUUGCAUAUUAUAGUUCAUCACGAAGCUCUUGUAGCUUGGUGGCAGUGAUUGGAGAAUUCUGUCAAUGACGCAAUCAUCUGGAAGAUUAACUCCCAAUUGAAUCAAGUGAUUAUUAUACCCAGACAUUUUGAGUAUAUGCUCACUGACAGAACUGUUCUCCUCCAUCUUGCAGCUAUAGAACUUAUUGGAGACUUCAUAUAUCUCAAUCCGGGCAUUUGCUUGAAAUAUUAACUUCAACUCCUGAAACAUCUCAUAUGCUCCAUGACGUUCAAAACGUUGUUGAAAUCCCGAUUCUAAGCCGUAAAGCAUGGCACACUGAACUAUCGAGUAGUCAUCAGCUUUGCUCCGCCAGACGUUCAUAACAUCUGGUGUUGCUCCAGCAGUAGGCCUGACACCCAGCGGUGCUUCCAGGACGUAAUUCUUCUGUGCAGCAAUGAGGAUAAUCCUCAAGUUACGGACCCAGUCUGUGUAAUUGCUACCAUCAUCUUUCAACUUUGCUUUCUCAAGGAACGCAUUAAAAUUCAACGGAACAACAACACGAGCCAUCUAUCUACAAUCAACAUAAACAAGCAAGAUACUAUCAGGGACUAAGUUCAUGAUAAAUUUAAGUUCAAUUAAUCAUAUUACUUAAGAACUCCCACUUAGAUAGACAUCCCUCUAAUCCUCUAAGUGAUCACGUGAUCCAAAUCAACUAAACCAUGUCCGAUCAUCACGUGAGAUGGAGUAGUUUCAUCGGUGAACACCAUUAUGUUGAUCAUAUCUACUAUAUGAUUCACGCUCGACCUUUCGGUCUCCGUGUUCCGAGGCCAUAUCUGUAUAUGCUUGGCUCGUCAAGUAUAACCUGACUAUUCCGCGUGUGCAAAAACUGGCUUGCACCCGUUGUAGAUGGACGUAGAGCUUAUCACACCCGAUCAUCACGUGGUUUCUCAGCACGAAGAACUUUUGCAACGGUGCAUACUCAGGGAGAACACUUCUUGAUAAUUAGUGAGAGAUCAUCUUAUAAUGCUACCGUCAAUCAAAGCAAGAUAAGAUGCAUAAAGGAUAAACAUCACAUGCAAUCAAUAUAAGUGAUAUGAUAUGGCCAUCAUCAUCUUGUGCCUGUGAUCUCCGUCUCCGAAGCACCGUCGUGAUCACCAUCGUCACCGGCGCGACACCUUGAUCUCCAUCGUAGCAUCGUUGUUGUCUCGCCAAUCUUAUGCUUCCAUGACUAUCGCUACCGCUUAGUGAAAAAGUAAAGCAUUACAUCGCGAUUGCAUUGCAUACAAUAAAGCGACAACCAUAUGGCUCCUGCCAGUUGCCGAUAACUCGGUUACAAAACAUGAUCAUCUCAUACAAUAAAAUUUAGCAUCAUGUCUUGGCCAUAUCACAUCACAACAUGCCCUGCAAAAACAAGUUAGACGUCCUCUAUUUUGUUGUUGCAAGUUUUACGUGGCUGCUACGGGCUUAAGCAAGAACCAAUCUCACCUACACAUCAAAACCACAACGAUAGUUUGUCAAUUUGACUUCGUUUUAACCUUCGCAAGGACCGGGCGUAGCCACACUCGGUUCAACUAAAGUUGGAGAGACAGUCGCCCGCAAGCCACCUAUGUGCAAAGCACGUCGGGAGAACCGGUCUCGCGUAAGCGUACGCGUAAUGUUGGUCCGGGUCGUGUCGUCCAACAAUACCGCCGAACCAACGUAUGACAUGCUGGUAGGCAGUAUGACUUAUAUCGCCCACAACUCACUUGUGUUCUACUCGUGCAAAUAACAUCAAACCAUAAAACCUAGGCUCGGAUGCCACUGUUGGGGAACGUAGUAAUUUCAAAAAAUUUCUACGCACACGCAAGAUCAUGGUGAUGCAUAGCAACGAGAGGGGAGAGUAUGAUCUACGUACCCUUGUAGAUCGCAAAGGAAGCGUUGACACAAUGUAGAGGAAGUAGUCGUACAUCUUCUUCCCGAUCCGACCGGUCCAAGAACCGUUACUCCGGCACCUCUGAGUUCUUAGCACACGUACAGCUCGAUGACGAUCCCCGAGCUCCAAUCCAGCAAAGCUUCAGGGAUGAGUUCCGUCAGCAUAACGGCGUGGUGACGAUGAUGAUGUUCUACCGAUGCAGGGCUUCACCUAAGCACUACAAUGAUAUGACCGAGGUGGAAUAUGGUGGCAGGGGGCACCGCACACGGCUAAGGAACGAUCACGAGGAUCAACUUGUGUGUUCUAGGGUGCCCCCUUGCCUCCGUAUAUAAAGGAGCCAAGGGGAGGGGCAGCCGGCCAAGGUGGGUGCGCCAGGAGGGAGUCCUACUCCCACCGGGAGUAGGACUCCUAGUUGGACAAGGAGAGAGAGGGGGGAAAGAGGAGGAAGAGAGGAAGGANNNNNNNNNNNNNNNNNNNNNNNNNNNNNNNNNNNNNNNNNNNNNNNNNNNNNNNNNNNNNNNNNNNNNNNNNNNNNNNNNNNNNNNNNNNNNNNNNNNNNNNNNNNNNNNNNNNNNNNNNNNNNNNNNNNNNNNNNNNNNNNNNNNNNNNNNNNNNNNNNNNNNNNNNNNNNNNNNNNNNNNNNNNNNNNNNNNNNNNNNNNNNNNNNNNNNNNNNNNNNNNNNNNNNNNNNNNNNNNNNNNNNNNNNNNNNNNNNNNNNNNNNNNNNNNNNNNNNNNNNNNNNNNNNNNNNNNNNNNNNNNNNNNNNNNNNNNNNNNNNNNNNNNNNNNNNNNNNNNNNNNNNNNNNNNNNNNNNNNNNNNNNNNNNNNNNNNNNNNNNNNNNNNNNNNNNNNNNNNNNNNNNNNNNNNNNNNNNNNNNNNNNNNNNNNNNNNNNNNNNNNNNNNNNNNNNNNNNNNNNNNNNNNNNNNNNNNNNNNNNNNNNNNNNNNNNNNNNNNNNNNNNNNNNNNNNNNNNNNNNNNNNNNNNNNNNNNNNNNNNNNNNNNNNNNNNNNNNNNNNNNNNNNNNNNGUGAUCUCAUCUCGGACUCCGAACAACAUUCGGUACAUCAAAAUGCAUAAAACUCAUAACAACUGUCAUCGUAACUUUAAGCGUGCGGACCCUACGGUUCGAGAACAAUGUAGACAUGACCGAGACACGUCUCCGGUCAAUAACCAAUAGCGGGACCUGGAUGCCCAUAUUGGCUCCUACAUAUUCUACGAAGAUCUUUAUCGGUCAGACCGCAUAACAACAUACGUUGUUCCCUUUGUCAUCGGUAUGUUACUUGCCCGAGAUUCGAUCGUCGGUAUCCAAUACCUAGUUCAAUCUCGUUACCGGCAAGUCUCUUUACUCGUUCCGUAAUACAUCAUCUCACAACUAACAUAUUAGUUGUAAUGCUUGCAAGGCUUAUGUGAUGUGCAUUACUGAGAGGGUUCAGAGAUACCUCUCCGACAAUCGGAGUGAGCAAUCCUAAUCUCAAAAUACGUCAACCCAACAUCUACCUUUGGAGACACCUGUAAUGCUCCUUUAUAAUCACCCAGUUACGUUGUGACGUUUGGUAGCACCCAAAGUGUUCCUCCAGCAAACGGGAGUUGCAUAAUUUCAUAGUCAUAGGAACAUGUAUAAGUCAUGAAGAAAGCAAUAGCAACAUACUAAACGAUCGGGUGCUAAGCUAAUGGAAUGGGUCAUGUCAAUCAGAUCAUUCAACUAAUGAUGUGAUCCCGUUAAUCAAAUAACAACUCUUUGUUCAUGGUUAGGAAACAUAACCAUCUUUGAUUAACGAGCUAGUCAAGUAGAGGCAUACUAGUGACACUCUGUUUGUCUAUGUAUUCACACAUGUAUUAUGUUUCCGGUUAAUACAAUUGUAGCAUGAAUAAUAAACAUUUAUCAUGAAAUAAGGAAAUAAAUAAUAACUUUAUUAUUGCCUCUAGGGCAUAUUUCCUUCAAUGAUCAUCGAGAGCGAGCAAGAAGACCCAGUGUUUGACACUGAACCAUACUACAUGCAGGGUCCUCUAGCCGAAGUUGAUCACCAGCUACCGGCAACCUGGACUGCCUAUCGCAGUAUGCGUCAGGAGAUCCGAGACCCACAGAUGCAUCAUCAAUUGCAGCAAGAUCUGAUAGAGCAUCUAUGGAGGCUCAAGGGCAACGCCGGGCGCAACGUGUGAUGAAAUAUGAAUUUUUAUUUGUUGAACUAUAUAAUUUGUAUUGAACUAUUUGUUGUUGUACUAUUUUGUUUAAGUAUUUGAUAUUUUUGUGAUGAAAUAUGUGAUAAAAAAAUUAUGUGCAUAAUUGAACGCCGAACAACGGCGAACCACGCUGAAUAUGGGCCUAUUGUCGCCCAUAUGGGCCCUUUAUUCGCCGAAAUGGGGCUGAAAAGUGGGUCAAUAUCGGCGCCUGGGGGCGAGCUGGGGGCGACGACUGGGCGCGAAACCNNNNNNNNNNNNNNNNNNNNNNNNNNNNNNNNNNNNNNNNNNNNNNNNNNNNNNNNNNNNNNNNNNNNNNNNNNNNNNNNNNNNNNNNNNNNNNNNNNNNNNNNNNNNNNNNNNNNNNNNNNNNNNNNNNNNNNNNNNNNNNNNNNNNNNNNNNNNNNNNNNNNNNNNNNNNNNNNNNNNNNNNNNNNNNNNNNNNNNNNNNNNNNNNNNNNNNNNNNNNNNNNNNNNNNNNNNNNNNNNNNNNNNNNNNNNNNNNNNNNNNNNNNNNNNNNNNNNNNNNNNNNNNNNNNNNNNNNNNNNNNNNNNNNNNNNNNNNNNNNNNNNNNNNNNNNNNNNNNNNNNNNNNNNNNNNNNNNNNNNNNNNNNNNNNNNNNNNNNNNNNNNNNNNNNNNNNNNNNNNNNNNNNNNNNNNNNNNNNNNNNNNNNNNNNNNNNNNAUGCUCUUAGGUGGGCUUUGCUGACUUAGAGUGCGUGGGAGAAGUCUGUCGUUGGUCGAAACACCGAUUCAGCGAUGGAACUUUAAGAUCAUAGCCUGAAGGUGAUUCCAAUUUGGAUGGACAAAACACACUAGUGGUAUUUAUGGAAAAGAGAAGCAGUACCUUUCCACGAUUAUUGAUGAUCUCGAUAAAAUCACAGAGCGCCGCAUUUUUGACACCUCAAGUGAUUGAUUGAAAAACAUCAAUCCAAUGAGAAGAUUGGACGUCUUUUUCUAGAAGAGGAAAUCAAGUGGUAUAAAAGAUCCGACCCCCAUUUCAUUUUGGAGGGAGACAACAAUACAUGAUACUUCCACAUGGUUUGCAAACCACAAGUGCACAUCGUUUGCAAAACUACACCAGUUUACCCGUAAGCCUUGUUAGCUACCCUGACAUGUUGGGCCCACCUCCUGACGACACAAUAGAUCCCAAGCAUGCACGUCAGGCCAACUCACGCUUCUGUGGGCCCGUGUGGUUGAAUGAAUCCAUCCUGACACCAAUGUCUACCACUUAAGGCAGGGAGGACCGAGGAGAGGCCCAUUCGGUGGAUCAAAGGCAAUCGACACUCGGUGGCUACCUCUUCCCCCUUUCACCUCUCACAAGACUAGUUCAUCCAUUUGUGUAACCGACUCUGUAAUUGAGACUAGCUCAUGCGGAGCAUCCCAAGGUCAUCCCCAUGGACCUACCAUCGUCUCAUCAAGUGCCUAAUGGACCCAUGACUCGAUCAAGUGCAGGAGCUCUUGAAACCGAGGUGACAUCUCUCCUCUCACAAUUCCACUUCGAUGCACAUGAAGCAUGGCUACUACCUCAUAUGGAUACUUUGUACAUACUCAGGUACAAUGGAGAAGCUAAGGAGUAAGGACAAGAAGAAGAGGAAGAUGGACGAGAAGAAGGAGGGCUGAAGGAAAAGUCCCAGCCACCGGACGACCGGCCGGGACCGAACGUCCGGCGCCUGAAGCGUCAGCCGAGCCCCAGCGAGCGGACGUCCGGUCCAGACCGGACGACCAGUGCCCCUGCACCCGAGGCCAAUGAGCGGACGUCCGACCCAGACCGGACGACUGACGCGACCGCACCUGAGCCAACAUCAGCGGAAGUCCGGAGCCUCCGGAUGUCCGGCACCCCCAUCACAGAACGGAACCAGCGGACGACCGGAGGACACCGGAUGUCCGGCAGCUCCUGAGACACCGGACGACCGGUCCCCAGCGGACGUCCGGUAUCUGUCUGCGCACAGUGUUCGGGACCGAGGCCCAUGUACCCCUUCACUUCGCCCCCAUUUGCACUUAGACUAUAAAUAGACCCCCCAUUCAUCCUAGCUAGGGUUAGCAAAUGUUUAGCUCAUAUUUGUGAGAGAGCUUUGCUCAUCCACUUGGUUACCUUCUCCUCAAGGAUUCGAGCCUCCAUCGGAGAAGAUCCCCCAAGCGGAUUCAAGACCUCCUUGCAGGGAAGAUCAUCAAGACCCCCUCUUGGGCGGCCCCAUCAAGACCUCCUCACGGAGAAGAACCGGUUACCGUGUAUCGUCCUUAGUUGUCCGUGGAUUCGUGUAUCGUCCUAUGUACUUGAGGAUCUAGUCCAUGUGUGACUUAUUCGUGUCGGUUUAGUGAUUUCCUCUUGUGUUUUCCUUCCGUUCUUCCUCGUGUUCUUCGUGUUUUCUCUGGGAUCCGCUCCUUUCGUGAAAGAUUGGGCGAUUAGGGUCUCUACCCUACAUCCUCUUGGUAUCUAGAGCAAGGUUUAUCACGAUUUCGGAGCCCCCUCUUCGUUUUCUAGCUUGAUUUUGUUGUUUUUCAUCCUAAUUCGAAAAUCCCCACAAAAAAUAGCCCAAAAUUUUUUCUUGUGUUUUGUGAGUUUUGAUGAUGUUUUGUUGGUUUUGAUCAGUGAAUUUGUUGUGUUGCAAGUGGAUCUAGCCUUCCCCCACCAUCUCCACCUCGAAAUCCAUUCCAAAAUCCACGAAAUCCUAUCAAUUUCGCGUUGACCCCGACCCACCGGACGACCGCAACUUACCGGACAUCCGGCGACCCAGGAACCACCGGACGUCCGACCAUUACCGGACGACCGGAACCUCUACACCGAGCUGAAAUUAGCGGAUUUCUGACCCUACCGGACGUCCGGCGACCGGACAUCCGUCCACUACCGGACGACCGCUCCUUCCACCACAUCAUCCGCUACACCACCACCGACUUUCCGCAAACAUUGCCAAUAUCCCAACCCACACCACCACUUACCCGCUAUCUACUCUGACGAUUUUGGUCGCACUUGGUUUUGAGAAUUUGAGUUCCGGUACCUUAUCCUUUUGUGUUUCGGCUAUCUAGGUACGGUUCGACAUCGACAUCACCGCCGCUCAUCUUCGCCACGGAUGAUCGGAGUGACACAUCCUAAUCUCGAAAUACGUCAACCCAACAUGUACCUUUGGAGACACCUGUAGAGCACCUUUAUAAUCACCCAGUUACGUUGUGAUGUUUGGUAGCACACAAAGUGUUCCUCUAGCACACGGGAGUUACAUAAUCUCAUAGUCAUAGGAACAUGUAUAAGUCAUGAAGAAAGCAAUAGCAACAUACUAAACGAUCGGGUGCUGAGCUAAUGGAAUGGGUCAUGUCAAUCAGAUCAUUCAACUAAUGAUGUGAUCCCAUUAAUCAAAUGACAACUCUUUGUCCAUGGUUAGGAAACAUAACCAUCUUUGAUUAAGGAGCUAGUCAAGUAGAGGCAUACUAGUGACACUCUGUUUGUCUAUGUAUUCACACAUGUAUUAUGUUUCUGGUUAAUACAAUUCUAGCAUGAAUAAUAAACCUUUAUCAUGAUAUAAGGAAAUAAAUAAUAACUUUAUUAUUGCCUCUAGGGCAUAUUUCCUUCAGUCUCCCACUUGCACUAGAGUCAAUAGUCUAGAUUACACAGUAAUGAUUCUAACACCCAUGGAACUUUGGUGCUGAUCAUGUUUUGCUCAUGGAAGAGGCUUAGUCAACGGGUCUGCUACAUUCAGCUCCGUAUGUAUCUUGCAAAUCUCUAUGUCUCCCACCUGGACUAGAUCCCGGAUGGAAUUGAAGCGUCUCUUGAUGUGUUUGGUUCUCUUGUGAAAUCUGGAUUCCUUUGCCAAGGCAAUUGCACCAGUAUUGUCACAAAAGAUUUUCAUUGGACCCGAUGCACUAUGUAUGACACCUAGAUCGGAUAUGAACUCCUUCAUCCUGACUCAUUCAUUUGCUGCUUCCGAAGCAGCUAUGUACUCCGCUUCACAUGUAGAUCCAGCCACGACGCUUUGUUUAGAACUGCACCAACUGACAGCUCCACCAUUUAAUGUAAACACGUAUCCGGUUUGCGAUUUAGAAUCGUCCGGAUCAGUGUCAAAGCUUGCAUCAACGUAACCGUUUACGAUGAGCUCUUUUUCAUCUCCAUAUACGAGAAACAUAUCCUUAGUCCUUUUCAGGUACUUCAGGAUGUUCUUGACCACUGUCCAGUGAUCCACUCCUGGAUUACUUUGGUACCUCCCUGCUAAACUUAUAGCAAGGCACACAUCAGGUCUGGUACACGGCAUUGCAUACAUGAUAGAGCCUAUGGCUGAAGCAUAGGGAACAUCUUUCAUUUUCUGUCUAUCUUCUGCAGUGGUCGGGCAUUGAGUCUGACUCAACUUCACACCUUGUAACACAGGCAAGAAACCUUUCUAUGCUUGAUCCAUUUUGAACUUCUUCAAAAUCUUGUCAAGGUAUGUGCUUUGUGAAAGUCCAAUUAAGCGUUUUGAUCUAUCUCUAUAGAUCUUUAUGCCUAAUAUGUAAGCAGCUUCACCGAGGUCUUUCAUUGAAAAACUCUUAUUGAAGUAUCCCUUUAUGCUAUCCAGAAAUUCUAUAUCAUUUCCAAUCAGUAAUAUGUCAUCCACAUAUAAUAUCAGAAAUGCUACAGAGCUCCCACUCACUUUCUUGUAAAUACAGGCUUCUCCGAAAGUCUGUAUAAAACCAAAUGCUUUGAUCACACUAUCAAAGCGUUUAUUCCAACUCCGAGAGGCUUGCACCAGUCCAUAAAUGGAUCGCCGGAGCUUGCACACUUUGUUAGCUCCCUUUGGAUCGACAAAACCUUCCGGUUGCAUCAUAUACAACUCUUCUUCCAGAAAUCCAUUCAGGAAUGCAGUUUUGACAUCCAUCUGAAAAAUUUCAUAAUCAUAAAAUGCGGCAAUUGCUAACAUGAUUCGGACAGACUUAAGCAUCGCUAUGGGUGAGAAGGUCUUCAUCGUAGUCAACCCCUUGAACUUGUCGAAAACCUUUUGCGACAAGUCGAGCUUUGUAGACAGUAAUAUUACCGUCAACGUCAGUCUUCUUCUUGAAGAUCCAUUUAUUCUCAAUUGCUUGCCGAUCAUCGGGCAAGUCAACCAAAGUCCAUACUUUGUUCUCAUACAUGGAUCCCAUCUCAGAUUUCAUGGCUUCAAGCCAUUUUGCGGAAUCUGGGCUCACCAUCACUUCUUCAUAGUUCGUAGGUUCAUCAUGAUCUAGCAGCAUGAUUUCCAGAACAGGAUUACCGUACCACUCUGGCAUGGAUCUCACUCUGGUUGAUCUACGAGGUUCAGUAGUAUCUUGUCCUGAAGUUUCAUGAUCAUUAUCAUUAGCUUCCUCACUAAUUGGUGUAGGUGUCGCAGAAACAGUUUUCUGUGAUGUACUACUUUCCAAUAAGGGAGCAGGUACAGUUAACUCAUCAAGUUCUACUUUCCUCCCACUCACAUCUUUCGAGAGAAACUCCUUCUCCAGAAAGUUUCCGAAUUUAACAACAAAAGUCUUGCCUUCGGAUCUGUGAUAGAAGGUGUAUCCAAUAGUUUCCUUUGGAUAUCCUAUGAAGACACAUUUCUCCGAUUUGGGUUCGAGCUUAUCAGGUUGAAGCUUUUUCACAUAAGCGCAGCCCCGAACUUUCAGAAACGACAACUUUGGUUUCUUGCCAAACCAUAGUUCAUAAGGCGUCGUCUCAACGGAUUUUGAUGGUGCCCUAUUUCACGUGAAUGCGGCCGUCUCUAAAGCAUAACCCCAAAACGAUAGCGGUAAAUCUGUAAGAGACAUCAUAGAUCGCACCAUAUCUAGUAAAGUACGAUUACGACGUUCGGAUACACCAUUACGCUAUGGUGUUCCGGGUGGCGUGAGUUGCGAAAUUAUUCCGCAUUGUUUCAAAUGUACACCAAACUCAUAACUCAAAUAUUCUCCUCCACGAUCAGAUCGUAGAAACUUUAUUUUCUUGUUACGAUGAUUUUCAACUUCACUCUGAAAUUCUUUGAACUUUUUAAAUGUUUCAGACUUAUGUUUCAUUAAGUAGAUAUACCCAUAUCUGCUUAAGUCAUCUGUGAAGGUGAGAAAAUAACGAUAUCCGCCACGAGCCUCAAUAUUCAUCGGACCACAUACAUCUGUAUGUAUGAUUUCCAACAAAUCUGUUGCUCUCUCCAUAGUACCGGAGAACGGUGUUUUAGUCAUCUUGCCAUGAGGCACGGUUCGCAAGUACCAAGUGAUUCAUAAUCAAGUGGUUCCAAAAGUCCAUCAGUAUGGAGUUUCUUCAUGCGCUUUACACCGAUAUGACCUAAACGGCAGUGCCACAAAUAAGUUGCACCAUCAUUAUCAACUCUGCAUCUUUUGGCUUCAAUAUUAUGAAUAUGUGUGUCACUACUAUCGAGAUUAAUUAAGAAUAGACCACUCUUCAAGGGUGCAUGACCAUAAAAGAUAUUACUCAUAUAAAUAGAACAACCAUUAUUCUCUGAUUUAAAUGAAUAACUGUCUUGCAUUAAACAAGAUCCAGAUAUAAUGUUCAUGCUCAACGCUGGCACCAAAUAACAAUUAUUUAGGUCUAAUACUAAUCUCGAAGGUAGAUGUAGAGGUAGCGUGCCGACCGCGAUCACAUCGACUUUGGAACCGUUUCCCACGCGCAUCGUCACCUCGUCCUUAGCCAAUCUUCGCUUAAUCCGUAGUCCUUGUUUCGAGUUGCAAAUAUUAGCAACAGAACCAGUAUCAAAUACCCAGGUGCUACUGCGAGCAUUAGUAAGGUACACAUCAAUAACAUGUAUAUCACAUAUACCUUUGUUCACCUUGCCAUCCUUCUUAUCCGCCAAAUACUUGGGGCAGUUCCGCUUCCAGUGACCAGUCUGCUUGCAGUAGAAGCACUCAGUUUCAGGCUUAGGUCCAGACUUGGGUUUCUUCUCUUGAGCAGCAACUUGCUUGCCGUUCUUCUUGCAGUUCCCCUUCUUCUUCCCUUUGCCCUUUUUCUUGAAACUAGUGGUCUUGUUGACCAUCAACACUUGAUGGUCCUUUUUGAUUUCUACCUCCGCAGCUUUCAGCAUUGCGAAGAGCUCGGGAAUAGUCUUAUUCAUCCCUUGCAUAUUAUAGUUCAUCAUGAAGCUCUUGUAGCUUGGUGGCAGUGAUUGGAGAAUUCUGUCAAUGACACAAUCAUCUGGAAGAUUAACUCCCAUCUGAAUCAAGUGAUUAUUAUACCCAGACAUUUUGAGUAUAUGCUCACUGAUAGGACUGUUAUCCUCCAUCUUGCAGCUAUAGAACUUAUUGGAGACUUCAUAUCUCUCAAUCCGGGCAUUUGCUUGAAAUAUUAACUUCAACUCCUGGAACAUCUCAUAUGCUCCAUGACGUUCAAAACGUCGUUGAAGUCCCGAUUCUAAGCCAUAAAGCAUGGCACACUGAACUAUCGACUAGUCAUCAGCUUUGCUCUGCCAGACGUUCAUAACAUCUAGUGUUGCUCCAGCAGCAGGCCUGGCACCUAGCGGUGCUUCCAGGACGUAAUUCUUUUGUGCAGCAAUGAGGAUUAUCCUCAAGUUAUGGACCUAGUCCGUGUAAUUGCUACCAUCAUCUUUCAACUUUGCUUUCUCAAGGAACGCAUUAAAAUUCAAUGGAACAACAGCACGGGCCAUCUAUCUACAAUCAAACAUACAUAAGCAAGAUACUAUCAGGUACUAAGUUCAUGAUAAAUUUAAGUUCAAUUAAUCAAAUUACUUAAAGAACUCCCACUUAGAUAGACAUCCCUCUUAUCCUCUAAGUGAUCACGUGAUCCAAAUCAACUAAACCAUGUCCGAUCAUCACGUGAGAUGGAGUAGUUUCAUUGGUGAACAUCACUAUGUUGAUCAUAUCUACUAUAUGAUUCACGCUUGACCAUUCGGUCUCCGUGUUCCGAGGCCAUAUCUGCAUAUGCUUGGCUCGUCAAGUAUAACCUGAGUAUUCCGCGUGUGCAACUGUUAUGCACCCGUUUUAUUUGAACGUAGAGCCUAUCACACCCGAUCAUCACGUGGUGUCUCAGCACGAAGAACUUUCGCAACGCUGCAUACUCAGGGAGAACACUUCUUAAUAAUUUUAGUGAGAGAUCAUCUUAUAAUGCUACCGUCAAUCAAAGCAAGAUAAGAUGCAUAAAAGAUAAACAUCACAUGCAAUCAAUAUAAGUGAUAUGAUAUGGCCAUCAUCAUCUUGUGCCUGUGAUCUCCAUCUCCGAAGCACCGUCAUGAUAACCAUCGUCACCGGCGCGACACCUUGAUCUCCAUCAUAGCAUCAUUGUCGUCUCGCCAAUCUUAUGCUUCCACGAAUGUCACUACCGUUUAGUGAUAAAGUAAAGCAUUACAGCGCAAUUGCAUUGCAUACAAUAAAGCGACAACCAUAUGGCUCCUGCCAGUUGCCGAUAACUCGGUUACAAAACAUGAUCAUCUCAUACAAUAAAAUUCAGCAUCAUGUCUUGACCAUAUCACAUCACAACAUGCCCUGCAAAAACAAGUUAGACGUCCUCUACUUUGUUGUUGCAAGUUUUACGUGGCUGCUACGGGCUUAAGCAAGAACCAAUCUUACCUACACAUCAAAACCACAACGAUAGUUUGUCAAGUUGGUGCUAUUUUAACCUUUGCAAGGACCGCGCGUAGCCACACUUGGUUCAACUAAAGUUGGAGAAACUGUCACCCGCAAGCCACCUAUGUGCAAAGCACGUCGGGAGAACCGGUCUCGCGUAAGCGUACACGUAAUGUCGGUCCGGGCCGCUUCGUCCAACAAUACCGCCGAACCAAAGUAUGACAUGCUGGUAAGCAGUAUGACUUAUAUCGCCCACAACUCACUUGUGUUCUACUCGUGCAUAUAACAUCAACACAUAAAACCUAGGCUCGGAUGCCACUGUUGGGGAACGUAGUAAUUUCAAAAAAUUUCCUACGCACACGCAAGAUCAUGGUGAUGCAUAGCAACGAGAGGGGAGAGUGUGAUCUACGUUCCCUUGUAGAUCGACAACGGAAGUGUUUGGUUGACGUAGUCGUACGUCUCCACGGCCCGACCGAUCAAGCACCGAAACUACGGCACCUCCGAGUUCUAGCAGACGUUCAGCUCGAUGACGAUCCCCGGACUCCGAUCCAGCAAAGUGUCGGGGAAGAGUUCCGUCAGCACGACGGCGUGGUGACAAUCUUGAUGUACUACUGUCGCAGGGCUUCGCCUAAGCACCGCUACAAUAUUAUCGAGGACUAUGGUGGCAGGGGGCGCCGCACACGGCUAAGAAUAUGAUCACGUGGAUCAACUUCUGUGUCUAGGGGGUUCCCCUGCCUCCAUAUAUAAAGGCUCAAAGGGGGCGGGGGGGUGUGGCCGGCCUAGAGGUGGCGCGCCAGGAGGAGUCCUACUCCCUCCGGGAGUAGGAUUCCCCCCCCCCCAAUCCUAGUUGGAAUAGGAUUCGCGGAGGGGGGAAAAGAGGAAGGGGGGCCGACCCCCUCUCCUUGUCCUAUUCGGACCAAGGGAGGGGAGGGGCGCGCGGCCCAUCUCUGGCUGCCUCUUCUCUUUUCCACUAAGGCCCACUAAGGCCCAUAUAUCUCCCGGGGGGUUCCGGUAACCUCCCGGUACUCCGGUAAAAUCCUGAUUUCACCCGGAACACUUCCGAUAUCCAAACAUAGGCUUCCAAUAUAUCAAUCUUUAUGUCUCGACCAUUUCGAGACUCCUCGUCAUGUCCGUGAUCUCAUCCGGGACUCCGAACAACCUUCGGUACAUCAAAACAUAUAAACUCAUAAUAUAACUGUCAUCGAAACCUUAAGCGUGUGGACCCUACGGGUUCGAGAACAAUGUAGACAUGACCGAGACACGUCUCCGGUCAAUAACCAAUAGUGGGACCUGGAUGCCCAUAUUGGCUCCUACAUAUUCUACGAAGAUCUUUAUCGGUCAGACUGCAUAACAACAUACGUUGCUCCCUUUGUCAUCGGUAUGUUACUUGCCCGAGAUUCGAUCAUCGGUAUCCAAUACCUAGUUCAAUAUCGUUACCGGCAAGUCUCUUUACUCGUUCCGUAAUACAUCAUCCCGCAACUAACUCAUUAGUUGCAAUGCUUGCAAGGCUUAAGUGAUGUGCAUUAUCGAGAGGGCCCAGAGAUACCUCUCCGACGAUCAGAGUGACAAAUCCUAAUCUCGAAAUAUGUCAACCCAACAUGUACCUUUGGAGACACCUGUAGAGCACCUUUAUAAUCACCCAGUUACGUUGUGACGUUUGGUAGCACACAAAGUGUUCCUCCGGCACACGGGAGUUACAUAAUCUCAUAGUCAUAGGAACAUGUAUAAGUCAUGAAGAAAGCAAUAGCAACAUACUAAACGAUCGGGUGCUAAGCUAAUGGAAUGGGUCAUGUCAAUCAGAUCAUUCAACUAAUGAUGUGAUCCCGUUAAUCAAAUGACAAGUCUUUGUCCAUGGUUAGGAAACAUAACCAUCUUUGAUUAACGAGCUAGUCAAGUAGAGGCAUACUAGUGACACUCUGUUUGUCUAUGUAUUCACACAUGUAUUAUGUUUCCGGUUAAUACAAUUCUAGCAUGAAUAAUAAACCUUUAUCAUGAUAUAAGGAAAUAAAUAAUAACUUUAUUAUUGCCUCUAGGGCAUAUUUCCUUCAGCCAAGACCAUCAAGUUCAUCAAGAGCAUGAAGACAAUAGGAAUCCUCCGCGACAAGAGCAACACGAGGUUGACAACCCUCCACUUCAAGAACACCACGAGUUGAACUAUCAUCUACAACAUGGGCGUCAUCAUCCCCGACCCCAACACAAUGAAGAGCAACGCUACGGCAAGCUCAAGUUCACCAUGCCCAAGUUGAACGGAAGCAACGAUCCCGAAGAAUACCUUUCAUGGGCAUUGAAAGUUGACAAGAUCUUCCGUUUGCACAAUUAUGAAGAAGAGAAGAAGAUCGCGAUGGCAUCCCUUGAGUUCCAAGACUAUGUCAUUUGGUGGGAACAAAUCAUAGAGCGCCGCGAGGCAAGAGGUGAGCCACCCAUCACUACUUGGGCACAAAUGAAGGAUUUCAUGAGAGCACGCUUCGUAUCUACCUACUACAACCGCGACCUCUUCAAGAAACUCCAACAACUCAAGCAAGGAACCAAGAGCGUUGAAGAAUACUACAAGGAGAUGGAGAUUGCAAUGAUAAGAGCCAAUGUGACGGAAGAUGAUGAGGAAACUACGGCACGUUUCUUGAAUGGACUCAGUCAUCCUAUCAAGAAGAUUGCCGACUUCCAACCAUACUCAAAUCUCAUCGAGCUAGUGCACCAAGCUACCAAAGCGGAAUGCCAGCUGCAAGAUGAUUUCAAGUAUGCCAAGUUCUCAUCCAAGUCCUACGGUUUCUCCAAUAACCAAGCUUCAACGACUCCAACACCGACUACAAGACCGUCUACUUCCAACAUCGACAAUUCGACUUCCAAGAAAGCUUCGCCAACUACAAGCAAUCCUAAUACGAGCAACUUCAAGCUGAGAGCUUCAUCAUCAUCAACCCCUACCGACGAGACCGUCAAGACGAGUUCUCUCAAGUGUUUCACUUGCGGCGGCCGAGGCCACAAGUCCUAUGAGUGCACCAACAAGCGCACCAUGAUCUUCAACGACGAUGGCACUUAUGAUUCCAUGAGCGAAGGAUAAAUGGAAGCCCUUGAGCAAGUCGCCAUGCACCGCCAAGUGAACAAUGAAGAAGAACAAGUCUUUUGUGAUGAAGACUCAAGUCCCGCACUUGUUGUCUCCAAAGUCUUGACUCUACAACAUCACCAAGAAGAAGACCAACGAUGCCACAUAUUCCACACCAAGGCCGGCAUCAAAGGACGAUCCGUCAAGGUCAUCAUCGAUGGAGGGAGUUGUCACAAUCUCGCAAGUGAAGAACUUUGCUCCAAGCUCCAAUUGCCCAAGACGAAGCAUCCACAUCCAUACAAAGUGCAAUGGCUUAGUGACUCCGGUACCAUCCAAGUCGAGAACCGAGUGCAAGUCUCCUUCAAGAUCGGCGCCUACGAAGACACCUUGGAGUGCGACAUCAUCCCAAUGAUCGUUUUUCAUCUUCUCCUUGGACGGCCAUGGCAACUUGAUAGAGGAGUCAUCCACAAUGCGCGUACAAACCACUAUAGCUUCAAGAUGCAAGGAAAGGAGUUUGUGUUACGACCUAUGUCUCCAAGCCAAGUGAUCACCGAUAAGCAAGCCACCCAUCAUGGAGAGAAUGGUGAGAGAGUGAGCCACCAAAAAGAGAGUGAGCGCCACAAGCCCAAAUUGAGUGCCUCGACGAUGAGCGAAAACAAGAACCUAGUUCUAUUUGCCACCAAACGUGAGAUGAGAGGAUUGUGUGAGAACCCAUCUAGUGUCCUACACUACGUCCUCGUGUGCAAGGACAAUGCACCACAAACUAACACUUCUCACACUCUUCCUCUAGUGUUGUCUUCUCCUUUGCAGGAAUUUCAAGAUGUUUUCCCUGAUGAGCUACCUCCGGGACUACCUCCACUACGAGGCAUUGAGCACCGCAUCGACCUCAUCCCCGGAGCACCGCUUCUGAACAAAGCUCCAUACCGCGUCAACCCCGAAGAAACCAAAGAAAUUCAAAGGCAAGUAAAGCAUCUCAUAGACCAUGGUCAUGUGCGUGAAAGUUUGAGCCCUUGUGCCAUACCGGUCAUUCUUGUGCCAAAACGUGACGGUAGCUUUCGCAUGUGCUCCGAUUGUAGACCUAUCAAUGCUAUCACAGUUCGCUAUAGGUACCCCAUUCCACGCCUAGAUGAUAUGCUAGAUGAGCUUAGUGGUGCCACUAUAUUUUCCAAAAUAGAUCUCAAGAGUGGUUACUAUCAAAUCCGCAUACAAGAGGGCGAUGAACGGAAAACCGCCUUCAAAACCAAGUUUGGUUUGUAUGAGUGGUUAGUCAUGCCUAUGGGUCUCUCGAAAGCACCGGGAACUUUUAUGCGCCUUAUGAAUCAUGUCUUUCGCCCUUACAUUGGUAUAUUUGUUGUGGUUUACUUCGAUGACAUUCUUGUGUUUAGCAAAUCUAUCCAAGAUCAUGUCACCCAUGUCCGCACUGUUUUGCGAACUCUUAGGAAAGAGCGUCUCUAUGCUAAUAUGGAGAAAUGCCUUUUUGGUGUUGAUAAGCUCAUUUUCUUAGGGUUUGUUGUCUCUUCUAAGGGUGUUAAUGUAGAUGAGUCCAAGAUCAAUGCUAUUAAGACUUGGCCGCAACCAACCAACUUGCAUCAAGUCCGUAGUUUCCUUGGUCUUGCGGGUUUCUAUCGUCGCUUUGUGAAGGAUUUUAGCACCAUUGCUUCGCCUUUGCAUGCUUUGAGCAAGAAGAAUGCGCCGUUUGUUUGGGGACCAUCCCAAGAUACCGCAUUCAAUGAGCUUAAGAAUUUGCUUACUCAUGCUCCCGUGCUUGCUUUACCCAACUUCGACAAGCCUUUUGAGAUUCAUUGCGAUGCUAGCGGUAAUGGCAUAGGAGGUGUGUUAACACAAGAGAAGCGCCCCAUAGCUUACUUUAGUGAGAAACUUUCCGGAGCGCAACUCAACUAUCCCAUCUAUGACAAAGAGCUAUAUUCUUUAAUCCGCAUUUUACAUGAAUGGGAACAUUACCUUCGUCCCCAUGAGUUUAUCAUUCAUACCGAUCAUGAAACUCUCAAGUAUCUUAAGGGUCAAACUAAGUUGAACAAGCGUCAUGCUAAAUGGAGUGAAUUCAUUGAGUCUUUUCCCUAUGUCAUCAAGUACAUCAAGGGUAAAGAAAACAUUGUAGCGGAUGCUCUUUCCCGCAUAUGCAUGCUAGUCACGCAACUUGAGUUAGAUGUCAUUAGCUUCGAGCAUAUCAAAGAAUUGUAUGAGCAUGAUGAAACUUUUUCCACUCCUUAUGCCAAGUGUUUGUCGAAUACAUCUUGGGAACGCUAUUACAUCAAAGAAACCUAUCUUAUGAAAGCUAACAAACUUUGCAUCCCAAAGUCGUCCCUUUGUUUGUUACUUUUGCAGGAAUCACAUGGAGGAGUCUUAAUGGGACAUUUCAGACGCGACAAGACGUUCACCACGCUCUCGAAAAGCUACUUUUGGCCAAAGAUGUUUCGGGAAGUCAAUCGCUUCACCAACAGAUGUUCGACAUGCUGCAAAGCUAAGUCCAAAGCUCAAUCUCAUGGCCUCUAUAUGCCUCUACCGAUUCCAUACCAACCAUGGGAAGACAUUAGCAUGGACUUUGUACUUGGUUUGCCUAGAACUCGCAAUGGGAAAGAUUCCAUAUUUGUCGUCGUGGACCAUUUAUCCAAAAUGGCACAUUUUAUUCCUUGUCACAAGAUAGACGAUGCUUCACAUGUUGCUAUUCUCUUUUGUAGGGAAAUAUUGCGUCUCCAUGGUGUGCCAAAGACAAUUGUCUCGGACCGCGACGUCAAGUUCCUUAGCUACUUUUGGAAGACCUUAUGCUCCAAGCUCGGAAUCAAGCUACUCUUCUCCACGGUGUACCAUCCUCAAACCGACGGCCAAACGGAGGUGACAAACCGCACACUCUCCGCUCUACUUCGAGUACUCAUCAAGAAAAACAUCAAGGAGUGGGUGGAGUGCCUACCUAUCGCCGAGUUCGCCUACAACCGAGCAAGACACUCAACAACUGGCAAGUCUCCUUUCGAGGUCCUUUACGGAUUCAACCCAUUGUCACCAUUGGACAUUCUUCCUCUACCACUCCAAGAGCGCAUCAAUUUGGACGCAAGUGCGCGUGUGACACAUCUCAAGAAGAUGCAUGAAGAUACAAGAAACACCAUCGAGCGCCAAGUUCAACGCCUGGCGACCAAGCUCAACUUCAACAAGCAACCCAUGGUCUUCAAUAUCGGUGAUCAAGUGUGGCUACACCUUCGCAAGGACCGUUUCCCACAAGAACGCGAAUCCAAGCUUCGACCACGAGUGGAGGGACCCUUCAAGGUGCUUGCAUGCUACAACGACAACGCUUACAAGAUCGACCUCCCGCGCGACAAGUACAACGUGAGCGACAUCUUCAACGUCAAAGAUCUCUCUCCCUUCCAUGGUGAUGAAGAAUUUGAUCCGAGGACGGAUCUUACCCAAGUGAGGGGAGAUGAUGCGGAGCAUCCCAAGGUCAUCCCCAUGGACCUACCAUCAUAUCAUCAAGUGCCUAGUGGACACAUGACUUGAUCACGUGCAAGAGCUCUUGAAACCAAGGUGACAUCUCUCCUCUCACAAUUCCACUUCGAUGCACAUGAAGCAUGGCUACUACCUCAUAUGGAUACUUUGUGCAUACUCAGGUACAAUGGAGAAGCUAAGGAGCAAGGACAAGAAGAAGAGGAAGAUGGACGAGAAGAAGGAGGGCUGAAGGAAAAGUCCCAGCCACCGGAUGACCGGCCGGGACCGAACGUCCGGCGUCUGAAGCAUCAGCCGAGCCCCAGCGAGCGGAAGUCCGGUCUAGACCGGACGACCGGUGCCCCUGCACCCGAGGCCAAUGAGUGGACGUCCGGCCCAGACCAUACGACCGGCGCGACCGCACCCGAGCAAACAUCAGCGGAAGUCCGGAGCCUCUGGACGUCUGGCACCCCCAUCACAGAAUGGAACCAGCGGACGACCGGAGGACACCGGACGUCCGGCAGCUCCUGAGACACCGGACGACCGGUCCCCAGCGGACGUCCGGUACCUGUCUGCGCACAGUGUUCGGGCCCGAGGCCCAUGUACCCCUUCACUUCUCCCCCAUUUGCACUUAGACUAUAAAUAGACCCCCCAUUCAUCCUAGCUAGGGUUAGCAAAUGUUUAGCUCAUAUUUGUGAGAGAGCUUUGCUCAUCCACUUGGUUACCUUCUCCUUAGAGAUUCGAGCCUCCACCGGAGAAGAUCCCCCAAGCGGAUUCAAGACCUCCUUGCGGAGAAGAUCAUCAAGACCCCCUCUUGGGCGGCCCCAUCAAGACCUCCUCACGGAGAAGAACCAGUUACUGUGUAUCGUCCUUAGUUGUUCGUGGAAUCGUGUAUCGUCCUAUGUACUCGAGGAUCUAGCCCAUGUGUGACUUAUUCGUGUCGGUUUAGUGAUUUCCUCUUGUGUUUUCCUUCCGUUCUUCCUCGUGUUCUUCGUGUUUUCUCCGGGAUCCGCUCCUUUCGUGAAAGAUCGGGCGAUUAGGGUCUCUACCCUACAUCACUAGCUACCCAAUUUCCAAAGAUAAUCGAGUGAUUUGGCGUGGGUGCUAACAUCUGGUAUUAGAGAUAAGGCACCACCUCUUCACCUUGAAGCAAUUAAUGGAUCUGCACAGAGUACCAGGACUACUCUCUUGACCUACUCACAUGAAAGCCAAUAUAUGAGGACGUGUGACUGUCUGUUGUUAAUCCCAUGAAAGCCAGCAUGCGCUGACGCGUUUCCCCCCAUUGAACGAACUUCAUAUGUAGGCUGACUUCACCACUUCUUGUUGGCUUUAGAGCUUGGCAGACUGUGCUACUUACCGUCGUGAGUCAGCGCAUACUUUACCUUUCAGGAAUCAUCAAGAACCAUGGACGGCGCGGCCCAUGGUUACAAGUUUCCAUAAUCUCCGAGUACUCAUGGGCCUUGCCUACCUGAAGAAUACGGAAACUUGUAACCAUGGUCCUCGCGGUCCUUUAUAAGGCGAGGCCAGGCUAGUCAAUAGGCACCUUACAAUCUCAUACUUUCACCCACUCGAUACACAUACGACUCAGGGUGGACGCGGUCCUGUCCGGUCCGAGCUUUGACCGAGCUAGCCUUUGGACCGGCCAUGACCAGUCCUGUCCGGGCCGGACCGAGGUGGCCAGUAAGCCUAUUUUCCAGGACCGGACUGAGAGGAGCAAAGCUCGGUCAGCCCGAAUGGACCGAAUGGGACCGAUGGCUGGGACUCUGUUUCGGCUAUUUUCCAGCCCGGGAGUGCUUCGUUGGCCACUGUUUAAAUAAAUUUGGUCGUAUUUAGACAGUAGCUGUCCCUAGGAGUGCUCUAUUAAGCGUUUUGGCCAUUAUUUAGCCUGUAGCUUCUCCUGGGAGUGCCCUGUUGCGCUUUUUGGCCACAAUUUAGGCUGUCCAAAUUUAGUGAGUGCUCUGUUUCUGUAUAAUGACUAGUAUGGCAUAACUAAAUUUGGACAUCAUCUUAUUUGUAUUUUGGACAUCAAAACAACAGAUUCUGAGAAGAACAAUAGCAAAAAAAUCACAUGCACAAACAUAAGGUCUUAUCAUCAUUGAACGACACGAUUACAAACUUGUAAUGACAAUUUUGAGUUCAUGUCAAUUGACAAGUUCAACAUAACACAAAUGAGAGGUUCAUCUCGAAACUUGCAAUAACAAUUCAUAGUUCAUGACUUGACAAAUUCCAACAUAACACAAAUUCAAAAGUAGCCUUCACAUGAGAAUACCACUUUGACAUCCAUCUCCAGAAUAGCAAGAUCAACAUCCACAUGAUGAACGUCUACAAGUAAGAUAAGCAACAUUCACAUAAAUAAUAUUUGGUAUCAUAUGACAAGUGAAACAUGUAGGAAGAAUAGUUACCAAUCGUUGAUCUCCUCCACCACAAUGGGUAACUUGAUGGUCUCAACAUCAUCCUCUUCAUUCUCAUCCCUCGGCUACAAGUGCGGAAGUUAGACAAAUGCUCACAUCACAUACAAGACCAAAAAAGAAAGAGAAAAAGGUAAGGAAAAUAUGGCAAACAUACCACCAGAUUCAAGUCAACGUGAGCACCCUUGAUAUAACUUGCACCACAAACUAAUGCCUCCACCAUAAUUACAAAGAGCCUUCAACACCAUCUCUCCAGGAUGCUUCGUCGAUGGCUCUUUGACCUUGUGAAAAUGGGCCCAAACAUCCGAUGACAUCCUAACAAGAGCAUUGGCUCUUGGCCUCUUGUUCUUUUUCUUUCUCAUUUAUCUUGCCUCCACCUCACUAUAGACAACAUCCACAAGUGAUUCCUCGGACACAGUGUCACCUUCUAGUUCAUUAGAUGAUUCCUUAUACCCUUCUGAUGUAUCAUCACCCAACAUAUCAGCACUCGCUUGUGGCGGGACUAUAAACAAAUUUUGCUCCUCAUAUUCCUCAUCGUUCUUGUCCUUGUCCUCAUCCAUGUCUAUGUCCUCGUCCUCGUCCUCCUCCUCGUCUUCUACCACCUAACACACAUGAGCACAGAAAUAAGCAAACAACACCUAUAUGGUUAUAAGGAAAUAUGGCUACAUCAAGCAUCAAGUAAAAGCAAUCUUACAAUAGUAAAUGCAUGAGGCAGCUCGGAGCAGGUUGUGGAGCCAGAGGCAGCGGCUUCCGCAGCACGCACGCCGGCACUGGUGCGGUCGGGGAGACGCGUAGGAGGUGGAGGGUGUUUUUUUAACCUACAAAUCAACUCUCCCGGUGGGGCAUUGGGAAAGUAUUUCGCCUUCCUAAUCUGCACCUUAGGCUUCCUCUUCUUCCUCGGAACCAGCGGAGGCAGCGCCGAAUCUUGCCUAACUAGGUAAGUCACGCUCUUCUCCUUUGUCUUCCCCAUCGCAUUCUCCUUACCAGCACCCUUUCCCUUCUCAUUCCCCUUCUCCUUCAUCAUUAUCUACAAAAAACAGCACAUAAUAUCUGCAGUUAGUACAUCAAUCAAGUGCAAAUAAUUCAUCUUCUUCUUUUUGUAGCAUAGAAAAUCAUCUAGUACUAGUGCAAAUAAACAUAAUUAUCUCCUGACCAUUAUCUACAAAAAAACACAUAAUCCCCUUCUCAUUUCCCUUCUCCUUCACUACAUCUCCUGAAACUCGAUCUUGAGUCUUGACUAAAGUGGGACAAAAAUUUGUUGUUCAAAAACUACAUCUCCAGAUCUCCUAUCUAAGUCUCUAGCACUGAAUCAUCUCCGUUCGGCGAGGGUCACAUGUUAGAAAAAGAUUACCUCUUCCUCUUCGUGGCGCUCGGUGAGGAACCAGGGAAGGAUGGACCGACGGUGUGCUGGCCUUGUUGCCUCCCGGAUGUACAGGUGCUCCUCCAGCUCGGACUCGGACAAGAUGGCGCCGUCGAUGAAGGGAGAGGCCGCGGGCAAUGGCACCGUCACCUUACGGUUAGGGUUAGGGAUAGAAGUAGAACAGAGGAGAAGGCGUUACCUCUCUUUGUGAGGAGAGCCGAAUCGAGCGAGGAGGGGAAUGGAACGAGAGAUGGAACGAGGGGAGGGGGGUUGCUCGGCUCGGGGGCUCGGGGCCUCGAUGUAUUAGACAGUUCAUGGGCCUUGUGCCAUCGGUCCGCUCGGUUGGCCCGGUUAAACACACUAGUAGAAAAAGGGUCAAAUGUGAAGCACAUUAGUCCCAGUUUGUAACAGAACCGACACUAAUGUGACCAUUAGUGCCGGUUCCAACGGCUAGGCGGGCGGAGAUCUAUAGUACCGGUUCGUGGCGAACCUAUAUUACCGGUUCAUCCCACGAACCUGUACUAAAGAGGCCGUGGCCCCACUGUCCCCCUUUAGUGCCAGUUCAUGCUACGAACCGGUACUAAACAGGUUGUGGCAGGCUGUUUUUAGUCCCACCUCGCUUCCCUAACAAGGUUUUUACCACCUUAAAUAUGUUACUUCUCAAACUAUCACAAGCACUUGGUCUUCAUUAAAUUCUAUGUGUAGAAUUUGUAGCCGCAAUAUGAGUCUUCACCGGUUUACAAACCGUUGAGGACUCAUAUUGACAAUUCAGACUGUACACAAAAAGAUCAUUGAUGAUCAAAGUAUUUUUGAUGUAUUUCUAUGUAAAGAAAUAUAAGAUGAUGAUCUAAAUGCUCUUAUGUUUUCUUUACAAAGGGGUAUAUUUUUUGCAUGUUUACACAUAGCAUUUAGAUCAAUGUAUUUUUGAUGUAUAUUUAUACAUGUUUACACAAUCUGUUUUGAAGUAUUAGGGUUUCGAACGAAAACGCAUCUGUUACAAACAAAGGCAUUUCAUUGUACCGGCUGUUUUUUAGUCCCACCUCGCCAAGCGAGAGGCACUCGCAACGGUUUAUAAGCCCUGAGUGCAUAGACGAUGAUGGAGAGGCGCAAUGCUCACCUACACGUUGCUUAGCUUCAUGCCUGGAGGAAGUGGUGUAGAUUGCACAGAGCUAUCAGGGUUUCGGACGAAAACUACACAUAGCUCCGUGCAGUCUACGCUGUUUCCUCCAGGCCUGAAGCUAAGCAACAUGCAGGUGAGCAUUGCGCCUCUCUUUUGCGUUCUGUAUGCACCAUUGAAAGCGACGUCAUCAAUUUUCAACCCUUUCUGAUAUCAUUUGCUGUUUUUCAGUCAUUUACCGAUUUGUUUAGAGAGCUAAAUGACCGUGAAAUUGAAAAUCACUACAAAAUGAACUCUGAAAAUGUUGAAAAUUGGCAUGGUAUCAUCAUUUCACCCACAUAGUAUGUGCAAAAGAGUAGAGAGAGUUACGGCAAAAACUAGAUGCACUUGAUGUACAAACUGGACAAUCUCUUUCGGAGUAUCAGGGUUUCGGACGAGAACUCAUCUGUUACACUGGCACUUCAUUUUUUUUAAACUUAUUUGAACUCUAGAUUUUUCUUGCGUUCCGUAUGCACCAUUGAAAGCGAUGUCAUCGUUUUCAACCCUUUCUGACAUCAUUUGCUAUUUUCCAGUCAUUUACCGAUUUGUUUAGAGAGCUAAAUGACCGUGAAAUUGAAAAUUACUACAAAAUGAACUCUGAAAAUGUUGAAACUUGGCAUGGUAUCAUCAAUUCACCCACAUAGCAUGUGCAAAAGAGUAGGGAGGGUUACAACAAAAACUGGAUGCACUUUGUGUACAAACUGGACAAUCUCUUUCGGNNNNNNNNNNNNNNNNNNNNNNNNNNNNNNNNNNNNNNNNNNNNNNNNNNNNNNNNNNNNNNNNNNNNNNNNNNNNNNNNNNNNNNNNNNNNNNNNNNNNNNNNNNNNNNNNNNNNNNNNNNNNNNNNNNNNNNNNNNNNNNNNNNNNNNNNNNNNNNNNNNNNNNNNNNNNNNNNNNNNNNNNNNNNNNNNNNNNNNNNNNNNNNNNNNNNNNNNNNNNNNNNNNNNNNNNNNNNNNNNNNNNNNNNNNNNNNNNNNNNNNNNNNNNNNNNNNNNNNNNNNNNNNNNNNNNNNNNNNNNNNNNNNNNNNNNNNNGGACGAGAACUCAUCUGUUACACGGGCACUUCAUUUUUCUAAACUUAUUUGAACUCCAGACUUUUUUUGCGUUCCGUAUGCACCAUUGAAAGCGACGUCAUCAAUUUUAAACCCUUUCUGACAUCAUUUGCUAUUUUUCAGUCAUUUACCGAUUUGUUUAGAGAGCUAAAUGACCGUGAAAUUGAAAAUCACUACAAAAUGAACUCCGAAAAUGUUGAAACUUGGCAUGGUACCAUCAUGUCACGCACAUAGCAUGUGAAAAAGAGUAGAGAGGGUUAAGGCAAAAACUGGAUGCACUUCGUGUACAAACUGGACAAUCUCUUUCGGAGUAUCAGGGUUUCGGACAAGAACUCAUCUGAUACACAGGCACGUCAUUUGUUUAAACUUAUUUGAACUCUAGACUUUUUUUGCGUUCUGCAUGCACCAUUGAAAGCGACGUCAUCAAAUUUCAACCAUUUCUGACAUCAUUUGCUAUUUUUCAGCCAUUUACCGAUAUGUUUAGAGAGCUAAGUAACCAUGAACUUGAAAAUCACUACAAAAUGAACUCUGAAAAUGUUGAAACUUGGCAUGGUAUCAUCAUUUCACCCACAUAGCAUGUGCAAAAGAGUAGAGAGGGUUAUGGCAAAACCUGGAUGCACUUCGUGUACAAACUGGACAAUCUCUUUUGGAGUAUCAGGGUUUCGGAUGAGAACUCAUCUGUUACACGGGCACUUCAUUUUUUUAAACUUAUUUGAACUCUAGAUUUUUUUGCGUUCCGUAUGCACCAUUGAAAGCGACAUCAUCAAUUUUCAACCCUUUCUGACAUCAUUUGCUAUUUUUUCGUUCUAUAUGCACCAUUAAACUAUUCAAAUUUGAAAACUACUGGCACUAAUAGAAAGUUUAUAAUUUUUUGUACCUAAAACAAAAAUAUUCACAAAGAAACUAAAUACAGCAAAAAAACUACUCCGAAAUAAAUAAUAGAAAAUACUAUAUAAAAAAAUAUUUGCACGCAACUCUGUGGGCCUGCUCGGCCUUGGGCAUGGAUAUGCAGGCCCAUAAGGCCAAGAAGGCUCACAGGGCAGCGCGGCAAAGUUAGGCCCAGAAGCCUACUUUAUAGAGGAGCUCGAAGAAGCAGUCGCGGCUGGGUUUAUAAACCAGUGCGGCUGCCCUUCGCUCGGCGAGGUGGGACUAAACUUUGCGCACCGCAGCGCGCCUCUUUAGUACCGUUCGUGGCUCCAAACUGUACUAAAGGUGAACCGGUACUAAAGGGGGCCACUUUCCGCCGCUUGGCCUGGCCAAAAUUGGCCUUUAGUACCGGUUGGUGGCUCCAACCGGUACUAGAGGCCCUUCCUAUAUAUAUAGCACUGGCGAAAAAUUCAGUUUCGUCUCCCCAUCUCCAACCUCUUUGUGACAUUACCGCCGCUCCCGUCCCGCGCCAUCGCCCAUCGUUGUCUCGCGCUCGCCGCCCCCGCUGCCCGUCGUUGCCGUCCCCGUCAUCGCCGUCUCGCGCCGCCGCCCCAUAUGCCGGUCGCCGCCCGUCGUCGCCAUCCCCGUCGUCGCCGUCUCGCAACGCCGCCCCGUACGCCGCCGCCCCGUACGUCGCCGUCUCUCCCCCGCUGCCCCGUACACCGCCGCCCCCGCUCGUACACACACACAUACAUACACACACAAACACGUAGACGCGCGUGCGCACACACACACAUUUUUUUACUUAUUUUCUGUUUUCUGUUUUUUAGAUUAGUGCAUGUCAAAAUUUUAAUUAGAUAAUCGAAUUAGAUGAAUUACCUAUAUAAGAAUGUUAGAUUAAUGUCGAAUGCUAGAUGAAUUAGAUAGAAAAGUUAAAUAUUAAUGUCAAUAUUGUUAGAUGAAUUAGCUAGAUAUUAAUGUCAAAUGAAUUAAUAUAACUAGUUUAUUUUUAGUAAAUGCUUAGUUGAACUAGUUGAAUUAAUAGAACUAGUUUAUUUUUAAUAAGAAAAUUUAGGUAUAUGAGAUUUGAUGAUCUAAUUAAAAUAUUACUAUAUAGAACUAGCUACUUUAUAUAUUUUAGUAAGAAAAUUAAUAGAACUAGUUUAUUUUUAGUAAAUUCUUAGUUGAAUUAGUUGAAUUAAUAGCACUAGUUUAUUUAGUUGAAUUAAUAGAACUAGUAAGUAUUUUAAUGUUUCACUUAUAUGAACAUAGGAAAUGUCGUCUGACGACGAAAAAGAUUUCAUUAUGUGCGAAUACUGUAAAGACCAGCGCGGCCUGUGCGACAGAAAUUUCCUUGUUGAUGAUAGGCGCUUCAGCAUCAAGUUGGAUGAGACCUUCGAAGUGGAUACAGUAAGUCACAACAACAAGUCUUUUUUCGUAAUUAAGCAUGACUUAUGUGGAUAAAAUAGGUUUAACUUUUAAAUUUGCUUGAACCUAUACAAGUCAUUUGCUUGAACUUAUAAUUUUAAAAUUUCACUAUUCUACUAGCGCAUCCCCUGCCAUGCAAGAAUUUUUGUCUUGGAUAAGAUAGGUUUCGGUGCUAUGGAAACUAUGAAGGUAAAGAGAGUUUACUUGAAGACCAAGCAUGGUUAUACUUUCAACGUCAAAUUAUACAAUGCAGACACAUACACCUAUUUUGAAUGCAAAACUUGGCAAGCACUAUGCAAGGCUUAUGCAUUUGAGCCUGCUAUGGUUAUCACCUUUGAUAUUCGUCCGGAAGAUGAUAUUGAAGGUAAUAGAGACAUCUGGGUCGAUGUGCAGACGCCUCUAGUUCUACCACUAUGUGAGUUUCUCAACCAUAUUUAUGUCUUCGAUAUUGUUUAUUCAAAAAUAGUUGACAACUAAUUUUUAUUGACAGCUUAUUUCCAUUCAAGCAAACAUGUCCGGCGCUUGGUAGACAGGACCGUCCACUAUCCCGGGGCUAAACUAAACUGCGAGGAGACAAGUCAUUAUGUUUCAUGGCUUAAGGAUCUUGAUGCUGUCAAGAGAAAUUAUUUUCCUGAAUUUGAAAAUCUUAGUACUCAAAACGUGCGACCAAUAGUGAUCGUAUUGAACUACGGUCACAUCUAUUUAGGAAAGAUGGUAUGAUUUUUACUAUUUGUCCUCAAUGCAUAUUUUGCAUACAUUAUUUUUCAAGCUAAACUCUCAUUGCUAAGUAUAUUACUAUACGAUGUUCUUCAACAGGGAGACCCGAUGACAGUUGUGCCUCAGUGGAUCGAGACUAAAGGUCGCAUGUCAAUGGUUAGCUUAUGGCCAAGACAUCCUACAUUGCACGUGAGUGCAUUCAGGAUUUCUAAAAGCGAGCAAUGCUUAAUAGUGAAAGAUUGGAGCAAAAUUGUUAACGAUCGCAGAGAAGUACUAAGGGCAGCAAUCAGAAGCAUAGCCCAUGAUUAGGAGACAGGUUCCUCUGCAUGCUCCAAUAUGAUGAAUCAGAAGAGGUAUACAUGUCCUAUGCUAUUUUACCUGAGAGAGAGAAACAUGAGUGAUUAGCUAGUUCAUGCUCUUAGUACUUGUCCUCUCAUGUCCGUGUUCUUCGUCCUGAACUUAAUCUCAAAGAGUGAUUUGCUUUUGUGGUGUUAUGAACGCUUAUAAUAUCAUGACCAUGUUGAACUCGAUGAUAUCAUUGCUUCUGGUACAAGUGAAUGCUUCUUCUUUAAGCUAGUGUUGGUGGUGAUUAGAUGGCGGUAAUGACUAUGAUGAUUAAAUAGUGGUAAUGACAACUGAUACGUCUCCGUCGUAUCUAUAAUUUUUUAUUGUUCCAUGCCAAUAUUAUACAACUUUCAUAUAAUUUUGGCAAUUUUUAUACUAUUUUUUGGGACUAACAUAUUGAUCCAGUGCCCAGUGCCAGUUCCUGUUUGUUGCAUGUUUUUUGUUUCGCAAAAAAUCCAUAUCAAACGGAGUCCAAACGGGAUAAAAACGGACGAAUAAUAUUUUUGGAAUAUAUAUGAAAUUUGGGAAGAAAAUCAACGCGAGACGGUACCCGAGGGAGCCACGAGGCAGGGGACGCGCCCCAGCCCCCUGGGCGCGCUCCUGACCCUUGUGGGCCCCCCAUAAGUCGGUUACUGCUCUUCUUUGGCCGCAAGAGAGCUAAUUUUUGGAAAAAACCGGGGCGAAGGUUUCAAUCCAAUCUGAGUUACGGAUCUCUGGAUAUAUAAGGAACGGUGAAAGGGCAGAAGACCAGAACGCAGAAACAGAGAGAGACAGAGAGACAUAUCCAAUCUCGGAGGGGCUCUCGACCCUCCGCCUCCAUGGAGGCCAUGGACUAGAGGGUAAACCCUUCUCCCACCUAGGGAGAAGGUCAAGGAAGAAUAAGAAGAAGGGGGGCUCUCUCCCCAUCGCUUCCGGUGGCACCGGAACGCCGCCGGGGGCCAUCAUCAUCACCUCAAUCUACACCAACACCUCCGCCAUCUUCACCAACAUCUCCAUCACCUUCCCCCAUCUAUCUACAGCGGUCCACUCUCCCGCAACCCGCUGUGCCCUCCACUUGAACAUGGUGCUUUAUGCUUCAUAUUAUUAUCCAAUGAUGUGUUGCCAUCCUAUGAUGUCUGAGUAGAUUUUCGUUGUCCUAUCGGUGGUUGCUGAAUUUCUAUGAUUGAUUUAAUUUGCUUGUGGUUAUGUUGCUGUCCUUUGGUGCCCAUCAUAUGAGCGUGCGCGUGGAUCACACCAUAGGGUUAGUUGUAUGUUGGUAGGACUAUGUAUUGGAGGGCAAGAGUGACAGAAACUUCAGCCUAGCAUAGAAAUUGAUGCAUACGGGAUUGAAGGGGGACCAAUAUAUCUUAAUGCUAUGGUUGGGUUUUACCUUAAUGAACGUUAGUAGUUGCGGAUGCUUGCUAAUAGUUCCAAUAUAAGUGCAUAGAAUUCCAAGUCAGGGAUGACAUGCUAGCAGUGGCCUCUCCCACAUAAAACUUGCUAUCUGUCUAGUAACGUAGUCAAUUGCUUAGGGACAAUCUCACAACUCCUACCACCACUUUUCCACACACGCUAUAUUUACUUUAUUGUUUCUUUAUCUAAACAGCCCCUACUUUUUAUUUACGUGCUCUUUAUAUUCUUGCAAACCUAUCCAAAAACACCUACAAAGUACUUCUAGUUUCAUACUUGUUCUAGGUAAAGCGAACGUUAAGCGUGCAUAGAGUUGUAUCGGUGGUCGAUAGAACUUGAGGGAAUAUUUGUUCUACCUUUAGCUCCUCGUUGGGUUCGACACUCUUAAUUAUCGAAAGAGGCUACAAUUGAUCCCCUAUACUUGUGGGUUAUCAAGACCUUUUUCUGGCGCCGUUGCUGGGGAGUUAUAGCGUGGGGUGAAUAUUCUUGUGUGUGCUUGUUUGGUUUAUCACUAAGUAGUUUUCAUUUUUUGCUCUUGUUUUCUAUCUUUAUUUAUGGGUAGGAAACACAAAAUACCAAAAAAUUAGUUGUACCUACUACACCAAUGGUUGAAGAACCACUCAAAAUCUAUCACACUCCUGAAGCUUUUUACUUGGAUCAUCUUCGAUCCCUAUGUGCUCGUGCUGAAACCCCAACUAGCUUAGUUGAGGGAAAAUCUUUAGAUGAGCAUGCUUGUUAUGUGCGACACCGCUUAUCUCAGAAAGGGGAACUUUUACUGGAUCAAAUUCAUCAUUUGCAGUGCUAUGCUUGGAAUUUAUGUGAAAUAUAUGAUGUUACUUGUUGUUCUGAAAACCCUAAGAAACACCUUCCCUACCAAUGUGAGUUUAGCGAUAAUGGAAUCGUAUAUUCAUAUGCCAAGGGUGUUUAUAAUUACUAUGAUGUUCAACACAUUGAAGAAUUUGUUGCUUUUAAGGGUGCUUAUGAAAUUGCUUCUUUGAUUGAAAAGUAUGAUGCUGCUCUUUACAAAUCUAAAUUUUUUGCCAUACUUAAAUAUUGUUAUGAUAAUUAUGUUUCUAAUUCCUAUGUUAAACCAUAUAUUGAGGACUCCUCCGCUGUCCAAGAAGAGACUAAUAUUUUGCAGGAGUCUAUGGAAGAAGGAAUUGAUGAAACUAUGGGCUCAUUGGAUGAAAAAGAUGAGGAGGAGAGCGAAGAACAAAAGGAGGAAGAGCGGAUUGAUCACCCAUUCCCACCUUCUAAUGAUAGUAACUCUUCAACUCAUACAUUAUUUAAUUUCCCUUCGUGCUUACCGAAGGAUGAUUGCUAUGAUGAUUGUUAUGAUCCCGUUGAUUCUCUUGAAAUAUCCCUUCUUGAUGAUGCUUGCUAUGCUUGUGGCCAAGAUGACAAUAUGAAUUAUGCUUAUGGAGAUGAACUUGCUAUAGUUCCUUAUGUUAAACAUGAAAUUAUUGCUAUUGCACCCAUGCAUGAUAGUCCUAUUAUCUUUUUGAAUUCUCCCAACUACGCUAUAUCAGAGAAGUUUGCUCUUGUUAAGGAUUAUAUUGAUGGGUUGCCUUUUACCAUUGCACAUGAUAAUUUUGAUGACUAUAAUAUGCAUGUGCUUGCUACUCCUACUUGCAAUAUUAUGAGAGAGGAACUACAUCUCUUCCUCUUUGUGUUUCCAACACGAAAAAAUUGCAAGAAACUGUUUAUACUAUGCAUUGGCCUUUACUUUGUGUGCAUGAAUUGUUCUUUUAUGACAUGUCGAUGCAUAGGAAGAGAGUUAGACUUCGUUGUUACAUGAUAUAUGUUGCCUCAUGCUACUAAAUGCCAAAUCAUUGCUAAUUCAAAUUGGCUUUGAUAUACCUUGGGAUCCGGGUGGAUCCAUUACUUGAGCACUAUAUGCCUAGCUUAAUGGCUUUAAAGAAAGCGCUGCCAGGGAGACAACCCGGAAGUUUUAGAGAGUCAGUAAUUUCUGUUGUGUUCUUUUAUAAAGUUUAAAAAUAAAAAUAAUGUGCCAAGGUUUGGCUUUAGGAUGUUUUAGAUGCUUGUUGGUUUGUAUGGUGCAUGAUAGAAACUUUGGCUGUAGUGUGCGAUUUUACAUUGUUUACUGGAACGUCAAACGGUUCUGAAACUUUUUGCAAUGUCUUUAUAUACAACUUGUUUAUUUUUCCUAAUUUUGGUAGAAUGUUUGGAGUACCAGAGGUAUGGUGAAUGUUCAUAUUAUUACAGACUGUUCUGUUUUAGACAGAUUCUAUUUUUGAUGCAUAGUUUGUUUGUUUUGAUGAAACUAUCGAUUUAUAUCAGUGGAUUAAGACAUGGAAAAGUUAUAUUACAGUAGAUACAAUGCAAAAAAAUAUGAAUUGGUUUGCAACAGUACUUAGAGUAGUGAUUUUCUUUAUUAUACUAACAGAUCUUACCGAGCUUUCUGUUGAGUUUUGUGUGGAUGAAGUGUUCGAAGAUUGAGGAGGUCUCGAUAUAAGGAUAAGGAGGAGAGACAAGAGCUCAAGCACUAGUGCAGAACAGGGCAAUAACACCGGUUCGUAAAGCCCUUUAGUGCCGGUUUCGGAACCGGCACUAACAUUUCGGCACUAACGCCCCCCCCCCUUUAGUACCGGUUCAGCAUGAACCGGUGCUAAACGGCAACCACGUGGCACGAGCCAGCUCUGGGGGCCGGGAGCCCUUUAGUACUUGUUGGUAACACCAACCGAUACUAAAAUGUUUGGGGGAUUUUUGGUUUUAUGAUUUCUUUUUCAUUUAAUUUUGUGUUUUCCAUUUUAAUUCUUUUUCGUUUGCUGGUAUUUUACGGUACUACACAUUGUACACGUUAUGCAAAUAUAUAUAUAUAUAUAAAUAGAAUUUCUAGUAGAACCAAUCAUAUAUAUAUAUAUCAUCAAUGUCUCACAAACCACCAUAUUAAUUUACACAUACACACAUGUAUAGCUAUAUACAAUUUCUCCUACAUAUGCAUGUUGCGUUCGGAGCCAGUGGCAUUUGCCUAAUUGGUGCCUUCGGAGCACGAUGACAAUUGGAAGUGGUUCAUGACAUGUUCGAUGGGGGCGGUAGCGGGUAAUAGUAUUCUCCCUUCGGAUUUAUGACCUGGUCGAGCAAAAAUCCCGCUAUUUCCUCUUGAAGUGCUUCUACGCGCUCCGUUUCUAGGAGCUUGUCCCGCACCUCUUUGAACUGUUAAGAAGGAGAUCAAUAUGCAUGUGUAUUAGUUGUGUGACUAGAUAUCGAUAAUGGUGUAAAAAUUGUGAAUAGUGUUCUGACAAGCGUACCCAUUCCUGUCUUUGAGAUCUGCUCCUUUCGGACGCCAUCAUGCGAAUGUUCUCGCAAACGCAGUAUGCACACAAAUUAGUCACCUGCGUCUGCUUCAGGGCCUUUAUUAUGAGAAUGGAAUUUAAUUUGAUCAGAUAAUAAUUAAUCAAGCAUGAUAAUUAAAGAGAUGGUAGCUAGCUAGCUAGCUAGUACUACUUAAUUACUUACCUUGGAUCGAAACCAUUUCAGCUGUGGUUUCCAUUCGCCUUCCGUGACGCUGAUGAACAUUGCCCAAGCCCUGCCCGCCGACAAAGAAAAUGAAUAAAGGGGUUAUUAAAUAGUUCAUAUCAUGAAAUGACGAACUAAAUAGGCCGAGAUAUAUAGUUAAUAAUGAUUGAAAUUACCUGUUGACUAUCCCAUACAAGAUGUUGUAGUCACUAUUUGCUUUGAGUAGCGAGUCCAGUAUUUCAACUGUUCCGGCGUCAACUUUAAUGAUACACAAGAUCCAGUGAAAUCUGCAUGCACACAUGUUUGCAUGUCUUAAUUAAUCGGGCAUAUGUAAGCAAAAACAUGUAGCUAGCUAGUAGGCAAAAACAGAGAAUUUGUAGUACAAGAAAGUGUGACUCACUCGAAGUUGUAAGGAAGUAGUAUAUCUUCAUUGUAUUUGAGGCGCUUCAAGAACUCUAGCAUGCUGUCCUCUACCUGCUUUUCAUAAUACUUGCUCAUUUUCCAUGUGUAUUGAUUAACGGUGUUUGGGUCAAUGAACCCAAUGCCAUAGCGUCCACCUUUUCUCAUUUCAUACAUCUUCAUCCUGCAUAAUACCACAGAAAAGAAUAUAGUGAGGAUAAUUACAGGUAAUGAUUGAUCAAAAGGAUCAUUACAGCUAGCUUGAGACUUAAAUUACAGAAAGAAAUCACUUACAGACAAUAGAAACUAACGAUAGAUUUGUCGAGUGCGUCUUGAUUGUAUAACUGAAACAGUUCAGAAUACUCAACGGCCACAGCUUUCUCAUGGUAGUAAUGAUCCUUCUUGACAUACACCAUGAGGGACUCUCGAUCGGAUCUCUUGGUAAUGUCCAUCUACCAUUGAUGCAAUUCAUACAUUCUUGUUGGGAGCUUCUUGACAUCUUCUGGCUUGACCAAAGGUUGGCCCCGGACAUAUUUCCGUUUUAUUUCCUCCUCUGUAAUCACAGGCAUGUCCUCGAUCUCGAGGAGUUGUCCAACAGUGAUCUUGAGUUCUUCAGCCUGCAUUAUAUGCUCCUGGGUUAUUACCACAUCACCCACCUCGGGAACGUAAACUGUUUGGCCACAAUAAUAUUGGGCGCGCGUACUGUCACGUGUUGUCGGCACAACAAGCGGGGNNNNNNNNNNNNNNNNNNNNNNNNNNNNNNNNNNNNNNNNNNNNNNNNNNNNNNNNNNNNNNNNNNNNNNNNNNNNNNNNNNNNNNNNNNNNNNNNNNNNNNNNNNNNNNNNNNNNNNNNNNNNNNNNNNNNNNNNNNNNNNNNNNNNNNNNNNNNNNNNNNNNNNNNNNNNNNNNNNNNNNNNNNNNNNNNNNNNNNNNNNNNNNNNNNNNNNNNNNNNNNNNNNNNNNNNNNNNNNNNNNNNNNNNNNNNNNNNNNNNNNNNNNNNNNNNNNNNNNNNNNNNNNNNNNNNNNNNNNNNNNNNNNNNNNNNNNNNNNNNNNNNNNNNNNNNNNNNNNNNNNNNNNNNNNNNNNNNNNNNNNNNNNNNNNNNNNNNNNNNNNNNNNNNNNNNNNNNNNNNNNNNNNNNNNNNNNNNNNNNNNNNNNNNNNNNNNNNNGAUGUAACUUCCUGAUGUGGCGCUCAUAGUCUGUGUCAACAGGCUUAGGAGCUGGUGGUUGAGCCAUACGAAUGAAGUGGUCAACUACUUCCACAGGCACUUUCUCCCUUGGCGGCGGUGGCGGUUUCGGUCCAAAAUGGGCGUCGACUUCUGCCCGCACUAUGGCAUUGGUUUGCUCCUCGGUCCUGUCGUAAGCCCUCACGGGAAGAGGAGUAGUGAGGUUUGGACCAUAUUUAUAUCGCUUGCCUCCGCCUGUACUUCCUGUACUAUGGCCUCGACUGGUACCGCUACGCACCAUAGCUGCGGGGUGUCUCUUCUGCAAUUGCUGAGGCGGCGGAGACGGCUGACGGGGCUGAGUUGGACGAGGAGGAGUGGCCUGAAGCUGUGCCGGACUUGGAGGAGGAGUGGCCUGAGGUUGUGCCGGACUUGGAGGAGGAGUGGACGUCUGACGCUGUGUCAGACUUGGAGGAGGAGUGGCUUGACACUUUGCCGGACUUGGAGGAGGAGGAGUGGCCUCACGCGUUGGUGGACUUGGAGGAGCGGGAGUCUGCUGACUCGGUGGCGGACUUCGACGAGGAGUCGGGUGACGCGGUGUUGGUGGCCUUCGAAAAAUGAUGCAAUCCUUUCUCCAUAGGAUUAUACGAUGUUUGGCAUCUCCGAGUGUGUGCUCCUCAUCACCUCCAGGAAUGUCAAGCUCUAGCCCCGAAUAUUGAUCCACCACCUCAUCAACCAAGACACGAGCAUAGCCCGCUGGAAUCGGGUUGCAAUGGAAGGUUGCCUCGGGGGAAUUUCAAAAAGCAACGGCGUCCGCCACCUUCAUGGAUAUGUUCUUCAUUUUGAAGUGUAGCUCGCAGUUAGUGUUCUCCGUGAUGUCAUCCACGGGGUUUCUAUCCAGCACUACUGCGUCGCCCGGGGCGGAACCCACGUUGCUUCUCGGCAUGGAUGGGGCGGUGGUAUCCAAUGCUGGAUCAUCCGCUAGCUGCUGCAGCUGCUGAGACCCACUUUGUUGGCUAAGUGAGUCGAUCUGCUCCUGCUGCCGCUGGAAUUUAGCUGCCAAUUCCGCUUGACUUGCUUCUAGGCCUUGAAGGCGUUCAUAGUUGAGCUUCCUUUGCUCCUCCUCCAUCUUCCUCUUCUUCUCCUUCGCAAUCUUCUUUCUCGCACGGGUUCUGUAGUCGGCGUUCCAGUCCGAAAACCCCUCAUACCACGGAAUAGCGCCCUUGCCUCGUGUUCUUCCCGGGUGUUCAGGAUUUCCCAGGGCACGCGUAAGCUCGUCGUUCUCUCUGUUGGGCUGGAACACCCCCAAUUGAGCCUCUUCUAUUGCAACAAGUAGCGCAUCGUCGGCUCUGUUCAGACAUGCCUUUGUCAAAACAUUGCCUGUCUUUGGGUCCAACUCCCCCCGAUGCGCAUAGAACCAAGUCCUGCACCUGGGGGGCCAGCUCUUACUAACCGGAAUGACACCUGCAUCCUCCAUCUCUUUCUCAGACUUAUCCCACUUAGGCAUUGCCACCGCGUAGCCACCUGGCCCCAGCUUAUGGAACUUAUCCUUUUUUCGGCAUUCUUCUUGUUUAUUCUCGACCGUUCCUUAGCUAAUUCUGAAUCCUUGAAUUUCACGAAAUCGUCCCAAUGAGCUCUUUGAUUCUCUAGUAUCCCCUCGAAUACUGGAGUCUUCCUUCCUCCCUUGACGUACUUCUCCCACGUCAUUCUCUUGUGGUUCUUGAAUGCAACCGCCAUCUUCCUAAAAGCAGCGUCCUUGACUUUCCGCACGUUUGCUUCUGUGAAAUUAUCUGGUAAGGUGAAAUGUUCCAUGAGAGUAUCCCAAAGCAGAUUUUUUUGAUUCUCGUCAACAAAAGUAACAUCUAGACGUGGAUUUGCUGGCUUUCUCCAUUCUUGAAGGGAGAUCGGGAGUUGGUCCUUCACAAUAACUCCGCACUGACGAACGAACUUGUCCGCAAUCUUCUUAGGCGCUAAUGGUUCGCCAUUAGGUCUGAUUGCCUCGAUAUUGUACUUUACGCCCUCCUUCAACUUUUUGUUCGCGCCUCGUUUCGUCCUUUUGCCUGAAGAUUUGCUCGAUCCGGACGGCUGAAAGAAGAAAGAUCGAUUCGUUAAUAUAUCUUCAACUCAUUUAAAACAUGCGAUGAUCACCAAAUUCCUGCUUAUAUAAAUAUAUAUACCUCGCCGGUGUUUGUUGUUUCAGGAUCAACAUGUUCUUCGUCGUAGUUCAUGACUUCAUCUUCUCGGUCGUCGUGAUCGAAUAUCAUAUCACCCUCUCCGGUGUUGUUUAGAAAUUCGGAGCCGUCAAAAUCUUCUUCAUUCUGAUCAUCAUCUGGCCCGCGUAUGAUAUCGAGCAUGGUCUGUUCUCUCUCUCUGUCGGUAUUGUCCGCCAUAGCUUUUAUUUAACUAUUCCAAAAGAAAUAUAAAACAAUUUAGUAUAAUCUCGAAUAAUAGAUAUAAUCUCGAAUACAUCGUCUCGAAUAAUAGAUAUAAUCUCGAAUACAUCAUCUCGAAUAAUAGAUAUAAUAUUGAAUACAUCACUAGCUAGCUAGCUAGCAAGCUAAUAAAGAUCGAAUAGUACAGAGUAAUCUAGGCCACUCGCGGUUCCUGAGGUGCGGGCGGUGGACACCCAAAGAGAAGGAACCAUCACUGGAUCAUAGCUCGGGUGAUCUCCCCAAAGAACCUGCCAGGUAUUGGAGAACCUGACGUCCAUAGCAGCCAUGUAGCGAUGGACGUGCUCGUCCUCCUCCCUGACACGGCGACGUACCACCUCCGGCGGGGCCGGCUCCCUCCGCACCGAAAGUGGCCCACGUGAAUGACACCAAAGGAGAUGAGGGUCGACGACGGGACCCGGGGCCGGGUUCCUCACCAAGCGUCGCGCCCCUGAAGGUAGCACCUCCCAGUGCCAGCCCGGCGGAGCCCAGUCCCGGACAUGGGUCCUCUGAAGCAGGACAUCGUUGCGGACGUGUCAACGGCGAGGAUGCGGGCCGGGCAUUGUCGACAACAAAAUACUAUAUGCCGCAAAAGUAAAGUAACAUUUUUUAAAUGAUGGAUUGUGAUGAUUUCAUAUAUGCAAAUUCUAAAUUUUAUAACUAAAAAUAUAAUUCAUCUAGCUAGCUAAAACUAACAUUUCCAAAAUUUCUAACAUUUCUAUAUAACUAACAUUUCUAUAACAUUUGACAUUAUAUAUAUAUUAUAACUAACAUUUCUACAUACUAUUUGACAUUAAUCUAAUCUAAUUAAUUAAUUCAUCUGAAACUUUGUAUGAAAAACAGAAAAACAGAAAAAACUAAAAGCUAAAAACAGAAAAAUUGUGUGUGUGCGCGUCUAGUGUGUGUGUAGUGUGUGUGUGUGUGUGUGUGUGUGUGUGUGUGUGUGUGUGUGCAUGUAGUGUGUGUGUGCGUGCGCUACGGUCNNNNNNNNNNNNNNNNNNNNNNNNNNNNNNNNNNNNNNNNNNNNNNNNNNNNNNNNNNNNNNNNNNNNNNNNNNNNNNNNNNNNNNNNNNNNNNNNNNNNNNNNNNNNNNNNNNNNNNNNNNNNNNNNNNNNNNNNNNNNNNNNNNNNNNNNNNNNNNNNNNNNNNNNNNNNNNNNNNNNNNNNNNNNNNNNNNNNNNNNNNNNNNNNNNNNNNNNNNNNNNNNNNNNNNNNNNNNNNNNNNNNNNNNNNNNNNNNNNNNNNNNNNNNNNNNNNNNNNNNNNNNNNNNNNNNNNNNNNNNNNNNNNNNNNNNNNNNNNNNNNNNNNNNNNNNNNNNNNNNNNNNNNNNNNNNNNNNNNNNNNNNNNCGGGGACGACGCGACGAGGACGAGGGCGUCGCGGAGUCGACGGGGACGGCGCGACGGGGGCGGCGACGGCGCGGGACGGGGCGGCGGCAGAGAGAAGUGGGAGAUGAGAAACUGAAAAUUUUCGAAGUGUUUCUUAUAUAGGGGACACCUUUAGUACCAGUUGGAGCCACCAACCGGUACUAAAGGCCUGUUUUGGCCAGGCCAAGCGGGGGGGGGGGGAGCACCCCCCUUUAGUACCGGUUCUUGGCUCCAACCAGUACUAAAGGCCCCCCUUUAGUACCGGUUGGUGCCACGAUCCGGUACUAAAGGGGGUGCGCUGCCAGGCGAGGGGCGCAGAAGUUUAGUCCCACCUCGCUAGCCGAAGGGCGGUCACAACUGCUUAUAAGCCCCGCCGCCGCUGCUGUCUCGAGCUCCUCUCUAAAGCAGGCCUUCUGGGCCUACCUCUGCUACUCUGCCCUGUGGGACCUAUUGGGCUUGCGGGCCUGCAUCCUGGCCCAACAACAGGUUGGGUUUCUAGUCGUAUGCAGGCCGCUGUGGCCCGGUAGGUGGGCUUUUUUCAUUUAGUUUUUUCUUUUCUGCUUUAUUUAUUUUGUUUUAUUUAUUUUUAGUUGUUUUUUUCUGUAUUAGAGUUUCUUUGUGAAUAUUUUUGAUAGUUUUUAGAAACUUUCAGUUAGUGCCGGUAGUUUUUAAAUUUGAAUAGUUUAAAUUUUGAAUUAUUUGAAAUUUGUGUGAAUAUUAGUGUGUUUUAUCAUUAUAUUCAAUUCGGUAAUGCUUAAGUUAUUUAAAAAUGAAAUGCCUUUGUAACGGAUGAGUUUUCGUCCGAAACCCUGAUACUUCGAAACAGAUUGUCCAUUUUGUACACGAAGUGUAUCCAGUUUUUGCGGUAACCCUCUCUACUUUUUUGCACAUUCUAUGUGGGUGAAAUUAUGAUACCAUGCCAACUUUCAUCCUUUUCUGAGUUCAUUUGAAAUGCUUUUCAAUUUCAGGGUCAUUUAGCUGAAAAAAUCAAUAAAUGCAUGAAAGAAUUUGCUUGCACAUAAAAUUUCUUCGCGUUUCAAUUGCCAAAACACAUAACUAGCUACCCUAACUAUUACAGAGAUUCCUUCCUGGGUGUGAAACACAGAAGAAAGUGAUGAUAGCUAAGCCGAUCACAUCCCAGAUCUUUGGGUGUGAAACUUUUUCUUCGCAUGUGUCCCUUUGCGUUGUAGCCAUGGAAAAUCUUCAUCAUUUAACGGGAUGCUCGGGUCAAUAUUCACUGUGAAUGGAGCAAUUUCAUCAAACUUUUCAUAAUCUUCUGACUUGUCUGUCUUGUCAUCCACUCCCAUGAUGUUUCUCUUCCCAGAAAGAACUAUGAGCCGCUUUGACUCAUCGUACGAUGCAUUCGCUUCCUUAUCUUUUCUUUUUCUUGGCUUGGUAGACAUGUCCUUCACAUAGAAAACCUGUGCCACAUCAUUGGCUAGGACGAAUGGUUCGUCUGCAUACGCAAGAUUGUUGAGAUCCACUGUUGUCAUUCCGUACUGCGGGUCUUCCGUUACCCCGCCUCGUGUCAUAUUGACCCAUUUGCACCAAAACAAAGGGACCUUCAAACCACAUCGAUAGUCAAGUUCCCAUAUGUCCUGUAUAUAACCAUAAUAUGUUUCCUUUCCCGUCUUGGUUUCUGCAUCAAAGCGGACACCACUGUUUUGGUUGGUGCUCUUUUUAUCUUGGGCGAUCGUGUAAAAUGUAUUACCAUUUAUCUCGUACCCUUUGAAAGUCAUUAUAUUCGAAGAUGGUAACUGGUACAACAAGUACAUGUCAUCUUCAAUAGAGGUGUCAUGCAUGGUACGUGCUUGCAACCAGCUGGCGAAACUCCUGGUUUGUUCACGUGUAAUCCAGUCAUCAGACCGCUCCGGGUGUUUGGAGCGUAGCAAAUUCUUGUGUUCAUCCAUAUACGGAGCCACCAAGGCGGAAUUCUAUAGAACUGUGUAGUGUGCUUCAGUGAGAGAAUGUCCGUCCAUACAUAUUAUUUGUUCCCCUCCUAGCGUGCCUUUUCCAUCCAGUCUGCCCUUAUGCCGCGAUUCAGGAACACCAGUUGGCUUAAGGUCAGGAAUAAAGUCAAUACAAAACUCAAUGACCUCCUCAUUUUGACGGCCCUUGGAGAUGCUUCCUUCUGGCCUAGCACGGUUAUGAACAUAUUUCUUUAAGACUCCCAUGAACCUCUCAAAGGGGAACAUAUUGUGUAGAAAUACAGGACCCAAAACGUUAAUCUCUUCGCAUAGGUGAACUAGGACGUGUGUCAUGAUGUUGAAGAAGGAUGGUGGGAACACCAACUCGAAACUGACAAGACAUUGCACCAAAUCAUUCUGUAACCUUGGUAUGAUUUCUGGAUCGAUUACCUUCUGAGAGAUUGCAUUGAGAAAUGCACAUAGCUUCACAAUGGCUAAUCGAACGUUUUCCGGUAGAAGCCCCCUCAAUGCAACCGGAAGCAGUUGCGUCAUAAUCACGUGGCAGUCGUGAGACCUUAGGUUCUGGAACUUUUUAUCUGCCAUGUUUAUUAUUCCCUUUAUAUUCGACGAGAAGCCAGACGGUACCUUAAUACUGAGAAGACAUUCAAAGAAGAUUUCCUUCUCUUCUUUGGUAAAAGCGUAGCUUGCAUGACCCUGAUGUAUGCCGUCUUUCCGUGCAUACGUUGCUGGUCCUCCCGUGCCUCAGGUGUAUCUUUUGUCUUCCCAUACACGCCCAAGAAGCCAAGUAGGGUCACACAAAGAUUCUUCGUCACGUGCAUCACGUCGAUUGCGGAGCGGACCUCGAGGUCUUUCCAAUAGGGCAGGUCCCAAAAUAUAGAUUUAUUCUUCCACAUGGGUGCGCGUCCGUCAGCGUCAUUUGGAACAGGUUGUCCACCAGGACCCUUUCCAAAGACCACCUUCAAAUCCUUGACCAUAUCAUGUACAUCAGCACCAGUACGGUGGCGAGGCUUCGUCCGGUGAUCUGCCUCACCUUUGAAAUGCUUGCCUUUCUUUCUUAUGGGAUGCCUGCUCGGAAGAAAUCGACGAUGUCCUAGGUACACAUUCUUCUUACAAUUAGCCAAAUAUAUACUGUCGGUAUCGUCCAAACAGUGCGUGCAUGCAUGGUAUCCCUUGUUUGUCUGUCCUGAAAGGUUACUGAGAGCAGGCCAAUCAUUGAUGGUCACGAAAAACAACGCCUUUAGGUCAAAUUCUUCCCCCAUGUGCUCAUCCCACGCACGUACACCUGUUCCAUUCCACAGUUGUAAGAGUUCUUCAACUAAUGGCCUUAGGUACACAUCAAUGUCGUUGUCGGGUUGCUUAGGGCCUUGGAUGAGCACUGGCAUCAUAAUGAACUUCCGCUUCAUGCACAACGAAGGAGGAAGGUUAUACAAACAUAGAGUCACAGGCCAGGUGCCAUGGUUGCUGCUCUGCUCCCCAAAAGGAUUAAUGCCAUCUGCGCUUAGACCAAACCAUACGCUCCUUGCGUCAUCUACAAACUCCUUCCCAUACUUUCUUUCGAUUUUUCUCCACUGCGACCCGUCAGCGGGUACUCUCAACUUUCCGUCUUUCUUACGGUCUUCUCUGUGCCAUCGCAUCGCCUUGGCAUGCUCUUUGUUUUGGAACAAACGUUUCAACCGUGGUAUUAUAGGAGCAUACCACAUCACCUUGGCAGGAAUCUUCUUCCUGGGGCGCCGGCCCUCGACAUCACCAGGGUUAUCGCGGUAGAUCUUAUAGCACAAUGCACCACAUACCGGGCAAGCGUUCAAAUCCUCGUACUCACCGCGGUAGAGGAUGCAAUCAUUAGGGCAUGCAUGUAUCUUCUGCCCCUCUAACCCUAGAGGGCAGACAACCUUCUUUGCUUCGUACGUACUCUCGGGCAAUUCGUUGUCCUUUGGAAGCAUAUCCUUUAUCAUUACCAGCAACUUUCCAAAUCCCUUGUCAGAUACACCAUUCUCUGCCUUCCAUUGCAGCAAUUCCAGUGUGGUGCCCAGCUUUUUCUUGUCACCUACGCAAUUCGGGUACAACAAUUUUUUGUGAUCCUCUAACAUGCGCUGCAACUUCUUCUUCUCUAAAUCACUUGCGCAGUUUCUCUUUGCAUCGGCAAUGGCCCGACCUAGAUCAUCAACGGGCUCAUCUGAUGCCUCUUCUUCAGCUUCUUCCCGCACUGCCGGCUCAGCUUCUUCCCGCAUUACCGGCUCAGCUUCUUCCCCCAUUGUUGUAUCAUCGUAUUCAGGGAACCGAUGGCCAGGAUAGCUGUCGUCGUCCUCUUCUUCUUCACUGUCUUCCAUCAUAACCCCUCUUUCUCUGUGCUUGGUCCAAACAUUAUAAUGGGGCAUGAAACCGGUCUUAAACAGGUGGACAUGAAUGGUUCUUGACGUAGAGUAAUUGUGACCAUUCUUACAGCGAGCACAUGGACAAGGCAUAAAACCAUCCGCCCGCUUGUUUGCCUCAGCCGCAAGCAGAAAAGUACGCACGCCCUCAACGAACUGGGGAGAGCAUCGGUCAUCGUACAUCCAUUGCCGGUUCUUCUUCAUUACACAACACCGAAUAGACCAAAUUAAUACAAGUUCAUACAACACUUAAAUGCAACAAACAAAUAACUCUCUAGCUAAAGCAUUUAAAUGCAACAACAAAUACGAUCAAGAUCGCAACUAAGGUAACAAUGGAUCCAACAACAUAAUGAUACCAAGCCUCACUAUCGAUGGCAUAUUUUCUAAUCUUUCUAAUCUUCAAGCGCAUUUUCUCCAUCUUGGUCUUGUGAUCAUCGACGACAUCGGCAACAUGCAACUCCAAUUCCAUCUUCUUCCCCUCAAUUCUUUUCAUUUUUUCUUUCAAGUACUUGUUUUCUCUUUCAACUAAAUUUAACCUCUCGGCAAUAGGGUCGGUUGGAAUUUCAGGUUCAGAUACCUCCUAGAAAAAAUUUCUAUGUCAACUUGAUGGGCAUAAUUUGUCAUAAACACGAAAUGCAACUAGUUUUAAAAGAGAAUAUACAUACCACAUCCGAAUCAUAACAAGGACUAGGGCCGACGGGGACGGAUAUCAAAACCAUGGCACUAUAUGUAUAACAAACAACGUAUGGGUAAGAUAAUUAUACGAGUAACUAUAUAUCCAAAUCACACACAUCAAUUUUUAUAUAAAAUUUCAUGAACAAGAGGCUCACCACAAGGUGGUGCCGGCGACGGGACGGUGCGGGCGAUCGACGGUGGCUACGAUGGAGAUUUAGAAGGCACUAAGUAAACCACACCUACAUAUGCAAACUAAGUGUUAUUUUUGACCUCAAAUUGCAUAUAAAUCAAAUACUAGCACACAUAUAUAUAUAUAUAUAUAUAUCCUCCCAAAUUACUAAACUCACAAAUUAAUCACUAUAUAAACCAAUGCAAGAGCUAAUCUAGCAAUGAGAGAUGAAAGGACAAAGUUGCUAACCUUUGUGAUCAUUUGAAUGGAUGAGGGCCUUCAAAUCUUGACAAAUUUUGGGCAAAUUUUGUGAUGAACUCGAGAGGAAGAAGGGAAGAACAGAGGAGAGGGCCGGAGAGGGGAAAGGGGGAAGAACAGAGUGCUGGUGGACGAAGGGUUUAUAUAGGACGACCUUUAGUACCGGUUCGUGGCACGAACCGGUACUAAAGGUGCUGGAGGGGCCCCACUCUGACAACAUCCUGCCACCACUCUCAUUAGUACCGGUUCGUGGCACGAACCGGUACUAAUGAAAGCGGCCCGGCUAGCCAUUGGAACCGGCACUAAUGUAUAAAUUAGUGCCGGCUCAAAUACAAACCGGCACUAAUGUGCUUCACGAUUGACCCUUUUUCUACUAGUGAAGCUUGGGAAUUCCCAAGGCACCCCAAGUAAAUAUUCAAGGAGACUCAAGCGUCUAAGCUUGGGGAUGCCCCGGAAGGCAUCCCAUCUUUCUUCAACAAAUAUCGGUAUGUUUUCGGCUUCGUUUUGUUCAUGCAAUAUGUGCAAUCUUGGAGCGUCUUUUGCAUUUAGUUUUCAUUUUUCUUUUAUGCACCAUGCUGGUAUGAGAGAGUCCUGGGUUGAUUUAUAGAAUGCUCUUUGCACUUAACUUAAAUCUUUUGAGUAUGGCUUUAUAGAAUGCUUCAUGUGCUUCGCUUAUAUCAUUUGAAGUUUGGAUUGCAUGUUUCUCUCCACAUAGAAAACCGCCAUUUGUAGGAUGCUGUUUUGCUUCACUUAUAUUUGUUAGAGCGUGGACAUAUCUUUUGUAGAAAUAAUUAAACUCUCUUGUUUCACUUAUAUAUAUUUAGAGAGAUGACAAGAAUUGGUCAUAUACAUGGUUAGUCAUAAAAUCCUACAUAAAACUUGUAGAUUGCUGAAUAUGAUAUGUUUGAUUCCUUGCAAAAGUUUUGCGAUAUAAAGGUGGUGAUAUUAGAGUCGUGCUAGUUGAGUAAUUGUGAAAUUGAGAAAUACUUGUGUUGAGGUUUGCAAGUCCCGUAGCAUGCACGUAUGGUGAACCGUUAUGUAAGGAAGUCGGAGCAUGAGGUAUUUAUUGAUUGUCUUCCUUAUGAGUCGCAGUUGGGGACGAGCGAUGGUCUUUUCCUACCAAUCGAUCCCCCUAGGGGCAUGCGUAGUAGUACUUUUCUUCGAGGGCUAAUAAACUUUUGCAAUAAGUAUAUGCGUUCUUUAUGACUAAUGUGAGUCCAUGGAUUAUAUGCACUGUCACCCUUCCAUCAUUGCUAGCCUCUUCGGUACCGUGCAUUGCCCUUUCUCACCUCAAGAGUUGGUGCAAACUUUGCCGGUGCAUCCAAACCCCGUGAUAUGAUACGCUCUAUCACACAUAAGCCUCCUUAUAUCUUCCUCAAAACAGCCACCAUACCUACCUAUCAUGGCAUUUCUAUAGCCAUUCCGAGAUAUAUUUCCAUGCAACUUCCAUCAUCAUCAUAUACAUGACUUGAGCAUCAUUGUCAUAUUGCUUUGCAUGAUCGUAAGAUAGCUAGCAUCUCAUUGCUACGCUAGAUCAUUUCACAUCCCGGUACACCGCCAGAGGCAUUCAUAUAGAGUCAUAUCUUUGUUCUAGCAUCGAGUUGUAAUAUUGAGUUGUAAGUAAAUAAAAGUGUGAUGAUCAUCAUUAUUAGAGCAUUGUCCCAGUGAGGAAAGGAUGAUGGAGACUAUGAUUCCCCCACAAGUCGGGAUGAGACUCCGGACGAAAAAAGGAAAAAAAGAGAAAGGCCAACAAAAGGAAGGCCCAAAAAAACAAAAAAAAAACAAAAAAUGAGAGAAAAAGAGAGAAGGGGCAAUGCUACUAUCCUUUUACCACACUUGUGCUUCAGAGUUGCACCAUGUUCUUCAUAUAGAGAGUCUCUUGAGUUAUCACUUUCAUAUACUAGAGGGAAUUUUCACUAUAGAACUUGGCUUGUAUAUUCCGAUGAUGGGCUUCCUCAAAUGCCCGAGGUCUUCAUGAGCAAGCAAGUUGGAUGCACACCCACUUAGUUUCAGUUUGAGCUUUCAUACACUUAUAGCUCUUAGUGCAUCCGUUGCAUGGAAAUCCCUACUCCUCGCAUUGACAUCAAUUGAUGUGCAUCUCCAUAGCCUGUUGAUUAGCCGCGUCGAUGUGGGACUUUCUUCCUUUUUGUCUUCUCCACACAACCUCCAUCAUCAUAUUCUAUUCCACCCAUAGUGCUAUGUCCAUGGCUUGCGCUCAUGUAUUAUGUGAGGGUUGAAAAAGCUGAAGCGCGUUAAAAAGUAUGAACCAAUUGCUCGGCUUGUCAUCGGGGUUGUGCAUGAUUUGGAUGCUUUGUGUGGUGAAGAUGGAGCAUAGCCAGACUAUAUGAUUUUGUAGGGAUGAGCUUUCUUUGGCUAUGUUAUUUUGAUAAGACAUAAUUGCUUGGUUACUAUGCUUGAAGUAUUAUUGUCUUAAUGUCAAAUUAUAGACUAUUGCUUUGAAUCACUCGUGUCUUAAUAUUCAUGCCAUGAUUAGAUUACAUGAUCAAGAUUAUGCUAUGUAGCAUUCCACAUCAAAAAUUAUCUUUUUUAUCAUGUACCUACUCGAGGACGAGCAGGAAUUAAACUUGGGGAUGCUGAUACGUCUCCGUCGUAGCUAUGAUUUUUGAUUGUUCCAUACCAAUAUUAUACAACUUUCAUAUACUUUUGGCAACUUUUUAUACUAUUUUUUGGCACUAACAUAUUGAUCCAGUGCCCAGUGCCAGUUCCUGUUUGUUGCAUGUUUUCUGAUUUGCAGAAAAUCCAUAUCAAACGGAGUCCAAACAGGAUAAAAAUGGACGGAGAAUAUUUCUGGAAUAUAUGUGAAAUAUGGGAAGAAAAUCAACGCGAGACGGUGCCUGAGGGAGCCACGAGGCAGGGGGCGCGCCCCACCCCCUUGGCGUGCCCCUGACCCUUGUGCCCCCCCCGUAAGGCAGUUACUGCUCUUCUUUAGCCGCAAUAAAACUAAUUUUCGGAAAAAAAAUCGGGGCGAAGGUUUCAAUCCAAUCGGAGUUACGGAUCUCCGGAUAUAUAAGAAACGGUGAAAGGGCAGAAUCCCAGAACACAGAAACAAAGAGAGACAGAGAGACAGAUCCAAUCUCGGAGGGGCUCUCGCCCCUCCGCCUCCAUGGAGGCCAUGGACUAGAGGGAAACCCUUCUCCCACCUAGGGAGAAGGUCAAGGAAGAAAAAGAAGAAGGGGGGCUCUCUCCCCCUCGCUUCCGGUGGCGCCGGAACGCCACUGAGGGCCAUCAUCAUCACCGCAAUCUACACCAACACCUCCGCCAUCUUCACCAACAUCUCCAUCACCUUCCCCCAUCUAUCUACAGCGGUCCACUCUCCCGCAACUCGCUGUACCCUCUACUUGAACAUGGUGCUUUAUGCUUCAAAUUAUUAUCCAAUGAUGUGUUGCCAUCCUACGAUGUCUGAGUAGAUUUUCAUUGUCCUAUCGGUGGUUGAUGAAUUGCUAUGAUUGAUUUAAUUUGCUUGUGGUUAUGUUGCUGUCCUUUGGUGCCCAUCAUAUGAGCGCGUGCGUGGAUCACACCAUAGGGUUAGUUGUAUGUUGAUAGGACUACAUAUUGGAGGGCAAGAGUGACAGAAACUUCAGCCUAGCAUAGAAAAUUAUGCAUACGGGAUUGAAGGGGGACCAAUAUAUCUUAAUGCUAUGGUUGGGUUUUACCUUAAUGAACGUUAGUAGUUGCAUAUGCUUGCUAUUAGUUCCAAUCAUAAGUGCAUAGAAUUCCAAGUCAGGGAUGACAUGCUAGCAGUGGCCUCUCCCACAUAAAACUUGCUAUCGGUCUAGUAACGUAGUCAAUUGCUUAGGGACAAUCUCACAACUCCUACCACCACUUUUCCACACUCGCUAUAUUUACUUUAUUGUUUCUUUAUCUAAACAACACCUAUUUUUUACUUACAUGCUCUUUAUAUUCUUGCAAACCUAUCCAAAAACACCUACAAAGAACUUCUAGUUUCAUACUUGUUCUAGGUAAAGCGAUCGUUAAGCGUGCGUAGAGUUGUAUUGGUGGUCGAUAGAACUUGAGGGAAUAUUUGUUUUACCUUUAGCUCCUCGUUGGUUCGACACUUUUACUUAUCGAAAGAGGCUACAAUUGAUCCCCUAUACUUGUGGGUUAUCAACGACUAUGGUGAUUUUUAGCUAGCUAGCAUAUACUGUUGUUGGUGAUGAUAUGAUGCAACAGUUUUUAUAUUAAUAUGAUGAUGUUGAUGAGUUAUUAUAUCAUUUAUGAAAGAAACUGAUACAUCUCCAACAUGUCUAUAAUUUUUGAUUGUUCCAUGCUAUUAUAUUAUCUGUUUUGGAUGAUAAUGGGCUUUAAUUUACACUUUUAUAUUAUUUUUGGGACUAACCUAUUAACCGGAGGCCCAACCCAAAUUGAUGUUUUUUUGCCUAUUGUAGUGUUUCUAAGAAAAGGAAUAUCAAACAGAGUCCAAACGGAAUGAAACCUUCGGGAGCGUUAUUUUUGGAACAAACGUGAUCCAUGAGACUUGGAGUGGACGUCAAGAAUCAAUCGAGGAGGCCACGAGGCAGGGGGGCGCCUAUCCCCCCUGGGCGCGCCCUCCACCCUCGUGGGCCCCUCGUUGCUCAACUUACCUACUUCUUCCUCCUAUAUACAUACAUACAUACAUACAUACAUACAUACAUACAUACAUACAUACAUACAUACAUAUNNNNNNNNNNNNNNNNNNNNNNNNNNNNNNNNNNNNNNNNNNNNNNNNNNNNNNNNNNNNNNNNNNNNNNNNNNNNNNNNNNNNNNNNNNNNNNNNNNNNNNNNNNNNNNNNNNNNNNNNNNNNNNNNNNNNNNNNNNNNNNNNNNNNNNNNNNNNNNNNNNNNNNNNNNNNNNNNNNNNNNNNNNNNNNNNNNNNNNNNNNNNNNNNNNNNNNNNNNNNNNNNNNNNNNNNNNNNNNNNNNNNNNNNNNNNNNNNNNNNNNNNNNNNNNNNNNNNNNNNNNNNNNNNNNNNNNNNNNNNNNNNNNNNNNNNNNNNNNNNNNNNNNNNNNNNNNNNNNNNNNNNNNNNNNNNNNAAGAGAUCCCAUCUUGGGGCCUUUUUUGGAGCUCCGCCGGAGGGGGCAUUGAUCACGGAGGGCCUCUACAUCAACUCCAUGGCCCCUCCGAUGAUGCGUGAGUAGUUUACUUCAGACCUUCAGACCCAUAGCUAGUAUCUAGAUGGCUUCUUCUCUCUCUCUGGAUCGCAAUACAAAGUUCUCCUCGAUUCUCUUGGAGAUCUAUUCGAUGUAAUCUUCUUUUGCGGUGUGUUUGUCGAGAUCCGAUGAAUUGUGGGUUUAUGAUCAAGUUUAUCUAUGAACAAUAUUUGAAUCUUCUCUGAAUUCUUUUAUGUAUGAUUGGUUUAUCUUUGCAAGUCUCUUCGAAUUAUCAGUUUGGUUUGGCCUACUAGAUUGAUCUUUCUUGCAAUGGGAGAAGUGCUUAGCUUUGGGUUCAAUCUUGCGGUGCUCGAUCGUAGUGACAGAAAGGGAAACGUCACGUAUUGUAUUGUUGCCAUCGAGGGUAAAAAUAUGGGGUUUACAUCAUAUUGCAUGAGUUUAUCCCUCUACAUCAUGUCAUCUUGCUUUAGGCAUUACUCUGUUCUUAUGAACAUAAUACUCUAGAUGCAUGCUGGAUAGCGGUCGAUGUGUGGACUAAUAGUAGUAGAUGCAGGCAGGAGUCGGUCUACUUGUCAUGUACGUGAUGCCUAUAUACAUGAUCAUACCUAGAUAUUCUCAUAAUUAUUUUCUUUGCUAUCAAUUGCUCGACAGUAAUUUGUUCACCCACCAUAAUACUUAUGCUAUCUUGAGAGAAGCCACUAGUGAAACCUAUGGCCCCCAGGUCUAUUCUCCAUCAUACAAGUUUCCAAUCUAUUUUGUUUUGCAAUCUUUACUUUCAACCUAUAUCAUAAAAAUACCAAAAAUAUUUAUCGUAUUAUUAUUAUCUCUAUCAGAUCUCACUCUUGCAAGUGGCCGUGAAGGGAUUGACAACCCCUUUAUCGCGUUGGUUGCGAGAUUCUUAUUUGUUUGUGUAGGUACGAGGUGACUCGCGCAUGGUCUCCUACUAGAUUGAUACCUUGGUUCUCAAAAACUGAGGGAAAUACUUACGCUGCUUUACUACAUCACCCUUUCCUCUUCAAGAGAAAACCAAUGCAGUGCUCAAGAGGUAGCAGAAACCGCAGAUUAGUUUCAACUGGAUGGAUCCUAGCUAAGUGAUCAAGUAAUAUGGAUAUGUCAUAUACUUGAUCACUUAGCUUCCAGGAUCCACAUGCAUCCAGUCGAAACUAAUCUGCGGUACUUUCACCUAAUGAUUUAACAACUCAUUAUAAUGUAAAACAAUCACUAAAUUAAAUUGAAAACAUAAAAUUAUAGGAAAAAUAAAAAAUAAAACCGAAACCCCCCAAACAUUUAGUAUUGGUUGGUGUUACCAACUGGUACUAAUGAUCUACCCGCACCCAGGCCUGGCUCGUGCCAUGUGGUGGCACUUUAGCGCCGCUUUGUGCCGAACCCGUACUAAAGGGGGGGCUUUAGUCCCCACCCUUUAGUGUCAGCUAUAGAACCGGCACUAAAGGCCCUUACGAACCGGCGCUAAAGCCCGAUUCUGCAGUAGUGAGACCGGACCGGACCGAAUUUUUUUCGGUCUCUUUUGUUGGGCUCGGACCGGCAUAUUUUCCUAUCGGGCUUGGACCAUUUGGGCCGGUCCUAAACGGGCCACGAGCGGGCCGCUGCUACCUCUUGAGCACUGCGUUGGUUUUCCCCGAAGAGGAAGGGAUGAUGCAGCAAAGUAGCGUAAGUAUUUCCCUCAGUUUUUGAGAACCAAGGUAUCAAUCCAGUAGGAGGCUACGCGCUAGUCCCUCGUACCUGCACAAAACAAAUAAAUCCUCGCAACCAACGCAAAUAGGGGUUGUCAAUCCCUAUAAGGCCACUUACGAGAGUGAGAUCUGAUAGAUAUGAUAAGAUAAUAUUUUUGGUAUUUUUAUGAUAAAGAUGCAAAGUAAAAUAAAGGCAAAGUAAAAAAGCAAAGGAAACAACUAAGUAGUAGGAGAUCAAUAUGAUAAAGAUAGACCCGGGGGCCAUAGGUUUCACUAGUGGCUUCUCUCGAGAGCAUAAGUAUUCCACGGUGGGUGAAAAAAUUACUGUUGAGCAAUUGACAGAAUUGAGCAUAGUUAUGAGAAUAUCUAGGCAUGAUCACGUAUAUAGGCAUCACGUCCGAGACAAGUAGACCGACUCCUGCCUGCAUCUACUACUAUUACUCCACUCAUCGACCGCUAUCUAGCAUGCAUCUAGAGUAUUAAGUUAAAAACAGAGUAACGCCUUAAGCAAGAUGACAUGAUGUAGAGGGAUAGACUCAUGCAAUAUGAAGAAAACCCCAUCUUGUUAUCCUCGAUGGCAACAAUACAAUACGUGCCUUGCUGCCCUUACUGUCACUGGGAAAGGACACCGCAAGAUUGAACCCAAAGCUAAGCACUUCUCCCAUUGCAAGAAAGAUCAAUCUAGUAGGCCAAACCAAACUGAUAAUUCGAAGAGACUUGCAAAGAUAACCAAUCAUACAUAAAAUAAUUAAGAGAAGAUUCAAAUAUUAUUCAAAAAUAGACUUGAUCAUAAACCCACAAUUCAUCAGUCUCAACAAACACACCGCAAAAAGAAGAUUACAUCGUAUAGUUCUCCACAGGAGAGGGGGAGAACAUUGUAUUGAGAUCCAAAAAGAGAGAAGAAGCCAUCUAGCUACUAACUAUGGACCCGUAGGUCUGAGGUAAACUACUCACACUUCAUCGGAGAGGCUAUGGUGUUGAUGUAGAAUCCCUCCGUGAUCGAUGGCCCCUUCGGCGGAGCUCCGGAACAGGCCCCAAGAUGGGUUCUCAUGGAUACAGAAAGUUAUGGCGGUGGAAUUAGGGUUUUUGCUCCGUAUCUGAUCGUUUGGGUGUACGUGGAUAUAUAAAUAGGAGGAAGGAGUAUGUCGGUGGAGCAACAGGGGGGCCACGAGGGUGGAGGGCGCGCCUGGGGUAGGCAGGCGCGCCCCCUACCUCGUGGCCUCCUCUCUUGUGCCUUAACGUAGGGUCCAAGUUUCCCAGGUCUUGUUUGUUGAGAAAAUCAUGUUCCCGAAGAUUACAUUCCAUUUGGACUCCGUUUGAUAUUCCUUUUCCUCGAACCCUAAAACAGGCAAAAACAGCAAUUCUGGGCUGGGCCUUCGGUUAAUAGGUUAGUCCCAAAAAUAGUAUAAAAGUGGAUAAUAAAGCCCAAUAAUGUCCAAAAUAGUAGAUAAUAUAGCAUGGAGCAAUCAAAAAUUAUAGAUACGUUGGAGACGUAUCAAGCAUCCCCAAGCUUAAUUCCUGCUCGUCCUCAAGUAGGUAAAUGAUAAAAACAGAAUUUUUGAUGCAGAGUGCUACUUGGCAUAACUUUAAUGUAAUUCUUCUUAAUUGUGGUAUGAAUAUUCAGAUCCGAGAGAUUCAAGACAAAAUUUCAUAUUGACAUAAAAAUAAUAAUACUUCAAGCAUACUAACAAAGCAAUCAUGUCUUCUCAAAAUAACAUGGCCAAAGAAAGUUAUCCCUACAAAAUCAUAUAGUCUGGCUAUGCUCUAUCUUCACCACACAAAAUAUUUAAAUCAUGCACAACCCCGAUGACAAGCCAAGCAAUUGUUUCAUACUUUUGACAUUCUCAAAACUUUUUCAAUUUUCACGCAAUACAUGAGCGUGAGCCAUGGAUAUAGCACUAUAGGUGGAAUAGAAUGGUUGUUGUGGAGAAGACAAAAAGGGAGAAGAUAGUCUCACAUCAACUAGGCGUAUCAACGGGCUAUGGAGAUGCCCAUCAAUAGAUAUCAAUGUGAGUGAGUAGGGAUUGCCAUGCAACGGAUGCACUAGAGCUAUAAGUAUAUGAAAGCUCAAAAAGAAACUAAGUGGGUGUGCAUCCAACUUGCUUGCUCACGAAGACCUAGGGAAAUUUGAGGAAGCCCAUCAUUGGAAUAUACAAGCCUAGUUUUAUAAUGAAAAAUUCCCACUAGUAUAUGAAAGCGAUAACAUAAGAGACUCUCUACUAUGAAGAUCAUGGUGCUAAUUUGAAGCACAAGUGUGGUAAAAGGAUAGUAGCAUUGUCCCUUCUCUCUUUUUCUCUCAUUUUUUUUAUUUGGCCCUUUUUUAUGGCCUCUUUUCCUUUUUUUUUUCCGGAGUCUCAUCCUGACUUGUGGGGGAAUCAUAGUCUCCAUCAUCCUUUACUCACUGGGAUAAUGCUCUAAUAAUGAUGAUCAUCACACUUUUAUUUUUUUACAACUCAACAAUUACAACUCGAUACUUAGAACAAAAUAUGACUCUAUAUGAAUGCCUCCGGUGGUGUACCAAGAUAUGCAAUGACUCAUGAGUGACAUGUAUGAAAGAAUUAUGAAUGGUGGCUUUGCCACAAAUAGAUGUCAACUACAUGAUCAUGCUAAGCAAUAUGACAAUGAUGGAGUAAGUCAUAAUAAACGGAAUGGUGGAAAGUUGCAUGGCAAUAUAUCUUGGAAUGGCUAUGGAAAUGCCAUAAUAGGUAGGUAUGGUGGCUGUUUUGAGGAAGGUAUAUGGUGGGUGUAUGAUACUGGCGAAAGGUGCGCGGUAUUAGAGAGGCUAGAAAAGGUGGAAGGGUGAGAAAAGUGCGUAUAAUCCAUGGACUCAACAUUAGUCAUAAAGAACUCAUGUACUUAUCGCAAAAAUCUACAAGUUAUCAAAGAAAAGUAUUACGCGCAUGCUCCUAGGGGGAUAUAUUGGUAGGAAAAGACCAUCGCUCGUCCCCGACCGCCAGUCAUAAGGAAGACAAUCAAUAAAUAAAUCAUGCUCCGACUUCAUCACAUAACGGUUCACCAUACGUGCACGCUACGGGAAUCACAAGCUUCAACACAAGUAUUUCUCAAAUUCACAACUACUCAACUAGCACAACUUUAAUAUUACCAUCUCCAUAUCUCAAAACAAUUAUCAAGUAUCAAACUUCUCAUAGUAUUCAACACACUCAUAAUGAAGUUUUAUUAUUAAUCUUGUAUACCAAAUAUAUUAGGAUUUUAAGCAAAUUACCAUGCUAUUUAAGUCUCUCAAAAUAAUCUAAGUGAAGCAUGAGAGAUCAAUAGUUUCUAUAAAACAAAUCCACCACCGUGCUCUAAAAGAUAUAAGUGAAGCACUAGAGCAAAAUUAUAUAACUCAAAAGAUAUAAGUGAAGCACAUAGAGUAUUCCAACAAAUUCCAAAUCAUGUGUGGAUCUCUCAAAAUGUGUGUACAGCAAGUAUGAUUGUGUUAAACUAAGAAAUAAAGACUCAAAUCAUACAAGACGCUCCAAGCAAAACACAUAUCAUGUGGCGAAUAAAAAUAUAGCUCCAAGUAAAGUUACCGAUUGAAGUAGACGAAAGAGGGGAUGCCUUCCGGGGCAUCCCCAAGCUUUGGCUUUUAGGUGUCCUUAGAUUAUCUUGGGGGUGCCAUGGGAAUCCCCAAGCUUAGGCUCUUGCCACUCCUUGUUCCAUAAUCCAUCAAAUCUUUACCCAAAACUUGAAAACUUCACAACACAAAAAACUUAAUGUAGAAAAUCUCGCGAGCUCCGUUAGCGAAAGAAAAUAAAAGACCACUUCAAGGUACUGUAAUGAACUCAUUCUUUAUUUAUAUUGGUGUUAUACCUACUGUAUUCCAACUUCUCUAUGGUUUAUAAACUAUUUUACUAGCCAUAGAUUCAUCAAAAUAAGCAAACAACAUACGAAAAACAGAAUCUGUCAAAAACAGAACAGUCUGUAGUAAUAUGUAGCUAGAGCAAGAUCUGGAACCUCAAAAAUUCUAAAAUAAAUUUCUGUACGUGAGGAAUUUAUCUAUUAAUCAUCUGUAAAAAGAAUUAACUAAAUACCACUUUCCAAAUAAAAAUGACAGCAGUUCUCGUGAGCGCUAAUGUUUCUGUUUUUUACAGCAAGUUCAACAAGACUUUCCCCAAGUCUUCCCAACGGUUCUACUUGGCACAAACACUAAUUAAACACAAAAAACACAACAAAAACAGAGUCUAGAUAAAUUAUUUAUUACUAAACAGGAGCAAAAAGCAAGGAAUAAAAAUAAAAUUGGGUUGCCUCCCAACAAGCGCUAUCGUUUAACGCCCCUAGCUAGGCAUAACAAGCAAGGAUAGAUCUAGGUAUUGCCAUCUUUGGUAGGAAAUUCUUCAAUUGGGCAUCUACCAUAUUUAGGAAUUUCUUUCUUUUUAUUAAUUAUCAAACUUUUAGGCACAAGAUCUAAAAAUUCAUUUGUAACAAAUGGUUCCUUAAUGAUAGCAAAAAUAUUGGGAUAAAUACUUAUAGAUUUGAGAUCCGCAUCCUUACUGGAUGAUUCACCCUUACUUUUAGGAAUGUACAUAAGCUUGGCAACAUUAGUGGAAGGACUUGGAGUAUUCUUUAUGGAAGAAAAAUCGGUUCCCAAGUUGGUAAUGAUAUUCUCAAGUUUAUCGAUCCUAACAGAAUCGUGAUUUAUUUUCUCAUUAACUAUGGGUUCCUUUUAUUUAAUAUCUUUCAAACUAACUCCUACUUUAGAUCCAUAUUGAGAGAUUCGGCUGUGGAUCUUUUUAUCCAAAUUUGCAAUUAAUUAUACGGUAGCAACCUUAUUUUCAAUAAUUUCAAGCCUUUGCAUUACAUGCUGCAAAGUUAAUAUAGUUCGAUUAACCAAGAGGAGGUGAGCCAAGUAAAUCUAACAUAGCAUUGUAAGAAUCAAAAGUAUGGCUACCCAAAAAAUUCCCUCCGGUAAUAGUAUCAAGAACAUAACGGUGCCAAGGAGUAAUGCCUACAUAAAAAUUGCGAAGAAGAACGGAAGUAGAUUGCUUCCUAGUAGAUCUAUUUUAAGCAUUGCAAAUUCUAUACCAAGCAUAUUUUAGAUUUUCUCCCUCCCUUUGCUUAAAAUUUAGAAUUUCAUUCUCAGGAGACAACGGAGAAGAUAGGGGACUAGCCAUAAUGACAAGCAAACAAACUAACACACAAGCAAACAAAAAGCAAGCGGGCAAAUAGAGAAAGAGAGGUAGGAUAGAGAGAGAGAGAGGGCAAAUAAAACGGCAAGGGUGAAGUGGGGGAGAGGAAAACGAGAGGCAGCUGGCAAAUAAUGUAAUGCGGGAGAUAAGGGUAUGUGAUGGGUACUUGGUAUGUUGACUUUUGCGUAGACCUCCCCGGCAACGGCGCCACAAAUCCUUUUUGCUACCUCUUGAGCACUGCGUUGGUUUUCCCCGAAGAGGAAGGGAUGAUGCAGCAAAGUAGCAUAAGUAUUUCCCUCAGUUUUUGAGAACCAAGGUAUCAAUCCAGUAGGAGGCUACGCGCUAGUCCCUCGUACCUGCACAAAACAAAUAAAUCCUCGCAACCAACGCAAAUAGGGGUUGUCAAUCCCUAUAAGGCCACUGACGAGAGUGAGAUCUGAUAGAUAUGAUAAGAUAAUAUUUUUGGUAUUUUUAUGAUAAAGAUGCAAAGUAAAAUAAAGGCAAAGUAAAAAGCAAAGGAAACAACUAAGUAGUAGGAGAUCAAUAUGAUAAAGAUAGACCCGGGGGCCAUAGGUUUCACUAGUGGCUUCUCUCGAGAGCAUAAGUAUUCUACGGUGGGUGAACAAAUUACUGUUGAGCAAUUGACAGAAUUGAGCAUAGUUAUGAGAAUAUCUAGGCAUGUUCAUGUAUAUAGGCAUCACGUCUGAGACAAGUAGACCGACUCAUGCCUGCAUCUACUACUAUUACUCCACUCAUCAACCGCUAUCCAGCAUGCAUCUAGAGUAUUAAGUUAAAAACAGAGUAACGCCUUAAGCAAGAUGACAUGAUGUAGAGGGAUAGACUCAUGCAAUAUGAAGAAAACCCCAUCUUGUUAUCCUCGAUGGCAACAAUACAAUACGUGCCUUGCUGCCCUUACUGUCACUAGGAAAGGACACCGCGAGAUUGAACCCAAAGCUAAGGACUUCUCCCAUUGCAAGAAAGAUCAAUCUAGCAGGCCAACCAAACUGAUAAUUCAAAGAGACUUGCAAAUAUAACCAAUCAUACAUAAAAGAAUUCGGAGAAGAUUCAAAUAUUAUUCAUAGAUAGACUUGAUCAUAAACCCACAAUUCAUCGGUCUCAACAAACACACCACAAAAAGAAGAUUACAUCGAAUAGUUCUCCACAAGAGAGGGGGAGAACAUUGUAUUAAGACCCAAAAAGAGAGAAGAAGCCAUCUAGCUACUAACUAUGGACCCGUAGGUCUGAGGUAAACUACUCACACUUCAUCGGAGAGGCUAUGGUGUUGAUGUAGAAGCCCUCCAUGACCGAUGCCCCCUCCGGCGGAGCUCCGGAACAGGCCCCAAGAUGGGAUCUCGUGGAUACAGAAAGUUACGGCGGUGGAAUUAGGGUUUUGGAUCCUUAUCUAAUUGUUUGGGGGUACGUGGAUAUAUAUAGGAGGAAGGAGUACAUUGGUGGAGCAACAGGGGGCCCACGAGGGUGGAGGGCGUGCCUGGGGUAGGCGGGCGCGCCCCCUACCUCGUGGCCUCCUCUCUUGUGCCUUGACGUAGGGUCCAAGUCUCCCGGGUCUUGUUUGUUGAGAAAAUCACGUUCCCGAAGGUUUCAUUCCGUUUGGACUCCGUUUGAUAUUCCUUUUCUUCAAAACCCUAAAACAGGCAAAAAACGGCAAUUCUGGGCUGGGCCUCCGGUUAAUAGGAUAGUCCCAAAACUAAUAUAAAAGUGGAUAAUAAAGUCCAAUAAUGUCCAAAACAGUAGAUAAUAUAGCAUGGAGCAAUCAAAAAUUAUAGAUACGUUGGAGACGUAUCAGCCGCAAAGCCCGCUCGUGCCGUCCAGGCUAACCUACGAUCGUCAUUGUACUAUGUGAUGUGCAUCCAUCCAUAGCAAUAAAAGAGCAGUAAGUAGGGUUUUACCUCUACAGAGAUGACCUAAACCUAAGUAAACCUUGCCUCUUUGUUUCCCAUCCCCAUCGUUCAGCUACGCAUGACACCCUACUGAGGGAUCAACCAGAUUUUGCACCAACAUAGGUUUGAUACUUAAGUUUUCAUUGUGUUUGGAGUAGCUGUAGUUUGUUGUUUCUUCAUGUAAGAGAUACCCACCAUGUCAUAAGAUUCCUAUUAUUGAAAAUAGGCACUUGUCAAAAUCCCGAAGACAGACCCUCUAUGUUAUAUUUUUUCGCAAAUACUUUUAUGCGGAAUUCUUCUAGAAUAUCUGCAUCAUAUUGUAUUCUCCUGAGAUCAUACGCUAACUAUGAUUCACCAGGUGCAUGUUGAGGAGUUGAAAUUUAUAAUACUUAAUUAUGGGAUGGUCACUCUGAUUCCUAAAAUGAAUGAAUGCUGCAACUAUCACUUGCUCCUGUUGGUCAAAUAUCUUAGCCGGUACACUCCUCAUAUCCUCUUUUUUUGUACUUAAAGUAUUCCCGGUUGAUAAUACAAACAUAGUUUUAUUCUUAAAAAACAAUACAACCUAAAUAUGAUUCUCCCUUAAAAUAGACAGAUAAAACUGUGAUGUAAGAAACACAAGAGGUAAUGACAAGAUCAUCCAACAUAUACCCUAAAAGAUCAUUGAAUAUACUACCAACUUGUAACACCCACAAUGCGGCUAUAUCUCCCAUGUGUCGGGGCACGACUUAGAGGCAUAGCCGCAUGGUAGUUUUGUCGCAAGAGGGGUAAUCUUCACACAAUCACUACUAGGGAAAACCCUAGUAGUAGCGCGGGUUUGGGGCUAUUAGCAGCGCGAGCAGCCGCACUACCAAUAAGGCGCUACAGCUAACUGUUAGUAGUAGUGUGGUCCGUACACGCGCUACUACUCUGGACUGUAUCAGCAGCGCAUUUUCGGAACGCGCUACUAUUAAUUAGCUGUAGCGAUUUCCUUGCCCCGCGCUACUGCUNNNNNNNNNNNNNNNNNNNNNNNNNNNNNNNNNNNNNNNNNNNNNNNNNNNNNNNNNNNNNNNNNNNNNNNNNNNNNNNNNNNNNNNNNNNNNNNNNNNNNNNNNNNNNNNNNNNNNNNNNNNNNNNNNNNNNNNNNNNNNNNNNNNNNNNNNNNNNNNNNNNNNNNNNNNNNNNNNNNNNNNNNNNNNNNNNNNNNNNNNNNNNNNNNNNNNNNNNNNNNNNNNNNNNNNUACCCCGUUUCAGCUUUAAUAAAGAGCAAUUUCCAGAUACUAGGUACUACUAGAUAUCAAUUUCAUAAAGCAUUAUAGGUACUAGGUAGUAUUCUCUCGGUUCCAAAUUACUCGUCGUUGUUUUAGUUCUAAUUUGAACUAAAACCACGACGAGUAAUUUGGAACCGAGGGAGUACUAGAUAAUAAUUUCAUAUAUACUCAACAUGCAUCCUCAAGCAGUACAAGGUGAUAUCGACGACGAUCAUCAUAUGUAGUUCUAGAUAAUAUCGACGACGAUCAUCAUAUGUAGUUCUACAUGAUAUCGACGACGAUCAUCAUAUGUAGUUCUAGAUGAUAUAGCCACACACACACAUGUAGUUCUAGAUGAUAUCGACGAUGACCAUCAUCCUCAAGGCUGGGCGGUGGGUGUUCCUGAUAGUAAUUAGGAUGGCCUGUCCAACACGAAGAUUCUUCCCAACGAGGAAUCUCUUCCACCCAACAGAGUUUAAGUGUGUGCGACCGUCUGUGUCCAUGCGGUAAGUACAGGUGGCGACGGAGCCCCUUGCGGUAAGGCGUACUCCAGCUGAGCCUUCUUCAUCAGGCUCGAUACCACAACUCACAGAUAGGUUCUUUGGCAAUUUCUGAAUAAGAAAAACAUAUCAAUUAAUAAAUAGCCUCGCACAUACUCUUGCAAAUAUAUUUCUAUUAAGUCUAGAUUUCUACACUAUCAAAAGACACAGUACUACGCAUUUGUACUAACUAAUCAUGAAUUCUACUAAUAAGUAUAUAUGGAUUAUCUACACUAUUAAUAGUUCAUUGGAUUCUACACUAAUAAGAGCAUGUGAUCAGACUCUACACUAAAGCAUAUCAUCGACUAGAUUCCACAAAGCAUAUCAUUGGACUCUACACUAAGCAUAUCAUCGAAUUCACUAAGCAUAUCAUCGAAUAAUUUGCAUUUGUAAGUAUAACAAUAAAGCAUAUAUAUAUAUCAUCAAAUUACUACAGGCAGUACGUAUAACAUACCAUUUCAUGCCGAUCGACCAUGGUACUUGUCAGGCGGGUCACGAAUGGCACCCCGACAAAGUCAUCACGUGGCGGAAUUAUGUCCCAUAGGUUGCACACCUCCUCCUUGCUCAGCCUCAUUCUUUGAGCUAUGAUGGCUUCAUGAAGUGGGUUCUCAUCAUCUUCAUCGAGUGGGUCCUCAUUAUCUUCAUCAUCUUCAUCAUCUUCCACCAGCUUGAGAUAAAUGACAGCCAGCUUGGGUAUUUCUGCUCUGAAGGAGAAGCUGAUCAACUCACCACCAGUAAGACGCAUGUGGGCAAGGAAACAAGCACAUCCAUCUCCUCCAAUCUGUGACAUAUUGCAUCCUUUCUCGACCUCCAUAGUGUACGCCCCCCAGGAGCCUCAAAUGUCACAAUGUCUCCUGUCAGCUUGUUGAAUUUCAACCUCACAUUGCAUGGGACGAUCUAUGUAAAAAAGCAAAAUGACACAAUGCAGCAAUGCCAACACUAAAAAUAAAAUAGUUGUUACAUUUCAUCUAAUUUCUUACCGCCGCAUGACGAAAACUCGGCUGGAAGUAGAUGCCGAACAACUUGCCAGUUGCAAGGCUGCUGGUGCACCUUGACUUGCACAGUCGACAUAGUGGUGGUGGUGGCGCCAUUUUCCUAAAGCAAUAUGAGCAAAGGAUUAACGAUUCACUUCACAGGAAAGAAAAAUAGUAGCAUGUGAUAUUUUUGGUUCUUCUGCGAGAAGCAAUUUUAUGGACAAAGCAUUUCGGUGGCACCUAUUGCCAAAAAAACUUUUCACAAAUAUCUACCAAAUAAGGGUACGAACUACCAAGACAUUUCAUCUCAUCUGGCCCCUAUUGCCUAAGAUAAUUGAUUAAAAAAACAAGUGGCAAAUUUAACUAAAUUGGCACCUACAUUUUGCCAAAAAAUAACUUAUUACAAAAAAACAAAAGCAUCUAUCUAUCCAUGUACAGAAAAAUAAAAAAUAAAAUGGUGCAUACUAAAUCAACUAGCCUACUAAAUCCACUAGCAUACUAAAUCAACUAAAUCAAAAUGUUCUAAAUCAACUAAAUCAACUAGCCUACUAAAUCAACUAAAUCAAGAUGUUCUAAAUCAAGUAAAUCAACUAAAUUAAAAUGUUCUAAAUCAACUAAAUCAACUAGCCUACUAAAUCAAAAUGUAGCAGGGAGGAGGGGUUGUGGAUGGAGGAGGGAGGAGGGAGAAGGAGGGGCGACUCGAGGAGGGAGAAGAGAGUAGGACGGAGGAGGAACACGGAGCGAGCAGGGGCCAGCCAGCAGCGAGUGGAGGGAGGACGGAGAAGGAAGGCAGAGCGAGGAGGGGCCGUCCAGCGGCGACUAGAGGGAGGACGGAGGAGGAGGCUGGUACCGAGUCCAGCGAGGAGGAGGAGGUGGCGGCGGCGCAGAUCGGAGGAGGGGCGACGGUGGAGGACCGGCGUGGGGGGUUGAGGGGGAGAUCGAGUGAGUGUGAGUGGAUCGGAUAGGUCGGAGAGUGGGGGAGAUGGAAUGGCUUAGCAGUAGCGCGCUAUAGCAAAAGGCGCUACUGCUAAACGACCUAGCAGUAGCGCCUUUCACAAAGAGCGCGCUACUGCUAUGUGUCAGCAUGUAAAAAUAGACAUCAAAAAUACAUUGAUCAUCAAUGAUAUUUUUGUGUACAAUCUGAUUUGUCAAUAUGAGUCCUCACCAGUUUAGGAACUGCUGAAGACUCAUAUUGUGGCCACAAAAUUUACACAUAGAGUUCAACGAAGACCAAGUGGUUGUGAAAGUUUGAGAAGUAACAUAUUUAAGGUGGUACAAACUCUCUUCACGCAGAGAGGUGGGAUUAUUUUUUUAGUAAACUUAGCAAUAGCAGUUAUUGUGUAAAUGCGCUACCACUAUGGUCCGUAGCAGUAGCGCUCUUCAUACAAGCGCGCUGCUGCUAGAACUAGCCUCGCGGUGGUGUCGUGGCAAUUAUAGCAGUAGCGCGUCUUAGAGUGGGCUCGCUACUGAUACAUUCAUUUCAGCAGCAAGGUUUGUGCGUGAGCGCUACUGCUAGUUAGCAGCAGCGCCUUAUUUUAAAGCGCGCUGCUGGUAAGAUUCUGUGUAUAGGCUUUUCCCUAGUAGCGAAUACAUAAAUAAUUCAUACAUCAUCCAAAUAGACUCAAAGACCGACUACGGCCAAAUCGUCCCAACUGGGCUCCACUACUGAUCAUCAGGAAAAAAUAUAGUAACGGCCUAAAUCCUCGUCGAACUCACACUUGAGUUCAGUAGCAUCACCUGCACUGGUAUCCUCGGCACCUGCAACUGUUUGGAAGUAUCCGUGAGUCACGAGGUCUCAGCAAUCUCACACCCACGAGAUCAAGACUAUUUAAUCUUAUGGGUAGGAGAAGGUGGUGAGGUGGAGCUGCAGCAAGCACUAAGCAUAUAUGGUGGCUAACAUACGCAAAUAAGAGCGAGACUGUAACGCCCCGAGAAUCUUGCUACAGUAAUCCCCCCUAAUGAUGCCUUGUCGUCAUGCUUUCCUAAGCCAAAAUGCCACUUGUCCAAAAAUCAAGUCCAAUUCAAUUCAAAUUGCAAGUCAAUUAUUUGCAUCUUCAAAUGAGCCAGAAAAAUAGUUCACAAUGUGGCAAAUAUUCCCUAAGUAUUUGUCAUGAUGAAACCUACCUCUGUUCGAUUCCAAAAAUGCUCCUGGAAAUUAUUUGAGUGGUCCAGCAACAAUUAAAUUGGCCUUUUCAAUUCCUAAAAGUGUGUAAUCAUUUCCAAAUGCUCAAAACAAUUUUGUGCAACUUCACAAUAUUGCACAUUAUUUAUUGUGGCAUGUGGCACAUUUUACAAGAGACAUUUGGUGCUCGGAAUAAUUGCAAAGCAGUAGCUUUUGAUUUCCAGAUAAGAAAAACUAAAAGAAAAAGGCAAAGGAAAGAAGAAGGGGUGGGAGAGCCCUGGCCUCCCCUUGGGCCUCGGCCCACCUCGGCCAGCCGGACGGCCCACAGCCCCCUCCUCCUCGCUGCCCUGGAGAUCUGCCCAGCAGCCCAACCCCCACCCUCGGUCGUCUUCUACUGCUCGACCGACCGCUCGGUCGCGGUCGCCACCGGACCGGCUCACCGGCGUCAUCGACGAGGGGAUAAGAUCCCCCGACGCCUCGGGCUUCCCCGUCUUCCCUCCCCACUCACCCACUUGCCCCCUCUCCCCCAGAUCCAGCUCUCUCCUCUCCCUCUCCUUCGUUCUGGAGAGGAGACCGACGCGGUCGCCGCCGUUCUCCGUCGUCCUCGCGGCCACCAAGACCCGUUCUCCUCGCCGACCUGUCCAACCGCUCUGCCUCCCUCGGCUACGCCUCCCCGACAAGCUGCAAGACGCCGGGCGCCCCAGAACGCUCCCCCGGCCUCGUCUUCCACUUCGGAUCACAGGAGCUCGCCGGCAUCGAUCCACUGCACUGCAGCUCCUAAACCUCCGAGGGCCACCGUGUGUGCCGCCCGGUGAGCUCCUCCCUUCCUCCUUUCCUCUCCUCACGCCGUGCCUUUCGCCGUAGCCAGCUCGCCCGCAAGCCGAGCUCCGCCGUCCGCCAUUGCCGUCGUAGGGCUCGCCACCGAGCUCCUCCGCUCGAGCUAGUAGCUCCAACGAGCUCCUGGAGCGCCGUAGACCCCGCCUAGUUGGUUAGUUUGGCCGCUCGCGCGCUUUAACGCUGAACCCGCUCGCGCCCGUACUCCGGCGCCGUUUCUAUUUGUCGCCGGCGCCGUUCCGGUCGUUCCUAGCCCCGGCCGUCGCCUCCAUCUUGCGUGCGACGUCGAACCGCGUCGAACGCACCUAGCUACGACCCCGAAAACCCCCUGUGCGCGAAACCCGACCCCCUCUCCCGACGUGCGCCACCGAGGGAGGCUCGCCGGAGCACUUCCGGCGCCAACACCGGUGAGGCUGACCUGGCGCUGACGUAUGGGGCCCGCUGAGCCACUGACGGGUGGGCCCAGUUGACUCAUUGACUGGGUCAACCCACUGACAUGUGGGGCCGAGUCAAUAAAAUGUUUUAGAUAAAUAGAAAAUGUGUUAAUUAAAUUGACUAAUUAAUCUAUUCACCAAUUAGACACUGACAGUGGGCCCCGCUUGAUAAUUAGUAUUAGAUUAGUCCAAUUAACACUGUUUAAUUAGUCCAGUCACUGACCAGUGGGUCCCACUGGACCCACAGGUCAGGUUUGACCCCAGUCAACCGUCCUGUUGAUUGCUGACAUCACCUCUACAUCAUGCUGACGUCAUAUUCCAUUUCUGUUAAUAUAAAUAAAUCUAGAAAAUUGUUUAAACUUUGAAAAUUAAUAGAAAAUAAACCGUAACUCGGAUGGAAAUGUUUUCCAUAUGAAAGUUGCUCAGAAAAAUUCAACGAAUCCGAAUACAUGGUCCGUUCAUCUGUCAGAUGCCUCUAACUAUCUGAACAUGAAACUUUCCCCUCCGGUCAUCUGUCUGACACAGGCCCGGAACCGGGAAAACAUUCCCGGUUGGUUUUCCCCUUCUCCUAUAUCGUGUAGCCAUACGUUAGGUCACACCCGGCACAGCAUAUUGCCACGUUAUUCUUUUGUGAUGCUAUGUUUGCUUUAUAUUUACUGUUUCUUCCCCCUCUUCUCUCCGGUAGACCCCGAGACCGAUGCCGCCCCUGUGAUCGACUACGUGGACGACAACCCCUCCUUGCCAGAGCAACCAGGAAAGCCCCCCCCCCUUUGAUCAUCCCGAUAUCUCCCAUUCCAUUCUCUCAUGCUUGCAUUAGAUUUUGCUACUAUUAUUGAUUGCUCCUAUUCUGAUGCAUAGCCUGCUUUUGUAUUUGUUGUGGUACCUUACCUGCUUAUCCUAAACUGCUUAGUAUAGGUUGGUUAGUGAUCCAUCAGUGACCCCCACCUUGUCCUUGUUGCCCCUGCUUCAUCAUUGAAGACCCGAUCAACGGGAUUGAAGACCAGGCCCCGACACCGCACAUCACUUUCCCCUUAGUUGCUCGACACUGCUGGGUUACUAUCGAGUGCCGAGGGUGAGACCUCUACAACACUUCUGAUGUUAACCCUGUAGUGUAGCUAUUCGGUUGUGGUCAUCGAGGGUGAUUCCGCCUUAACCACUUCCGAUACGACUCUGUCGUGCAACCCCUCAAGUGUGAACCUCGGGGGUGAUUCCUCUUACGUUCACCUUGAUGAUUACAUUGAGUGGAGUUCACCGGGGGUGAUUCCUCGGGUUUUCCCCUUGAUGUUUAGACACACAGUUACUAUGAUUACUAUGACUUUACACUGAACCAUGUUACUAAGGACGGGUCGACCCUGAGGGGUACCCGCGCGAGCAUAAUUGCGAGUGAUGUGGAGUCGGGUUGACCUGGAAGGUGCUCGAGAGAUAAUUACGAGGCGUGGCCGGGCAUUCUUAGCCCUUGCCGCAAGUCCUCGAGACGGGGCAACGGGGUCACAUCUUUCGUGAGUCUCUGCUUGUUACCACGCGUUCCUAAUCCACUAUGAUUUGGAUAUUUGAUCCGAGGGGCCUCUGGCCUGAUAGCACUAACCAUCACGUGGGCAUAGUAUGGGCGUUCUGCGUCGUGUACAUCAGCCGAAGCUUAAUAGACGUCAGCGACGGAGCGGCGCGCGCCGGGUUGGACUGGUAAGCUCCUGCCUUUUUAGGGAGGUAGCUAGGUCUGCUCACCGGCCGCCCACACAACGUGCAGGAGUUCCCGGGGCGAUGGCCCAUGACCCCUGGGGGCAUAGGUUUAGUCCGGCGUGCUUGACCUCUCUAUUAAGCCUAGGUCGGGUUGCGGCGUAUUGUUUGGCCGAGGCCGGGCAUGACCCAGGAAAGUGUGUCCGGCCGGAGUUAAUCGAGCGUGGUGGGUAAGUUGGUGCACCCCUGCAGGGAAGAAAACAUCUAUCGAUAGCCUGUCCUACGGUAACAGACACUUGGAGUUGUAUCCCGAUCGAUACAACUAGAACUGGAUACUUGUGAUGAGAAUUGGAUUGUGAUGAGGUGAUAACUGGAUAGUAUGGCUCUGGGAUUUCUUUCUCGCAGGGAGUCGAGAAAGGAUCUCUGGCCGAGGUUGAUAACCCUACUACUAAUUUACUUUAUGCUACUCUACUCCCUCCUGUUUGCUGCAAGAUGGUGGUUUCCAGAAGAUGCUAGUCUUCAAUAGGACUAGGCCUUCUCUCUAUUCUGGCAUUUCUGCAGCCCAGUCCACAUAUAUAGCCUUCCUUUGAUAAUGUUGCAUAUGUAGUGUAGAUCCUUGCUUGCGAGUACUUUGGAUGAGUACUCACGGUUGCUUUGCUCCCCUUUUCCCCCCUUUCUUUUUCUUUCCGGUUGAUGCAACUAGAUGUCGGAGCCCAGGAGCCAGAUGCCACCGCCGGUGCCUACUACUACGUGGAGACCGCUGACGACCAGGAGUAGUUAGGAGGCUCCCAGGCAGGAGGCCUUGCCUUUUCGAUCGUAGAUGCUUUUGUGCUAGCCUUCUUAAGGCAAACUUGUCUAACUUAUGUCUGUACUCAGAUAUUGUUGCUUCCGUUGACUCUUGUGUAUUCAAGCUUAUGUAUUCGAGCCCUCGAGGCCCCUGGCUUGUAAUAUAAAGCUUGUAUUAUUUUAAUUUGUGUCUAGAGUUGUGUUGUGAUAUCUUCCCGUGAGUCCUUGAUCUUGAUCGUACACAUUUGCGUGUAUGAUUAGUGUACGAUUGAAUCGAGGGCGUCACAGAGACGAGAAGCAACGCACGGUCGAGAAGCUAGAAGUGAUCAAGAAGUGAUCCUGAAACUACUUACGUUCAAGCAUAACACCAGACCAUGUUCACUUCCCGGACUCCGCCGAAAAGAGACCAUCACGGCUACACACGCGGUUGAUUCAUUUUAAUUAAGUCAAGUGUCAAGUUCUCUACAACCGGAUAUUAACAAAUUCCCAUCUGCCACAUAACCUCGAACACGGCUCUCAAAAGUUUAUACCCUGCAGAGGUGUCCCAACUUAGCCCAUCACAAGCUCUCACGGUCAACGAAGGAUAUUCCUUCUCCCGGGAAGACCCAAUCAGUCUCGGAAUCCCGGUUACAAGACAUUUCGACAAUGGUAAAACAAGACCAGCAAAGCCACCUGAUGUGCCGACAAAUCCCGAUAGGAGUCGCACGUAUCUCGUUCUCAGGGCACACCGGAUAGGUCAAGCUACGAGUAAAACCAGCCCUCAAGUUGCCCAGAGGUGGCCCCACAGGUUGCCCAUUUUGGACCAACACUCAGAGGAGCACUGGCGCCCCCCAGGGGGUGUUAAAAUAAAGAAGACCCUUGAGUCUGCAUAAUCCAAGGGAAAUGUAUAGGUGGUAGGUAGGCAAAUAAUAAAACCAAGGUUGGGCCUUGCUGAAGGAGUUUUAUUCAAAGCGAACUAUCAAGGGGUUCCCAUAACAUCCAACUGCGUAAGGAACACAAAAUCAAGGAACAUAACACCGGUAUGACGGAAACUAAGGCGGCAAGAGUGGAACAAAACACCGGGCAUAAGGCCGAGCAUUUCACCCUUUACCAAGUAUAUAGAUGCAUUAAAUAAAUAAGAGAUAAUAAUGAUAUCCCAACAAUAUUCAGGUUCCAACAUGGAACAAACUUCAACUUCACCUGCAACUAGCAACGCUAUAAGAGGGGUUGAGCAAAAGCGGUAACCUAGCCAAACAACGAUUUGCUAGGAAGCUGGGUUAGAGGAUUGACAUGGCAACAUGGGAGGCAUGAUAUAACAAGUGGUAGGUAGCGCGACAUAGCGAUAGAACGAACAACUAGCAAGCAAAUAUAGAAGUGAUUUCGAGGGUAUGGUCAUCUUGCCUGCAAUGUUCUCAGAGUUGUCGAAAGCUUGAUCCUCGUUAGCGUACUCAACAGGUUCCUCGUUCACGUACUUGUCUCCCGGCUCUACCCAAGGCAAGAACACAAGUAAUGGAACAAUAAUCAAUCACGGUACAAUGCACAAACAACAUGAUGCAAUACAUGGCAUGAUAUGCAAGAUAUGAUAUGCAAUGCAUAUGCGUGCUCCGGAAGGGAAAGAAUAAUCAAGGCAUCAACUUCGCAAACCAAGUAUGCCGCUGGAAAGAUGAGAUAAUUUCGGUUGAAAUCGAUAUAAAGAUCACCGGAAACGGUUGCACGGUUUGCAAAUGACAAGCAAAAUAAGGAUGACUUAAAUAUGCGAUGAACAGCAUGAUGCCAGUUAGAAUGUAACAAAAAACUAAGCUACUGCACUCCAACAUAGAAACAAAACAUAUGGAAGUGAUGUACAAGAGAUGCUUGACAAAACAUGAACACUAAGCUACGGCUAAAUCACACUAGAACAGGUUCAAACAAGCAUGACAAAAGUGCAAAAGAUGUCACCUUCACAGACUUAGUAAAAUUCCAACAUGUCAAAAACAACAUCAGGAAGCAAUAUUUAGAGCAAGCAAACAACAUGCUACAGGAACAUAUCAUAGCAAACAAAGAAAUGGCAUGAUUCUACUAAAUGCAUAAAACAAAAGCCCCUUACUGAACAUGAGCCAAAAAGGCACAGAAGAUAUGAUGGCAUCCAUGUAAACAUAGCAAGUUUUAUAAACAGAUUCAGAAUUAGAAGAAUUUCAGGACAUGACAGAAACAUAUUCAUGAUAGCAACUUUGCAUGCUUGUGGCACUCAUCACAGUACACUAAAUUACAUGGAAUAAAUACUAGCAUGGAGUAGGCAUGAAAAUGAAGCUAACCAUGUGCCAUGCAACCUCAUAGCAUACUUGAAAUAAAUCACACAAAAAGACAAAACAUCAUCAAGAUGCAAAAUGACAUGUUCAUGAACUUGCUCAAAUGCAAAAACUAAUGCCACCACUGGAUUAUGUGCGGCGAGUGUGUCGCAAAAAUGUUUUUUUAAUAGAACGCCACUGAAAAAAAUAAAUACUAUUUCCUCUGUAAAUAUUUCUUUGCAGAGGGACUACUACUACAAUUUUACCACCAGCUCGUUUUCCUUGGUCUUGCGUCUACAUUUCCAUUCCGCCGCACAGCAGACACGGUCGACGCAGACCCACGAGAGCCUAGUGAGGCAGCAGGUCGGCACUACGAGACGGACGGGAGACUCGUGGUGGGUCAACGAGUCGUUCUCCUCCUUGUCCUCCGCCGCCGAAGUUGAAAAAGAAGUCCACUCCGCGCCGUCCUCCACUGAACCCUCAUCUCCAUUCCCACCCUGCUGACUUAUCUCUUGGCCGCGGAGGCUACAUUGGCUGGCGAGCGACCAGGAGAGCGGAGCGAGCACUAGCGGAGGUCGUGCGCCGGCGACUUCAUCGUUUUAAGGCAGUUCCUCCUGCAAUGCAGAGCUCUGUGGAAGAUAAGCCCCGAUCCAUCGCUUAUUGAUGAUCCACGGUUACUACAACUUGGGUCUUGGGGAGGUGGAUCUCCUCAAGUCUUCCAGUUAUCUACUGACUUAUUGAUGUAUGCUGGCGUUUUCCAGUUCUCUACAUUGUUUUUAAUUUUCAUUUACUGAUUAUGUUCUUGUUCUAUAACAUUUUUUUCAGAGCUCCUCAGUUUCUACAAGUUCCCUGACGAUGCUGUUCCUAUCAUCCGUGGAUAUGCCUUGUCAUCCAUGGAUGGCCAUGGUUAUCCUCCCCCUCCUCCUCGUGCUCCUCGUGCCUCUCGCCGCUGCCGAAACUUGGCCAUUUUGCGGCAACAGCGGUAACUAUGAAUCAAAUAGCACCUACAAAGCCAACCUCAGGCACCUCUCGUCCACCCUCCCAAAGAAGGCAGCAACCAGCACCACCCUCUUCGCCACCGACACCCAUGGCAAUGUUCCGAAUGUCAUCUUUGCCCUCGCACUCUGCCGCGGGGACUACAACGCCUCUGCCUGUGAGGGCUGUUUGGUUACCGCCUUCCAGGACGGACAGGAGAACUGCCCGAACAGUAAGGACACCACCGUGUACUACUAUGGUAAUCCUUGCAUGCUCAGGUUCUCCAACCAGAAUUUUCUUGCCACCACCGUCAAUGACAAAAUACACGUCAUUGCUGUGAGCAUGGAAAUGCCGCUCAACACCUCGAUAAGAGAUGACUCCUUCAGGUUCUUGUUGUUCACACUUCUGAACAACACAGCUCAAUCGGCUGAGAAUAGCCCCAGGAGGUUCACCACCUCGCGGUUAGAUGUCAGCUCCCUCCCGACGGUCUACUGCCUUAUGCAGUGCACGCCCGACCUGACCGCUGAUGACUGUGCAGCCUGUUUCCAGCCUUACCCCUCGUUAACGUUCAGGCACAUGGACGGUAAUAAAGGUGGUCAAAUUCUGGGGACACGGUGUAGCAUGAGGUACGAGAUAUACCCAUUCUUCCAAGGGAAGCCCAUGCUGCGUAUUGUCAGCUUGGCAUCUGCAGUUCCGGCGAUCAACAACACCUUGCCGCCAGUUACAGUGUACCCGCACCUGCCGUCACAACCGCAGUCACCGGUUGCGGCACCAUCACAUCCGGAGGCGCAAGCGAGCACCCAAGAACUUCAUGGUAUGUAAAUUCUCAUCCUUCCCGGCAGAUCCUUGGUUGGACAUGGCACCACGCUUCAGUUAGAUUCAUUAAUAUAGGAAACAUGUCACACAUCUUGCGUGAUACAAAAUUUUUAUUGGAAAAUUCUAGGAAAAGAACUUUCCAUUUUCGAAAAAAGAGUCAACUCCCUUUGUCUUUCCGUUGAGUGACGAUGCAUGCAGAUCACGCUGGAAGGUACUUAUAAUUUUAUAUUUAUAUGAAAACUAUAGAUGAAUUCGUGUUUUUUUAGGACGCAACUCACACCGGAACGCGCUGCGGAUUAUUGCUAUUGCAGCUCCAUUACUGUCAAUAUUUCUGUGCUUUAUCUGUUGCAUUGUAUGGAUGACAAGACGAAGAAAAGGUUUGUUGUUAUCACGAUUACAACAUUGCUCUAAAAAACUACCGCUCAUUUAUGUAGUCGGCAUUAACGUUGUAUAUUUGUGUGUCCUCUCAAUUUAGGAACUGAUAUCUUACACGAUCAAGCUGCCACGAAUAGGCUGGAAGAAGACGCAUUGGUUUUGAGAUUGGAAGACAAGAGUUCAGAGCUCACUCUCUUUGAGUUUUCUGAGAUAUUGCAUGCUACACACAACUUCUCCAAAGAAAACCUACUUGGGCAAGGUGGUUUUGGUCCUGUCUACAAGGUAAAUGCAUUGUCCAGGAAAGAUUCAAUCAAUAUUCUUUCUAAAAAAUAUAUUAAAUCACGAUUGCCUAAAAACAUCCGCAUAUAUUUAGUUAUUUACAGUAGCGUUGUUUACAGUAGCCCAAACUAUAAUUAAUCAUGCUAUGAUGUGCUUAGUUUUUUAACCUACCUUGGAAAAUAAUCUAUAUAUAUAUACAUUCCAAUAUCUACAAUGGCAGUUAUCAUAUAAUUUAUCUUGUAGUGAUCCAUGACAAAAAAAAGUGAAGCCACACGCUUUCCAUUAUAUUAUCGAUGCCCUAGAAUGAAAAUAAUAAUAAUGUAGACAGUUGCUUGAUAAACAUAUAGUGUAUAUAGCCUAAAGUCCAGUUUUAUAUUGUAUCUCAACCAAAUAUGAUUAGCACAAGUAACCUCAUACGGGGCCUUAAACUAGAAAGAAAAAUUUAGGAACUCUUGAUAAACAUGUUUAUUUUGCCCUAAAAUGCACUGAAAUGGAAUAUUAAGACAAUGUAUUGGACAUGUGAUGUUGUAUAUCCCACUCCCAUGGAUGGCAUGUGAUUCAUUUUCUACAAUUUCGAUAAAAUAUGAUGCCUCCGGUUUUGUACAUAUUUCCAGGGCCAAUUACCAGAUGGAAUGGAAAUUGCAGUUAAAAGGCUUGCCUCACAUUCAGGACAGGGUUUCACAGAAUUCAAAAAUGAAGUUGAACUUAUUGCGAAACUACAGCACAAUAAUCUGGUCAAGCUCAUAGGAUGCUGCAUUGAGGGAGAGGAAAAACUUUUGGUGUAUGAAUAUUUGCCAAAUAAGAGCUUGGACUUCUUUAUCUUUGGUAUGCACAAUGUAGGUUAACCAUUAUUUUCGAUCGUGUUUCUGCCAUACUAUAAAAUGCAUUCUCUAACGUGCAGAUGUUAGCCAAACAACUGUGGUUGAUUGGAAUAAAAGAUGUGUGAUAAUCGAAGGGAUAGCCCAAGGUCUACUGUAUCUCCACAAGCACUCUCGGUUGCGCAUCAUACACAGGGACCUUAAGGCCAGCAACAUUCUCUUGGACCAGGGCAUGAAUCCCAAAAUUUCUGAUUUUGGGCUAGCAAAAAUUUUCAGCUCCAAUGAUACUCAAGGAAGCACAAAGAGGGUGGUGGGAACAUAGUAAGCAUAUGGCACGAUUAAUUAGAAUACCAUUAAUCAGAUGAUUCAUCAACCUUUAAAAUUUGACAUAGUAUUUUACUUAUGCUUCUAACUCAUUUCAGUGGUUAUAUGGCUCCGGAGUAUGCAUCUGAAGGCAUUUACUCGAUCAAAUCUGAUGUGUUCAGCUUUGGUGUCUUACUUCUCGAGAUCCUUAGCGGACAAAGGAAUUCUGGUUUCCAUCAGCAUGAAGAUUUUCUUAACCUCCUUGGAUAUGUGAGCAUUUUGCAAACUCUCAAACAAAUAUGUAAAUUAUUUGUAAGCCGAAGUAUUUUUUGAUGAUAAAUUAUCUGCAGUCAUGGCAGCUCUGGGAAGGAGGAAGAUGUUUUGAGCUUCUAGAAGCAUCAAUUACUAAGGAGAUCCAUGCAGCGGAGGCUAGGAGAUACAUUAACAUUGCACUAAUGUGCGUACAAGAGCACGCAGAUGAUCGACCGACCAUGUCAAAUGUCGUUGCGAUGUUAAACAGCGAGAGUGUUAUUCUUCCAGAGCCUAAACAUCCAGCAUACUUCAGCCUAAGGGUAUCCAAGGUAGAUGAAUCGGGUAAUAAUGACGUACCCGUCUGCAGUAAUAACGACUUAACCAUCACUGAGGAGCCAGAUGGCAGAUAGUUGAUCACCUUGCUUCAGUUGUUAAUUGAAGUGCUACCAAUCAGACAGUAGGCAGGCAGACCAGGUCAAGUGAAUUAGGGCAGACCAAGUAAGCCUAUCAUAUUUUGGUUAUGAAAGGUUGCCGACCGGCGUAUCUGUGUAGCGGUGUAUCCUGCGGUGAAUGAAGCUCUGCCGGUAUGCAUAGGCUGUAGACUUUAAAGGAAGACUUGAAAUCCAAAGGAUUUCAAUCUGAUAACAGAUGUAUUUUUCCACUGGUGGCUGCUGCUGUAGACUUUAAAAGAAGACUUGAAAUCCAAAGGAUUUCAAUCUGACAGCAGAUGCAUUAACUGAAUCCUGCUUGGUAAAGUUGCAUCUAUAUGCGUCUUCCAUGUUUUCUUCCAUUGGCAGGCAAGGCUAACUAGAAUAUUGGUAUGCAUGUUAGUAUCAUGGAAACCUUGAGGCCAUAACUGAUAAGGUUCCGGUGCUGCAGUUAAUAUGUUCGAGCACGUAGUAGUUCAACACCGUUACGAAAAUAAGCAUUUCCGUAGAGUUGUCAUGAUAAAACAAACAUGAAGGGGAUCUUUUUGGUAUUUAUCCUGCUAACAGUCCAUAAGUUCAUCGACCGUACUACUCAUUGCUACUAAGAAUAUGAGUUCUUAAUUUAAACUUUGAAGCAAAAUUUAUGUGGCAAGUUUGUACCUUCCAUGAGUUAAGUAGUUAUGUUUGUAUUUUAUAUUAUUUUAAUCAUAUAAUAUGGAGUUUAUAAAUAUAUAUUUUGGGUACUUUCAACAGACCAAAUAUGAUGACCUUGCAACCUGCUAGUUCUUUCCAACAGCACAUUGUAUUUUCUACUGUUUUUAUCGUUUAUAAUAAUUUGCUUGUCUUGAUAUAUAUGUGCAAUUCUUGGGUAUACCAAACAAUAAGGUGAAAUAUAUUAAAAUAAAAUAUAUUGUAAUUAUUUAGGACCCAAUAUAGCAUCUCAACUACGGUAGAUACAAUGAGUAACGACAUCGACCAAAACAUCCAUACCGGGAUAGAUACACUUUGUAAACGUCUCAAUGUCUUGUAGACACGCUUACGUUGCGCCUCUAUGAGUUUUGAUACAGUGCAUGAGGACGCGCCCCUAAGCACUUUACAUGAUGACUACACACAUGUAGGGAUGAAAUUAAGUAUCUUCAGCAGAUCAUGUAGCGAUAACAUCUAGAGUUUGGUGUGGAUUAGUGUACAACUCAGAUGUACCAACUGAUACAAAGUUAUCAACUAUCUUCCAUCUGGCUCUUCGGUGAUGGUUACAUCAUUAUUACUGCAUGGAACAACCUUAGAUACUCUUACGUUGACGUGCGCAGGAGGAUUAGGCUUUGGAAUAAUAUCGCUCUCGCUGUUUAACAUUGCAACAACAUCUGACAUGGUGGGUCGAUCAUCCGCACUCUCUUGUACACACAUUAGUGCAAUGUUAAUAUACCUCCUAGCCUCUGUUGUAUGGAUCUCCGUAACAAUUGAUAAUUCUAGAAGCUCAAGCCAUCUUCCUCCUUCCCAGAGAUGCCAUGACUGCAAGAAGCAAAUGAACCAUUUUCAUCACAUACAUGAUAAAAGAAACUUCUGUCCACAAAAUAAUACACUCGUGCGCGAGAGUUUAGAAAAUGCUCACAUAUCCAAGAAGGUUAAGAAAAGUCUUCGCAUUGAUGGAAACGAGAAUUCUUUUUUCCACUAAGGAUCUCAAGAAGCAACACACCAAAGCUGAACACGUCGGAUUUGAUUGAGUACAUGCCUUCAGAUGCAUACUCCGGAGACAUAUAACCACUGGAAAGAGUUAGAAGCACAAGACAAUAUUAUAUCUAAAAUUGCAACAUGGUACAUGACCUAAGAAUGGUAUUGUAGGCACUAUAUAUAUAUAUAUAUAUAUAUAUAUAUAUAUAUAUAUACUAUUCGUCACCCUUGGUGAGGAAUAGUUAUUCUUCACCCCCUCUCUAUUUUGACAUCAAUGCACCGUAUUUUUACGUUUCGUAAAUUAUGUCUUAUUUCAUACAUAAAAAGAGAAAGUAAGAAAAUAUGAACUCUCCAUAAAAAAUAUUUUAUAUUACGUAAAAUUACGAAUAUAAAAACAUAGUGUAAAACAUACAUAAAAUGUGAUUUUCCUGGUCUUAUAACCUACGUUUUUGUUUUUUUAUAUAAAAUUUUACGUAUUGAAUCAAUAUGCAUGUAACUAUUUAUAUUAUAAAUGUAAUUUAUUUAGAAAGCGAUCGUAAGAUUACCUCGGGCGAAGAAUAACUUAUUUUGCACCAUGGGUGAUAAAUAGUAACACUAUAUAUAUGUUGUAAUUAGUAAACAAAUGUGUGCUUACUAUGUUCCCACUACCCUCUUUGUGCUUCCCUGAGUGUCAUUGGAGCUGAAUAUUUUUGCUAGGCCAAAAUCAGAAAUUUUAGGAUUCAUGUUCUGGUCCAAGAGAAUGUUGCUGGCCUUGAGAUCUCUGUGUAUGAUGCGCAAUCGAGAGUGCUUGUGAAGAUAUAGAAGACCUUGGGCUAUCCCUUCGAUUAUGACACGUCUUUUUUCCCAAUCAACCAAAGCUGUUCUGUUUUCAUCUACGCAUUAGAAAGUGCAUUUUAGAGUAUGGAUGAAUCACAAUCCACGGAAUAAAAACUACAGUGUGCGUACCAAAUAUAAAGAAGUCCAAGCUCUUAUUGGGAAAAUACUCAUACACCAAUAGUUUUCCGUCUCCCUGAAUGCAACAUCCCAAGAGCUUUACCAGAUUAUUGUGUUGUAGUUUUGCAAUAAGUUCAACUUCAUUCUUGAAUUCUGUGAAACCCUGUCCUGAAUGUGAGGCAAGCCUUUUAACAGCAAUCUCCAUUCCAUUUGGUAAUUGGCCCUGCAAGUAUGUACAACAAUAAACUGAUGCAACAUUUUUUAUGGAAAUGAUAUAAAGAGGUUUACUUGCCAUCCAUGUGAGGAUAUAGAGCAUCACAUAUCCAAUACACGUUCUUAAUAUUCUGUUUCAUUGCAUUACUUCUGUUUCCAUUUGAGAUUCAGUCCACUGUCAAAAUAGGGCAAAAUCAAAUAAACAAGUUUAUCAAGGUUUCCUUUUUUGUUUCAGUACAUAUAUAUAUUGGGCGUGCACACAUGAAUGUACUGGUUAGUGACAAGCCAACUCGUAGCUUUAAGCUGAUCGUGAUUUAAUAUAUAUCUUGGAAUGAACAGAUGCUCUAAUCUUUUCAAGACAAUGUAUUUACCUUGUAGACAGGGCCAAAACCACCUUUCCCAAGUAGAUUUUCUUUGGAAAAGUUGUGUGUAGCUUGCAAUAUCUCAUGAAAGUCAAAGAGUGUGAACUCUGAACUCCUCUCCUCUAAUCUCCAAACCAGUGCAUUUUCUUCCGGCCUAUCCGUGGCAGCUUGAUUAUUUAUGUUUACCUUCCCUAAAUUGAUAGAAAUAUACAGCAUUAAUUUGGGGCUCAAACCUGGCAAUCUACAUCAAUAGGUGGUAGUUUUUUCUUUAGAGGAACGUUCUGGUGAAUAAAUCUUCAUGGCAACAAACCUUUUCUUCUCAUCCAUACAAUGAAACAGAUAAAGCACAUAAGUAUUGACAGCAGUGUAGCCACCACAGCAAUAAUAAUCCAUAGCCUCAUCUUGCCUGAUUUGUGUCCUAAAAAAGUAUAGUUCAUGUAAAUAGAAACGAAUUCAUUUAGUGACAAGGACAAUGAAAAAUCAGCUUAAAGGAUGUGCCCGCAAGGUUGAGAAUUCCACAUACCGUUAUGUUCUUGGAUGGUCGCUUUUCCCUCCGGGGGUGGCGCCGGAGCUGGUGGCUGUGAGUACACGGUAGCUGGUGUCGUAGUGUUGUUGAUCGCCGGAACUUCAGGGGCCAAGUUGUUAAUAUGCAGCAUAGGGUCCCCCGGGAAGAAUGGGUACAUCUCGUACCUCAUGUUGCACCGUAUCCCCAGAACUCCGCCACCUGGCCUUCCGGCCAGGUACUGGAGUGUACAACUCGAGACAAUCUUGAAACAGGCCGUACAGUCUGCGGCGGUCAGAUCCGGCGUACACUGCAUGACACAGUACAGCGUCGGGGAGGAAGCGACAUCUAUGCGCGAGGUGGUGAACCUCCUCGAGCUAUUCGCGGCCGAUUGAGCCGUGCUGUUGAUAAGCGUGAACAAUAAUCGUUGGGUGAUGUCGGCGUUUGUCGUAAAGUUCUGAGUGUUCUGGAGGAUGAGUGUUUCAUCGAGGGUGGUGCUGGCGAGGAAAUCCUUGUCGGAGAACUUGAGCAUGCAGAGAUCGUAGUACACGACGGCCUCCUUAUUGUACGCGCAGAGCUGCUGGAGGUCCUGAAAGGCGGUGGUCACGCAGCUCUCGCAGGCGGAGGCGUUUGAGUCCCCACCAUGGAUUUGAAUUUCAGUGGGCAAAAAUUUUCAGCCCCUACCGAAAUCACUGAAUUUCAUUUUUCAAUUCGGCCAAAUGACCGAAAUUAUGAUUUGAAUUUCGCCUGAAAACCUACCAAAAAUUGAUUGAAAACUGGCUGAAAAUUGUGUGAAAUUCCAAUGAAAUUUGAAAUUUCACUGCAGAAAAACAGAAUAUUCAGGGAAAGACUGGAUGAGCAACUGCGGGUUCAGCUAGGCCUACAACGACGGGCAGAUGAGCAGUGCCGUGGUGGUGGCCGGUGUGCUUUGUGAUGUGGCGUCCUCGCGGCGACGCAGAUUUGACGCGUACGACGGGGAAGAGUGGGUGGCGGGCUGGGUGGGUGAGCGACGCGGAGACGCAGGGAGGAAGGUGCAAGGGGGAGGGGAUGCGCGAGAGCGGAGCUUGCUUGGCUUUGACGGAGGAGGAGCUCGAGCCUCCGGCAACGGCGCCGCCGGCGGAAAAGGGGAUUUUUUCCUGGAUCUGGCGAUUUAGGGUUGGAAGUGACGGCACGGGAGAGGAAUAUACCCAUUCGCGGGCCUCUGGGGGGCAUGUUUGGGCCUUUGGCGCGGUUUUUUCCCGCGCAAGAAGGCACUGACGGGAAUUGAUUUUGGGGGCCGAAAGUGUUGAAAUUUUUUGGCCGAAACGCUAUAUUUCAAUACUUGCUGAAAUUAGUGAAAUUUCAGAAAUUUCACUGAAAAUUCAUUGAAUUUUAAAACCAUGGUCCCCACAGCAGAGCGUGAGGGCGUAGACGAUGUCCGGAACACUGCCGGUGAUGCCGGUUGCGAAGAGGGUGGUGCUGGAUGCUGCUUUCUUCGGGAGGGUUGAAGAGAGGAGCCUGAGGUUGGCUUCGUAGGUGCUAUUUGAUUUGUAGUGGCCACUCUUGCCGCAGGAUGGCGGCGUUUCGGCAGCGGUGAGAGGCACGAGGAGUAGGAGGAGGGGGAGGAUAACCAUAGCCAUCCAUGGAUGAGAAGGCGGAUCCAUGGAUGAUAGGAACUUCAUCGCCAAGGGAGGAGCUCUCAAAAAACGAGACAGCAAAAUUACGUUAAGACGGCAACAUAACCAACUACUCCACUAAAAACAAUGCAUGGAACUGGAAAACGCUAGCUGGCAUACCUCGAAGCUCCACCUCCACAAGUUCUAGUUAAGUCUGGAUCAUCAAGACAGCAUGCUAGUGCUGGCAAGAAUUCGCAGAAUUCGAAACCUGUCGAGCUAGAAGAAUUAUGCUCUUUUGUUUGCGGCAUCAGGCCAUCAGGAGGUGAUCAUACACAAGGAAGGGAACACCACCAUCCAUUUGAUCAGCUCUGGUGAUCAGGUUCUAAAUAUCACGCUGCAAAAUUGAAGAUGUUAAGCAUCAGAGAUGUGUGUGCUCGACAAUUAAUAAGAGAUCUAAUGCUUUAUAAAAUAUCAAAGUUCAGAUGUCAUAAGUAGACAUUCAGACAUCAGGGAUUAAGCUGGAAGUUCAGGAAGUCUACUCCAAGUCAUAACAGGAUUAAGCUGGAAGUAUAGAGUCUACUCCAAGUCAAAACACGCAUGGAUAGAGGCACCCGAAAAUUUUCAACACAAUAAAAAAAAAUCUAGCCCCGCAUUUUUUUAAAGAAUUCCAAGGGCUUACCACUGGAUUAUGGAUUGGGAAUGCAGAUAGUUCCUUGAGGCCUAUGGAUUUAUCGAUCGGGGCUUAUAUAUCUAGUACGGAGCUCUGCGUUGCAGGAGAACCUGUCUUGAGCAAUGAGAAAACGGGGGCGGGGGAGAGGUGGUUCAUACGGGGCUUACCACUAGAACUCUGGAAGCGGAAGGACGAUGUCUGCCCUCCUCUCCGGGACGUCAUCGCUGGCGCUCGUCAACGUAGCCUCCACUCCAGAUGGCGCAGCCAGGAGAUCAAUCGUGAGGCUUGGAAGGGGGGAGGAGCCACUCGAUUCAGUGGAGGAAGACGGCGGAGUGGCUGACCGCGAGUCUCCGUCCGUCUCUCUCCCACUGCCGACAGGCUAGCUCAGUGGACUCUCGUGAACUUUACGUCGACCGUGGGGUGCUUGUACUUUUUGUGUCAGCCUUGGCCGGGUCCAUCCUAACAAUUAUCAGUAGCCGCAGCAAUCUAGUAGUACCGUGUCAGCUCAGGCCACAUGGCUGGAAAUGAAAUUGUCUUGGUUUGUUGGGAUCAAUCCCUGUCUCCCGUAUCUACGGCUACACGUGAGCUGGUCCGUGCUGCACGCCUAUGUCAAACAUCAUGACAUAGACGGCAUGGUAGGGCGUGGUAGGAGUAGGUGUUUCACUCUCUACUGGAUCAGUGAGUUUUUUUUUUUUGAAAUUGGAUCAGGGAGUUUCACGUCUAGGAUUAGGUAGGAAGAUUUUUUAUUGCUCUGAACGGACAACAAGAAUGAAUGGAACACUCAUGCUGUGAUUAGAGCGAGUUGUCAGAAACACAUCGUCCUAUCCCCUGCUCCUCUCUUAUGUUUUCUCUUCCUCCCGCCAACGAGUUCUUCCCUUGUAAUUAUGGGUAUGGUUACUCUGAUUCCUAAAUGAAUGAUCAACAUCUCACUUGUAAUUAUGAGGGUGUUUGUUUCCAUGGACUUUUUGGUGUAGGGACUAGAAAAAGUUUCUCUUAAAGACUUUUUAACCAAACAAGAGGGACUACUAGGGACUAAAAGUUACUUUUUGAGACUAAAUGAAGAAGACUCUCAAAGAGAGUCUUUUUGGAACUUUUUGUGACUUUUCCAACAAUGCCCCUCCAUGCACUCAUUGGCCCGCCACCCCAUGAUGUUGUUUGGUUUUAUUUUUCUGUAUACUAGGGGUAACAUGGUCAUUUAAUAACCUUUAGGAAGGGAUUAGAGACUUUUUAGUCCCUGAAAACAAACGGGAAGAGACUUUUCAGGGACUAGAGACUUUUUAGUUGAGACUAGAAAAAGUCUUAGGACUUGUGAACCAAACAGGGCCUAUGUUGGCAUAGAGGAUUUGGCAAGUGCAAUACACAUAUGUCUCAUGGGAAGGAAGGUGCGCCUGUUGAGGCCUCGGCUGACUUCCUUCGAAGUUACUUUAACUCCAUAUGUGCUUGCAGAAGAUAUUCUACUGAAGAAAUAAUUAAGGGGAGAUGACAAUGCAAGAGACAUGGGUUGUAGAAAAACUGAGGAAUAUUCUACUGACUCUCCGCCGGCCUGCACCACCAGCAAACAUGUAGGCACUCUCAGUCUCUCAGUUGAUGGGGCGCAUGCUAAAGAUGAUGGAUUUCUGCUAUUGGGAUGAUUUUGAGAUGACACAGGAUGGCUCAAUGUUUUUUUUGCUGCAUAUCAGUACAUAUUUAAUUGCAACGAAGCGCUUGAAGUAGAGAUACAUCGAUAAUGAUGGGUAUGGCAGUGGCUGUGCAACAUUCUGAAGAGCCAAUUCUUUUGCAGUUAGACUCAGUUGCAGCUCUUUCUAUCCUUUCUAGUAAUAGCUUGGAUUGCUCUGCUCACGGUCAGCUAGUUUCGGAGAUUAAGAGGGUGCUUGGAUACGUUUUAGUCCCAUGACUAAAAGUAGUGGGACUAAAACUUGCUAGCCUCACCCAUGCUUGGAUCCAAAUACUAAAAAGACUAAAAUCAAAUUAUUAAGCAUUUAUUAUCCUCCAAACCAUUCAAUCCAGAACUCACAUGUGUUAAAGUAGUGAAAUUAAAUGAGGAGAGAGAGGGCUAAUACAUAUUUUAGUAGGUUUCCUAUGACUAAAAGUUUUUAGUCUCAAGACUAGUCCUAGACUCUCUUUAGUCAGGGGUGCUUGGAACUUUAGCCUCUAAAAGAGACUAUUUUUAGUCAGACUAAAAAUAGUCCCUUAGAUCCAAGCACCCUCUAAGCUUUUACUUGGGAAUAUGCUCGUGCGUUGCAACGGGAGAAAAAUUCACCACACGUACUCCUCUAUGCGAAUAAGUGUGGACUAAAACACAAAGUGAUGAUUUCAUUUAUGGCUCGCAUCAAUUGUUUCCAAUACGAAGAGUAAUUGUGCCUCUAGCCAGACUAUCUUUACAAAACGGCUAACAAGUAUAUGCAUUGUUCAUUUUGCGCCUUUUCUAGUUAUAUUUCCGCAUCCUCUGUUUUAUGUGCUAUCCACCCAUGCAUAAUGUAGAAUUGUAUUGAAUAAUUGUUGAUGCAAUAUUGUGCCGGUACAAGAGGUAUAUAUAAGAGCCACGCCGCACUGUCCUAGCCCUAUUACAAACCGAGUAGGAGUCCUAAUCCUAUUACAAGUUGUAUUCUAACACCCCCCGCGGUGUCAACGGUAGGCUCAACGACGUUGAGACUGAAACAAAUGUCUUGAAACGGAAUAGUCGCCAGGCCUUUAGUAAAGAUAUCAACGAACUGAGCAGAAGUAGGCACGUCGAGAACGCGAACUUGACCGAGAGCCACCUUCUCUCGAACAAAAUGAAUGUCGAUCUCAAUAUGCUUGGUGCGACGGUGUUGAACCGGAUUCCCUGACAUGUAGACAGCUAAAAUAUUAUCACAAUAAACAAUGGUAGCUUGCUCAAUAGGACGGUGCAGCUCCGACGGCAACUGGCGCAACCAAACCGUAUCAGCAACCACAUGAGCCACAGUGCGGUACUCAGCUUCAGCAGACGAGCGGGAGACCGUAACCUGUCUUUUUGAAGACCAAGAAACCAAAUUGUUACCAAUAAAAACACAAAAUCCGGAUAUGGACCUACGAGUAUCUGGACAACCAGUCCAGUCUGCAUCAGAGUAAGCUGUCAAGGAGGUGGGAGAGGAUUUGUUGAUAUGAAGACCUAAGUCUAGUGUGCCUUUGAGAUAUCAAAGAAUACGUUUGACAUGAUUGUAGUGUGGAAUACGAGGAUCAUGCAUGUAUAAACAAGCUUGUUGAACAACAAAAGAAAUUUCAGGAUGAGUGAGAGUGAGAUACUGAAGUGCACUGGCAAGACUACGAUAAAGAGAAGGAUCACCGUCGGCAGAGAGUUUGGAACCUAUAUCAACAGAGGUACGGGAAGUUUGACAAUCAAGCAUACCAGCAUGAGAAAUAAGAUCCAGAGUGUACUGCCGUUGAGACAAGAAAAGACCAGAGGAGUUACGGAUAAGAGCAAUACCUAAGAAGUGGUGAAGAAGACCUAAAUCUAUCAUAGAAAAUUCGUGACGAAGAAGAGAUAUAAUAUGAUCUAAAAAUUGUUGCGAGGAAGCUGUGAGGAUAAUAUCAUCAACAUAUAAAAGAAGGUAAGCAAUGUUGGUGUUGUGAUGAAAGGUGAGAAGAGAAGUGUAAAACCGAUGGUUUGAGUAUAAUUAGAAAAGUGUUGGAACCAGGCACGUGGUGCUUGUUUAAGACCAUAAACAGAAUUUUGAAGAAGACAAACAUGAUUAGGAUAGGAGGAAUGUUUGAAGCCAAGAGGUUGUUAACAAUAGACUGUUUCUUGAAGAGAGCCAUGAAGAAAAGCAUUUUUGACAUCUAGUUGAUGAAUUGGCCAGGAAGAAGAGACAGCGAUGCUAAGGACAUUGCAAAUAGUGCUGGGCUUGACAACUGGAGAGAAAGUCUCAUCAUAAUCGAUGACGUGUUGCUGAGAGUAACCACGGCAUACACAUCGAGCCUUAUAACGUGCAAGACUCCCAUCAGAAUUAAAUUUCUAGCGAAAAAUCCAUUUGCCCAAAAUGACAUUUGUAUUGGAAGGGCGAGGAACUAACUGCCACGUGUUAUUCUACAGAAGGGCCUCAUAUUCAUCUUUUAUAGCAGCGGCCCAGUUAGGAUCUAGGAGAGCUGAUUUGUAAGAUUUUGGUAGAGAGGAAGGAGAUAAAGAUGCAUGAAGAUUGAGACGAUCUUUUGCAGGUAAACGAAACCCGUACUUGGCACGUGUGCGCAUUGUAUGAUCAUUACUAGGAGCUGGAACAGGAAUAGCAUGAGCAGGAGGGGUGAGGGAAGAUAUGGUGGACGCGUUCGGCGCAGCGGAGGAAGCUGACGCGGGAGACGGUGGUGAAGACUGCGGCGGCAAGAGGUCUACCGCGUCAGAGUGUAAUGUGUUUUUCUCUGUCGGGACAGAGAUGAUGACAGAAGUGGUGGCGGCAGGAUCCUCUACGGCGGCUGGUUUCGCUGGAUAGGUCGGCGGGUGAAAGAAGGAAAGAUGAUUGCGACAAGAGGGACUAGUGGAUGACAUGGGUGAGUUGGGAUCUAAUUGUUGACGCUCGGAAAAGGGAAAAAUGUUUUCAGCAAAUGUUACAUGACGAGACACAUGAACACGACCACUAACAAGAUCUAGACAAUGAUAACCCUUGUGCUCGUCAGAAAAACCUAGAUGGACACACGGGAUAGAGUGCGGGGAAAGUUUGUUAGGAGAAGUGGAGUAGGAGUUUGGGAAACAAAGACAAACGAAGAAGCGAACGUCGGAGUAAUUUGGAUGAGAGAGAAAUAAAGAGAAGUAAGGAGUAGUUUGUGGGUUAACUUUAGAUGGACGAAUAUUGAGUAAAUAUGUGGCCAUGUGGAGUGCCUCUGCCUAGAACAUCGAAGACAUAGAAGAUUGAACAAGCAGAGUGCGAAUGAGGUCAUUAAGAGUACAAAGAGAACGCUCGGCUUUGCCGUUUUGAGGGGAGGUAUAAGGACAUGAGAAACGUAAGAGAAUUCCAUAUUGUAGAAAGAAAUUUCUAUUUUUAAAGUUGUCAAAUUCACGACCAUUAUCACAUAUGAAUUUUACCGGGAGGAAAAAGUGGACCGAGACAUAGCGCUGAAUGUUAAGGAAUAUAUUAUGAACGUCGGGUUUGUUGCGUAAAGGAAAAGUCCAAACAUAAUGAGUAAAAUCAUCAAGAAUCAUGAGAUAAUACUUAAAACCAGAUACACUUUCUAUUGGUGAUGUCCAGAGAUCACAAUGAAGUAAUUCAAAAGGAAAAGUAAUUCAAAAGGAACUAAAAGGAAGGUGAACAUGUUUGCCCAAUUGACAUGACUGACACAUAGAAGAAUUAUGAGAGUCUCUAUUACAACUUGACAAGGUAUUGAAAAUUCACUAAGAAGUGUGGAUAACAUAUUUUUAUUGGGAUGGCCGAUGUUGGGGAACGUAGUAAUUUCAAAAAUAAUUCCUACGCACACACAAGAUCAUGGUGAUGCAUAGCAACGAGAGGGGAGAAUGUUGUCCACAUACCCUCGUAGACCGAAAGAGGAAGCGUUAGCACAACGCGGUUGAUGUAGUCGUACGUCUUCACGAUCCGAUCGAUCAAGUACUGAACGCACAACACCUCCGAGUUCAGCACACGUUCAACUCGAUGACAUCCAUCGAAUUCCGAUCCAGCCGAGCUUUGAGGGAGAGUUUCGUCAGCACGAAGGCGUGGUGACGAUGAUGAUGUUCUACCGACACAGGGCUUCGCCUAAGCACCGCUACGAUAUUAUCAAGGUGGAUUCUGGUGGAGGGGGGCACCGCACACGGCUAAGAGAUCAAUGAUCAAUUGUUGUGUCUAUGGGGUGCCCCCCUCCUCCGUAUAUAAAGGGGGGGAGGAGGAGAGGGCCGGCCAAGGGGGUGGCGCGCCCUAGGAGGGGGAAACCUACCCCAAGUAGGUUUGCCCCUCCCUUUCCUAGUCCAAGAUGGAGGGGGGAAGGAAGGAGUGGGAGAGGGGAAAGGCGAGGGGGGCGCCGCCCCCCCUUCCAUGUCCUAUUCGAACUCAAUGGGAGGGGGCACGCCUCUUGCCCUGGCCGGCCCCUCUGUCUCUCUCCACUAGGGCCCAACUAGGCCCAUUAGUUUCGGGGGGGGGGGGUGGUGUUCCGGUAACCCCCGGUACUCCGAUAAAUGUCUGAAACCUUCCGGAACCUUUCCGGUGUCCAAACAUAGUCGUCCAAUAUAUCGAUCCUUAUGUCUCGACCAUUUCGAGACUCCUCGUCAUGUCCGUGAUCACAUCUGGGACUCCGAAAAACCUUCGGUACAUCAAAACAUAUAAACUCAUAAUAUAACUGUCAUCGAAACUUUAAGCAUGCGGACCCCAUGGGUUCCAGAACUAUGUAGACAUGACCGAGACACGUCUCUGGUCAAUAACCAAUAGCGGAACCUGGAUUCUCAUAUUGGCUCCCACAUAUUCUACGAAGAUCUUUAUCGGUCAGACCUCAUAACAACAUACGUUGUUCCCUUUGUCAUCGGUAUGUUACUUGCCCGAGAUUCGAUCGUCGGUAUCUCAAUACCUAGUUCAAUCUCGUUACCCACAAGUCUCUUAACUCAUUAUGUAAUACAUCAUCCCGCAACUAACGCAUUAGCUGCAAUGCUUGCAAAGCUUAUAGUGAUGUGCAUUACCGAGUGGGCCUAGAGAUACCUCUCCGACAAUCAGAGUGACAAAUCCUAAUUUGAAAUAUGCCAACCCAACAAGUACCUUCGGAGACACCUGUAGAGCACCUUUAUAAUCACCCAGUUACGUUGUGAUGUUUGGUAGCACACAAAGUGUUCCUCCGUGAUAACCCACAAGUAUAGGGGAUCUAUGGUAGUCCUUUCGAUAAGUAAGAGUGUCGAACCCAACGAGGAGCAGAAGGAAAUGAUAAGCGGUUUCAAGCAAGGUAUUCUCUGCAAGUACUGAAAUAAGUGGUAACAGAUAGUUUUGUGAUAGGAUAAUUUGUAACGAGCAACAAGUAACAAAAGUAAAUAAAGUGCAGCAAGGUGGCCCAAUCCUUUUGUAACAAAGGACAAGCCUGGACAAACUCUUAUAUGAUGUAAAGCGCUCCCGAGGACACAUGGGAAUAUCAUCAUGUUGGGGAACGUAGUAAUUUCAACAAAAUUCCUACGCACACGCAAGAUCAUGGUGAUGCAUAGCAACGAGGGGGAGAGUCUGAUCUACGUACCCUUGUAGAUCGCAACGGAAGCGUUGACACAACGUAGAGGAAGUAGUCGUACGUCUUCUUCCCGAUCCGACCGAUCCAAGCACCGUUACUCCGGCACCUCCGAGUUCUUAGCACACGUACAGCUCGAUGACGAUCCCCGGGCUCCGAUCCAGGAAAGCUUCGGGGAGGAGUUCCGUCAGCACGACGGCGUGGUGACGAUCUUGAUGUUCUACCGACGCAGGGCUUCACCUAAGCACAACAACGAUAUGAUCGAGGUGGAAUAUGGUGGCAGGGGGCACCGCACACGGCUAAGGAACGAUCUCAAUGAUCAACUUCUGUGUCUAUGGGGUGCCCCCUGCCCCCGUAUAUAAAGGAGCAAGGGAGGAGGGGCGGCCGGCCUAGGAGUGGGCGCGCCAAGGGGAGUCCUACUCCUACCGGGAGUAGGACUCCUUCUUUCCUAGUCCAACUAGGAGAAGGGGGGAAAGGAGGGAAGUGGAGAAGGAAGGGAGAGGAGGGCCGCACCCCAAAUCCCUUGUCCAAUUCGGACUGGGCUUGGGAGGGGCGCGCGCCACCUCCUGGCUCCUUCCCACUAAAGCCCAUUAAGGCCCAAUACUCUUCCCCGUAUUCCCGUAACUCCCCGGUACCUCUGAAAAUACCCGAAUCACUCGGAACCUUUCCGAUGUCCGAAUAUAGUCGUCCAAUAUAUCGAUCUUUACGUCUCGACCAUUUCGAGACUCCUCGUCAUGUCCCCGAUCUCAUCUGGGACUCCGAACUCCUUCGGUACAUCAAAAAUCAUAAACUCAUAAUAUAACUGUCAUCGAAACCUUAAGCGUGCGGACCCUACGGUUCGAGAACAAUGUAGACAUGACCGAGACACGUCUCCGGUCAAUAACCAAUAGCGGGACCUGGAUGCCCAUAUUGGCUCCUACAUAUUCUACGAAGAUCUUUAUCGGUCAGACCGCAUAACAACAUACGUUGUUCCCUUUGUCAUCGGUAUGUUACUUGCCCGAGAUUCGAUCGUCGGUAUCCAAUACCUAGUUCAAUCUCAUUACCGGCAAGUCUCUUUACUCGUUCUGUAAUACAUCAUCUCGUAACUAACUCAUUAGUUGCAUUGCUUGCAAGGCUUAAGUGAUGUGCAUUACCGAGAGGGCCCAGAGAUACCUCUCCGACAAUCGGAGUGACAAAUCCUAAUCUCAAAAUACGCCAACCCAACAUCUACCUUUGGAGACACCUGUAGAACUCCUUUAUAAUCACCCAGUUACAUUGUGACGUUUGGUAGCACACAAAGUGUUCCUCCGGUAAACGGGAGUUGCAUAAUCUCAUAGUCAUAGGAACAUGUAUAAGUCAUGAAGAAAGCAAUAGCAACAUACUAAACGAUCGGGUGCUAAGCUAAUGGAAUGGGUCAUGUCAAUCAGAUCAUUCAACUAAUGAUGUGAUCCCGUUAAUCAAAUAACAACUCUUUGUCCAUGGUUAGGAAACAUAACCAUCUUUGAUUAACGAGCUAGUCAAGUAGAGGCAUACUAGUGACACUCUGUUUGUCUAUGUAUUCACACAUGUAUUAUGUUUCCGGUUAAUACAAUUGUAGCAUGAAUAAUAAACAUUUAUCAUGAUAUAAGGAAAUAAAUAAUAACUUUAUUAUUGCCUCUAGGGCAUAUUUCCUUCAGUCCCCCACUUACACUAGAGUCAAUAAUCUAGUUCACAUCGCUAUGUGAUUAACACCAAUAGUUCACAUCUUUAUGUGAUUGGUUCACAUCUCCAUGUGACUAACACCCAAAGGGUUUACUAGAUUCAAUAAUCUAGUUCACAUCGCUAUGUGAUUUAAGACCCAAAAAGUGAUAAUGUUUUGCUUGUGAGAGAAGUUUAGUCAACGGGUCUGCCACAUUCAGAUCCGCAUGUAUUUUGCAAAUCUCUAUGUCAACAAUGCUCUGCAUGGAGCUACUCUAGCUAAUUGCUCCCACUUUCAAUAUGUAUCCAGAUUGAGACUUAGAGUCAUCUGGAUCAGUGUCAAAACUUGCAUCGACGUAACCCUUUACGACGAACCUUUUGUCACCUCCGUAAUCGAGAAACAUAUCUUUAUUCCAAUAAGGAUAAUUUUGACCGCUGUCCAGUGAUCUACUCCUAGAUCACUAUUGUACUCCCAUGCCAAUCAGUGUAGGGUAUACAAUAGAUCUGGUACACAGCAUGGCAUACUUUAUAGAACCUAUGGCUGAGGCAUAGGGAAUGACUUUCAUUCUCUUUCUAUCUUCUGUCGUGGUCGGGCUUUGAGUCUUACUCAAUUUCACACCUUAUGACACAGGCAAGAACUCUUUCUUUGACUGUUCCAUUUUGAACUACUUCAAAAUCUUGUCAAGGUAUGUACUCAUUGAAAAAACUUAUCAAGCGUCUUGAUCUAUCUCUAUAGAUGCUCAAUAUGUAAGCAGCUUCUUCGAAGUCUUUCUUUGAAAAACUCCUUUCAAACACUCCUUUAUGCUUUACAGAAUAAUUCUACAUUAUUUCCGAUCAUCAAUAUGUCAUUCACAUAUACUUAUCAGAAAUGCUGUAGUGCUCCCACUCACUUUCUUGUAAAUACAGGCUUCACCGUAAGUCUGUAUAAAACUAUAUCCUUUGAUCAACUUAUCAAAGCGUAUAUUCCGACUCCGAGAUGCUUGCACCAGUCCACAGAUGGAUCGCUGGAGUUUGCACACUUUGUUAGCACCUUUCGGAUUGACAAAACCUUCUAGUUGCAUCAUAUACAACUCUUCUUUAAUAAAUCCAUUAAGGAAUGCAGUUUUGUUUAUCCAUUUGCCAGAUUUCAUAAAAUGCGACUAUUACUAACAUGAUUCGGACAGACUCAAGCAUAGAUACGAGUGAGAAACUCUCAUCGUAGUCAACACCUUGAACUUGUCAAAAACCUUUUGCGACAAUUCUAGCUUUGUAUAUAGUAACACUACUAUGAGCGUCCGUCUUCCUCUUGAAGAUCCAUUUAUUCUCAAUUGCUCGCCGAGCAUCGGGCAAGUCAACCAAAGUCCAUACUUUGUUCUCAUACAUGGAUCAUAUCUCAGAUUUCAUGGCCUCAAGCCAUUUAUCGGAAUCUGGGCUCAUCAUCGCUUCCUCAUAAUUCGUAGGUUCGUCAUGGUCAAGUAACAUGACCUCCAGAAUAGGAUUACCGUACCACUCUGGUGUGGAUCUCACUCUGGUUUACCUACGAGAUUUGGUAGUAACUUGAUCUGAAGUUACAUGAUCAUCAUCAUUAGCUUCCUCACUAAUUGGUGUAGUAGUCACAAGAACAGAUUUCUGUGAUGAACUACUUUCCAAUAAGGGAGAAGGUACAAUUACCUUAUCAAGUUUUCUACUUUCCUCCCACUCACUUCUUUCGAGAGAAACUCCUUCUCUAGAAAGGAUCCAUUCCCAGCAACUAAUAGCUUGCCUUCGGAUCUGUGAUAGAAGGUGUACCCAACAUUUUUCUUUCUGGGUAUCCUAUGAAGACGCACUUCUCCGAUUUGGGUUUGAGCAUAUCAAGUUGAAACCUUUUCAUAUAAGCAUUGCAACCCAAACUUUAAGAAACGACAACUUUGGUUUCUUGCCAAACCACAGUUCAGAUUAUGUCGUCUCAACGGACUUAGAUGGUGCCCUUUUUAACGUGAAUGCAGCUGUCUUUAAUGCAUAAUCCCAAAAUGAUAUUGGUAAAUCGGUAAGAAACAUCAUAGAUUGUACUAUAUCCAAUAAAGUACGGUUAUGACGUUCGAACACACCAUUAUCUUGUGGUGUUCCAGGUGGCAUGAGUAGUGAAACUAUUUCACAUUGUUUUUAACUGAAGACCAAACUCGUAACUCAAAUAUUUUACCUCUGCGAUCAUAUCGUAGAAACUUUGAUUUUUCUUGUCACAAUGAUUUUCUUCUUCACUCUGAAAUUCUUUGAACUGUUCAAAUGUUUCAGACUUAUGUUUCAUCAAGUAGAUAUCCCCAUAUCUGCUCAAAUCAUCUGUGAAGGUCAGAAAAUAAUGAUACCUGCUGCAAGCCUUAAUAUUCAUCGGACCACAUACAUCAGUAUGUAUGAUUUCCAACAAAUCUGUUGCUUGCUUCAUUGUUCCGGAGAACGGCGUUUUAGUCAUCUUGCCCAUAAGGCAUGGUUCGCAAGCAUCAACUGAUUCAUAAUCAAGUGAUUCCAAAAGCCCAUCAGCAUGGAGUUUCUUCAUGCGCUUUACACCAAUAUGACCUAAACGGCAGUGCCACAAAUAAGUUGCACUAUCAUUAUUAACUUUGCAUCUUUUGGUUUCAAUAUUAUGAUUAUGUGUAUCACUACGAUCGAGAUCCAACGAUGUGUAACCAUAUAAGGUUUUAUUCAUGUAAACAGAACAACAAUUUAUUCUCUUACUUAAAUGAAUAACCCUAUUACAAUAAACAUGAUCAAAUCAUAUUCAUGCUCAAUGGAAACACCAAAUAACACUUAUUUAGGUUCAACACUAAUCCCGAAAUUAUAGGGAGUGUGCCAUGAUGAUCAUAUCAAUCUUGGAACCACUUCCAACACACAUCGUCACUUCACCCUUAACUAGUCUCUGUUUAUUCUGCAACUCCCGUUUCGAGUUACUAAUCUUAGCAACUGAACUAGCAUCAAAUACUGAGGGGUUGCUAUAAACACUAGUAAAGUACACAUCAAUAACAUGUAUAUCAAAUAUACUCAUGUUCACUUUGCCAUCCUUCUUAUCCGCCAAUAACUUGGGGUAGUUCCGCUUCCAGUCACCAGUCCCUUUGCAGUAGAAGCACUUUGUCUCAGGCUUAGGACCAGACUUGGGCUUCUUCACAUGAGUAGCAACUUGCUUGCCGUUCUUUUGAAGUUCCCCUUCUUCCUUUUGCCCUUUUCUUGAAACUAGUGAUCUUUUCAACCAUCAACACUUGAUGUUUUUCUUGAUUUCUACCUUCGUUGAUUUCAGCAUCACGAAGAGCUUGGGAGUUGUUUCCGUUAUCCCUUGCUUAUUAUAGUUCAUCACGAAGUUCUACUAACUUGGUGAUGGUGACUAGAGAAUUCUGUCAAUCACUAUCUUAUCUGGAAGAUUAACUCCCACUUGAUUCAAGCGAUUGUAGUACCCAGACAAUCUGAGCACAUGCUCACUGGUUGAGCGAUUCUCCUCCAUCUUUUAGCUAUAGAACUUGUUGGAGACUUCAUAUCUCUCAACUCGGGUAUUUGCUUGAAAUAUUAACUUCAACUCCUGGAAUAUCUCAUAUGGUCCAUGAUGUUCAAAACGUCUUUGAAGUCCCGAUUCUAAGCCAUUAAGCAUGGUGCACUAAACUAUCAAGUAGACAUCAUAUUGAGCUAGCCAAACGUUCAUAACGUCUGCAUUUGCUCCUGCAAUAGGUCUGUCACCUAGCGGUGCAUCCAGGACAUAAUUCUUCUGUGCAGCAAUGAGGAUAAACCUCAGAUCACGGAUCCAAUCCGUAUCAUUGCUACUAACAUCUUUCAACACAAUUUUCUCUAGGAACAUAUCAAAAUAAACACAGGGAAGCAAUAACGCGAGCUAUUGAUCUACAACAUAAUUUGCAAAAUACUACCGGGACUAAGUUCAUGAUAAAUUUAAGUUCAAUUUAAUCAUAUUACUUAAGAACUCCCACUUAGAUAGACAUCCCUCUAAUCCUCUAAGUGAUCACAUGAUCUAAAUCUACUAAACCAUGUCCGAUCAUCACGUGAGAUGGAGUAGCUUCAUUGGUGAACAUCACUAUGUUGAUCAUAUCUACUAUAUGAUUCACGCUCGACCUUUCGGUCUCCGUGUUCCGAGGCCAUAUCUGUAUAUGCUUGGCUCGUCAAGUAUAACCUGAGUAUUCUGCGUGUGCAACUGUUUUGCACCUGUUGUAUUUGAACGUAGAGCCUAUCACACCCGAUCAUCACGUGGUGUCUCAGCACGAAGAACUUUCGCAACGGUGCAUACUCAGGGAGAACACUUCUUGAUAAUUUAGUGAGAGAUCAUCUUAUAAUGCUACCGUUAAUCAAAGCAAGAUAAGAUGCAUAAAAGAUAAACAUCAUAUGCAAUCAAAAUAUGUGACAUGAUAUGGCCAUCAUCAUCUUGCUUCUUUGAUCUCCAUCUCCAAAGUACUGUCAUGAUCUAUAUCGUCACCGGCAUGACACCAUGAUCUCCAUCAUCUUGAUCUGUAUCAAUGUGUCGUCAUGUGGUCGUCUCGCCAACAAUUGCUCUUGCAACUAUUGCUAUCGCAUAGCGAUAAAGUAAAGCAAUUAUUGGACGCUUGCAUCUUAUGCAAUAAAUAGGCAACCAUAAGGCUUUUCCCAGUUGCCGAUAACUUCAACAAAACAUGAUCAUCUCAUACAAUAACUUAUAUCUCAUUAUGUCUUGACCAUAUCACAUCACAACAUGCCCUGCAAAAACAAGUUAGACGUCCUCUAGUUUGUUGUUGCAAGUUUUACGUGGCUGCUACGGGCUGAGCAAGAACCAUUCUUACCUAUGCAUCAAAAACCACAACGAUAGUUUGUCAAUUUGACUCCGUUUUAACCUUCGCAACGACCAGGCGUAGCCACACUCGGUUCAACUAAAGUUGGAGAAACAGUCACCCGCAAGUCACCUAUGUGCAAACCAGGUCGGGGAAACCGGUCUCGCGUAAGCGUACGCGUAAUGUCGGUCCGGGCCGCUUCAUCCAACAAUACCGCCGAACCAAAGCAUGACAUGCUGGUAGGCAGUAUGACUUAUAUCGCCCACAACUCACUUGUGUUCUACUCGUGCAUAUAACAUCAAACGAUAAAAUCUAGGCUCGGAUGCCACUGUUGGGGAACGUAGUAAUUUCAAAAAAAUUCCUACACACACGCAAGAUCAUGGUGAUGCAUAGCAACGAGGGGGAGAGGCUAAUCUACGUACCCUUGUUGAUCGCAACGGAAGCGUUGACACAACGUAGAGGAAGUAGUCGUACGUCUUCUUCCCGAUCCGACCGAUCCAAGCACCAUUACUCCGGCACCUCCGAGUUCUUAGCACACGUACAGCUCGAUGACGAUCCCCGGGCUCCGAUCCAGCAAAGCUUCGGGGAGGAGUUCCGUCAGCACGACGGCGUGGUGACGAUCUUAACGUUCUACCGACGCAGGGCUUCGCCUAAGCACUACAACGAUAUGAUCGAGGUGGAAUAUGGUGGCAGGGGGCACCGCACACGGCUAAGGAACGAUCUCAAUGAUCAACUUCUGUGUCUAUGGGGUGCCCCUGCCCCCGUAUAUAAAGGAGCAAGGGAGGAGGGGCGGCCGGCCUAGGAGUGGGCGCGCAAAGGGGAGUCCUACUCCUACCGGGAGUAGGACUCCUUCUUUCCUAGUCCAACUAGGAGAAGGGGGGAAAGGAGGGAAGUGGAGAAGGAAGGGAGAGGAGGGCCGCGCCCCAAAUCCCUUGUCCAAUUCGGACUGGGCUUGGGAGGGGCGCACGCCACCUCCUGGCUCCUUCCCACUAAAGCCCAUUAAGGCCCAAUACUCUUCCCCGUAUUCCCGUAACUCCCCGGUACCUCCGAAAAUACCCGAAUCACUCGGAACCUUUCCGAUGUCCGAAUAUAGUCGUCCAAUAUAUCGAUCUUUACGUCUCGACCAUUUCGAGACUCCUCAUCAUGUCCCCGAUCUCAUCCGGGACUCCGAACUCCUUCGGUACAUCAAAACUCAUAAACUCAGAAUAUAACUGUCAUCGAAACCUUAAGUGUGCGGACCCUACGGUUCGAGAACAAUGUAGACAUGACCGAGACACGUCUCCGGUCAAUAACCAAUAGCGGGACCUGGAUGCCCAUAUUGGCUCCUACAUAUUCUACGAAGAUCUUUAUCGGUCAGACCGCAUAACAACAAACGUUGUUCCCUUUGUCAUCGGUAUGUUACUUGCCCGAGAUUCGAUCGUCAGUAUCCAAUACCUAGUUCAAUCUCAUUACCGGCAAGUCUCUUUACUCGUUCUGUAAUACAUCAUCUCGCAACUAACUCAUUAGUUGCAUUGCUUGCAAGGCUUAAGUGAUGUGCAUUACCGAGAGGGCCCAGAGAUACCUCUCCGACAAUCGGAGUGACAAAUCCUAAUCUCGAAAUACGCCAACCCAACAUCUACCUUUGGAGACACCUGUAGAGCUCCUUUAUAAUCACCCAGUUACGUUGUGACGUUUGGUAGCACACAAAGUGUUCCUCCGGUAAACGGGAGUUGCAUAAUCUCAUAGUCAUAGCAACAUACUAAACGAUCGGGUGCUAAGCUAAUGGAAUGGGUCAUAUCAAUCAGAUCAUUCAACUAAUGAUGUGAUCCCGUUAAUCAAAUAACAACUCUUUGUCCAUGGUUAGGAAACAUAACCAUCUUUGAUUAACGAGCUAGUCAAGUAGAGGCAUACUAGUGACACUCUGUUUGUCUAUGUAUUCACACAUGUAUUAUGUUUCCGGUUAAUACAAUUCUAGCAUGAAUAAUAAACAUUUAUCAUGAUAUAAGGAAAUAAAUAAUAACUUUAUUAUUGCCUCUAGGGCAUAUUUCCUUCACAUCAAGCUAGUUUUCAUCACGUUCAUAUGAUUCGCGUUCGGUACUUUGAUAAUUUGGUAUGUGGGUGGACCAGUGCUUGGGUGCUGUCCUUACUUGGACAAACAUCCCACUUAUGAUUAACCUCUAUUGCAAGCAUCCGCAAAUACAAGAGAAGUAUUAAGGUAAACCUAACCAUAGCAUGAAACAUAUGGAUCCAAAUCAGCCCCUUACGAAGCAACACAUAAACUAGGGUUUAGGCUUCUGUCACUCUAGCAACCCAUCUUCUACUUAUUACUUCCCAAUGCCUUCCUCUAGGCCCAAAUAAUGGCGAAGUGUCAUGUAGUCGACGUUCACAUAACAUCACUAGAGGAGAGACAACAUACAUCUCAUCAAAAUAUCAAACGAAUACCAAAUUCAGAUCACUACUAAUAGCAAGACUUCUCCCAUGUCCUCGGGAACAAAAGUAACUACUCACAAAGCAUAAACCUGUUCAUAAUCAGAGGGGUAUUAAUAUGCAUAUAGGAUCUGAACAUAUGAUCUUCCACCAAUUAAACCAACUAGCAUCAACUACAAGGAGUAAUUAACACAAGACACCUACUAGCACCAAUCCCGGACUUGGAGACAGGAAUUGGAUACAAGAGAUGAACUAGGGUUUUGAGAUGAGAUGGUGUUGAUGAAGAUGUUGAUGGAGAUUCCCCUCUCCCGAUGAGAGGAGAGUUGGUGAUGACGAUGGCGAUGAUUUCCCCCUCCGGGAGGGAAGUUUCCCCGGCAGAACAGCUCCGCCAGAGCCCUAGAUUGAUUCCGCCAAGGUUCCGCCUCGUGGCGGCGGAGUUUCGUCCGAGAAGAUGGCUUAUGAUUUUUUUUCCCAUCGAAAGACUCCAUAUAGCAGAAGAUGGCCACCAGAGGGCCACCAGGGGGCCCACGAGGUAGGGGGCGCGCCCCCCACCCUCGUGGGAAGGGUGUGGCCCCCCUGGUGAGGUUCUUGCGCUCAGUAUUUUUUAUGUAUUUGGAAAACAUCAUCCGUGAAGUUUCAGGACUUUUGGAGCUGUGCAGAAUAGGUCUCUAAUAUUUGCUCCUUUUCCAGCCCAGAAUCCCAACUGUCGGCAUUCUCCCUCUUUAUGUAAACCUUGUAAAAUAAGAGAGAAUAGGCAUAAUUAUUGUGACAUAAUGUGUAAUAACAUCCCAUAAUGCAAUAAAUAUUGAUAUAAAAGCAUGAUGCACAAUGGACGUAUCAACUCCCCCAAGCUUAGACCUCGCUUGUCCUCAAGCGAAAAGCCGAAAUCGAAAAAUAUGUGCACAUGUUUAGAGAUAGAGGUGUCGAUAAAAAUAAAAUAUGGACAUGAGGGCAUCAUGAUCAUUCUUAGAACAACAACUUACAUAAUUCUUUGUCAUAUAAUAUCUGAUGCUAGAGUAAUAAUUCAGUCACAAUAUCAAGUAUGAAUCGUAAACUUCAUUGAAAACUAACAAACGACAAUCUCGGUCAUUGAAUCAAUUGCAAUUUAUCAUAACAUAGGAAAGAGUCAAUGUAUAAGAGCUUUUCAGCAAGUCCACAUACUCAACUAUCAUAUAAUCUUUCACAAUUGCUGACACUCAUGCAAUACUUAUGGGUAUGGAGUUUUAAUCGUACACAGAGAAAGAUAGGGGCUUAUAGUUUUGCCUCCCAUCGUUUUACCUCAAGGGUAAUGUCAAUAGUAAUAGUUCAUGAAAACUCACAUCCAAUUGGCCAUAUAUACCAGGAUCUUUCCAACAUAUUAUGCUUGCCAAAGGAUAAAAUGUAAGAAGGAAGGGUGAAGAUCACCAUGACUCUUAUGCAAUGUAGGAGAUGAAAGUAAAAGAUAGGCCCUUCGCAGAGGGAAGUAGAGGUUGUCAUGCACUUUUAUGGGUUGGAUGCACAAAAUCUUAAUGCGAAAGAACGUCACUUUAUAUUGCCACUUGUGAUAUGGACCUUUAUUAUGUAGUUUGUCGCUUUUAUUACUUCCGUAUCACACGCUCGUAUAAAGCUUAUUUCCUCCACACCAAUCAAUCAUACAUAUUUAGAGAGCAUUUUUUAUUGCUUGCACCGAUGACAACUUACUUGAUGGAUCUUACUCAAUCCAUAGGUAGAUAUGGUGGACUCUUAUGGCAAGACUAGUUUAAGGGUGUUUGGAAGCACAAGUAGUAUUUCUACUUGGUGCAAUGAAUUUGGCUAGCAUGAGGGGGAAAGGCAAGCUCAUCAUGUUGGAAGAUCCAAGACAAUAUAAUUUAUCUCAGAUGUAAGAAAACAUAACCCAUUACGUUGUCUUCCUUGACUCAACACUAAUCUUUAUUAUAUAGCUCAUGGACUCGAUUACAUAGAAGGAUAAUAAAGCAAAACUCACAACUAUAUUAUACUAAGAACUUUUAUUCUACUAGAUCAAGAUAUUACCAACUAAGAAAAACAGUAAAGAUAGAGUGAUGGUGAUACGAUACCGGGGCACUCCCCCAAGCUUGGCAGUUGCCAAGUGGAGUGCCCAUACCCAUGUGAUUAUGUCUCCUUUGCUGGUGAAGAAGGUGGGGUUGUUGAUGAUGGAUAGUCGCACAUCAAGCGUAGGAGGUCUUCUAACUUGCGGAUAAUGCCCUUGAGUGCGAUGAUAUGCUCCUUCAACAAAAUAUUUUCACAUGUGAGAUACUUAUUUUGUAUACGAGCCAACUCAAUCAUCUUGAAAGCUUUGAUUUCUAUUGGGGUAAGAAGAUUGUGAUCCAGUUGAAGGGUGUCUUCUGCUGUUGGAACUUGGUCCUCCAUGGCCUUCUUGAUCCCUUCAUCCUUAUUGAUCUCCAUAGGUUCUUCUCUCUUCAGCUCUAUCUUCAUUAGCCAAGCAUCAUUGCCCUCAUGGUUGGAGGAGGAGGGAGACGACAUAAUGCCUGGCCUUGACAACCCUGACAGAAAACAACUUGAAACAAAGACAGGAGAUUUUUGCGUGAUACGGGAGUCAAAACCCCCGGGAGAUUAUAUAAUGAAUUUUUACCGACCAAAAUACGUGUCGUGUACGAAAACGGAGUCCGGAGAGCACACGAGGUGCCCACGAGGUAGGGGGGUGCGCCCAGUAGGGUAGGGCGCACCCUCCACCCUCGUGGAGCCCUCAUGUCCUUCCCGGACUGCUGCUUAUUUUUCUAUUUUUCUAAAUAUUCCAAAACAGAGAAAUAUUGCCUUAAAAACUGUUUUGGAGUCGGUUUACUUACCGUACCACAUACCUAAUCCUUUUCGGAGUCUGAAACGUUUCGGAAAGUGUCCUUUAUGUAUUCCUCCGGGGUUACGGUUUCGAUAACAUUGGUUUCAACAUUUAUGGGAUUACCUGAGAUAUAGUGUUUGAUUCUUUGACCAUUUACCACCUUCGGAUUGGUGCCUUCAAAGUUGUUGAUUUUUAUGGCACCGGAACGGUAGACCUCCUCGAUAACGUAAGGGCCUUCCCAUUUAGAGAGGAGUUUUCCUGCAAAAAAUCUUAAACGGGAGUUGUAAUAGCUUCUACCCACUUAGUAAUUAAAUAUCUAGGGACUCAAAAUCUUAAGGUACCACAUUCCUGCAAAAAAUCUUAAAUGUGAACCACCAUCAGUCAUUAAAUAUCUAGGGACUCAAAAUCUUGGAAAAAUAACUUCUUUAAGCAUUUUAAGAAAAGUGUUAUGAUCGGCACUACUAGUUGGAAUAGCUUCUACCCACUUAGUAACAUAAUCAACAGCAACUAAAAUAUGUGUAUAACCAUUAGAGGAAGGAAAAGGUCCCAUAUAGUCAAAGCCCCAAACAUCAAAUGGUUCAAUAACAAGUGAAUAAUUCAUGGGCAUUUCUUGACGUCUACUAAUAUUACCAAUUCUUUGACAUUCAUCACAAGAUAAGACGAACUUACGGGCAUCCUUGAAGAGAGUAGGCCAAUAAAAACCAGAUUGCAGUACCUUAUGUGCAGUUCUAUCUCCAGGAUGGUGUCCUCCAUAAGCUUCGGAGUGACACUUGUGUAGGAUCUGUUCCUAUUCAUGCUUAGGUACACAACUUCUAAUAACACCAUCUACUCCUUCUUUAUAAAGAUGUGGGUCAUCCCAAAAGUAAUGCCUCAAAUCAUAGAAGAACUUUUUCUUUUGCUGGUAUGUGAAACUAGGUGGUAUAAACUUAGAAACAAUGUGAUUAGCAUAAUUAGCAUACCAUGGAGUAGUAUGAGAAGCAUUUAUGACAUUAAUUUGCUCAUCAAGAAAACUAUCAUCAAUAGGUAGUGGGUCAUCAAGCACAUUUUCUAACCUAGACAAGUUGUCUGCAACGGGGUUCUUAGCUCCUUUUCUAUCAACAAUAUGCAAAUCAAAUUCUUGUAGUAAGAGAACCCAUCUAAUAAGUCUAGGUUUAGCAUCUUUCUUUUCCAUAAGAUAUUUAAUAGCAGCAUGAUCAGUGUGAAUAGUUACUUUAGAAUCAACAAUAUAAGGUCUAAACUUAUCACAAGCAAAUACAACUGCUAAGAAUUCUUUUUCAGUAGUAGCAUAGUUUCUUUGAGCAUUGUCUAGAGUUUUACUAGCAUAUUGAAUAACAUUUAGUUUCUUAUCAACUCUUUGUCCUAGAACAACACCUACAGCAUAAUCACUAGCAUCACACAUAAUUUCAAAGGGUAAAUUCCAAUCAGGUGGCUGAACAAUAGGUGCAGAGAUCAAUGCUUUCUUAAGUAUUUCAAAUGCUUCUACACAAUCAUCAUCAAAGACAAAUGGUAUAUCUUUUUGUAAUAAAUUAGUCAGAGGCCGAGAGAUUUUUGAGAAGUCCUUAAUGAACCUCCUAUAAAAUCUGGCAUGACCAAGGAAACUUCUUAUACCUUUAAUGUCCUUGGGACAUGGCAUCUUUUCAAUAUCAUCAACCUUGGCUUUAUCAACUUCAAUACCUCUUUCAGAAACUUUAUGCCCCAAGACAAUACCUUCAUUAACCAUAAAGUGACACUUUUCCCAAUUCAAGACAAGAUUAUUUUCUUCACAUCUCUGCAAAACUCGAUCAAGGUUGCUCAAGUAGUCAUCAAAAGAAGAUCCAUAGACGGAAAAGUCGUCCAUGAAAACCUCGCAAAUCUUUUCACAAAAGUCAGAGAAUAUAGCCAUCACGCAUCUUUGAAAGGUAGCAGGUGCAUUACAUAAACCAAAUGGCAUACGUCUAUAAGCAAAAGUACCAAAAGGGCAUGUAAAAGUAGUCUUUGAUUGAUCUUUGGCUGACACAGGUAUUUGAGAGAAACCAGAAUAACCAUCUUGAAAGCAAAAAUGUGUAUGUUUGGACAAUCUUUCUAGCAUUUGAUCGAUAAAAGGUAAGGGGUAAUGAUCUUUUUUAGUAGCCUUAUUUAAUUUGUGGAAAUCAAUUACCAUCCUAUAACCUAUAAUAAUUCUUUGAGGAAUCAAUUCAUUUUUAUCAUUAGGAACAGCAGUAAUACCUCCCUUCUUAGGGACACAAUGGAAAGGGCUUACCCACUGACUAUCAGCAACGGGAUAAAUUAUACCUGCCUCAAGGAGCUUUACUAUCUCCUUUCUUACCACUUCUUUCAUUUUAGGAUUCAACUGACGUUGAUGAUCACAAACUGGUUUAGCAUCUUCUUCCAAAUUAAUUUUAUGUUGACAUAGAGUGGGACUAAUGCCCUUAAGAUCAUCAAGAGUAUACCCAAUAGCAGCACGGUGCUUCUUCAGAGUUUUCAAUAAUCUCUCUUCUUCAUGCUCUGAAAGGUUAGCACUAAUAAUAACAUGAUAUAUCUUUUUCUCAUCAAGAUAAGCAUAUUUAAGGGUAUCAGGUAAUGGUUUAAGCUCAAACACGGGAUCACCCUUGGGUGGAGGAGGAUCCCCUAGGAUUUCAACAGGUAAAUUAUUUUUCAAAAUAGGUUCCUGUUUAAAGAAUACUUCAUCUAAUUCCCUUAUUUCAUUCAAAAACAUAUCGUUUUCAUGGUCUAGCAAAUAUUGUUCUAAAGGAUCACUAGGAGGUACGACAAUAGAAGCAAGACCAAUAAUUUCAUCCUUACUAGGUAAUUUUUCUUCACGGUGUUGUCUACUAAAUUUAGAAAAAUUAAAUUCAUGAGUCAUAUCAUCUAAACCGACAGUAGCAACAUCUCUUUUGCAAUCUAUGGUAGCGUUAACAGUAUUUAAGAAGGGUCUACCAAACAUAAUGGGACAAAAGUUAUCAUGUGGGGAACCAAGAACAAGAAAAUCAGCAAGAUAUUUAGUUUUCCCACACAAGACUUCAACAUCUCUAACAAUUCCCAUUGGUGAAAUAGUAUCUCUAUUGGCAUGUUUAAUUGUGACAUCAAUAUCUUCCAUCUCAACAGGUGCAAUAUCAUGCAUAACUUCUUUGUAUAAGGAAUAAGGUAUUGCACUAGCACUAGCACCCAUAUCACAUAAGCCAUGAUAACAAUGAUCUCCUAUUUUAACAGAAAUAACAGGCAUGCCUACUAUAGGUCUAGGUUGAUCUUUAUCACGGGGUUUAGCAAUUCUAGCAGUUUCAUUACAGAAAUAAAUAACAUGCCCAUCAAUAUUAUCAGACAAGAGAUCUUUAACAGUAGCAAUAUUAGGUUCAACUUUAACUUGCUCAGGAGGUGUAUAUGUUUUCAUAUUGCUUUUACGAACCAUAGUUGAAGCUUUAGCAUGAUCCUUUAUCCUAACAGGGAAAGGUGGUUUCUCAACAUAAGAAGUAAGAACAAUAGGAUCAUUAUAAGUAAUAGUCUUUUCUUCAACUUUAAUAGGUGCAACUACUUUUACUUCUAUGGGAGGAUGAUAUUUAAACCACUUCUCCUUGGGGAGAUCAACAUAAGUAGCAAAAGAUUCAUAGAAAGAAGCUACUAUCUCAGAGUCAAGUCCAUAUUUAGUGCUAAAUUUACGAAAAAUAUCGGUACCAUAAAAGAUUUAACACAAUCAAAACUAGGUGUCAUACCUGACUUCUUACCAUUGCCGAGGUCCCAAUCUUCAGAGUUGCGUUUAAUUCUUUCCAAUAAAUCCCAUUUGAAUUCAAUAGUCUUCAUCAUAAAAGAGCCAGCACAAGAAGUAUCAAGCAUGGUGCGAUUGUUACCAGAAAGCUGAGCAUAAUUUUUUUGAAUAAUCAUUUCUCUUGAGAGCUCAUGAUUGGGGCAUGAAUAUAACAUUGAUUUAAGCCUCCCCCAAGCUUGAGCGAUGCUUUCUCCUUCGUGAGGCCAACAAUUAUAUAUAUAAUUGCGAUCACGAUGAACAAGAUGCAUAGGAUAAAACUUCUGAUGAAAUUCCAAUUUCAAUCGUUUGUAAUUCCAAGACCUCAUAUCAUCACAUAGCCUAUACCAUGUCGAUGCAUCUCCCCUCAAAGAUAAGGGAAAGACCUUCUUCUUAACAACAUCUCCGGGUACACCUGCAAGCUUAAAUAAUCCACAAACUUGAUCCACAUAUAUCAGAUGUUCAUCAGGAUGUUUUGUUCCAUCUCCUAGAAAAGGAUUACCUAGCAGUUUUUCUAUCAUACCCGAAGGAACUUCAAAGCAAGAAUUUUCAUUUUCAUUUUCAUUUUCAUUUUCAGUAGGUUCAGUAGGUUGAGGAGCAACUCUUUGCUCUACUGGUCGGGGCGAAGAUACCCCAAACAAGCCCCUCAGAGGAUUACCUUCCAUGGUAACAAGUGACAGUAAAUUUCAGCACACUAUAUAAAUUUUUCCUUACCAAAUUCCACCAACCAAAGGCGCUUCACUCCCCAGCAAUGGCGCCAGAAAAGAGUCUUGAUGACCCACAAGUAUAGGGGAUCUAUCGUAGUCCUUUCGAUAAGUAAGAAUGUCAAACCCAACGAGGAGCAGAAGGAAAUGAUAAGCGGUUUCCAGCAAGGUAUUCUCUGCAAGUACUGAAAUAAGUGGUAACAGAUAGUUUUGUGAUAGGAUAAUUUGUAACGAGCAACAAGUAACAAAAGUAAGUAAAGUGCAGCAAGGUGGCCCAAUCCUUUUGUAACAAAGGACAAGCCUGGACAAACUCUUAUAUGAUGUAAAGCGCUCCCGAGGACACAUGGGAAUAUCGUCAAGCUAGUUUUCAUCACGUUCAUAUGAUUCGCGUUUGGUACUUUGAUAAUUUGGUAUGUGGGUGGACCGGUGCUUGGGUGCUGUCCUUAAUUGGACAAACAUCCCACUUAUGAUUAACCUCUAUUGCAAGCAUCCGCAAAUACAAGAGAAGUAUUAAGGUAAACCUAACCAUAGCAUGAAACAUAUGGAUCCAAAUCAGCCCCUUACGAAGCAACACAUAAACUAGGGUUUAGGCUUCUGUCACUCUAGCAACCCAUCAUCUACUUAUUACUUCCCAAUGCCUUCCUCUAGGCCCAAAUAAUGGCGAAGUGUCAUGUAGUCGACGUUCACAUAACAUCACUAGAAGAGAGACAACAUACAUCUCAUCAAAAUAUCAAAUGAAUACCAAAUUCAGAUCACUACUAAUAGCAAGACUUCUCCCAUAUCCUCGGGAACAAAAGUAACUACUCACAAAGCAUAAACCUGUUCAUAAUCAGAGGGGUAUUAAUAUGCAUAUAGGAUCUGAACAUAUGAUCUUCCACCAAUUAAACCAACUAGCAUCAACUACAAGGAGUAAUUAACACUACUAGCAACCUACUAGCACCAAUCCCGGACUUGGAGACAAGAAUUGGAUACAAGAGAUGAACUAGGGUUUUGAGAUGAGAUGGUGCUGAUGAAGAUGUUGAUGGAGAUUGCCCUCUCCCGAUGAGAGGAGCAUUGGUGAUGACGAUGGCGAUGAUUUCCCCCUCCGGGAGGGAAGUUUCCCCGGCAGAAUAGCUCUGCCAGAGCCCUAGAUUGAUUCCGCCAAGGUUCCGCCUCGUGGAGGCGGAGUUUCGUCCGAGAAGAUGGCUUAUGAUUUUUUCCCAUCGAAACACUCCAUAUAGCAGAAGAUGGCCACCGGAGGGCCACCAGGGGGCCCACGAGGUAGGGGGCACGCCCCCACCCUCGUGGAAAGUGUGUGCCCCCCCUGGUGAGGUUCUUGCGCUCAGUAUUUUUUAUAUAUUUGGAAAACAUCAUCCAUGAAGUUUCAGGACUUUUCGAGCUGUGCAGAAUAGGUCUCUAAUAUUUGCUCCUUUUGCAGCCCAGAAUCCCAACUGCCGGCAUUCUCCCUCUUUAUGUAAACCUUGUAAAAUAAGAGUCAAUAGGCAUAAGUAUUGUGACAUAAUGUGUAAUAACAGCCCAUAAUGCAAUAAAUAUUGAUAUAAAAGCAUGAUGCAAAAUGGACGUAUCACUCUGGUAAACGGGAGUUGCAUAAUCUCAUAGUCAUAGGAACAUGUAUAAGUCAUGAAGAAAGCAAUAGCAGAAUACUAAACGAUCAUGUGCUAAGCUAACGGAAUGGGUCAAGUAAAUCACAUCAUUCUCCUAAUGAUGUGAUCCCGUUAAUCAAAUGACAACUCAUGUCAAUGGCUAGGAAACAUAACCAUCUUUGAUCAACGAGCUAGUCAAAUAGAAGCAUACUAGUGACACUCUGUUUGUCUAUGUAUUCACACAAGUAUUAUGUUUCCGGUUAAUACAAUUCUAGCAUGAAUAAUAAACAUUUAUCAUGAUAUAAGGAAAUAAAUAAUAACUUUAUUAUUGCCUCUAGGGCAUAUUUCCUUCAGUCUCCCACUUGUACUAGAGUCAAUAAUCUAGAUUACACAAUAAUGAUUCUAACACCCAUGGAGCCUUGGUGGUGAUCAUGUUUUGCUCAUGGAAGAGGCUUAGUCAACGGGUCUGCAACAUUUAGAUCCAUAUGUAUCUUGCAAAUUUCUAUGUCUCCCACCUGGACUAGAUCUCGGAUGGAGUUGAAGCAUCUCUUGAUGUGCUUGGUUGUCUUGUGAAAUAUGGAUUCCUUUGCCAAGGCAAUUGCACCAGUAUUGUCACGAAAGAUUUUCAUUGGACCCGAUGCACUAGGUAUGACACCUAGAUCGGAUAUGAACUCCUUCAUCCAGACUCCUUCCUUUGCUGCUUCCGAAGUAGCUAUGUACUCCGCUUCACACAUAGAUCCCGCCACAAUGCUUUGUUUAGAACUGCACCAACUGACAGCUCCACCGUUCAAUGUAAACACGUAUCUGGUUUGCGAUUUAGAAUCGUCCGGAUUAGUGUUAAAGCUUGCAUCGACGUAACCAUUUAUGACUAGCUCUUUGUCACUUCCAUAAACGAGAAACAUAUCCUUAGUCCUUUUCAGGUAUUUCAGGAUGUUAUUGACCGCUGUCUAGUGAUCCACUCCUGGAUAACUUUGGUACCUCCGUGCUAAACUUAUAGCAAGGCACACAUCAGGUCUGGUACACAACAUUGCAUACAUGAUAGAGCCUAUGGCUGAAGCAUAGGGAACAUCUUUCAUCUUCUCUCUAUCUUCUGCAGUGGUCGGGCAUUGAGUCUUACUCAACUUCACACCUUGUAACACCGGCAAGAACCCUUUCUUUGCUUGAUCUAUUUUGAACUUCUUCAAAACAUUGUCAAGGUAUGUGCUUUGUGAAAGUCCAAUUAAGCGUCUUGAUCUAUCUCUAUAGAUCUUGAUGCCCAAUAUAUAAGUAGCUUCACCGAGGUCCUUCAUUGAAAAACUCUUAUUCAAGUAUCCCUUUAUGCUAUCCAGAAAUUCUAUAUCAUUUCCAAUCAGCAAUAUGUCAUCCCCAUAUAAUAUCAGAAAUGCUACAGAGCUGCCACUCACUUUCUUGUAAAUGCAGGCUUCUCCAAAAGUCUGUAUAAAACCAAAUGCUUUGAUCACACUAUCAAAGCGUUCAUUCCAACUCCGAGAGGCUUGCACCAGUCCAUAAAUGGAUCGCUGGAGCUUGCACACUUUGUUAGCUCCUUUUGGAUCGACAAAACCUUCCGGUUGCAUCAUAUACAACUCUUCUUCCAGAAAUCCGUUCAGGAAUGCAGUUUUGACAUCCAUUUGCCAAAUUUCAUAAUCAUAAAAUGCAGCAAUUGCUAACAUGAUGUGACGCCCCCGAUUCAAUCGUACACUAAUCAUGCACGCAAUUGUGUACGAUCAAGAUCAGGGACUCACGGGAAGAUAUCACAACACAACUCUAAAACAUAAUUAAGUCAUACAAGCAUCAUAAUACAAGCCAGGGGCCUCGAGGGCUCGAAUACAAGUGCUCGAACAUAGACGAGUCAGCGGAAGCAACAAUAUCUGAGUACAGACAUAAGUUAAACAAGUUGCCAUAAGAUGGCUAGCACAAACUGGGAUACAGAUCGAAAGAGGCGCAGGCCUCCUGCCUGGGAUCCUCCUAACUACUCUUGGUCGUCGUCAGCGGCCUGCACGUAGUAGUAGGAACCUCCAGUGUAGUAGGAAUCAUCGUCGACGGUGGAGUCUGGCUCCAGGGCUCCAGCAUCUGGUUGCGACAACCAGGUAGAAGGGAAAGGGGAAAAGAGGGAGAAAAGCAACCAUGAGUACUCAUCCAAAGUACUCGCAAGCAAGGAGCUACACUACAUAUGCAUGGGUAUAUGUGUAAAGGGCCAUAUCGGUGGACUGAACUGCAGAAAGCCAGAAUAAGAGGGGGAUAGCUAAUCCUGUCGAAGACUACGCUUCUGGCAGCCUCCGUCUUGCAGCAUGUAGAAGAGAGUAGAUUGAAGUCCCCCAAGUAGCAUCUCCAAGUAGCAUCUCCAAGUAGCAUCUCCAGUAGCAUCUCCAGUAGCAUCGCAGUAGCAUAAUCCUACCCGGUGAUCCUCCGCUCGUCACCCUGUGGAAAAGCGAUCACCGGGUUGUCUGUGGAACUUGGAAGUGUGUGUUUUAUUAAGUAUCCGGUUCUAGUUGUCAUAAGGUCCAGGUACAACUCCAAGUCGUCCUGUUACCGAAGAUCACGGCUAUUCUAAUAGAUUAACUUCCCUGCAGGGGUGCACCAUCUUACCCAGCACGCUUGAUCCCAUUUGGCCGGACACACUUUCCUGGGUCAUGCCCGGCCGCGGAAGAUCAACACGUCGCAGCCCUACCUAGGCUCAACAGAGAGGCCAGCACGCCGGUCUAAACCUAAGCGCACAGGGGUCUGGGCCCAUCGCCCAAUGCACACCUGCACGUUGCGAACGCGGCCGGAAGCAGACCUAGCCUAGUGGCGUUCCAGUCCAAUCCGGCGCGCGCCGCUCAGUCGCUGGCGUCACGAAGUGCUUCGGCUGAUACCACGACGUCGGGAUACCCAUAACUACUCCCGCGUAGAUGGUUAGUGCGUAUAAGCUCGUAGCCAACUCAGAUCAAAUACCAAGAUCUCGUUAAGCAUGUUAAGUAUCCGUGAACGCCGAACAGGGCCAGGCCCACCUCUCUCCUAGGCGGUCUCAACCUGCCAUGUCGCUCCGCCUCAAGAUCCACGCGCGGGUGCUCCACCAGCCGACCCGACUUUAGUCUCACAUGUAUCAUGUAUAAGUAUAUAGUAUAUACCCGUGAUCAACUCCCGAGUGAUCACGGCCCGAUAGUAUAGCACGGCAGACGGACAAGAAUGUAGGGCCACAGAUGAAUGUACUAGCAUCCUAUACUAAGCAUUAGGAUUGCAGGUAAAGGUAUCAACAGUAGUAGCAAGGAUAGGCUAUGCAUCAGGAUAGGAUUAACGGGAAGCAGUAACAUGCUACACUACUCUAAUGCAAGCAGUAUAGAGAAGAGUAGGCGAUAUCUGGUGAUCAAAGGGGGGGCUUGCCUGGUUGCUCUGGCAAGAGAGAGGGGUCGUCAACACCGUAGUCGAACUGGGCAGCAGCAGCGUCGAUCUCGUAGUCUACCGAGAGAAGAGGGGGAAGAAACAAUGAAUACCAAGUAAACAGAUGCAUAUCGAUGCAUGACAUGUCAAGAAGCGAUGCUAGGCGUGCCCUAACGUGGUAUGAGGUGGUACUGGUUAAGGGGGGAAUCAUCCGUGAAAGUAUUCCCGGUGUUUCGUGUUUUCGGGCAGAGGAGCCGGAGGGGGAAAGUUGCGGGUUCGAUAGGUUAGGGGGGUGUGGCGGACGAACGGACUGAGUAUCCGGAUUCGUCUCGUCGUUCUGAGCAACUUUCAUGUUGAAAAUAUUUUAAUCCGAGUUACGGAUUAAAAGAUAUGAUUUUUUAAAGAUUUUAUUAAUUUCUGGAAUUUAAUUAAUUAAUUAUUUAAUUCGAAAAAUGGAAUUAUGACGUCAGCAUGAUGUCAUGCUGAUGUCAGCAGUCAACAGGGUUGACUAGGUCAACCCUGACAUGUGGGUCCCGUUCGUCAUACUCUGUUAACUAAUUAUCUUAGUUUAGUUUAAUUAACAGUAGUUAAUUAGGUUAAUUAGUCAUUAGGUUUAAUUAAUCAGGAUUAAUUAAAUUAAUUAUUUACUUAAUUAAUUAAUUAAUUAAUUUUAUUCAUUAUUAUUUUUAUUAAUUAUAUUUAUCUAAAUUCCUUUUCCCUUUUUUUUAUUUUAAAAACGUCCUGGGGGNNNNNNNNNNNNNNNNNNNNNNNNNNNNNNNNNNNNNNNNNNNNNNNNNNNNNNNNNNNNNNNNNNNNNNNNNNNNNNNNNNNNNNNNNNNNNNNNNNNNNNNNNNNNNNNNNNNNNNNNNNNNNNNNNNNNNNNNNNNNNNNNNNNNNNNNNNNNNNNNNNNNNNNNNNNNNNNNNNNNNNNNNNNNNNNNNNNNNNNNNNNNNNNNNNNNNNNNNNNNNNNNNNNNNNNNNNNNNNNNNNNNNNNNNNNNNNNNNNNNNNNNNNNNNNNNNNNNNNNNNNNNNNNNNNNNNNNNNNNNNNNNNNNNNNNNNNNNNNNNNNNNNNNNNNNNNNNNNNNNNNNNNNNNNNNNNNNNNNNNNNNNNNNNNNNNNNNNNNNNNNNNNNNNNNNNNNNNNNNNNNNNNNNNNNNNNNNNNNNNNNNNNNNNNNNNNNNNNNNNNNNNNNNNNNNNNNNNNNNNNNNNNNNNNNNNNNNNNNNNNNNNNNNNNNNNNNNNNNNNNNNNNNNNNNNNNNNNNNNNNNNNNNNNNNNNNNNNNNNNNNNNNNNNNNNNNNNNNNNNNNNNNNNNNNNNNNNNNNNNNNNNNNNNNNNNNNNNNNNNNNNNNNNNNNNNNNNNNNNNNNNNNNNNNNNNNNNNNNNNNNNNNNNNNNNNNNNNNNNNNNNNNNNNNNNNNNNNNNNNNNNNNNNNNNNNNNNNNNNNNNNNNNNNNNNNNNNNNNNNNNNNNNNNNNNNNNNNNNNNNNNNNNNNNNNNNNNNNNNNNNNNNNNNNNNNNNNNNNNNNNNNNNNNNNNNNNNNNNNNNNNNNNNNNNNNNNNNNNNNNNNNNNNNNNNNNNNNNNNNNNNNNNNNNNNNNNNNNNNNNNNNNNNNNNNNNNNNNNNNNNNNNNNNNNNNNNNNNNNNNNNNNNNNNNNNNNCGACAGCGAUGAGGGGGGCGACGGGAUCGGCCGGUGCCGAUCCGGAUCCGCGCGGGGAGGGAGGAGGAGGGGAUCGGGGGGAAAUGGGUGCGGCUAGGGUUUCCUGCCGACCGGGAGUGAGGGGGUUGGGCCGGGCCAGUGGGUGGCCGGCUGGGCCAGGUGGGGGCUUGGCCCAGUUGGGCCAGUGGGGUUUUCUCCCCCUCUCCCAUUUUUGUUUUCUUUGUCUUUUCUUAUUUUUUUUCUUUUCUGUUUUAUUUUAUUCGGUCUAUCUAGAUACUUUAUAAAAAUGUGUGCACCCCACCAUAAUUAACUUUGUAAUAUUUGACAACCCCCGAACAUUUUAGAUUUAAUUUUUGAAAAAUUUUAUUGUUUGCCUAUGUUUUCAAUUGAAUUUGAACCGGGUUCGAAUCAACGUGAGUUUAAUCACGGUAACCGAGGUGACGUGGCAUCAUUAGCAGGGAUUACUGUAGCUUAAUUAUCCGGGUGUUACAAUUCUCCUCCACUACAAGAAAUCUCGUCCCGAGAUUUAAGCGGUGGAGUAAGGGGGGGGGGGAAGGUGUUGGUAGCAAAAAACCUAACGAGUCUUCUCGGUCUUGGCUGCCCUUUCGAAGAGGUUGAUCCCUUUCGUUGUUGUCUUCAUUUCUCUGCUUCCAGUCACCAUGAUCAAGUCGUCAUCCUUUCUUUAGGAUCUCCAGCGUCCUACGAACGCGGCCAGGGGGAAUUACUUAGGAAGGACGCACCUCCACAAAGCUGGGUAUCAGACGGUGAACUCAAUGGGAAAAACACGAGGUACCCCACGAGUUGUAUUUCAGUGAAUCCGUUGAGUGCAAUAUAUGAUGGUACCAAAGUUUCAAAUGGGUAGGCAAUCAUUCGAUGCCUAGACAGAAGCUGGAAUGGGGGCUUGAACAACGAGAAUAACAUGGUGUUUGAUUCCAGGAAGGAUAAUGGUAUAGAAUUUAGCUCGUCAAUCACAUAUGAAGCCAGAUGCAAAGGAUACAUUUGAAACCGGGUUGUAAAGAAGAGUUAGGUUUCGAUCCAGGGACCUGUGGGUUAUGGGCCCACCAUAUGGGUUGAAAGUAGGAAGGGUGGUGACAUCUUACACAGCCGCGACAGGGAGGCAUGUCAGUGAAUAGCUUGUCAGCUAUGCCGGCAACAAUGUCGGUACCAAGGACGGGGAACGAAGAGAGUCAUUAUUCUACUUGUUGAACGAGGCGAAACAAUUGGCAAAGUUCCCGUCCAUCGGUGGUUACCGGAAUGUCAUCAACAAUAGUAACAAGGUCUUACCGACAGAGUUGUACAUCGAGGUGUUUGCCCAAGCAGUGGAUUAUUACUGCUUGUAUCAUAUAGAUCAUAGAAAAGGUUUAAACAAACCAAUGGAAGGAAAAUAUGAUCAUCAGAUUAAACAGAACAAUGGAAAGGAAAAUAUGUUUAAACACGUAUUCCAGGGGUAUAUCCUUCCCAAGGACAAGCAGAUGAUAUCCAUGACAGGAUAGAAGGUAGAAAACCAUUUAGGUAAGGGAGAAAAAUUUCAUGACAUUACCCAUACAACGGUGUUUGGAUAAUUGAUAAAGAGAAUCUAGCAUUGUGCUUCAAAUGUUCUUGGUGAUGAACGGAGUACCACAGACAUGCUUCAGGUAGCAAUGAUAAGGUGUUUCAAUCAAGGGCUAGACUUCGGAUACACCAAUGAUCCAUCAGGAGUAACUUAUAAAAUAAGUCCUACCACUUCCUCCAGGAGGAAUGGUUAUCCUUGCAAAAGAAAUCAUAAUGAUAGGUCCUCCAGCCCAGGGGGGUGCUAGGCAUGACAUCAUGUUACCGGGUCAUCAAAGGACAAACAACAUAACUCCUGGAAAGUUGUCCCAACCAUCAUAUCUGACCGAGAUUCAGAUCCAAUUGGUGUCAUGAUGCCUCAGACUCAGGAUGUCCGAGAAGAAAAGGCGCAACACAAAUCAUUGAAAUGGCAUUGCAAGAUUCUCGAGAAAUGAACUAUGGGAGCGGGUUCCUGAAACAAUAGUUCAUCAUUAAACCAAGGAGAGGUGAGGAGGUGGCUGAUUGACUCAACGACAAUUCAUUGAGAUUUUCAAAAGAUGGAUUUCCACAAUAAUGUGAACAAGAAGAUGACAUUUGUCAGAUCAAAUGGUAUAGUUAUGUAUGCUCGAGGAAAACAUACACAAUUAAACAUUGGUUGAAAGGUGCACCCGAAAUAUGGGUUGGGUUGCACGACCAAUGUCAGAAGGGUGAUUCAAUAGUCAAUAGCCUAAGAAUGAACUUUCGACCAUUAACUUCAAAAAAAUAGGGUUGCUAGAAGGAAAGAAUCCAAACAACACCGUUCACUCGUUGGAAUUAACACGGGGACCAAGAAAAAAUGGUGAUGGUGAGAAGUAUUUCUAUGUCAAGAAUUCUCAAGAGGUGGAACAAAUCUCAGAACAUUCUUGACAUAAAGGAUGGUAAUACUCCAAGGUAAAGAAGAACAAUUGCUGGAUAGCAAGGAACUCAAGGUAUAACACCAAACAUGAACAAGCUUGUGUUGGUGGGAGGGCAAUAAAGUGGUCGACGAUAAUACAAUUCAUCGAGGGCAAGGAUGGUAUUUCUCAUCAUGAAUUCAAUUGAUAUCCUGGAGGAGCUCAAAAUGUUGAUGAUCACGACACCUUUGUCGCGAGAGUUCAUGAAGAUGUAAUCGAUCGGUAACGACAUCAAGUCAAGUAAUGAUGAAGUGAAAGGUUAUUGGAACCAGGGGUACGACACAAACUCAAAACCAAGCUUAUUGUUCAAGGCGAAAUGAUAUGAUGAUGAGGAUCGACGUAAGGUUAGUUCAUCGUCGAAAGUUGGUUCUCCGAGAAUAAGGACCAGGUAGCACAGUUAGAAUCGUCACGACAAUGAUAUAGCCAAACAGGCUAGGAAUGGCGUGAUCGGGUACAAACUCGUACUUAUAGAAGCUUACUGAAAAGUUGUUGAACCGAAGAGCGGACUCGGUUCAGUUAUCGGUGUCUUUGAGUGUUCAAUAACUCAGAGCCCGCGAAAAAUUGGAAUCAGUGGGAAGGUAGCACUUGAUGAAGAACUCAUAAAAAGUUAUGCAGUUCCAUGAUAAUCUCGAGAUACCAGGGGGGUAAUACUCGACACAAGAUCAAAGUAAAGGUUGGGUUGGUGUAUUGAUCCAUAGAAGACAAUUGUUUUAGCUUGUCCGAGAAAUGAGAUCAAAGAAGAACAAUCAUGGUCGGAACCACGGUUGCAAAAGGCCAGAUCCUAGAUAUAAGAUGAACUUAUACCAAAGGAAUAAUUUAUUUAAGAGAAGCUUUGAUGAUAAGAUCUACAUCGUGUCCAUGGGCAUGAACACAAGUUCAAGGUCGACUCCCACUUCUCCAAUGCAUAACCUUUCAUUCACUUCUCACGUUCGAGGAAGUUGCAGUGUUGAAAUUUUAUCUGGUGAAGCACCAGAAGAGUAUGACUCGUGAAAACUUUCGGGUUCACACGGUUUAGAGAAGGCAUAUGUUCAACCCAUAGGGGCUUCUUAGAAACAUAUACCACAAGUUUCAAGAGUAAAUAACACAAGCCCGAAAGCAGAGCAUGGUUGGCCAAGCAGAGGAUACAACUUAACAAAGGCAUUAUGUAUCAGGGGAAGAACUCACAAGGUGAUCAAAUGUGAAGGACACUGUCGGAUAACAAUCCAACAAAGGACUUGAUGGUCCAUGAAGGAUCUGAUACGAGUAUUGGUACUGAACUAGAGGAAGAAGAAUGCAAGGAGAUCAGAUUAUAGAAACAACUGACUAACUCAAUUGCCAAAUGCAAAGGAAUUAUGAUUUCCAAAUCAAGGGAUCAGAAGCAAUGCUCUGAUUAGGGAUGGAUAAGUUGAAUAGCCUUAGGGUACAAUCAACGACAAUUGGAUUGGUCGAGAACCAAUUCCAGUUAAAAGAAUGGAAGCUCAGCCAGAAACGUAAUUUAUAAGGAUCAAUGAUGAUUGCGUGUAUUCGCAACAUAUUGAGUCAUCAGACUCAAAAUGAUAAUGACAAGGAAUGUCAAUAAGAUUUCUAUACUUAUGGGAUUAAUCAUAAUGAGAGCAAACAAGAAAUUCCAGAGCAAUAGGUUGCUGAGGAUUUUCGGAAUAUCGGGUGGUAUUUCGAAGACUUUUGUGUAACACAUGAACAACUGGGGGAUGAGCGGAUACUCGAUAAGUGCGAGAAUUUAUUUGAAGGUGGUAUUCAUGUGGCAAAGAACUGCUAGGCAGUAGGCACAAAGUAUUCUCGGAACAAUAGAGAAAACUUCGGGGUAUCUUGUAAUAACAAGAUCAAUGGGGGGUGAUCAUAUGAAUGGCAAGUGUAAGUAGUUAUCCAUACGGAUUUAUCGGUGGUCAGGAAUAGCAAAAGUGAUGGGCACAAAGUCUCGAGAGAACAUCAGAGAGUAUCUUCAGAAUCUUCUGAUGUAGCAGGCGAUCCUCUGCAGUAAGGGGCUCUCCGGGUGGAUGCGAUCACGAGAUCCUAAUCUUAGAGUUAGCAAAUUCAUUUAACCUGAAUAGUAGAGAGAUCAGAGUCCCGGAGUAUAGGUCGAGGAGUAAAAGAUCCUACUACCACCCGACGGCGACGUGGGCCCAUGGGCCACACAGCCAUGUUAGUAAAAAAAUUUCAACGACUAGACUCGACUUCGGCCAAGGAGUUGGAAAGGGGGAUUCCUACAGGCAGUUGGCUCUGAUACCAACUUGUCACGCCCCCGAUUCAAUCAUACACUAAUCAUGCACGCAAUUGUGUACGAUCAAGAUCAGGGACUCACGGGAAGAUAUCACAACACAACUCUAAAACAUAAUUAAGUCAUACAAGCAUCGUAAUACAAGCCAUGGGCCUCGAGGGCUCGAAUACGAGUGCUCGAACAUAGACGAGUCAGCGGAAGCAACAAUAUCUGAGUACAGACAUAAGUUAAACAAGUUGCCAUAAGAUGGCUAGCACAAACUGGGAUACAGAUCAAAAGAGGCGCAUGCCUCCUGCCUGGGAUCCUCCUAACUACUCUUGGUCGUCGUCAGCGGCCUGCACGUAGUAGUAGGCACCUCCAGUGUAGUAGGAAUCAUCGUCGACGGUGGCGUCUGGCUCCAGGGCUCCAGCAUCUGGUUGCGACAACCAGGUAGAAGGGAAAGGGGAAAAGAGGGAGAAAAGAAACCAUGAGUACUCAUCCAAAGUACUCGCAAGCAAGGAGCUACACUACAUAUGCAUGGGUAUAUGUGUAAAGGGCCAUAUCGGUGGACUGAACUGCAGAAAGCCAGAAUAAGAGGGGGAUAGCUAAUCCUGUCGAAGACUAUGCUUUUGGCAGCCUUCGUCUUGCAGCAUGUAGAAGAGAGUAGAUUGAAGUCCCCCAAGUAGCAUCUCCAAGUAGCAUCUCCAAGUAGCAUCUCCAGUAGCAUCUCCAGUAGCAUCGCAGUAGCAUAAUCCUACCCGGCGAUCCUCCCCUCGUCGCCCUGUGGAAAAGCGAUCACCGGGUUGUCUGUGGAACUUGGAAGGGUGUGUUUUAUUAAGUAUCCGGUUCUAGUUGUCAUAAGGUCAAGGUACAACUCCAAGUCGUCCUGUUACCGAAGAUCACGACUAUUCGAAUAGAUUAACUUCCCUGCAGGGGUGCACCAUCUUACCCAGCACGCUUGAUCCCAUUUGGCCGGACACACUUUCCUGGGUCAUGCCCGGCCGCGGAAGAUCAACACGUCGCAGCCCUACCUAGGCUCAACAGAGAGGCCAGCACACCGGUCUAAACCUAAGCGCACAGGGGUCUGGGCCCAUCGCCCAAUGCACACCUGCACGUUGCGAAUGCGGACGGAAGCAGACCUAGCCUAGUGGCGUUCCAGUCCAAUCCGGCGCGCGCCGCUCAGUCGCUGGCGUCACGAAGUGCUUCGGCUGAUACCACGACGUCGGGAUACCCAUAACUACUCCCGCGUAGAUGGUUAGUGCGUAUAAGCUCGUAGCCAACUCAGAUCAAAUACCAAGAUCUCGUUAAGCGUGUUAAGUAUCCGCGAACGCCGAACAGGGCCAGGCCCACCUCUCUCCUAGGCGGUCUCAACCUGCCCUGUCGCUCCGCCUCAAGAUCCACUCGCGGGUGCUCCACCAGCCGACCCGACUUUAGUCUCACAUGUAUCAUGUAUAAGUAUAUAGUAUAUACCCGUGAUCACCUCCCGAGUGAUCACGGCCCGAUAGUAUAGCACGGCAGACGGACAAGAAUGUAGGGCCACAGAUGAAUGUACUAGCAUCCUAUACUAAGCAUUAGGAUUGCAGGUAAAGGUAUCAACAGUAGUAGCAAGGAUAGGCUAUGCAUCAGGAUAGGAUUAACGGGAAGCAGUAACAUGCUACACUACUCUAAUGCAAGCAGUAUAGAGAAGAGUAGGCGAUAUCUGGUGAUCAAAGGGGGGGCUUGCCUGGUUGCUCUGGCAAGAGAGAGGGGUCGUCAACACCGUAGUCGAACUGGGCAGCAGCAGCGUCGGUCUCGUAGUCUACCGGAGAGAAGAGGGGGAAGAAACAAUGAAUACCAAGUAAACAGAUGCAUAUCGAUGCAUGACAUGUCAAGAAGCGAUGCUAGGCGUGCCCUAACGUGGUAUGAGGUGGUACUGGUUAAGGGGGGAAUCAUCCGGGAAAGUAUUCCCGGUGUUUCGUGUUUUCGGGCAGAGGAGCCGGAGGGGGAAAGUUGCGGGUUCGAUAGGUUAGGGGGGUGUGGCGGACGAACGGACUGCGUAUCCGGAUUCGUCUCGUCGUUCUGAGCAACUUUCAUGUUGAAAAUAUUUUAAUCCGAGUUACGGAUUAAAAGAUAUGAUUUUUUAAAGAUUUUAUUAAUUUCUGGAAUUUAAUUAAUUAAUUAUUUAAUUCGAAAAAUGGAAUUAUGACGUCAGCAUGAUGUCAUGCUGACGUUAGCAGUCAACAGGGUUGACUAGGUCAACCCUGACAUGUGGGUCCCGUUCGUCAUACUCUGUUAACUAAUUAUCUUAGUUUAGUUUAAUUAACAGUAGUUAAUUAGGUUAAUUAGUCAUUAGGUUUAAUUAAUCAGGAUUAAUUAAAUUAAUUAUUUACUUAAUUAAUUAAUUAAUUAAUUAAUUUUAUUCAUUAUUAUUUUUAUUAAUUAUAUUUAUCUAAAUUCCUUUUCCCUUUUUUUAUUUUAAAAACGUCCUGGGGGUUGGGGCCCCCAUGUCAUAGGCAGGGGGUGGACCGGUCAGCCCNNNNNNNNNNNNNNNNNNNNNNNNNNNNNNNNNNNNNGUUUAAUUAAUCAGGAUUAAUUAAAUUAAUUAUUUACUUAAUUAAUUAAUUAAUUUUAUUCAUUAUUAUUUUUAUUAAUUAUAUUUAUCUAAAUUCCUUUUUCCUUUUCUUUUAUUUUAAAAAAACGUCCUGGGGGGUGGGGCCCCCAUGUCAUACGCAGGGGGGGUGGACCGGUCAGCCCAGCUGACCGAGUCAAUCAGGGCGGCGGGGGGGGCCCUGGGCCCACCAGUCAGUGGCCCAGGCGGUGGCCCCGGGCGGCCACGUCGGCGGCCGGCGUUGGGGAGCCCCGGUGGGCGUCCGCGGCGGAGGGGGCGCCGGACCUCGCCGGACUUCGUCAUUCGGUGGCCAAAAAGGGGCGCGGGCGGUGCGUUCGGAAGCGGGGAGGACGGCGCAUCCAAUGAUGGCAGUGGCGCGACCGGACUCGGCAGGAAUCGGCGCCGGCGAGCGGCGGAGGCGGCAGGGUGGUUCGGGCCCCGACGGGAGCGCGCUACGGGGGCCGGGGGGGUGUUUGCGCGGCGCGCUGAGCACCACGGGCUCGGCCCCGUGACCAUUUGGUCACCGGGGGGCGCCGGUGACGAGAUCCGCGACGGAGGGGAGCUCGGGUGCGGCGUGCUCGCCGGGGCCGAGGCCCGGGCGAGGAGAAGGGAGAGGGAGGCCGGGGAGCAUNNNNNNNNNNNNNNNNNNNNNNNNNNNNNNNNNNNNNNNNNNNNNNNNNNNNNNNNNNNNNNNNNNNNNNNNNNNNNNNNNNNNNNNNNNNNNNNNNNNNNNNNNNNNNNNNNNNNNNNNNNNNNNNNNNNNNNNNNNNNNNNNNNNNNNNNNNNNNNNNNNNNNNNNNNNNNNNNNNNNNNNNNNNNNNNNNNNNNNNNNNNNNNNNNNNNNNNNNNNNNNNNNNNNNNNNNNNNNNNNNNNNNNNNNNNNNNNNNNNNNNNNNNNNNNNNNNNNNNNNNNNNNNNNNNNNNNNNNNNNGACCGGGGGGGAGAUAAGGGAGUGAGGGGGUUGGGCCGGGCCAGUGGGUGGCCGGCUGGGCCUGGUGGGGGCUUGGCCCAGUUGGGCCAGUGGGGUUUUCUCCCCCUCUCCCAUUUUUGUUUUCUUUGUCUUUUCUUAUUUUUUUUCUUUUCUUUUCUGUUUUAUUUUAUUUAGUCUAUCUAGAUACUUUAUAAAAAUGUGUGCACCCCACCAUAAUUAACUUUGUAAUAUUUGACAACCCCCGAACAUUUUAGAUUUAAUUUUUGAAAACUUUUAUUGUUUGCCUAUGUUUUCAAUUGAAUUUGAACCGGGUUCGAAUCAACGUGAGUUUAAUCACGGUAACCGAGGUGACGUGGCAUCAUUAGCAGGGAUUACUGUAGCUUAAUUAUCCGGGCGUUACACAUGAUUCGGACAGACUUAAGUAUCGCUACGGGUGAGAAAGUCUCAUCGUAGUCAAUCCCUUGAACUUGUCAAAAACCUUUCGCAACAAGUCGAGCUUUAUAGACAGUAACAUUACCGUCAGCGUCAGUCUUCUUCUUGAAGGUCCAUUUAUUCUCAAUGGCUUGCCGAUCAUCGGGCAAGUCAACCAAAGUCCACACUUUGUUCUCAUACAUGGAACCCAUCUUAGAUUUCAUGGCCUCAAGCCAUUUUGCGGAAUUUGGGCUCACCAUUGUUGCUUCAUAGUUCGUAGGUUCGUCAUGGUCUAGUAACAUAACCCCCAUGAACAGGAUUACCGUACCACUCUGGUGCAGAUCUUACUCUAGUUGACCUACGAGGUUUAGCAACAACUUGAUCUGGUUUCAUGAUCAUCAUCAUUAACUUCCUCACUAAUUGGUGUAGGUGUCAUAGGAACCGGUUUCUGUGAUGAACUACUUUCCAAUAAGGGAGCAGGUAUAGUUACCUCAUCAAGUUCUACUUUCCUCUCACUCACUUCUUUCGAGAGAAACUCCUUCUCUAGAAAGAUUCCAAAUUUAGCAACAAAAGUCUUGCCUUCGGAUCUGUGAUAGAAGGUGUACCCAACAGGCUCUUUUGGGUAUCCUAUGAAGACACAUUUUUCCGAUUUGGAUUCGAUCUUAUCAGGUUGAAGCUUUUUCACAUAAGCAUCGCAACCCCAAAUUUUAAGAAACGACAACUUUGGUUUCUUGCCAAACCAUAGUUCAUAAGGCGUCGUCUCAAUGGAUUUAGAUGGUGCCCUAUUUAACGUGAAUGCAGCUGUCUAUAAAGCAUAACCACAAAAUGAUAGCGGUAAAUCAGUAAGAGACAUCAUAGAUCGCACCAUAUCUAGUAAAGUAUGAUUACGACGUUCGGACACACCAUUACACUGUGGUGUUCUGGGUGGCGUGAGUUGCGAAACUAUUCCGCAUUAUUUCAGAUGAAGACCAAACUCGUAACUCGAAUAUUCUCCUCCACGAUCAGAUCGUACAAACUUUAUUUUCUUGUUACGAUGAUUAUCAACUUCACUCAGAAAUUCUUUGAACUUCUCAAAUGUUUCAGACUUAUGUUUCAUUAAGUAGAUAUACCCAUAUCUGCUUAAAUCAUCUGUGAAGGUGAGAAAAUAACGAUAUCCGCCCCGAGCCUCAACAUUCACCGGACCACAUACAUCUGUAUGUAUGAUUUCCAUCAAAUCUGUUGCUUGCUCCAUAGUUCCGGAGAAUGGUGUUUUAGUCAUGUUGCCCAUGAGGCACGGUUCGCAAGUACCAAGUGAUUCAUAAUCAAGUGGUUCCAAAAGUCCAUCAGUGUGGAAUUUUUUCAUGCGCUUUACACCGAUAUGACCUAAACGGCAGUGCCAAAAAUAAGUUGUACUAUCAUUAUCAACUCUGCAUCUUUUGGCUUCAAUAUUAUGAAUAUGUGUAUCACUACUAUAGAGAUUCAACAAAAAUAGGCCACUCUUCAAGGGUGCAUGACCAUAAAAUAUAUUACUCAUAUAAAUAGAACAACCAUUAUUCUCUGAUUUAAACGAAUAACCGUCUCGCAUCAAAAAAGAUCCAGAUAUAAUGUUCAUGCUCAACGCUGGCACCAAAUAACAACUAUUCAGGUCUAAAACUAUUCCCGAAGGUAGAUGUAGAGGUAGUGUGCCGACCGCGAUCACAUCGACUUUGGAACCAUUUCCCACGCGCAUCGUCACCUCGUCCUUUGCCAAUCUUCGCUUAAUCCGUAGUCCCUGUUUUGAGUUGCAAAUAUUAGCAAUAGAACCAGUAUCAAAUACCCAGGUGUUACUGCGAGCAUUAGUAAGGUACACAUCAAUAACAUGUAUAUCACAUAUGCCUUUGUUCACCUUCCCAUCCUUCUUAUCCGCCAAAUACUUGGGGCAGUUCCGCUUCCAGUGACCAGUCUAUUUGCAGUAGAAGCACUCAGUCUCAGGCUUAGGUACAGACUUGGGUUUCUUCUCCUGAGCAGCAACUUGUUUGUUGUUCUUCUUGAAGUUCCCCUUCUUCUUCCCUUUGCCCUUUUUCUUGAAACUGGUGGUCUUGUUGACCAUCAACACUUGAUGCUCCUUCUUGAUUUCUUCCUCUGUAGCUUUUAGCAUUGCGAAGAGCUCGGGAAUCGUCUUAUCCAUCCCUUGCAUGUUAUAGUUCAUCACGAAGCUCUUGUAGCUUGGUGGCAGUGAUUGAAGAAUUCUGUCAAUGACGCUAGCAUCCGAAAGAUUAACUCCCAGUUGAAUCAGGUGAUUGUUAUACCCAGACAUUCUGAGUAUAUGCUCACUGAGAGAACUAUUCUCCUCCAUCUUACAACUAUAGAACUUACUGGAGACUUCAUAUCUCUCAAUCCGGGCAUUUGCUUGAAAUAUUAACUUCAACUCCUGGAACAUCUCAUAUGCUCCAUGACAUUCAAAACGUCGUUGAAGUCCCGAUUCUAAGCCGUAAAGCAUGGCGCACUGAACUAUCGAGUAGUCAUCAGCUUUGCUCUGCCAGACGUUCAUAACAUCUGGUGUUGCUCCUGCAACAGGUCUGGCACCUAGCGGUGCUUCCAGGACAUAAUUCUUCUAUGCAGCAAUGAGGAUAAUCCUCAAGUUACGGACCCAGUCCGUGUAAUUGCUACCAUCAUUUUUCAACUUUGCUUUCUCAAGGAACGCAUUAAAAUUCAACGAAACAACAACAUGGACCAUCUAUCUACAAUCAACAUAGACAAGAAAAAUACUAUCAGGUACUAAGUUCAUGAUAAAUUUAAGUUCAAUUAAUCAUAUUACUUAAGAACUCCCACUUAGAUAGACAUCCCUUUAAUCCUCUAAGUGAUCACGUGAUCCAAAUCAACUAAACCAUCUCCGAUCAUUACGUGAGAUGGAGUAGUUUCAAUGGUGAACAUCACUAUGUUGAUCAUAUCUACUAUAUGAUUCACGCUCGACCUUUCGAUCUCAGUGUUCCGAGGCCAUAUCUGUUAUAUGCUAGGCUCGUCAAGUUUAACCUGAGUAUUUCGCGUGUGCAACUGUUUUGCAACCGUUGUAUUUGAACUUAGAGCCUAUCAUACCCGAUCAUCACGUGGUGUCUCAGCGCGAAGAACUUUCGCAAUGGUGCAUACUGAUACGUCUCCAACGUAUCUAUAAUUUUUGAUUGCUCCAUGCUAUAUUAUCUACUGUUUUGGACUAUAUUGGGCUUUAUUUUCCACUUCUAUAUUAUUUUUGGGACUAACCUAUUAACCGGAGGCCCAGCCCAGAAUUUUCGUUUUUUGCCUAUUUCAGUGUUUCGGAUAAACAGAAUAUCAAACGGAGUCCAAACGGAAUAAAAUCUUCAAGAACGUGAUUUUCUCACUGAACGUGAUCCAGGAAACGAUCAGAACAGGAGCCAAAAACUAAUUCCACCGCCGCAACUUUUUGUAUCCACGAGAUCCCAUCUUGGGGCCUGUUCCGGAGCUCCGCCGGAAGAGGGCCGUCAUCACGGAGGGCUUCUACAUCAUCCUAGCCUCUCCGAUGAAGUGUGGGUAGUUUACCUCAGACCUUCGGGUCCAUAGUUAGUAGCUAGAUGGCUUCUUCUCUCUCUUUGAAUCUCAAUACAAAGUUCUCCCCCUCUCUUGUGGAGAUCUAUUCAAUGUAAACUUCUUUUUGCGGUGUGUUUGCUGAGACCGAUGAAUUGUGGGUUUAUGAUCAAGUCUAUCUAUGAAUAAUAUUUCAAUCUUCUCUGAAUUCUUUUAUGUAUGAUUGGUUAUCUUUGCAAGUAUCUUCGAAUUAUCCGUUUGGUUUGGCCAACUAGAUUGGUAGUUCUUGCCAUGGGAGAAGUGCUUAGCUUUGGGUUUGAUCUUGCGGUGUCCUGACCCAGUGACAGAAGGGGCAGCAAGGCAUGUAUUGUAUCGUUGCCAUCGAGGAUAACAAGAUGGGGUUUAUUUCAUAUUGCAUGAAUUUAUCUCUCUACAUCAUGUCAUCUUGCUUAAGGCAUUACUCUGUUUUUAACUUAAUACUCUAGAUGCAUGCUGGAUAGCGGUCAAUGAGUGGAGUAACAGUAGUAGAUGCAGAAUCAUUUUGAUCUACUUGUCACGGACGUGAUGCCUAUAUACAUGAUCAUGCCUAGAUAUUCUCAUAACUAUGCUCAAUUCUGUCAGUUGCUCAAUAGUAAUUUGUUCACCCACCGUAGAAUACUUAUGCUCUUGAGAGAAGCCACUAGUGAAACCUAUGGCCCCCGGGUCUAUUCUCAUCAUAUCUAUCUCCAUCACUUUAAUCUUGCUUUGCUUUUACUUUUUACUUUGCAUCUUUAUACCAAAAAUAUUAUAUCUAUCAGAUCUCACUCUCGUAAGUCACCGUGAACGGAUUGACAACCCCUAAUCGCGUUGGUUGCGAGUAGCUAUCGUUUUGUGCAGGUACGAGGGACUUGAGCGUGGCCUGCUACUGGAUUGAUACCUUGGUUCUCAAAAACUGAGGGAAAUACUUACGCUACUCUGCUGCAUCAUCCCUUCCUCUUCGGGGAAAACCAAAGCAAGCUCAAGACGUAGCAAGAAGGAUUUCUGGCGCCGUUGCCGGGGAGUCUACGCAAAAAAAUCAACAUACCAAGUACCCAUCACAAUCCCUAUCGCUCGCAUUACAUUAUUUGCCAUUUGCCUCUCGUUUUCCUCUCCCCCAAUUCACCCUUGCCAUUUUAUUCGCCCUCUCUCUCUCUAUCCUCCCUCUCUAUUUGCCUCUUUUGCCCGCUUGCUUUUUGUUUGCUCGUGUGUUAGAUUGCUUGUUUGUCGUGAUGGCUCAAGAUACUACUAAAUUGUGUGACUUCAACAAUACCAAUAAUAAUGAUUUCCUUAGCACUCCAAUUGCUCCUCUUACCGAUGCUGAAUCUUGUGUAAUUAAUACUGCUUUGUUGAAUCUUGUUAUGAAAGAUUAAUUCGCCGGCCUUCCUAGUGAAGAUGUCGCUACUCAUAUGAAUAGCUUCGUUGAUUUAUGUGAUAUGCAAAAGAAAAAAGAUGUCAAUAAUGAUGUCGUUAAAUUGAAGCUAUUUCCUUUUUCGCUUAGAGAUCGUGCUAAAGCUUGGUUUUCGUCUUUGCCUAAGAAUAGUAUUGAUUCAUGUAACAAGUGCAAAGAUGCUUUUAUCUCAAAGUAUUUUCCUCCCGCUAAGAUCAUCUCUCUUAAAAACGAUAUUAUGAACUUUAAACAACUUGAUCAUGAACAUGUUGCACAAGCUUGGGAGAGAAUGAAAUUAUUGAUUCAUAAUUGCCCUACUCAUGGUUGAAUUUGUGGAUGAUCAUACCAAAUUUUUAUGCCGGAUUGAAUUUUGCUUCUAGAAAUCUUUUAGAUUCGGCCGCGGGAGGCACUUUUAUGGAAAUCAUUUUAGGAGAUGCUACUAAGAUCCUAGAUAAUAUUAUGGUUAAUUAUUCUCAAAGGCAUACUGAAAGAUCUUAUAAUAAAAAAGGUGCAUGCGAUAGAAGAAAUCAAUGUGUUGAGUGGAAAGAUGGAUGAACUUAGGAAAUUAUUUGCUACUAAGAGUGUUUCUUCUGAUCCUAAUGAUAUGCCUUUGUCUACUUUGAUUGAGAAUAACAAUGAAUGUAUGGAUGGGAAUUUUGUUGGUAGGAAUAAUUUUGGUAACGACGCUUAUAGAGGGAAUUUUAAUCCUAGGCCAUAUCCUAGUAAUCCUUCUAAUAAUUAUGGGAAUUCCUACAACAACUCUUAUGGAAAUUAUAAUAAGAUGCCCCCUAAAUUUGAGACUAGUGUUAAAGAGUUUAUCAAUUAACAAAAGAAUUUUAAUGCUUUGCUUGAGGAGAAAAUGCUUAAAGUUGACGAUUUGGCUAGGAACGUUGAUAGAAUUUCUCUUGAGAUUGAUUCUUUAAAGCUUAGAUCUAUUCCUCCUAAACAUGAUGUCAAUUAGUCUCUCAAAUCCAUGAGAAUUUCCAUUGAUGAGUGCAAGGAAAGAACCGCUAGGAUGCGUGCUUCCAAAGAUGCCUUUAUUAAAGCGUGUUCCUGCAAUUCCUAUGAAAAUGAAGAUGAAGAUCUAAAAGUUAUUGAUGUGUCCCCUAUUAAAUCUUUGUUUUGUAAUAUGAAUCUUGAUGAAACUGAAUAUGAUCUUCCUUUACCUAGAAGGAUUUAUAAAAAUUCAGAGUAUUUAGAUCUUAAUGAUGAAAUUGAUGAAAGUGGGAUUGAAAGAAAUAAAAAUCUAGAUGUUGCUAAACCCACUAUAUUGGAUUUCAAGGAAUUUAAUUAUGAAAGUUGCUCUUUAAUUGAUUGUAUUUCCUUGUUGCAAUCCAUGCUAAAUUCUCCACAUGCUUAUAGUCAAAAUAAAGCCUUCACCGAACAUAUUGUUGAUGCCUUGAUGCAAUCUUAUGAAGAAAAACUUGAAUUAAAAGUUUCUAUCCCUAGAAAACUCUAUGAUGAGUGGGAACCAACUACUAAAAUUAAAAUUAAAGAUCAUGAGUUUUAUGCUCUGUGUGAUUUGGGUGCUAGUGUCUCUACUAUUCCCAAGACUUUGUGUGAUUUGCUAGAUUUCCGUAAUUUUGAUGAUUACUCUCUAAACUUGCAUCUUGCGGAUUCCACUAUUAAGAAACCUAUGGGAAGGAUUAAUUAUGUUCUUAUUGUUGCAAAUAGGAAUUAUGUGCCCGUAGAUUUCAUUGUUCUUGAUAUAGAUUGCAAUCCUUCUUGCCCUAUUAUUCUUGGUAGACCUUUCCUUAGAACGGUUGGUGCAAUUAUUGAUAUGAAGGAAGGGAAUAUUAGAUUUCAAUUUCCAUUAAAAAAGGGCAUGGAACACUUUCCUAGAAAGAAAAUAAAAUUACCAUAUGAAACUAUCAUGAGAGCCACUUAUGGAUUGCCUACCAAAGAUGGCAAUACCUAGAUCUAUCCUCGCUUUUAUGCCUCUUAUAUGCUCCAUCUUGGGGCCUGUUUCGGAGCUCCGCCGGAAGAGGGCCGUCAUCACGAAGGGCUUCUACAUCAUCCUAGCCUCUCUGAUGAAGUGUGUGUAGUUUACCUCAGACCUUCGGGUCCAUAGUUAGUAGCUAGAUGGCUUCUUCUCUCUCUUUGAAUCUCAAUACAAAGUUCUCCCCCUCUCUUGUGGAGAUCUAUUCGAUGUAAUCUUCUUUUUGUGGUAUGUUUGUUGAGAACGAUGAAUUGUGGGUUUAUGAUCAAGUCUAUCUAUGAAUAAUAUUUAUAUCUUCUCUGAAUUCUUUUAUGUAUGAUUUGUUAUCUUUGUAAGUCUCUUCGAAUUAUCCGUUUGGUUUGGCCAACUAGAUUGGUAGUUCUUGCCAUGGGAGAAGUGCUUAGCUUUGGGUUUGAUCUUGCGGUGUCCUUACCCAGUGACAGAAGGGGCAGCAAGGCACGUAUUGUAAUGUUGCCAUCGAGGAUAACAAGAUGUGGUUUAUUUCAUAUCGCAUGAAUUUAUCUCUCUACAUCAUGUCAUCUUGCUUAAGGCGUUACUUUGUUUUUAACUUAAUACUCUAGAUGCAUGUUGGAUAGCGGUCGAUGAGUGGAGUAAUAGUAGUAGAUGCAGAAUCAUUUCGAUCUACUUUUCACGGACGUGAUGCCUAUAUACAUGAUCGUACGUAGAUAUUCUCAUAACUAUGCUCAAUUCUGUCAAUUGCUCAACAGUAAUUUGUUCACCCACCAUAGAAUACUUAUGCUCUUGAGAGAAGCCACUAGUGAAACCUAUGGCCCCGGGUCUAUUCUCAUCAUAUCGAUCUCCAUCACUUUAAUCUUGCUUUGCUUUUACUUUUUACUUUGUAUCUUUAUACCAAAAAUACCAAAAAUACCAAAAAUAUUAUAUCUAUCAGAUCUCACUCUCGUAAGUGGUCGUGAAGGGAUUGACAACCCCUAAUCGCGUUGGUUGCGAGUAGCUAUCGUUUUGUGCAGGUACGAGGGACUUGAGCGUGGCCUUCUACUGGAUUGAUACCUUGGUUCUCAAAAACUGAGGGAAAUACUUACGCUACUCUGCUGCAUCAUCCCUUCCUCUUCAGGGAAAACCAACGCAAGCUCAAGACGUAGCACAUACUCAGGGAGAACACUUAUACCUUGAUAAUUUAGUGAGAGAUCAUCUUAUAAUGCUACCGUCAAUCAAAGAAAGAUAAGAUGCAUAAAAGAUAAACAUCACAUGCAAUCAAUAUAAGUGAUAUGAUAUGGCCAUCAUCAUCUUGUGCUUGUGAUCUCCAUCUCCGAAGCAGCGUCAUGAUCACCAUCUUCACCGGCGCGACACCUUGGUCUCCAUCGUAGCGUCGUUGUCGUCUCGCCAACUUAUGCUUCUACGACUAUCGCUACCACUUAGUGAUAAAGUAAAGCAUUACAGGGCGUUUGCAUUGCAUACAAUAAAGCGACAACCAUAUGGCUCCUACCAGUUGUCGAUAACUCGGUUACAAAACAUGACCAUCUCAUACAACAAAAUAUAGCAUCAUGCCUUGACCAUAUCACAUCACAACAUGCCCUGCAAAAACAAGUUAGAUUCCCUCUACUUUGUUGUUGCAAGUUUUACGUGGCUGCUACGGGCAGAGCAAGAACCGUUCUUACCUACACAUCAAAACCACAACGACAGUUUGUCAAGUUGGUCAUGUUUUAACCUUCGCAAGAACCGGGCGUAGCCACACUCGGUUUAACUAAAGUUAGAGAAACUGACACCCGCGAUUCACCUGUGUGCAUAACACGGUGGUAAAACCAGUCUCGUGUAAGCGUACGCGUAAUGUCGGUCUCGGCCGCUUCAUCCAACAAUACCACUGAACCAAAGUAUGACAUGCUGGUAAGCAAUAUGACUUAUAUCGCCCACAACUCACUUUUGUUCUACUCGUGCAUAUAACAUCUACGCAUAAAAACCUGGCUCCGAUACCACUGUUGGGGAACGUAGUAAUUUCAAAAAAAUUCCUACGCACACACAGGAUCAUGGUGAUGGAUAGCAAUGAGAGGGGAGAGUGUUGUCCACGUACCCUCGUAGACCGAAAGCGGAAGCGUUAGCACAACGCAGUUGAUGUAGUCGUACGUAUUCACGAUCUGACCGGUCAAGUACCGAAUGCACGGCACCUCCGAGUUCAGCACACGUUCAGCUCGAUGACGUCCCUCGAACUCCGAUCCAGCCAAGCUUUGAGGGAGAGUUUCGUUAGCACGACGGCGUGGUGAUGAUGAUGAUGUUCUACCGACGUAGGGCUUCGCCUAAGCACCGCUACGAUAUUAUCAAGGUGGAUUCUGGUGGAGGGGGGCACCGCACACGGCUAAGAGAUUAAUGAUCAAUUGUUGUGUCUAUGGGGUGCCCCCUCCUCCGUAUAUAAAGGGGAGGAGGAGAGGGCCGGCCAAGGGGGUGGCGCUCCCUAGGAGGGGGAAACCUACUCCAAGUAGGUUUGCCCCUCCCUUUCCUAGUCCAAGAAGGAGGGGGGAGGAAGGAGUGGGAGAGGGGAAAGGCAAGGGGGCGCCCCCUCUUCCUUGUCCUAUUCAGACUCAAGGGGAGGGGCNNNNNNNNNNNNNNNNNNNNNNNNNNNNNNNNNNNNNNNNNNNNNNNNNNNNNNNNNNNNNNNNNNNNNNNNNNNNNNNNNNNNNNNNNNNNNNNNNNNNNNNNNNNNNNNNNNNNNNNNNNNNNNNNNNNNNNNNNNNNNNNNNNNNNNNNNNNNNNNNNNNNNNNNNNNNNNNNNNNNNNNNNNNNNNNNNNNNNNNNNNNNNNNNNNNNNNNNNNNNNNNNNNNNNNNNNNNNNNNNNNNNNNNNNNNNNNNNNNNNNNNNNNGUAACCCCCGAUACUCCGAUAAAUGUACGAAACCUUUCGGAACCUUUUCGGUGUCCAAACAUAAUCGUCCUAUAUAUUGAUCUUUAUGUCUCGACCAUUUCGAGACUCCUCGUCAUGUCCGUGAUCCCAUCCGGGACUCCGAACAACCUUCGGUACAUCAAAACAUAUAAACUCAUAAUAUAACUGCCAUCGAAACUUUAAGCGUGCGCACCCUACGGGUUCGAGAACUAUGUAGACAUGACCGAGACACAUCUCUGAUCAAUAACCAAUAACGGAACCUGGAUGCUCAUAUUGGCUCCCACAUAUUCUACGAAGAUCUUUAUCGGUCAGAUCGCAUAACAACAUACGUUGUUCCCUUUGUCAUCGGUAUGUUACUUGCCCGAGAUUCGAUCGUCGGUAUCUCAAUACCUAGUUCAAUCUCGUUACUGGCAAGUAUCUUUACUCAUUCCGUAAUACAUCAUCCCGCAACUAACUCAUUAGUUGCAAUGCUUGCAAGGCUUAUAGUGAUGUGCAUUACCGAGUGGGCCCAGAGAUACCUCUCCGACAAUCGUAGUGACAAAUCCUAAUCUCGAAAUAUGCCAACCCAAUAAGUACCUUCGGAGACACCUGUAGAGCACCUUUAUAAUCGCCCAGUUGCAUUGUGACGUUUGGUAGCACACAAAAUGUUCCUCUGGUAAACGGGGGUUGCAUAAUCUCAUAGUCAUAGGAACAUGUACAAGUCAUGAAGAAAGCAAUAGCAGAAUACUAAACCAUCGUGUGCUAAGCUAACGGAAUGGGUCAAGUCAAUCACAUCAUUCUCAUAAUGAUGUGAUCCCGUUAAUUGAAUGACAACUCAUGUCAAUGGCUAGGAAACAUAACCAUCUUCGAUCAACGAGCUAGUCAAGUAGAGGCAUACUAGUGACACUCUGUUUGUCUAUGUAUUCACACAAGUAUAAUGUUUCCGCUUAAUAAAAUUCUAGCAUGAAUAAUAAACAUUUAUCAUGAUAUAAGGAAAUAAAUAAUAACUUAAUUAUUGCCUCUAGGGCAUAUUUCCUUCAGCCGAGACAUUGGUUCCAUAGAUCAACAGAGGCCGCCAAAGAUGUUGGAGGAGCAGCGACCGGGAAACCAUGGAGAGAAUAUAAAUCACAGGAGCUAUUGAAUCGACCGAUCUCGGCCUUGGUCCAGUAGUCCUUCACAGACAAACCAAAGGGGUCAAACUCAAUAGAAACAUGAUUAUCAGUGGUGAUUUGGCAAACAGAAAUCAGAUUUUUAAUAAGAGCAAGAGCUACAAGAACAUCACGAAGAAGCAAAGGCUUAAUGGGGGAUUCGAUUUGAGCCUGGCUGACACAAUAAAUAGGAAUAGAAGACCCAUCACCAAGAGAAAUAGAGGGAAAAGGCGAAGGUGUGCAAGAACAAAGCAAAUUACUCGAUGCAGACAUAUGAGGAGAAGCACCAGAAUCGAAAAUCCAAUCCGUACCUGAGUUCCGUUGUGCAGAAAAGUUGUUCAUGGCUUGUAUAAAUGCAGCUUGGUCCCAGCUCGGAGUCGAAGUAGAGGCCAGUGUAGGCAGUAGGGCUGACAUCAGCGUAAAGAGACAUGAUACGUCUCCAACGUAGCUAUACUUUUUGAUUGCUCCAUGCUAUAUUAUCUACUUUUUUGGACAUUAUUGGGCUUUAUUAUUCACUUUUAUAUUAUUUUUGGGACUAACCUAUUAACCGGAGGCCCAGCCCAGAAUUGCUGUUUUUUUGCCUAUUUUAGGGUUUUGAAGAAAAGGAAUGUCAAACGGAGUCCAAACGGAAUGAAACCUUCGGGAAUGUGAUUUUCUCACCGAACAUGAUCCAGGAGACUUGGACCCCACGUCAAGAAACAAAAGAGGAGGCCACGAGGUAGGGGGUGCGCCUACCCCUCCCCCCCCCCCAGGCGCGCCCUCCACCCUCGUGGCCCCCCUGUUGCUCCACCGACGUACUCCUUCCUCCUAUAUAUACCUACGUACCCCCAAACGAUUAGAUACUGAGCCAAAACCCUAAUUCCACCACUGCAACUUUCUGUAUCCAUGAGAUCCCAUCUUGGGGCCUGUUCCGGAGCUCCGCCGGAGGGGGUAUUCAUCACGGAGGGCUUCUACAUCAUCACCAUAGCCCCUCCGAUGAAGUGUGAGUAGUUCACCUCAGACCUACGGGUCCAUAGUUAUUAGCUAGAUGGCUUCUUCUCUCUUUUUGGAUCUCAAUACAAUGUUCUCCCCCUCUCUUGUGGAGAACUAUUCGAUGUAAUCUUCUUUUUGCGGUGUGUUUGUUGAGACCGAUGAACUGUGGGUUUAUGAUCAAGUCUUUCUAUGAACAAUAUUUGAAUCAUCUCUGAAUUCUUUUAUGUAUGAUUGGUUAUCUUUGCAAGUCUCUUCGAAUUUUUAGUUUGGUUUGGCCUACUAGAUUGAUCUUUCUUGCAACGGGAGAAGUUCUUAGCUUUGGGUUCAAUCUUGUGGUGUCCUUUCCUAGUGACAGUAGGGGCAGCAAGGCACGUAUUGUAUUGUUGCCAUCGAGGAUAAGAAGAUGGGGUUUUCAUCAUAUUGCAUGAUUUUAUCCCUCUACAUCAUGUCAUCUUGCUUAAGGCGUUACUCUGUUUUCACUAACUUAAAACUCUAGAUGCAUGCUGGUGAAGGAAAUAUGCCCUAGAGGCAAUAAUAAAGUUAUUAUUUAUUUCCUUAUAUCAUGAUAAAUAUUUAUUAUUCAUGCUAGAAUUGUAUUAACCGGAAACAUAAUACAUGUGUGAAUACAUAGACAAACAGAGUGUCACUAGUAUGCCUCUACUUGACUAGCUCGUUGAUCGAAGAUGGUUAUGUUUCCUAGCCAUAGACAUGAGUUGUCAUUUGAUUAACGGGAUCACAUCAUUAGGAGAAUGAUGUGAUUGACUUGACCCAUUCAAUAAGCUUAGAACUUGAUCGUUUAGUUUGUUGCUAUUGCUUUCUUCAUAACUUAUACAUGUUCCUAUGACUAUGAGAUUAUGCAACUCCCGUUUACCGGAGGAACACUUUGUGUGCUACCAAAUGUCACAACAUAACUGGGUGAUUAUAAAAGUGCUCUACAGGUGUCUCCGAAGGUACUUGUUGGGUUGGCGUAUUUCGAGAUUAGGAUUUGUCACUUCGACUGUCGGAGAGGUAUCUCUGGGCCCUCUCGAUAAUGCGCAUCACUUAAGCCUUGCAAGCAUUACAACUAAUGAGUUAGUUGUGGGAUGAUGUAUUACGGAACCAGUAAAGAGACUUGUCGGUAACGAGAUUGAACUAGGUAUUGAGAUACCGACGAUGGAAUCUCGGGCAAGUAACAUACUGAUGAUAAAAGGAACAACGUAUAUUGUCAUGCGGUCUGACCGAUAAAUAUCUUCGUGGAAAAUGUAGGAGCCAAUAUGAGCAUCCAGGUUCCGCUAUUGGUUAUUGACAAGAGACAUGUCUCGGUCAUGUCUACAUUGUUCUCGAACCGAUAGGGUCCGCACACUUAACGUUACGAUGACAAUUUCAUCAUGAGUUUAUAUAUUUUGUUGUACCGAAGGUUGUUCGGAGUCCCAGAUAUGAUCACGGACAUGACGAGGAGUCUCGAAAUGGUCGAGACAUGCAGAUUGAUAUAUUGGAAGCCUAUGUUUGGACAUCGGAAGUGUUCCAGGUGAAAUCGGCAUUUUACCGGAGUACCGGGAGGUUACCGGAACCCCCCGGUAACCUAAUGGGCCUUAAUGGGCCUAGUGGAGGAAGUGGAGAGGAGGUCAAGGGGCAGCCGCGCGCCCCUUCCCCCCAGUCCGAAUUGGACAAGGAGGGGGGUCGGCGCCCCCCCUUUCCUUCUCCCUCUCUCUCAUUCCCCCCAAGUCCUAGUCCAACAUGGAAAGGGGGGAGUCCUACUCCCAGGAGGAGUAGGACUCCUCCUGGUGUGCCCCUUGCCUGGCCGCACCUCCUCCCCCUUGCUCCUUUAUAUACAGGGGCAGGGGGCACCCCAGACACAACAGUUGAUCAUUGAUCUCUUAGCCGUGUGCGGUGCCCCCCUCCACCAUAGUCCUCAAUAAUAUUGUAGUGGUGCUUAGGCGAAGCCCUGCGACAGUAGAACAUCAAGAUCGUCACCACGCCGUCGUGCUGACGGAACUCUUCCCGACAUUCUGCUGGAUCAGAGUCCAGGGAUCGUCAUCGAGCUGAACGUGUGCUAGAACUCGGAGGUGUCGUAGUUUUGAUGCUUGAUCGGUCGGGCCGUGAAGACGUACGACUACAUCAACUGCGUUGUGCUAACGCUUCCGCUUUCGGUCUACGAGGGUACGUGGACAACACUCUCCCCUCUUGUUGCUUUGCAUCACCAUGAUCUUAUGUUCCCCAACAGUGGUAUCCAAGCCUAGGUUUUAUGCGUUGAUGUUGUGCACGAGUAGAUCACAAGUGAGUUGUGGGCGAUAUAAGUCAUACUGCUUACCAGCAUGUCACUUUGGUUCGGCGGUAUUGUUGGAUGAAGCGGUCCGGACCGACAUUACCCGUACGCUUAUGCGAGACUGGUUCUACCGACGUGCUUUGCACACAGGUGGCUGGCGGGUGUCAGUUCUCCAACUUUAGUAGAACCAAGUGCGGCUACGCCCGGUCCUUGCAAAGGUUAAUACAGCACCAACUUGACAAAGUAUCGUUGUGGUUUUGAUGCGUAGGUAAGAACGGUUCUUGCUUAAGCCCGUAGCAGCCACGUAAAACUUACAACAACAAAGUAGAGGACGUCUAACUUGUUUUUGCAGGGCAUGUUGUGAUGUGAUAUGGUCAAGACAUGAUGCUAAAUUUUAUUGUAUGAGAUGAUCAUGUUUUGUAACCGAGUUAUCGGCAACUGGCAGGAGCCAUAUGGUUGUCGCUUUAUUGUAUGCAAUGCAAUUGCGCUAUAAUGCUUUACUUUAUCACUAAGCGGUAGCGAUAGUCAUGGAAGCAUAAGAUUGGCGAGAUGACAAUGAUGCUACGAUGGUGAUCAAGGUGUCGCGCCGGUGACGAUGGUGAUCAUGACGGUGCUUCGGAGAUGGAGAUCACAAGCACAAGAUGAUGAUGGCCAUAUCAUAUCACUUAUAUUGAUUCCAUGUGAUGUUUAUCUUUUAUGCAUCUUAUCUUGCUUUGAUUGGCGGUAGCAUUAUAAGAUGAUCUCUCACUAAAUUUCAAGACAAAAGUGUUCUCCCUGAGUAUGCACCGUUGCCAAAGUUCGUCAUGCCCAGACACCACGUGAUGAUCGGGUGUGAUAAGCUCUACGUCCAUCUACAACAGGUGCAAGCCAGUUUUGCACACGCAGAAUACUCAGGUUAAACUUGACGAGCCUAGCAUAUGCAGAUAUUGCCUCGGAACAUUGAGACCGAAAGGUCGAGCGUGAAUCAUAUAGUAGAUAUGAUCAACAUAUUGAUGUUCACCAUUGAAAGCUACUCCAUUUCACAUGAUGAUCGGUUAUGGUUUAGUUGAUUUGGAUCACGUGAUCACUUAGAAGAUUAGAGGGAUGUCUUUCUAGGUGGGAGUUCUUAAGUAAUAUGAUUAAUUGAACUUAAAUUUAUCAUGAACUUAGUACCUGAUAGUAUCUUGCUUGUCUAUGUUUGAUUGUAGAUAGAUGGCCCGUGCUCUUGUUCCGUUGAAUUUUAAUGCGUUCCUUGAAAAAGCAAAGUUGAAAGAUGAUGGUAGCAAUUACACGGACUGGGUCCGUAAUUUGAGGAUUAUCCUCAUUGUUGCAUAGAAGAAUUACAUCCUGGAAGCACCGCUAGGUGCCAGGCCUGCUGCUGGAGCAACACCAGAUGUUAUGAACGUCUGGCAGAGCAAAGCUGAUGACUACUCGAUAGUUCAGUGUGCCAUGCUUUACGGCUUAGAAUCGGGACUUCAACGACGUUUUUAACGUCAUGGAGCAUAUGAGAUGUUCCAGGAGUUGAAGUUAAUAUUUCAAGCAAAUGCCCGGAUUGAGAGAUAUGAAGUCUCCAAUAAAUUCUAUAGCUGCAAGAUGGAGGAGAAUAGUUUUGUCAGUGAACAUAUACUCAAAAUGUCUGGGUAUCAUAAUCACUUGACUCAACUAGGAGUUAAUCUUCCUGUUGAUAGUGUCAUUGACAGAGUUCUUCAAUCACUGCCACCAAGCUACAAGAGCUUCGUGAUGAACUAUAAUAUGCAAGGGAUGGAUAAGACAAUUCCCGAGCUCUUCGCAAUGCUAAAGGCCGUGGAGGUUGAAAUCAAGAAGGAGCAUCAAGUGUUGAUGGUCAACAAGACCGCCAGUUUCAAGAAAAAGGGCAAAGGGAAGAAGAAGGGGAACUUCAAGAAAACAGUAAACAAGUUACUGCUCAGGAGAAGAAACCCAAAUCUGGACCUAAGCCUGAAACUGAGUGCUUCUACUGCAAGCAGACUGGACACUGGAAGUGAAACUGUCCCAAGUAUUUGGCGGAUAAGAAGGAUGGCAAGGUGAACAAAGGUAUAUGUGAUAUACAUGUUAUUGAUGUGUACCUUACUAGAGCUCGCAGUAGCACCUGGGUAUUUGAUGCUGGUUCUGUUGCUAACAUUUGCAACUCGAAGCAGGGACUACGGAAUAAGCGAACACUGGCAAAGGACGAGGUGAUGCGCGUGGGAAAUGGUUCCAAAGUCGAUGUGAUCGCGGUCGGCACGCUACCUCUACGUCUACCUUCAGGAUUAGUUUUAGACCUAAAUAAUUGUUAUUCGGUGCCAGCGUUUAGCAUUAACAUUAUAUCUGGAUCUUGUUUGAUGCGAGACGGUUAUUCAUUUAAAUCAGAGAAGAAUGGUUGUUCUAUUUAUAUGAGUAAUAUCUUUUAUGGUCAUGCACCCUUGAAGAGUGGUCUAUUUUUGAUGAAUCUCGAUAGUAGUGAUACACAUAUUCAUAAUGUUGAAGCCAAAAGAUGCAGAGUUGAUAAUGAUAGUGCAACUUAUUUGUGGCACUGCCGUUUAGGUCAUAUCGGUAUAAAGUGCAUGAAGAAACUCCAUACUGAUGGACUUUUGGAAUCACUUGAUUAUGAAUCACUUGGUACUUGCGAACUGUGCCUCAUGGGCAACAUGACCAAAACGCCGUUCUCCGGGACUAUGGAGAGAGCAACGGAUUUGUUGGAAAUCAUACAUACAGAUAUAUGUGGUCCGAUGAAUAUUGAGGCUCGUGGCGGAUAUCGUUAUUUUCUCACCUUCACAGAUGAUUUAAGCAGAUAUGGGUAUAUCUACUUAAUGAAACAUAAGUCUGAGACAUUUGAAAAGUUCAAAGAAUUUCAGAGUGAAGUUGAAAAUCAUCGUAACAAGAAAAUAAAGUUUCUACGAUCUGAUCGUGGAGGAGAAUAUUUGAGUUACGAAUUUGGUCUACAUUUGAAACAAUGCGGAAUAGUUUCGCAACUCACGCCACCCAGAACACCAUAGCGUAAUGGUGUGUCCGAACAUCAUAAUCGUACUUUACUAGAUAUGGUGCGAUCUAUGAUCUCUCUUACAGAUUUACCGCUAUCAUUUUGGGGUUAUGCUUCAGAGACGGCUGCAUUCACGUUGAAUAGGGCACCAUCGAAAUCCGUUGAGAUGACGCCUUACGAACUGUGGUUUGGCAAGAAACCAAAGUUGUCGUUUCUGAAAGUUUGGGGCUGUGAUGCUUAUGUGAAAAAGCUUCCACCUGAUAAGCUCGAACCCAAAUCGGAGAAAUGUGUCUUCGUAGGAUACCCAAAGGAAAUUGUUGGGUACACCUUCUAUCACACAUCCAAAGGCAAGACUUUCGUUGCUAAGAAUGGAUCCUUUCUAGAGAAGGAGUUUCUCUCGAAAGAAGUGAGUGGGAGGAAAGUAGAACUUGAUGAGGUAACUGUACCUGCUCCCUUGUUGGAAAGUAUUACAUCACAGAAACCGGUUUCUGUGACACCUACACCAAUUAGUGAGGAAGCUAACGAUAAUGAUCAUGAAACUUCAGAUCAAGUUACUACCGAACCUCGUAGAUCAACCAGAAUAAGAUCUGCACCAAAGUGGUACGGUAAUCCUGUUCUAGAAGUCAUGCUACUAGAUCAUGAUGAACCUACGAACUAUGAAGAAGCGAUGGUAAGCCCAGAUUCCGCAAAAUGGCUAGAAGCCAUGAAAUCUGAGAUGGGAUCCAUGUAUGAGAACAAAGUAUGGACUUUUGUUGACUUGCCCAUUGAUCGGCAAGCAAUUGAGAAUAAAUGGAUCUUCAAGAAGAAGACUGACACUGACGGUAAUGUUACUAUCUACAAAGCUCGACUUGUUGCAAAAGGUUUUCGACAAGUUCAAGGGAUUGACUAUGAUGAGACCUUCUCACCCAUAGCGAUGCUUAAGUCUGUCCAAAUCAUGUUAGCAAUUGCCGCAUUUUAUGAUUAUGAAAUUUGGCAAAUGGAUGUUAAAACUGCAUUCCUGAAUGGAUUUCUGGAAGAAGAGUUGUAUAUGAUGCAGUCAGAAGGUUUUGUCGAUCCAAAGGGAACUAACAAAGUGUGCAAGCUCCAGCGAUCCAUUUAUGGACUGGUGCAAGCCUCUCGGAGUUGGAAUAAACGCUUUGAUAGUGUGAUCAAAGCAUUUGGUUUUGUACAGACUUUUGGAGAAGCCUGUAUUUACAAGAAAGUGAGUGGGAGCUCUGUAGCAGUUCUGAUAUUAUAUGUGGAUGACAUAUUAUUGGUUGGAAAUGAUAUAGAAUUUGUGGAUAGCAUAAAGGGAUAUUUGAAUAAGAGUUUUUCAAUGAAAGACCUCGGUGAAGCUGCUUACAUAUUGGGCAUUAAGAUCUAUAGAGAUAGAUCAAGACGCUUAAUUGGACUUUCACAAAGCACAUACCUUGACAAAGUUUUAAAGAAGUUCAAAAUGGAUCAGGCAAAGAAAGGGUUCUUGCCUGUGUUACAAGGUGUGAAGUUGAGUAAGACUCAAUGUCCGACCACCACAGAAGAUAGAGAGAAAAUGAAAGAUGUUCCCUAUGCUUCAGCCAUAGGGUCUAUCAUGUAUGCAAUGCUGUGUACCAGACCUGAUGUGUGCCUCGCUAUAAGUCUAGCAGGGAGGUACCAAAGUAAUCCUGGAGUGGAUCACUGGACAUCGGUCAAGAACAUCUAAAGUACCUGAAAAGGACUAAGGAUAUGUUUCUCAUAUAUGGUGGUGACAAAGAGCUCAUCGUAAAUGGUUAUGUUGAUGCAAGCUUUGACACUGAUCCAGACGAUUCAAAAUCGCAAACCGGAUUCGUGUUUAUAUUGAACGGUGGAGCUGUCAGUUGGUGCAGUUCUAAACAAAGCGUCGUGGCGGGAUCUACAUGUGAAGCGGAGUACAUAGCUGCUUCGGAAGCAGCAAAUGAAGGAGUCUGGAUGAAGGAGUUCAUAUCUGAUCUAGGUGUCAUACCUAGUGCAUCGGGUCCAAUGAAAAUCGUUUGUGACAAUACUGGUGCAAUUGCCUUGGCGAAGGAAUCCAGAUUUCACAAGAGAACCAAGAACAUCAAGAGACGCUUCAAUUCCAUUCGGGAUUUAGUCCAAGUGGGAGACAUAGAAAUUUGCAAGAUACAUACGUAUCUGAAUGUUGCAGACCCACUGACUAAGCCUCUUCCACGAGCAAAACAUGAUCAGCACCUAGGCUCCACGGGUGUUAGAAUCAUUACUGUGUAAUCUAGAUUAUUGACUCUAGUUACGUCGAUGCAAGUUUUGACGCAAAAAGAGGGCCGUCAUCACGGAGGGCUUCUACAUCAUCACCAUAGCCCCUCUGAUGAAGUGUGAGUAGUUCACCUCAGACCUACGGGUCCAUAGUUAUUAGCUAGAUGGCCUCUUCUCUCUUUUUGGAUCUCAAUACAAUGUUCUCCCCCUCUCUUGUGGAGAACUAUUCGAUGUAAUCUUCUUUUUGCGGUGUGUUUGUUGAGACCAAUGAAUUGUGGGUUUAUGAUCAAGUCUAUUUAUGAACAAUGUUUGAAUCUUCUCUGAAUUCUUUUAUGUAUGAUUGGUUAUCUUUGCAAGUCUUUUCGAAUUAUCAGUUUGUUUUGGCCUACUAGAUUGAUCUUUCUUGCAAUGGGAGAAGUUCUUAGCUUUGGGUUCAAUCUUGCGGUGUCCUUUCCCAGUGAUAGUAGGGGUAGCAAGGCACGUAUUGUAUUGUUGCCGUCGAGGAUAACAAGAUGGGGUUUUCAUCAUAUUGCGUGAGUUUAUCCCUCCACAUCAUGUCAUCUUGCUUAAGGCGUUACUCUGUUUUCAUUAACUUAAUACUCUAGAUGCAUGCUGGAUAGCGGUCGAUGAGUGGAGUAAUAGUAGUAGAUGCAGGCAGGAGUCGGUCUACUUGUCUCGGACGUGAUGCCUAUAUACAUGAUCAUACCUAGAUAUUCUCAUAACUAUGCUCAAUUCUGUCAAUUGCUCAACAGUAAUUCUUUCACCCACCGUAGAAUACUUAUGCUCUUAAGAGAAGCCACUAGUGAAACCUAUGGCCCCCGGGUCUAUCUUCAUCAUAUUAAUCUUCCAAUACUUAGUUAUUUCCUUUGCUUUUAUUUUACUUUGCAUCUUUAUCAUAAAAAUACCAAAAAUAUUAUCUUAUCAUAUCUAUCAAAUCUCACUCUCGUAAGUGGCCGUGUAGGGAUUGACCACCCCUUAUCGCGUUGUUUGCGAGGAUUUAUUUGUUUUGUGUAGGUACGAGGGACUCGCGGCGUAGCCUCCUACUGGAUUGAUACCUUGGUUCUCAAAAACUGAGGGAAAUACUUACGCUACUUUGCUGCAUCAUCCCUUCCUCUUCGGGGAAAAACCAACGCAGUGCUCAAGAGGUAGCAAGACACGAUCAUUGUACCGCUGCAUAUAGGGGGACGAUGGAGCGCCAUAGGAUGCAUAAGGACUGGUGUUGUAGAUCGGUGGCGUGUAGCAGGGAGCAGCAAGGUACGCGGUCGCGGGCUGUCGGCGCACGAGGUUGGGCGUGCCGGUGUGAGGGCGAGCGCUGGGCUGCCAGCCACCGGUAUAAGCAGGCAGGGCACCAUAAGGCGUAGGGGCAGAACAGGGCAUAGGCCACGCCUGGACCAGCGCUGUCCAACUAUUAGUAGAUGGGCGCCAUCCGGGCGGCGGCGGUGGUGGUGCAGUUGAUGAAGCCGGGGCGGUGGUGGUGUAGUUGGUGGAGCCGGGGGCGGAGCAGGAGCGGGUGUCGUGCGGAACUGCGGAGGGCUAGGGUUUUUGCCCCGGUAGUUGGGACUUGGACACGAGCCGGAUGGUUGAGGAGGUGCUGUUGGUGGAGGUGGCGUUGGCGGCGGCAAUGCAGGUGGGCGAGGAGAAGCAGUGAAGACCCGAGGACGGGAGUCCUUCGAAGUUAGGGAACGAUCGGCCCAUUGGUGCAUCGAGCGAACCUCGGCGAAGGAGGGACACGGACGCAUCAUAGGGAUGAAGGAGGCCUGCUACUCGAACAGCUGGCUGAGGCCGACGAGGAGGAUGUUGAUGAGCCGGCGAUCUUCGAUCGGAUCACCAAGUUCGCGGAGUUCGUCCACGAUCGCCUUGAGGUGUUGGCAGUAGACGCAGACUGGUGCAUCACCUUGCACCGUAUUCCGAAGCUCGGUGUGGAGUUUGUUGGCAUGAGACUCGACAUUGUCCUGGAAGAACUGACGAAGGGCCGCCCAUAGAUCAGCGGCGGAGGCAUCGUCACAGUGGACGAGAUUGAAGAUUUCUAUGGAGAUUUGCAUGUAGAUCCAUUGAAUAAUGGCGAGAUCAUCCUUCACCCAUUGCGGAUCAUGAAGUUGAGGAAGAGAGUCGUCGGCAAUGUGAGAGCGGAGAUUGCAUCGCCCAAGGUGGACAUUGAAGAGGUGACGCCAAUGGUAGUACUUGUGAGCAGCAAGGUCUAGGGUUACGGGGAUGUCGGGGCUAAUAUUAGAGAUGGUGUCGAUGAAGGAGAUGGAAGGGGGUAUUGGUGGGGUUAGAGGUAGAGUAGAGGUAGAGGCGGACGAGGCCGCGGCCACGGGGACCUUGGCGGCGACGAGGGCGGCACCCCGCUCGAAGUAGCCGGGCGGCGGCAGCGGUGGAGGGGCCGGCGGGUUAGCCAUACCCUAGGAUCGUAAGUCUGAUACCAUGCAGAAUUAUAUUGAAUAAUUGGUGAUGCAAUAUUGUGCCGGUACAAGAGGUAUAUAUAAGAGCCAAGCCGCACCUAACCUAACCCUAUUACAAACCGAGUAGGAGUCCUAAUCCUAUUACAAGUUGUAUUCUAACACAUAAGGUUGUACUAAUUAUUUGUGGUUAAUACAAGAAUAUCUGAUUAACCAAGAAUGGGAAACAUGGAUAAUUUAUCUUUUCUAAACAUGGGAGAUUUUUCUCGUGGACAUAGAACAUUCUUGUGGGGAAGCCAGAACAAUUUUACUCUACACCUAAAAUAUAUUUUUCUUGAAUCUAGAAUGUUGUUCUGCUUGAUAAAAAGAUAUCCUAACUAAUCAAUUAAAAAAGAUAUUCUAACUUAAUAGAAAGAUGGUCUUUAAAAAAUCCCAUCUAUUUCCGCAAAAAAAGAGUGAUCUAAAUAUACUUAAGUGGGGUACGUUGUUUUAAUUAUUUUAUUCUAACACAAACUGGGUGUGGCAAAUCGGAAUUUAAUUUAGAUGCCUCGUUUAUAAAUUGACUUAGGUUAGGCCGCCGGUCUUCACUUUUAAGAGAGGAAUAGGUCUUCACUUUUAAGAGAGAAAUAGAUCUACGACAUAUAAUAUUAUAGCUACUGAACAUCACAUAAUGAAGUAAUGCAUAAGAUAAUUUGUGCAGUAAAUUUUCAUAGAAUUACCGUGGCCAUGGCGGAGUAGACUUGAUCGACGUUGUCCAGACCGAGGAGCUAGUGGAGCAUGAUGUGAGCGCUACAUGGACAAGAAGAAGAUGCAUAAGCAGAUACAGACACAUAUGUUAUAAGCUGGCGAGGACGUGACGUCCAGUCCUCGUGAUGAGCAUCAGGAGAAGAGGAGAGAUACUUUGGCCAAUCGCAUGGGUCUCAAGGUCUCAAGUGUGUGAUGAUCAGCACGUUCAUCAUUCAUGUACAAGCACAGAACCACGUGUUCCUCCUGGGCCAUUGCUGGCUCCUUCACGCGAAGCACAUAUGACAGGGCACUUCACUGGAGCGGAUGGAGUCAAUACCAAAUACCUGGGUGUUUCCUCUUGCUGCAACACCAGACGUGGAGGAGGUGAUGGCAUAAUNNNNNNNNNNCGUCCUCCCGAGGGAGACUCGGGGGGCGACUAGAGUUUCCCCCGCGCCGCCACCCCCUCAAUCCCAGCUCCUCCUCGCCGUCACUUGAGGGGACCGACGGGCAAGCCUGGUGGGUCGUCAAUGAAGGUGGCGGUGAGGUGCUGCGUUGCUUCGUGCCCCCGCGAAGGACCUGGAAGCCGGGGCGGCGGCCCCGGACGGUGAGGCGGGGCUGCCUCCGUGACUGGCGGCGUGCGCAGGAAGUGGUGACCGGCAUCCUCGGCUGCCCGAGCAGCCAGGAUACAGCGGGUGGUCACGGCGCGGAUUCCCUCUGCCCCGGAUCUGAAGGUCAGGCGCCCUCCUCCCCUGCUCUCCCCUCCCCUCCGGUCGUGCCCUUCUGCGACUCUGGUCGCCAGAUUCGGUGCUGGCGGCAGGGGCGAAAUUGGGCCUAAGGCAACUGGGGCUAUAGCCCCAGCCGUGGCCCAACUAGUGACAUUAUAUCCAGUAGAAAAUUUUCAGAUUUUCACAUUUAUAGAGGCCCAGCCCCAGACGUGAAUACCCAGCCCAAGGUCUCAGCGGCAGCCCAACUAACUAGCUCAGCAGGAAGCCACGCCCACGUGAUCAUUGGUCGGUUCUGAUUCCAAAGGCAUCGAUCGAUCGGCCAGAAAAGUUCCAUUCAUUGUCGAUCAAAAGAUCCCUCGUUGACUCGGUGCCUCGUUUCAUCCGCCGCCCCAGCCCCUCCACGGCUCGACAGACUGAGGGGGUGUUUUGUUCAAGGACUUUUUAGUCCCAGAGACUAGAAAAAGUCUUUUAAAAGUCCCUAGGAACUAAACGGGAGGGACUUUUUCUACAGGAUUAGAAAAAGACUCUAUUGGAGAGUCUUUUUUGACUAGUCCCUGGUACUAGAAAAAGUCCUAGGACUUCUGAAACAAACACCCCCUGAACGAUCCGGACCUGUGCUUGGCCUCGUGGCCGCAUCGCAGUCGCAGCAAGCCCCCUCUGGGCUCUGGCCAUCUCCAACUCACUUGUUCUGCUCCGCCUCCACAACUGGCUAUAGAGCUAUUUAAAGUUGUUGUAUCAACUACUCCCUCGGUUCUAAAAUAGAUGACUCAACUUUAUAUUAAUGUUGUACUAAAGUUAGUACAAAGUUGAAUUAUCUAUUUUCGAACGGAGGGAGUAUUUUUCCUAUGGAUGAUUUGAUCUAGCUUUCUAAAUCUAGAUGUUAAAUUGUACUAUUACUUUAGUCAAUUGUAUUUUAGUUAGUUCUUAAAAGAAAAAAUGAUAGAAAUCCAAGAUAAAGAGGAGACACACACACACGGACGCACGCACACACGAUUAAAUUUCUUUUGAAGCAAGUUCCCACCAGCCUACAUCCAACAAUACCAGAAUCAGCAGGAGCCAGAGCUAGUAAUGCAAAUAAAUAAAACAUGCGUGGAGCUUAAUCCAAAUGACAUUAAUCUUGACCCCGGUCUCCAUAAACCGAAUGAGGAAAGCGCAAGGGGCUAUUACCUUUUGCACUUCAUGAUAAUGGUAUAUUAAGUUUUCCCUUUGUUUGGCACUAUUCGUAUGAACAAUUGACUUGGUCUAUGUACAUUGUCGUGAUUUUAAAUACACGAUUUUGUGUUUGUAACUCCGAUCCUUCUAAUAUUGGUAGUGAAGAAACGAUGGCCUCAAAUUAAGCAACUCUUCAUUAAAUUUUCCCUUGUGGUAAUAAUGAAUUUAUAUUUCAUCUUUAAUGUGAAUUUUUGACAUACUUCUAACACACGCCGGUAUGCUUGGUAUUUGACGUUAUUUUUAGUCGCUUAGUUUUAGCCCUAGGCUUUGAGAAAUCCUGGUUCCGCCUCUGGCUGGCGGGGUGCGGGUGCUCAGGUUCGAGCCCGGGGGAAACCCUUGGCCGGUCCUUCGGCCACGACGGCGACGGCGAGUGUGCGUGUUGUGUUCUUCCCUGGAAGUGCCGUUGAGGGCUAUCCUCUUCACCCCCGUCCCAGACCCCGGGUGAAAACCCAAAACCCGUCUCGGAUUGGCCGGCGGCGGCGCCUAGCGCGUCGCGUCCUUGUUGGAGGCGCCGUCUGGGGUGUCUGGUUCUUCGGGAGAGGGACGAGGUGGUUGGUGGGCGUCUGUCGGCUGCUCCCCUGCUCCGCCUCUUGUUGGAGGCGCCAAGUCUGUGUCUUUCUGUGGAGGGUGCUCGUUCCUGCAAGAGUCCUCCUUGCAGCCAUGGAACGGGACCUGGUGCUCCCCUGCUCCGCCUCUUGGCCUCUGCAGCUUUCUUCUUCGGCGACCUCCCGACAACUAUCCUUCUGCUCUUGGUUGUUCAGGAGAGGUGGCAGUGCAGCUGUGGUGUGUGCCAGCGGCGUGGCGAGGUUUGUGCAAUUUGUCUGUGAUGGGGAUCUGGUUGGCGUCUGCUCUCGUUCUCGGGUGAGUGCCAAUGAUCCGACGGUGCGGCGCCUUCGAGCCUAGGCGAGAGGAAAGGGUUCCUCUUCGGUGUUGGGAGCGAUGUUCUGUCCUUGUCCUUGGGGUCAGACAAUUCACACCUUUCUUUGGCUAUCGGCUGAUCAUCGAGGCUUCUUUGUUGCUCCUCUCUCUGCUGACUAUGUGCAGUAGGCUUCGACACUACUAGCAGGGCUCUUCAUGUAUUUUUCUUUUGCUGUAGUGUGUGUUGCAUUGUUAGCUGUCCACUAAGAUCCAUUGUAUCUUUCGGUCGCUAUUGCUUGGUGGCCUGGUGUAUUCCUGGUCGGUUGAUGGCUUCGUUAAUUCAAAGCCGAGCUCCCCUUGAGCCUUCGUUCUUAAAAAAAGACGUGGAGGAGGUACAGAUAGCGUCGCCGUACAAGAUGGACGACAAGGCAAGGAUAACAGCUGCCACUGCUCCUGCGAGACGCCGGCCGUCAUGUACAUGGCCUGCUAUCUCUUUAGCGUGCUCCUGUGCUUCCGAUGAGCCUCCUCACCGCUUGUCGAGGUGUCGCCGCUGUGACAAAGAUGGAUCGGCCUGGUAUAGUAGGGGCUUUGUAUAUGUAUCAAGUCUGUUAGGACAUUUCUAACCGAUCCUCUAUAUGUAACGGAGGAUCCGGCGGAGUAAAUCCUUAGUGGAGUAUUUUUACUUCACUGAGAUUUGGCUGGACCUAGACGAUCCCUUAUGUAUAACAGAGUAAUUUUUUGUUUUUUCGAACUUUACGAUUCUAGCAUACAUUGAAACUACAUAUUAGCACACAUAUAGAAAUUAAACAUAAUAUGAAUGUUCAAGCAAAUCAUGAAUAUAGUUUACACACCGAUUUUAAAGUUUACUAACCAAAUUAUUCAAAUUUGAACACACCGAAUGGUCCAGAUGUAGCAAAUAACAUGUGAUAGAACAACUAGGACAUGCGAAGACGUUGCCAGUGAUGCUCAAUAAGAUCUUGUUGGAGCUAAGCAUGAACUUGUCGGUUCUCAAUCUUGCCAUGCUCUUCAAGGAAUGCCAGGACCCUAUUUGUAUUAUACUCUGGCUCAACCGGAGUCCCGUUGGUUAUGUACCGAAAGUUCUCAGGAAUAUCCAUCUCAUCUUCAGUGAUCAUGUUAUGCAAUACACUAGUAGAAAAGGGGGCAACGGUCUAGGCCGGGUCAACCCAUUAGUCCCGGUUCAGUCCAGAACCGGGACCAAUGGGGGCAUUGGACCUGGUUCGUGAGCCCAGGGGGGCGGCCAGGCCACGUGGGCCAUUGGUCCCGGUUCAUCUAGACCUUUUGGUCCCGGUUGGUGGGACGAACCGGGACCAAUGGGCCUCGCUCCUGGCCCACCACCAUUGGUCCUGGUUGAUGGCUUGAACCGGGACCAAAGGCUCCCCUUUAGUCCCGGUUCAUGCCACCAACCGGGACCAAUGAGGUGCCUAUAUAUACCCCCUCGCGUAAGAGCAGAGCACACUGCUCUGUUUUUUUCUGGCCGAGGGGGAGAGGGCUUGGUGGUGCUCUAGCUCACCUCCUAUGCACACAGGGUGUUCGAUGGAAUGCCCAAGCCACACUACUUAAGCUUUCUCCACUCAAGCUCGACCUCCAAGCUUCAUUUUUCUCAAUAUUUGUCUAGGUUUAGCGGUCUGUCACGCCCCGUCCCCGUCUUCACCGCCGCCGAUCACCCACGCCGAGCUCAUCGCCGGCACCACCGUGGUGAGCCUCUUGUUCUUAUCUUCUUUCUGAAAGGAAAAAUAUUCUUACUUGUAUGUUUACAUAGAUACUUGUAUUAUUUUCUUACUUUUAUUAUUGCAUCUUAUAUAGUUCGAUGGUUUUGGUAUCUGCCCCCGUCGGCCCUCGUCCUGUCUAUGAUUCGGAUGUGGUAUAUAUAUUAUCUUUAUAACUAUUGGUUCAUUUAUUGUUUAUGAAAAUUAUGCCGACCAACAUGACAUAGAUUUUGUUUAUGUAGGAUGUAUGUGAAUCGGAAAUGCCAACCGACCCUAUUGUCGAGAGGUUAAAUUUAGUUGAAGAAGAAAACAAUUUGUUGAAGGAAAAAAUAAAAAAAUGAGGAGGAGAAGAUGAUAUUGGAGUUGCAUGUUGCGGAUGUCGUCGAUGAUCACAAAAUCAAGAUGGAUGCAAUACGCUUGAAGAUUAGAAAGAUUAGAAAAUAUGCCAUUCAUACCGAGGCUUGGUAUCAUUAUGCCGUUGGAUCAAUUGUUACCUUCGUUGCGAUUAUGAUCGCAUUUGUUUUUGCAUUAAAAUGUUUUACAUAGUUUCAAUGUAUGGUUUAAUUAAUUAGAUGCUCUAGAGAGCUAUAUGUUGUUAGAUGACAACUAUGUAUGUACUUUGGUUUUAAUAUGAUGAUGAACUUCUAUUAAUUUGGAAACUUAAUUAUAUAUAAUGCACGCAGAUGAACCGGCAAUGAUUGUACGGUGACAGACACACCUCCGAGUACAUUAAGGGCGUGCAUGAGUUUCUCGAUGCGGCUGAGGCAAACAAGCAGAAUGGUUUUAUGUGUUGUCCAUGCACUGAAUGUGGGAAUACGAAGUCUUACUCUAACUGGAAAAUCCUUCACUCCUACCUGCUUUACAAGGGUUUCAUGCCACACUAUAAUGUUUGGACGAGGCACGGAGAAAUAGGGGUUAUGAUGGAAGACGGCGAAGAAGAAGAGUACGAUGACAACUAUGUGCCCCCUGAAUACGGUGAUGCUGCAACAGGGGGAGCUGGUGAAGAUCAAGAGGAACCAGAUGAUGUGCCCAAUGAUGCUGCAACGGGUGAAGCUGCUGAAGAUCAAGAGGAACCAGACGAUGUGCCCGAUGAUGAUGAUCUCCGCCGGGUCAUUGUCGAUGCAAGGACGCAAUGCGAAAGUCAAAAGGAGAAGCUGAAGUUUGAUCGCAUGUUAGAGGAUCACAAAAAAAGGUUGUACCCCAAUUGCGAAGAUGGCAACACAAAGCUCGGUACCGUACUAGAAUUGCUGCAGUGGAAGGCAGAGAAUGUUGUGGCUGACAAAGGAUUUGAGAAGCUAUUGAAAAUAUUGAAGAAGAAGCUUCCAAAGGAUAAAGAAUUGCCCGACAGUACAUACGCAGUAAAGAAGGUCGUAUGCCCUUUAGGAUUGGAGGUGGAGAAGAUACAUGCAUGCCCUAAUGACUGCAUCCUCUACCGCGGUGCAUACAAGGAUCUGAACGCAUGCCCGGUAUGCGGUGCAUUCGGUAUAAGAUCAGACGAGAUGACCCUGGUGAUAUUGACGGCGAGCCCCCCAGGAAGAGGGUUCCUGCGAAGGUGAUGUGGUAUGCUCCUAUAAUACCACGGUUGAAACGUCUGUUCAGAAACGAAGAGCAUGCCAAGUUGAUGCGAUGGCACAGUGAGGACCGGAAGAAAGACGGGAAGUUGAGAGCACCCGCUGACGGGUUGCAGUGGAGAAAAAUCGAGAGAAAGUACUGGGAUGAGUUUGCAAAGGACCCAAGGAAUGUAUGGUUUGCUUUAAGCGCGGAUGGCAUUAAUUCUUUCGGAGAGCAGAGCAGCAAUCACAGCACCUGGCCCGUGACUCUAUGUAUGUAUAACCUUCCUCCUUGGAUGUGCAUGAAGUGGAAGUUCAUUAUGAUGCCAGUUCUCAUCCAAGGCCCUAAGCAACCCGGCAACGACAUUGAUGUGUACCUAAGGCCAUUAGUUGAAGAACUUUUACAGCUGUGGAAUGGAAAUGGUGUACGUACGUGGGAUGAGCACAGACAGGAGGAAUUUAACCUAAAGGUGUUGCUGUUCGUGACCAUCAACGAUUGGCCCGCUCUCAGUAACCUUUCAGGACAGACAAACAAAGGAUACCACGCAUGCACGCACUGUUUAGAUGACACUGAAAGUAUAUACCUGGACAAAUGCAGGAAGAAUGUGUACCUGGGCCAUCGUCGAUUUCUUCCGACCAACCAUCAAUGUCAAAAGAAAGGCAAGCAUUUCAAAGGCGAGGCAGAUCACUGGAAGAAGCCCGCCAUGCGUACCGGUGAUCACGUACUUGAUUUACAUGUAAUCUUUGGAAAGGGUCCCGGUGGACUAGCUGUUUCGAAUGACGCUGAGGGACACGCACCCAUUUGGAAGAAGAAAUCUAUAUUUGGGGACCUACCCUACUGGAAAGACCUAGAGGUCCGCUCUUCAAUCGACGUGAUGCACGUGACGAAGAACCUUUGCGUGAACCUGCUAGGCUUCUUGGGCGUGUAUGGGAAGACAAAAGAUACACCUGAGGCACGGGAGGACCUGCAACGUUUGUACGAAAAAGACGGCAUGCCCCCGAAGCAGUAUAAAGGUCCUGCCAGCUACGCUCUUACGAAAGAAGAGAAAGAAAUCUUCUUUGAAUGCCUGCUCAGUAUGAAGGUCACGACUGGCUUCUCGUCGAAUAUAAAGGGAAUAAUAAAUAUGCCAGAGAAAAAGUUUCAGAACCUAAAGUCUCAUGACUGCCACGUGAUUAUGACGCAAGUGCUUCCGGUUGCAUUGAGUGGGCUUCUACCGGAAAACGUCCGAUUAGCUAUUGUGAAGCUAUGUGCAUUCCUCAAUGCAAUCUCUCAGAAGGUGAUCGAUCCAGAAAUCGUACCAAGGCUAAGGAGUGAUGUGGCGCAAUAUCUUGUUAGUUUCGAGCUGGUGUUCCCACCAUCCUUCUUCAAUAUCAUGACGCACGUCCUAGUUCAUCUAGUCGACGAGAUUGUCAUCCUGGGGCCCGUAUUUCUACACAAUAUGUUACCCUUUGAGAGGUUCAUGGGAGUCUUAAAGAAAUAUGUCUGUAACCACGCUAGGCCAGAAGGAAGCAUCUCCAUGGGCCAUCAAACAGACGAUGUUAUCGGGUUUUGUGUUGACUUCAUUCCUGGCCUUAAGUAGAUAGGUCUCCCUAAAUCGCGGUAUGAGGGGAGACUGACUGGAAAAGGCACUCUUGGAAGUGACUCAAUAAUAUGCAGGGACGAAUAUUCUUGGUCUCAAGCACACUACACAGUUCUACAGAACUCUACCUUGGUGACCCCGUAUGUCGAUGAACACAAGAACAGUCUGCGCUCCAAACACCCGGAGCAGUGCGACGACUGGAUUACAUGUGAACACAUCAGGACUUCCAGCAGUUGGUUGGAAACACGUCUCAGAGGUGACAACACUGUUUGUGAUGAGCUGUACUUGUUGUCCAGGGGACCAUCUUUGACUGUAUUGACUUACAAAGGAUACGAGAUAAAUGGGAAUACAUUUUACACGAUCGCCCAAGAUCAAAAGAGCACCAGCCAAAACAACUGUGUCCGCUUUGAUGCAGCAACUAAGAGCGGAAAGGACAGAUAAUAUGGUUACAUAGUGGACAUAUGGGAACUUGACUACGGACAUGAUUUUAAGGUCCCUUUGUUUAAGUGCAAAUGGGUCAAUCUGUCAGGCGGUGGGGUAUAGGUAGACACACAGUACGCAAUGACAACAGUGGAUCUGAAAAAUCUUGGGUACACUGAUGAACCGUUCGUCCUAGCCAAUGAUGUGGCACAGGUUAUCUAUGUGAAGGACAUGUCUACCAAACCGAGAAAAAGAAAAUAUAAGGAAGCGAAUACAUCAUACGAUGAGCCAAAGCCCCACAUAGUUCUUUCAGGAAAAAAGGAUAUCCUGGGAGUGGAGGGCAAGACAGACAUGUCUGAAGAUUAUGAAAAGUUUCAUGAAAUUCCUCCCUUCAAUGUUAAGGCUGACCCAAGCAUCCUGAUAAACGAUGAAGAUUAUCCAUGGUUACGGCACAAUAAGAAAAUGACACAAGCGAAGAAAAAGUGAAGACUUUCUCCCGCAACUAUUAUGAUGAUACCAUGCCAACUUUGUAACACACGAGUAUGCUAUGCCAACUUUUUCAGAGUUCAUUUGAAAACUAUGAAUUUAGGUCGAAUUUUCUUUAUAGGUGCAUCUAUGUUCAUUUUUUAGUAAAGUUAAUCACAAACUUAUGAUUCACAUGAAUUUCAAAGAAUUCAAAUUUUAACUAUUCAAAUUUGAAAACUAAUGGCACUAACAGAAAUUUUAUAAUUUUUCUAAAACUAAUGGCACUAACAGAAAGUUUAUAAUUUUGCUGACCUAAAAGCAAAAAAGAAUUAAAAAUAAAGCAAAAAACAAAAGAAAAUAAAUAAUACAGAAAACAAAACAAAAAAAACUGAAAAAANNNNNNNNNNNNNNNNNNNNNNNNNNNNNNNNNNNNNNNNNNNNNNNNNNNNNNNNNNNNNNNNNNNNNNNNNNNNNNNNNNNNNNNNNNNNNNNNNNNNNNNNNNNNNNNNNNNNNNNNNNNNNNNNNNNNNNNNNNNNNNNNNNNNNNNNNNNNNNNNNNNNNNNNNNNNNNNNNNNNNNNNNNNNNNNNNNNNNNNNNNNNNNNNNNNNNNNNNNNNNNNNNNNNNNNNNNNNNNNNNNNNNNNNNNNNNNNNNNNNNNNNNNNNNNNNNNNNNNNNNNNNNNNNNNNNNNNNNNNNNNNNNNNNNNNNNNNNNNNNNNNNNNNNNNNNNNNNNNNNNNNNNNNNNNNNNNNNNNNNNNNNNNNNNNNNNNNNNNNNNNNNNNNNNNNNNNNNNNNNNNNNNNNNNNNNNNNNNNNNNNNNNNNNNNNNNNNNNNNNNNNNNNNNNNNNNNNNNNNNNNNAAAUUUGAAAACUAAUGGCACUAACAGAAAGUUCAUAAUUUUUGUGACCUAAAAGAAAAAAGAAAUCACUAAAAAACUAUAAGUAUUUUGUUCUAAGUAGAAAUGAAAAAUAAAUAGCAAAAAAGGAAAAAAAAUGCCUAUAAUAUUUGUUAUGACUAACUAAAAUUACCAAAUUGAGUAUAAUGAUAAAACACGGUAAUAUUAAAUAGCAGGUAAAAGAAUGACUCAAAAAUCAAUUUUUAUAGUAAAGUUAUUCAUAAACUAGUGAUUCACACAAAUUUUAAAAAAUUCAAAUUUAAACUAUUCAAAUUUUAAAACUAAUGACACUAACAGAAAGUUUAUAAUUUUUGUGACCUAAAAGAAAAAAAUCAUUAAAAACCUAUAAGUAUUUAGUUCUAAGUAGAAAUGAAAAAACAAAUAGUAAAAAGAUGCCACCUACUGGGCCACCACGUCCUGAAUACGACUAGAAGCCCAUCCAUGGGCUAGGAUUCAGGCCCGCAGAAGGCCUAGAAGGCCCAUAGGCAUAGCGGUGUGAGAUUAGGCCCAAAGGCCUGCAGUUCUGAGGAGUUCGAUGGAGAGGGCGGGGCAACGCUUAUAAACAGGUGCGGCCGCUCCUCAGCUAGCGAGGUGGGACUAAACAUCCCACCGCACCGCAGCUUUGGCAGGCGCAGGCCUUUGGUCCCGGUUGAUGGCACCAACCGGGACUAAAGGGGGCAUUGGUCACGGUUCGUGGCACAAACCGUGACCAAUGCCCCCCUUCAGUCCCGGUUGGUGCCACCAACCGGGACCAAAGGCCGCCGCUUCCCGCCCUUUGGGCUGCUGAAAAGAGGCAUUUGGUCUCGGUUGGUGGCACCAACCGGGACUAAAGGUGGCAUUGGUCCCUGUUGGUGCCACGAACCGGGACCAAUGCUCUUGGUAUAUAACCAGGACUUGUGAAAAUUUCAGUUUCUCAUCGACCAUUUGCCCCCGAUGACGCUGAGCUCAUCGACGCCGCCAGGCUGCCCCGACGCCGUCCGCCGCCCCUGCAGUCGCCCCCGACCGCGCCGUCGCCGUCGCCCGUGCCUCGCNNNNNNNNNNNNNNNNNNNNNNNNNNNNNNNNNNNNNNNNNNNNNNNNNNNNNNNNNNNNNNNNNNNNNNNNNNNNNNNNNNNNNNNNNNNNNNNNNNNNNNNNNNNNNNNNNNNNNNNNNNNNNNNNNNNNNNNNNNNNNNNNNNNNNNNNNNNNNNNNNNNNNNNNNNNNNNNNNNNNNNNNNNNNNNNNNNNNNNNNNNNNNNNNNNNNNNNNNNNNNNNNNNNNNNNNNNNNNNNNNNNNNNNNNNNNNNNNNNNNNNNNNNNNNNNNNNNNNNNNNNNNNNNNNNNNNNNNNNNNNNNNNNNNNNNNNNNNNNNNNNNNNNNNNNNNNNNNNNNNNNNNNNNNNNNNNNNNNNNNNNNNNNNNNNNNNNNNNNNNNNNNNNNNNNNNNNNNNNNNNNNNNNNNNNNNNNNNNNNNNNNNNNNNNNNNNNNNNNNNNNNNNNNNNNNNNNNNNNNNNNNNNNNNNNNNNNNNNNNNNNNNNNNNNNNNNNNNNNNNNNNNNNNNNNNNNNNNNNNNNNNNNNNNNNNNNNNNNNNNNNNNNNNNNNNNNNNNNNNNNNNNNNNNNNNNNNNNNNNNNNNNNNNNNNNNNNNNNNNNNNNNNNNNNNNNNNNNNNNNNNNNNNNNNNNNNNNNNNNNNNNNNNNNNNNNNNNNNNNNNNNNNNNNNNNNNNNNNNNNNNNNNNNNNNNNNNNNNNNNNNNNNNNNNNNNNNNNNNNNNNNNNNNNNNNNNNNNNNNNNNNNNNNNNNNNNNNNNNNNNNNNNNNNNNNNNNNNNNNNNNNNNNNNNNNNNNNNNNNNNNNNNNNNNNNNNNNNNNNNNNNNNNNNNNNNNNNNNNNNNNNNNNNNNNNNNNNNNNNNNNNNNNNNNNNNNNNNNNNNNNNNNNNNNNNNNNNNNNNNNNNNNNNNNNNNNNNNNNNNNNNNNNNNNNNNNNNNNNNNNNNNNNNNNNNNNNNNNNNNNNNNNNNNNNNNNNNNNNNNNNNNNNNNNNNNNNNNNNNNNNNNNNNNNNNNNNNNNNNNNNNNNNNNNNNNNNNNNNNNNNNNNNNNNNNNNNNNNNNNNNNNNNNNNNNNNNNNNNNNNNNNNNNNNNNNNNNNNNNNNNNNNNNNNNNNNNNNNNNNNNNNNNNNNNNNNNNNNNNNNNNNNNNNNNNNNNNNNNNNNNNNNNNNNNNNNNNNNNNNNNNNNNNNNNNNNNNNNNNNNNNNNNNNNNNNNNNNNNNNNNNNNNNNNNNNNNNNNNNNNNNNNNNNNNNNNNNNNNNNNNNNNNNNNNUGUUUUAUCGGGUCUGUCGUCGUUGAUAUACCCCUCCCGAUAACUUCAACACAAGGGGGGGGGUCGAUAUACCCCCUCUCGAUAACUUCAACACGAGGGGGGGUCGAUAUACCCCCUCCCGAUAACUUCAACAUGAGGGAGGGUCGAUAUAUAUACCACCUCCCGAUAACUUCAACAUGAGGGGGGGGGGGUCGAUAUACCCUAAAUAGCAAGUACCGUCGAAGUGAGAUACAUGUGGCCACCGGUGUCGGACACUACAUCCAUGUCCCACAAGUGACGCGGGCUUCGACGCCCAUGUCACUUGUGGGGCGUAGAUGUAGUGUCCGACACCGACGGCCACAUGUAUCUCACACCCACGGUACUUGCUAUUUAGGGUUUCCUCUAUCGCUCGGCGACCCUCGACGACCCUCGUUCCCGAUAAAAAAAGAGGAAGAAGAAGAAAAAAAGAGGAGAAGAAAGAAUAGAGGAGUUCUUACUCCUCUAUUCUUUCUUCUCCUCUUUUUUUCCUUCUUCCUCUUCUUUUUUAUCCUUGAAGCGUUGUCGAGGCCAUUCCAAACCCUAGAGAAGCAGCGUCGAGGCCACCCCAAACCCUAGAGAAGUAGCGUCGAGGCCAUUAAUUAAUAUUAGUUCUAUGUUUGCCACUAAUAUAUCCAUCUGUCAUGUUUGAAUAAUAAUUGCCAUGUUGUAAAUAUUUGUAGAAACUAUGGACACCGCCCGAGAUGAAGUACAAGAAGAGUUGUUGGGGGACAUAAUCGCACGAGGAAGUGAUGUCGUCUGCUUGUUGUUUCUCAACGACACCGGUGGUCUGGAAGCAGCUGGCUAUGAUUAUGAUGGCUCCGGUGACCUAAUGCUGGUGCAAGAAGGAGACCGUGAGGACGGCUCCGGUGACACAAUGUCGGUGCAAGAAGGAGACCGUGAUGACGUCUCUGGUGACCGAACCGAGUCCGGCCAGGUAUAUAUAUUAGUUAUGCUUCUGCUGACUAGCUAAUUGUUGCAUUCAUUGUUUUGGUGUGUACACACAUUAAUUAAGUCUUUGUUCUUUUUUCUAGCCCUCUGGUGAAGGAAAUAUGCCCUAGAGGCAAUAAUAAAGUUAUUAUUUAUUUCCUUAUAAUCAUGAUAAAUGUUUAUUAUUCAUGCUAGAAUUGUAUUUACCGGAAACAUAAUACAUGUGUGAAUACAUAGACAAACAAAGUGUCACUAGUAUGCCUCUACUUGACUAGCUCGUUAAUCAAAGAUGGUUAUGUUUCCUAAACCAUGAACAAUGAGUUGUUAUUUGAUUAACGAGGUCACAUCAUUAGUAGAAUGAUCUGAUUGACAUGACCCAUUCCAUUAGCUUAGCACCCGAUCGUUUAGUAUGUUGCUAUUGCUUUCUUCAUGACUUAUACAUGUUCCUAUGACUAUGAGAUUAUGCAACUCCCGUUUACCGGAGGAACACUUUGGGUACUACCAAACGUCACAACGUAACUGGGUGAUUAUAAAGGAGUACUACAGGUGUCUCCAAUGGUCGAUGUUGGGUUGGCGUAUUUCGAGAUUAGGAUUUGUCACUCCGAUUGUCAGAGAGGUAUCUCUGGGCCCUCUCGGUAAUACACAUCACAUAAGCCUUGCAAGCAUUACAACUAAUAUGUUAGUUGUGAGAUGAUGUAUUACGGAACGAGUAAAGAGACUUGCCGGUAACGAGAUUGAACUAGGUAUUGGAUACCGACGAUCGAAUCUCGGGCAAGUAACAUACCGAUGACAAAGGGAACAACGUAUGUUGUUAUGCGGUCUGACCGAUAAAGAUCUUCGUAGAAUAUGUAGGAGCCAAUAUGGGCAUCCAGGUCCCGCUAUUGGUUAUUGACCGGAGACGUGUCUCGGUCAUGUCUACAUUGUUCUCGAACCCGUAGGGUCCGCAUGCUUAAGGUUACGAUGACAGUUAUAUUAUGAGUUUACAUGUUUUGAUGUACCGAAGGAGUUCGGAGUCCCGGAUGAGAUCGGGGACAUGACGAGGAGUCUCGAAAUGGUCGAGACGUAAAGAUUCAUAUAUUGGAUGAUAUGGUUAGGCCAAGGGGUCAAGCCCAUGAGGCUUUAGGUCGGUGCAAAAGGAGUUUUGCGGAGGCCAGGGGGCCAAACGCCGGAGACCCUGGCGUCUGGCCCUGGGCCAGACGCCGAGGCCCAUGGCGUCUGGGCCAGACGCCAAGGAUUGUGGCGUUUGGUCCUGGAGUCCGAGUGGGACUCUUGCCUUUCGGGCAAAACCGACUUUGAGGAGGCUUUUGCUCCAAGUUUCGACCCCGGGGCUCAACAUAUAAAUAGAGGGGCAGGGCUAGCACCAAAGGGACAACAAGUUGAUCCACGUGAUCUAUUCCUUAGCCGUGUGCGGCGCCCCCAGCCACCAUAAUCCUCAAUAAUACUGUAGCGGAGUUUAGGCGAAGCCCUGCUGCUGUAGUUCAUCAAGAUCGUCACCACGCCGUCGUGCUGACGGAACUCUUCCCCGACACUUUGCUGGAUCGGAGUCCGGGGAUCGUCAUCGAGCUGAACGUGUGCUCGAACUCGGAGGUGCCGUAAUUUCGGUGCUUGAUCGGUUGGAUCGAGAAGACGUACGACUACUUCCUCUACGUCGUGUCAUCGCUUCCGCAGUCGGUCUGCGUUGGGUACGUAGACAAUACUCUUCCCUCGUUGCUAUGCAUCACAUGAUCUUGCGUGUGCGUAGGAAAAUUUUGAAAUUACUACGAAACCCUACAGUGGUAUCAGAGCCAGGUUAUUUAUGUUGAUGUUAUAUGCACGAGUAGAACACAAGUGAGUUGUGGACGAUACAAGUCAUACUGCCUACCAGCAUGUCAUACUUUGGUUCGGCGGUAUUGUUGGACGAGACGACCCGGACCAACCUUACGCGUACGCUUACGCGAGACCGGUUCCCUCGACGUGCUUUGCACAGAGAUGGCUUGCGGGCGACUGCCUCUCCAACUUUAGUUGAACCAAGUAUGGCUACGCCCGGUCCUUGCGAAGGUUAAAACGGAGUCUAUUUGACAAACUAUCGUUGUGGUUUUGAUGCGUAGGUGAGAUUGGUUCUUACUUAAGCCCGUAGCAGCCACGUAAAACAUGCAACAACAAAGUAGAGGACGUCUAACUUGUUUUUGCAGGGCAUGUUGUGAUGUGAUAUGGUCAAGGCAUGAUGCUGAAUUUUAUUGUAUGAGAUGAUCAUGUUUUGUAACCAAGUUAUCGGCAACUGGCAGGAGCCAUAUGGUUGUCACUUUAUUGUAUGCAAUGCAAUUGCGAUGUAAUGCUUUACUUUAUUACUAAACGGUAGUGAUAGUCGUGGAAGCAUAAGAUUGGCGAGACGACAACGAUGCUACGAUGGAGAUCAAGGUGUCGCGCCGGUGACGAUGGUGAUCAUGACGGUGCUUCGGAGAUGGAGAUCACAAGCACAAGAUGAUGAUGGCCAUAUCAUAUCACUUAUAUUGAUUGCAUGUGAUGUUUAUCUUUUUAUGCAUCUUAUCUUGCUUUGAUUGACGGUAGCAUUAUAAGAUGAUCUCUCACUAAAUUAUCAAGAAGUGUUCUCCCUGAGUAUGCACCGUUGCGAAAGUUCUUCGUGCUGAGACACCACGUGAUGAUCGGGUGUGAUAGGCUCUACGUUCAAAUACAACGGGUGCAAAACAGUUGCACACGCGGAAUACUCAGGUUAUACUUGACGAGCCUAGCAUAUACAAAUAUGGCCUCGGAACACGGAGACCGAAAGGUCGAGCGUGAAUCAUAUAGUAGAUAUGAUCAACAUAGUGAUGUUCACCAUUGAAACUACUCCAUCUCACGUGAUGAUCGGACAUGGUUUAGUUGAUUUGGAUCACGUGAUCACUUAGAGGAUUAGAGGGAUGUCUGUCUAAGUGGGAGUUCUUAAGUAAUAUGAUUAAUUGAACUUAAAUUUAUCAUGAACUUAGUCCUGGUAGUAUUUUGCAAAUUAUAGAUCAAUAGCUCGCGUUGUUGCUUCCCUGUGUUUAUUUUGAUAUGUUCCUAGAGAAAAUUGUGUUGAAAGAUGUUAGUAGCAAUGAUGCGGAUUGGAUCCGUGAUCUGAGGAUUAUCCUCAUUGCUGCACAGAAGAAUUAUGUCCUUGAUGCACCGCUAGGUGACAGACCUAUUGCAGGAGCAGAUGCAAACGUUAUGAACGUUUAGCUAGCUCAAUAUGAUGACUACUUGAUAGUUUAAGUGCACCAUGCUUAACGGCUUAGAAUCGGGACUUCAAAGACAUUUUGAACGUCAUGGACCAUAUGAGAUGUUCCAGGAGUUGAAGUUAAUAUUUCAAGAAAAUACCCGAGUUGUGAGAUAUGAAGUCUCCAACAAGUUCUAUAGCUAAAAGAUGGAGGAGAAUCGCUCAACUAGUGAGCAUGUGCUCAGAUUGUCUGGGUACUACAAUUGCUUGAAUCAAGUGGGAGUUAAUCUUCCAGAUAAGAUAGUGAUUGACAGAAUUCUCUAGUCACCAUCACCAAGUUAGUAGAACUUCGUGAUGAACUAUAAUAUGCAAGGGAUAACGGAAACAACUCCCAAGCUCUUCGUGAUGAUGAAAUCAAUGAAGGUAGAAAUCAAGAAAAACAUCAAGUGUUGAUGGUUGAUAAGACCACUAGUUUCAAGAAAAGGGCAAAGGGAAGAAGGGGAACUUCAAGAAGAACGGCAAGCAAGUUGCUGCUCAAGUGAAGAAGCCCAAGUCUGGUCCUAAGCCUGAGACUAAGUGCUUCUACUGCAAAGGGACUGGUCACCGGAAACGGAACCACCCCAAGUGAUUGGCGGAUAAGAAGGAUGGCAAAGUGAACAUAAGUAUAUUUGAUAUACAUGUUAUUGAUGUGUACUUUACUAGUGUUUAUAGCAAACCCUAAGUAUUUGAUACUAGUUCAGUUGCUAAGAUUAGUAACUCGAAACGGGAGUUGCAGAAUAAACAGAGACUAGUUAAGGGUGAAGUGACGAUGUGUGUUGGAAGUGGUUCCAAGAUUGAUAUGAUCAUCAUCGCACACUCCCUAUAAUUUCGGGAUUAGUGUUGAAACUAAAUAAGUGUUAUUUGGUGUUUGCAUUGAGCAUGAAUAUGAUUUGAUCAUGUUUAUUGUAAUACGGUUAUUCAUUUAAGUAAAAGAAUAAAUUGUUGUUCUGUUUACAUGAAUAAAACUUUAUAUGGUUACACACCCAAUGAAAAUAGUUCAUUGGAUCUCGAUCUUAGUGAUACACAUAUUCAUAAUAUUGAAACCAAAAGAUGUAAAGUUAAUAAUGAUAGUGCAACUUAUUUAUGGCACUGCCGUUUAGGUCAUAUUGGUGUAAAGCGCAUGAAGAAACUCCAUGCUGAUGGGAUUUUGGAAUCACUUGAUUAUGAAUCACUUGAUGCUUGCGAACCAUGCCUUAUGGGCAAGAUGACUAAAACGCCGUUCUCCGGAACAAUGAAGCAAGCAACAGAUUUGUUGGAAAUCAUACAUACCGAUGUAUGUGGUCGGAUGAAUAUUAAGGCUUACAGCAGGUAUCAUUAUUUUCUGACCUUCACAAGAUGAUUUGAGCAGAUAUGGGGAUAUCUACUUGAUGAAACAAAAGUCUGAAAUAAUUGAAAGGUUCAAAGAAUUUCAGAGUGAAGUGGAAAAAUCAUCGCAACAAGAAAAAUAAAGUUUCUGCGAUCUGAUCAUGGAGACGAAUAUUUGAGUUACGAGUUUGGUCUUCAAUUAAAACAAUGUGGAAUAGUUUCAUAGCUCACGCCACCUGGAACACCACAAUGUUAUGGUGUGUCCGAACGUCGUAACCGCGCUUUAUUGGAUAUGGUGCGAUCUAUGAUGUCUCUUAUUGAUUUACCAUUGUCGUUUUGGGGUUAUGCAUUAGAGACAGCUGCAUUCACGUUAAAAGGGCACCAUCUAAAUCCAUUGAGAUGACACUAUAUGAACUGUGGUUUAGCAAGAAACCCAAGUUGUCGUUUCUUAAAGUUUGGGGCUGCGAUGCUUAUGUGGAAAAGUUUCAUCCUGAUAAGCUCGAACCCAAAUCGGAGAAGUGCGUCUUCAUAGAAUACCCAAAGGAAAUUGUUGGGUACACCUUCUAUCACAGAUCCGGAGGCAAGAUAUUCGUUGCUAAAAAUGGAUCCUUUCUGGAGAAGGAGUUUCUCUCGAAAGAAGUGAGUGGGAGGAAAGUAGAACUUGAUGAGGUAACUAUACCUGCUCCCUUAUUGGAAAGUAGUUCAUCACAGAAAUCAGUUCCUGUGACAAAUACACCAAUUAGUGAGGAAGCUAAUGAUAUUGAUCAUAAAACUUCAGAUCAAGUUACUACAGAACCUCGUAGGUCUUCCAUAGUAAGAUCUGCACCAGAGUGGUGUAGUAAUCAUGUUCUGGAAGUCAUGUUACUAGACCAUGAUGAACCUACGAACUAUGAGGAAGCGAUGAUGAGCCCAGAUUCCGCGAGAUGGCUUGAGGCCAUAAAAUCUGAGAUGUGAUCCAUGUAUGACAACAAAGUAUGGACUUUGAUUGACUUGCUCGAUGAUCAGCAAAGCCAUGUUAAAUAAAUGGAUCUUCAAGAGGAAGACGGACACUGAUAGUAGUGUUACUAUCUACCAAGCUCGACUUGUUGCAAAAGUUUUUCAACAAGUUCAAGGUGUUAAAUACGAUGAGGUUUUCUCACUCGUAUCGAUGCUUAAGUCUAUCUGAAUCAUGUUAGCAAUUGCCACAUUUUAUGAAAUCUGGCAAAUGGAUGUCAAAACUGCAUUCCUUAAUGGAUUUAUUAAAGAAGAGUUGUAUAUGAUGCAACUAGAAGGUUUUGUCAAUCCUAAAGGUGCUAACAAAAUGUGCAAGCUCUAGCGAUCCAUCUAUGGACUGGUGCAAGCAUCUCGGAGUUGGAAUAUACGCUUUGAUAAGUUGAUCAAAGCAUAUAGUUUUAUAUGGACUUACGAUGAAGCCUGUAUUUACAAUAAAGUGAGUGGGAGCACUACAGCCUUUCUGAUUAGUAUAUGUGAGUGACAUAUUGUUGAUCAGAAAUGAUGUAGAAUUUUUCUGCAAAGCAUAAAGGAGUGUUUUAAAGGAGUUCUUUAAAAAGAAAAGACCUCAGUAAAAGCUACUUAUAUAUUGAGCAUCAAGAUCUAUUGAGAUAGAUCAAGAUGCUUGAUAAGAUUUUCAAUGAGUACAUACCUUGGCAAGAUUUUGAAAUAGUUCAAAAUGGAACAGUUAAAGAAAGAGUUCUUGCCUGUGUUGCAAAGGUAUGAAAUUGAGUAAGACUCAAAUCCCGACCACAGCAGAAAAUAGAAAGAGAAUGAAAAGUCAUUCCCUAUGCCUCAGUCAUAAGUUCUAUAAAGUAUGCUAUGCUUUGUACCAGACCUAUUGUAUACCUUGCUCUGUAUUUGGCAAGGGAGUACAAUAGUGAUCUAGGAGUAGAUCACUGGACAUUGGUCAAGAAUAUCCUUAGUAAGGACUAAGGAGAUGUUUCUCGAUUAUGGAAGUGAUAAAAGAGUUUGUUGUAAAAGUUACAUCAGUGCAAACUUUUACACUGAUCCAGAUGACUCUAAGUCUCAAUCUGGAUACAUAUUGAAAGUGGGAGCGAUUAGCUAGAGUAGCUCCGUACAGAGCAUUGUAGACAUAGAAUAUUUGCAAAAUACAUACGGCUCUGAAUGUGACAGACCCGUUGACUAAGAUUCUCUCACGAGCAAAACAUGAUCACACCUUAGUACUCUUUGGAUGUUAAUCACAUAGCGAUGUGAACUAGAUUAUUGACUCUAGUAAACCCUUUGGGUGUUGGUCACAUGAUGAUGUGAACUAUGGGUGUUAAUCAUAUACAGAUAUGAAUAUUGGUGUUAAAUCACAUGACGAUGUGAACUAGAUUAUUGACACUAGUGCAAGUGGGAGACUGAAGGAAAUAUGCCCUAGAGGCAAUAAUAAAGUUAUUAUUUAUUUCCUUAUAAUCAUGAUAAAUGUUUAUUAUUCAUGCUAGAAUUGUAUUUACCGGAAACAUAAUACAUGUGUGAAUACAUAGACAAACAAAGUGUCACUAGUAUGCCUCUACUUGACUAGCUCGUUAAUCAAAGAUGGUUAUGUUUCCUAAACCAUGAACAAUGAGUUGUUAUUUGAUUAACGAGGUCACAUCAUUAGUAGAAUGAUCUGAUUGACAUGACCCAUUCCAUUAGCUUAGCACCUGAUCGUUUAGUAUGUUGCUAUUGCUUUCUUCAUGACUUAUACAUGUUCCUAUGACUAUGAGAUUAUGCAACUCCUGUUUACCGGAGGAACACUUUGGGUACUACCAAACGUCACAACGUAACUGGGUGAUUAUAAAGGAGUACUACAGGUGUCUCCAAUGGUCGAUGUUGGGUUGGCGUAUUUCGAGAUUAGGAUUUGUCACUCCGAUUGUCAGAGAGGUAUCUCUGGGCCCUCUCGGUAAUACACAUCACAUAAGCCUUGCAAGCAUUACAACUAAUAUGUUAGUUGUGAGAUGAUGUAUUACGGAACGAGUAAAGAGACUUGCUGGUAACGAGAUUGAACUAGGUAUUGGAUACCGACGAUCGAAUCUCGGGCAAGUAACAUACCGAUGACAAAGGGAACAACGUAUGUUGUUAUGCGGUCUGACCGAUAAAGAUCUUCGUAGAAUAUGUAGGAGCCAAUAUGGGCAUCCAGGUCCCGCUAUUGGUUAUUGACCGGAGACGUGUCUCGGUCAUGUCUACAUUGUUCUCGAACCCGUAGGGUCCGCACGCUUAAGGUUACGAUGACAGUUAUAUUAUGAGUUUACAUGUUUUGAUGUAUCGAAGGAGUUCGGAGUCCCGGAUGAGAUCGGGGACAUGACGAGGAGUCUCGAAAUGGUCGAGACGUAAAGAUUCAUAUAUUGGAUGAUAUGGUUAGGCCAAGGGGUCAAGCCCAUGAGGCUUUAGGUCGGUGCAAAAGGAGUUUUGCGGAGGCCAGGGGGCCAAACGCCGGAGACCCUAGCGUCUGGCCCUGGGCCAGACGCCGAGGCCCAUGGCGUCUGGGCCAGACGCCAAGGAUUGUGGCGUUUGGUCCUGGAGUCCGAGUGGGACUCUUGCCUUUCGGGCAAAACCGACUUUGAGGAGGCUUUUGCUCCAAGUUUCGACCCCGGGGCUCAACAUAUAAAUAGAGGGGCAGGGCUAGCACCAAAGGGACAACAAGUUGAUCCACGUGAUCUAUUCCUUAGCCGUGUGUGGCGCCCCCAGCCACCAUAUUCCUCGAUAAUACUGUAGCGGAGUUUAGGCGAAGCCCUGCUGCUGUAGUUCAUCAAGAUCGUCACCACGCCGUCGUGCUGACGGAACUCUUCCCCGACACGUUGCUGGAUCGGAGUCCGGGGAUCGUCAUCGAGCUGAACGUGUGCUCGAACUCGGAGGUGUCGUAGUUUCGGUGCUUGAUCGGUUGGAUCGAGAAGACGUACGACUACUUCCUCUACGUCGUGUCAUCGCUUCCGCAGUCGGUCUGCGUUGGGUACGUAGACAAUACUCUUCCCUCGUUGCUAUGCAUCACAUGAUCUUGCGUGUGCGUAGGAAAAUUUUGAAAUUACUACGAAACCCUACAUCUGGAUCGAGCACAACUUCGGUAAAGAGACGAGGCCCGAAGAAAAAGUUGAGCUCGGAUGAAAAGUUUGAGAUCAUAGCAAUCGCGCCCGACGGCCAACCGAUUGAGCCCCUCCGGACAAAGAGCUCAUUUGUUGCUCAAUGCGGGGUUUUGGUUAGGGACAAGAUCCCGAUCAGCAUGCAGCAAUGGUUAAAGCCGGCUACAGAAGACCCUGAGGUGUCAUAUGUCAAUGAUAUGCAAAAAAAUGAUCUUUGGACUGAGCUGAAGUCAAAUUUCACCCUACCACCAGAGGAUGAUCCGAAGAAGCCAGUUAAAGAGCAAUUAAUCAAGUCUUUUGCUCUUAAGAGGAUGGCAGAACUAUUCAGGAGGUGGAAGAAAGAGCUGAAUAAGUUUGUCGAAAAUAAAGAGACACCACAAUUCAAGGGCAGAUAUGAGAAGAUCAGAGAUCACUGGCCCGCAUUUGUGGCCCACAAGACAUCGGAAAAGAGUAAGAAGAUGUCGGCGACAAACAAGCAAAAUGCUGCGAAGAAGAAGCAUCACCAUCGCACGGGGUCAGGCGGCUACCUCGCAGCUCGGCCUAAGUGGGCCAAGAUUGAGAAUGAUCUGGUUGAUAAAGGGAUCGAACCAGAGACAAUUAAGUGGCCAGACCGUUGCCAAACUUGGUUCUUCGGGGCUGGUGGAACCUUGGACCCUGUAUCAGGGAAGUGCAUUUGGACGGACGAGCAAAUGAAAAUACCAGUCAAGAGGCUUAAGCACUAUAUCAAAGCAGCGCAGCAAGGGACGUUCGUUCCAGACAUAGAGAAUGGCGAGCUCACAAUGGCCCUCGGGAAUCCUGAGCACCCUGGAUGGACACGAGGCACGCCAGGCUCCAUUCCGUGGAAGGCUGGGUUUCCGGACGUAGGCGGUUACAAAUGCCAUGAGAGGAGGAAGAAAGUGGAGUAGACCCAACUGCAGGCGCUGCACGCUAGGGUACAAGCGAUAGAGGAACGAGAAGCAAAUCGCAGCAAACGAACUGCCAAAGCUUCCCCCGAAGCUACCCCGCCAUCUUAGCGAAGAAGCAGCAUGGCUUCCACUGAGCUGCUUCAGCCGGAGCAUGUCUUGACGGCUCCUGCCAGCUAUCUCGUGGAUGCUAUCACGGAGUCUCAAAAUUGCCACCUUAUUGAUAUGAAGGAAGGAAAUAUUAGAUUCCAAUUUCCCUUAAGGAAAGGCAUCGAACACUUUCCUAGACAGAAAAUUAAAUUACCUUAUGAAUCUAUUAUGAGAGCCACUUAUGGAUUGCCUACCAAAGAUGGCAAUACCUAGAUCUAUCCUUGCUUUUUAUGCCUAGCUAGGGGCGUUAAACGAUAGCGCUUGUUGGGAGGCAACCCAAUUUUAUUUUUAUUCCUUGCUUUUUGCUCCUGUUUAGUAAUAAAUAAUUUAUCUAGUCACUUUUUAGGUUGUGUUUUUUGUGUUUAAUUAGUUUUUGUGCCAAGUAGAACCGUUGGGAAGACUUGGGGAAAGUCUCGAUAUCUUUCUGUAAAAAACAGAAACUUUAGCGCUCAGGAGAACUGCUGCCAUUUUCAUUUGGAAGGUACAAUUUAGUUAAUUAUUUUUGCAGAUGAUUAAUAUAUAAAUUCCUCACGUCCAGCAAUUCAUUUUAGAAUUUUUGAGGUUCCAGAUCUUGCACUAGCUACAGAUUACUACAGACUGUUCUGUUUUUGACAGAUUCUGUUUUUCAUGUGUUGUUUGCUUAUUUUGAUGAAUCUAUGGCUAGUAAAAUAGUUUAUAAACCAUAGAUAAGUUGGAAUACAGAAGGUUUAACACCAAUAUAAAUAAAUAAUGAGUUCAUUACAGUACCUUGAAGUGGUCUUUUGUUUUCUUUUGCUAACGGAGCUCAAGGGAUUUUCUAAUUUGAGUUUUGUGUUGUGAAGUUUUCAAGUUUUGGGUAAUGAUUUGAUGGAUUAUGGAAUAAGGAGUGGCAAGAGCCUAAGCUUGGGGAUGCCCAUGGCACCCCCAAUAUAAUCUAAGGACACCUAAAAGCCAAAUCUUGGGGAUGCCCCGGAAGACAUCCCCUCUUUCGUCUACUUCUAUCGGUAACUUUACUUGGAGCUAUAUUUUUAUUCGCCACAUGAUAUGUGUUUUGCUUGGAGCGUCUUGUAUGAUUUUAGUCUUUCCUUUUUAGUUUACCACAAUCAUCCUUGCUGUACACACCUUUUGAUAGAGCCAUACAUGAUUUGGAAUUUGAUAGAAUACUCUAUGUGAUUCGCUUAUAUCAUUUGAGUUAUAUAGUUUUGCUCUAGUACUUCACUUAUAUCUUUUAGAGCACGGUGGUGGAUUUGUUUUAUAGAAACUAUUGAUCUCUCAUGCUUCGCUUAGAUUAUUUUGAGAGUCUUAAAUAGCAUGGUAAUUUGCUUAAAUAAUCCUAAUAUGCUAGGUGUUCAAGAAUAAUAAAAUUUUCUCUUAUGAGUGUUUUGAAUACUAAGAGAAGUUUGAUGCUUGAUGAUUGUUUUGAGAUAUGGAGGUAAUAAUAUCAAAGUCGUGCUAGUUGAGUAGUUGUGAAUUUGAGAAAUGCUUGUGUUGAAGUUUGCAAGUCCCGUAGCAUGCAUGUAUGGUAAAUGUUAUGUAACAAAUUUGAAACAUGAGGUGUUAUUUGAUUGUCUUCCUUAUGAGUGGCGGUCGGGGACGAGCGAUGGUCUUUUCCUACCAAUCUACCCCCACUAGGAGCAUGCACGUAGUGCUUGGCUUUUGAUGACUUGUAGAUUUUUGCAAUAAGUAUGUGAGUUCUUUAUGACUAAUGUUGAGUCCAUGGAUUAUACGCACUCUCACCCUUCCAUCAUUGCUAGCCACUUCGGUACCGUGCAUUACCCUUUCUCACAUUGAGAGUUGGUGCAAACUUAGCCAGUGCAUCCAAACCCCGUGAUAUGAUAUGCUCUUUCACACAUAAACCUCCUUAUACCUACCUAUUAUGGCAUUUCCAUAGCCAUUCCGAGAUAUAUUGCCAUGCAACUUUCCACCAUUCCAUUUAUCAUGACACAUUCACCAUUGUCAUAUUGCUUAGCAUGAUCAUGUAGUUUACAUAGUAUUUGUGGCAAAGCCACCGUUCAUAAUUCUUUCAUACAUGUCACUCUUGGUUCAUUGCAUAUCCCGGUACACCGCCGGAGGCAUUCAUAUAGAGUCGUAUCUUGUUCUAAGUAUCGAGUUGUAAUUCUUGAGUUGUAAGUAAAUAGAAGUGUGAUGACCAUCAUUCAUAGGGCAUUGUCCUAUAUAUAUAUAUAUAUAUAUAUAUAUAUAUAUAUAUAUAUAUAUAUAUAUAUAUAAAGAAGGGACAAUGCUACUAUCCUUUUCCCACACUUGUGCUUCGAAGCACCAUAAUCUUCAUGAUAGAGAGUCUUUUGUCACUUUCAUAUACUAGUGGGAAUUUUUCAUUAUAGAACUUGGCUUGUAUAUUCCAACAAUGGGCCUCCUCAAGUGCCCUAGGUCUUCGUGAGCAAGCAAGUUGGAUGCACACCCACUAAGUUUCUUUUGAUGAGCUUUCAUACAUUUAUAGCUCUAGUGCAUCCAUUGCAUGGCAAUCCCUACUCCUUGCAUUAACAUAAAUCAAUGCGCAUCUCCAUAGCCCAUUGAUUAGCCUCGUUGAUGUGAGACUUCCUCCUUUUUUGUCUUCUCCACAUAACUCCCAUCAUCAUAUUUUAUUCCACCCAUAGUGCUAUAUCCAUGGCUCACGCUCAUAUAUUGCGUGAGAGUUUAUAAGUUUGAGAUUACUAAAGUAUGAAACAAUUGCUUGGCUUAUCAUCGGGGUUGUGCAUGAUGAGAGCAUUCUUGUGUGAUGAAAAUGGAGCAUGACUAAACUAUAUGAUUUUGUAGGGAUGAACUUUCUUUGGCCAUGUUAUUUUGAGAGGACAUAAUUGCUUAGUUAGUAUGCUUGAAGUAUUAUUAUUUUUAUGUCAAUAUGAACUUUUAUCUGGAAUCUUUCGGAUCCGAAUGUUCAUACCACAAUUAAGAAGAAUUACAUUGAAAUUAUGCCAAGUAGCACUCCGCAUCAAAAAUUCUGUUUUUAUCAUUUACCUACUCGAGGACGAGCAGGAAUUAAGCUUGGGGAUGUUUGAUACGUCUCCAACGUAUCUAUAAUUUUUGAUUGCUCCAUGCUAUAUUAUCUACUGUUUUGGACAUUAUUGGGCUUUAUUAUCCACAUUUAUAUUAUUUUUGGGACUAACCUAUUAACCGGAGGCCCAGCCCAGAAUUGUUGUUUUUGCCUAUUUUAGGGUUUCGAAGAAAAGGAAUAUCAAACGGAGUCCAAACGGAAUGAAACCUUCGGGAAUGUGAUUUUCUCACUGAAUAUGAUCCAGGAGACUUGGACCCCACGUCAAGAAACAAAAGAGGAGGCCACAAGGUAGGGGGCGCGCCUACCCCACCAGGCGCGCCCUCCACCCUCGUGGGCCCCCUGUUGCUCCACCGACGUACUCCUUCCUCCUAUAUGUACAUACGUACCCCCAAACGAUCAGAUAUGGAGCCAAAACCCCAAUUCCACCGCCGCAACUUUCUGUAUCCACGAGAUCCCAUCUUGGGGCCUGUUCCGGAGCUCCGCCGAGAGGGUAUCCAUCACGGAGGGCUUCUACAUCAUCACCAUAGCCCCUCUGAUGAAGUGUGAGUAGUUCACCUCAGACCUACGGGUCCAUAGUUAUUAGCUAGAUGGCUUCUUCUCUCUUUUUGGAUCUCAAUACAAUGUUCUCCCCCUCUCUUGUGGAGAACUAUUCGAUGUAAUCUUCUUUUUGCGGUGUGUUUGUUGAGACUGAUGAAUUGUGGGUUUAUGAUCAAGUCUAUUUAUGAACAAUAUUUGAAUCUUCUCUGAAUUCUUUUAUGUAUGAUUGGUUAUCUUUGCAAGUCUCUUCGAAUUAUCAGUUUGGUUUGGCCUACUAGAUUGAUCUUUCUUGCAAUGGGAGAAGUUCUUAGCUUUGGGUUCAAUCUUGUGGUGUCCUUUCCCAGUGAUAGUAGGGGUAGCAAGGCACGUAUUGUAUUGUUGCCGUCGAGGAUAACAAGAUGGGGUUUUCAUCAUAUUGCGUGAGUUUAUCCCUCUACAUCAUGUCAUCUUGCUUAAGGCGUUACUCUGUUUUCAUUAACUUAAUACUCUAGAUGCAUGCUGGAUAGCGGUCGAUGAGUGGAGUAAUAGUAGUAGAUGCAGGCAGGAGUCGGUCUACUUGUCUCGGACGUGAUGCCUAUAUACAUGAUCAUACCUAGAUAUUCUCAUAACUAUGCUCAAUUCUGUCAAUUGCUCAACAGUAAUUCUUUCACCCACCAUAGAAUACUUAUGCUCUUAAGAGAAGCCACUAGUGAAACCUAUGGCCGCCGGGUCUAUCUUCAUCAUAUUAAUCUUCCAAUACCUAGUUAUUUCCUUUGCUUAUAUUUUACUUUGCAUCUUUAUCAUAAAAAUACCAAAAAUAUUAUCUUAUCAUAUCUAUCAAAUCUCACUCUCGUAAGUGGCCGUGUAGGGAUUGACAACCCCUUAUCGCGUUGGUUGCGAGGAUUUAUUUGUUUUGUGUAGGUACGAGGGACUCACGCGUAGCCUCCUACUGGAUUGAUACCUUGGUUCUCAAAAACUGAGGGAAAUACUUACGCUACUUUGCUGCAUCAUCCCUUCCUCUUCGGGGAAAAACCAACGCAGUGCUCAAGAGGUAGCAAGACACGAUCAUUGUACUGCUGCAUAUAGGGGGACGAUGGAGCGCCAUAGGAUGCAUAAGGACUGGUGUUGUAGAUCGGUGGCGUGUAGGAGGGAGCAGCAUGGUACGCGGCCGCGGGCUGUCGGGGCACGAGGUUGGGCGCGCCAGUGUGAGGGAGAGGGUUGGGCUGCCAGCCACCGGUAUAAGCAGGCAGGGCACCAUAAGGCGUAGGGGCAGACCAGGGCAUAGGCCACGCCUGGACCAGCCCUGUACAACUAUUAGUAGAUGGGCGCCAUCCGGGCGGCGGCGGUGGUGGUGUAGUUGGUGGAGCCGGGGGCGGAGCAGGAGCGGGCGCCAUGUAGAACUGUGGAGGGCUAGGGUUUUUGCCCUGGUAGUUGGGACUUGGACACGAGCCGGAUGGUUGAGGAGGUGCUGUUGGUGGAGGUGGCGGUGGCGGGGGUAAUGCAGGUGGGCGAGGAGAAGCAGUGAAGACCCGAGGACGCGAGUCCUUCGAAGUUAGGGAACGAUCGGCCCAUUGGAGCAUCGAGCGAACCUCGGCGAAGGAGGGACGCGGACGCAUCAUAGGGAUGAAGGAGGCCUGCUACUCGAACAGCUGGCUGAGGCCGACGAGGAGGAUGUUGAUGAGCUGGCGAUCUUCGAUCGGAUCACCAAGUUCGCGGAGUUCGUCCACGAUCGCCUUGAGGUGUUGGCAGUAGACGCCGACUGGUGCAUCACCUUGCACUGUAUUCCGAAGCUCGGUGUGGAGUUUGUUGGCGCGAGACUCGACAUUGUCCUGGAAGAACUGACGAAGGGCCGCCCAUAGAUCGGCGGCGGAGGCAUCGUCACAAUGGACGAGAUUGAAGAUUUCUGUGGAGAUUUGCAUGUAGAUCCAUUGAAUAAUGGCGAGAUCAUCCUUCACCCAUUGCGGAUCAUGAAGUUGAGGAAGAGAGUCGUCGGCAAUGUGAGAGCGGAGAUUGCAUCGCCCAAGGUGGACGUUGAAGAGGUGACGCCAAUGGUAGUAGUUGUGGGCAGCAAGGUCUAGGGUUACGGGGAUGUAGGGGCUAAUAUUAGAGAUGGUGUCGAUGAAGGAGAUGGAAGGGGGUAUUGGUGGGGUUAGAGGUAGAGUAGAGGUAGAGGCGGACGAGGCCGCGGCCACGGGGACCUUGGCGGCGACGAUGGCGGCACCCCGCUCGAAGUAGCCGGGCGGCGGCAGCGGUGGAGGGGCCGGCGGGUUAGCCAUACCCUAGGAUCGUAAGUCUGAUACCAUGCAGAAUUGUAUUGAAUAAUUGGUGAUGCAAUAUUGUGCCGGUACAAGAGGUAUAUAUAAGAGCCAAGCCGCACCUAACCUAACCCUAUUACAAACCGAGUAGGAGUCCUAAUCCUAAUACAAGUUGUAUUCUAACACAUAAGGUUGUACUAAUUAUUUGUGGUUAAUACAAGAAUAUCUGAUUAACCAAGAAUGGGAAACAUGGAUAAUUUAUCUUUUCUAAACGUAGGAGAUUUUUCUCGUGGACAUAGAACAUUCUUGUGGGGAAGCCAGAACAAUUUUACUCUACACCUAAAAUAUAUUUUUCUUGAAUCUAGAAUGUUGUUCUGCUUGAUAAAAAGAUAUCCUAACUAAUCAAUUAAAAAAGAUAUUCUAACUUAAUAGAAAGAUGGUCUUUAAAAAAUCCCAUCUAUUUCCGCAAAAAAAGAGUGAUCUAAAUAUACUUAAGUGGGGUACGUUGUUUUAAUUAUUUUAUUCUAACACAAACUGGGUGUGGCAAAUCGGAAUUUAAUUUAGAUGCCUCGUUUAUAAAUUGACUUAGGUUAGGCCGCCGGUCUUCACUUUUAAGAGAGGAAUAGGUCUUCACUUUUAAGAGAGAAAUAGAUCUACGACAUAUAAUAUUAUAGCUACUGAACAUCACAUAAUGAAGUAAUGCAUAAGAUAAUUUGUGCAGUAAAUUUUCAUAGAAUUACCGUGGCCAUGGCGGAGUAGACUUGAUCGACGUUGUCCAGACCGAGGAGCUAGUGGAGCAUGAUGUGAGCGCUACAUGGACAAGAAGAAGAUGCAUAAGCAGAUACAGACACAUAUGUUAUAAGCUGGCGAGGACGUGACGUCCAGUCCUCGUGAUGAGCAUCAGGAGAAGAGGAGAGAUACUUUGGCCAAUCGCAUGGGUCUCAAGGUCUCAAGUGUGUGAUGAUCAGCACGUUCAUCAUUCAUGUACAAGCACAGAACCACGUGUUCCUCCUGGGCCAUUGCUGGCUCCUUCACGCGAAGCACAUAUGACAGGGCACUUCACUGGAGCGGAUGGAGUCAAUACCAAAUACCUGGGUGUUUCCUCUUGCUGCAACACCAGACGUGGAGGAGGUGAUGGCAUAAUNNNNNNNNNNNNNNNNNNNNNNNNNNNNNNNNNNNNNNNNNNNNNNNNNNNNNNNNNNNNNNNNNNNNNNNNNNNNNNNNNNNNNNNNNNNNNNNNNNNNNNNNNNNNNNNNNNNNNNNNNNNNNNNNNNNNNNNNNNNNNNNNNNNNNNNNNNNNNNNNNNNNNNNNNNNNNNNNNNNNNNNNNNNNNNNNNNNNNNNNNNNNNNNNNNNNNCUCCCGAGGGAGACUCGGGGGCGACUAGAGUUUCGCCCGCGCCGCCACCCCCUCAAUCCCAGCUCCUCCUCGCCGUCACUUGAGAGGAUCGACGGGCAAGCCUGGUGGGUCGUCGAUGAAGGUGGCGGUGAGGUGAUGCGUUGCUUCGUGCCCCCGCGAAGGACCUGGAAGCCGGGGCGGCGGCCCCGGACGGUGAGGCGGCGCUGCCUCCGUGACUGGCGGCACGCGCAGGAAGUGGUGACCGGCAUCCUCGGCUGCCCGAGCAGCGAGGAUACGGCGGGUGGUCACGGCGCGGAUUCCCUCUACCCCGGAUCUGAAGGUCAGGCGCCCUCCUCCCCUGCUCUCCCCUCCCCUCCGGUCGUGCCCUUCUGCGACUCUGGUCGCCAGAUUCAAUGCUGGCGGCAGGGGCGAAAUUGGGCCUAAGGCAACUGGGGCUAUAGCCCCAGGCGUGGCCCAACUAGUGACAUUAUAUCCAGUAGAAAAUUUUCAGAUUUUCACAUUUAUAGAGGCCCAGCCCCAGACGUGAAUACCCAGCCCAAGGUCUCAGCGGCAGCCCAACUAACUAGCUCAGCAGGAAGCCACGCCCACAUGGUCAUUGGUCGGUUCUGAUUCCAAAGGCAUCGAUCGAUCGGCCAGAAAAGUUCCAUCCAUUGUCGAUCAAAAGAUCCCUCGUUGACUCGGUGCCUCGUUUCAUCCGCCGCCCCAGCCCCUCCACGGCUCGACAGACUGAGGGGGUGUUUGGUUGAAGGACUUUUUAGUCCCAGAGACUAGAAAAAGUCCCUAAAAAGUUCCUACGAACCAAACGGGAGAGACUUUUUCUACAGGAUUAGAAAAAGACUCUAUUGGAGAGUCUUUUUUGACUAGUCCCUGGUACUAGAAAAAAUCCUAGGACUUCUGAAACAAACACCCCCUGAACGAUCCGGACCUGUGCUUGGCCUCGUGGCCGCAUCGCAGUCGCAGCAAGCCCCCUCUGGGCUCUGGCCAUCUCCAACUCACUUGUUCUGCUCCGCCUCCACAACUGGCUAUAGAGGUAUUUAAAGUUGUUGUAUCAACUACUCCCUCGGUUCUAAAAUAGAUGACUCAACUUUAUACUAAUUUUGUACUAAAGUUAGUACAAAGUUGAAUUAUCUAUUUUGGAACGGAGGGAGUAUUUUUCCUAUGGAUGAUUUGAUCUAGCUUUCUAAAUCUAGAUGUUAAAUGUACUAUUACUUUAGUCAAUUGUAUUUUAGUUAGUUCUUAAAAGAAAAAAUGAUAGAUAUCCAAGAUAAAGAGGAGACACACACACACGGACGCACGCACACACGAUUAAAUUUCUUUUGAAGCAAGUUCCCACCAGCCUACAUCCAACAAUACCAGAAUCAGCAGGAGCCAGAGCUAGUAAUGCAAAUAAAUAAAACAUGCGUGGAGCUUAAUCCAAAUGGCAUUAAUCUUGACCCCGGUCUCCAUAAACCGAAUGAGGAAAGCGCAAGGGGCUAUUACCUUUUGCAAUUCAUGAUAAUGGUAUAUUAAGUUUUCCCUUUAUUUGGCACUAUUCGUAUGAACAAUUGACUUGGUCUAUGUACAUUGUCUAUGUACUUGGUCUAAUAUUGGUAGUGAAGAAACGAUGGCCUCAAAUUAAGCAACUCUUCAUUAAAUUUUCCCUUGUGGUAAUAAUGAAUUUAUAUUUCAUCUUUAAUGUGAAUUUUUGACAUACUUCUAACACACGCCGGUAUGCUUGGUAUUUGACGUUAUUUUGAGUCGCUUAGUUUUAGCCCUAGGCUUUGAGAAAUCUUGGUUCCGCCUCUGGCUGGCGGGGUGCGGGUGCUCAGGUUCGAGCCCGGGGGAAACCCUUGGCCGGUCCUUCGGCCACGACGGCGACGGCGAGUGUGCGCGUCGUGUUCUUCCCUGGAAGAGCCGUUGAGGGCUCUCCUCUUCACCCCCGUCCCAGACCCCGGGUGAAAACCCAAAACCCGUCUCGGGUUGGCCGGCGGCGGCACCUAGCGCGUCGCGUCCUUGUUGGAGGCGCCGUCUGGGGUGUCUGGUUCUUCGGGAGAGGGACGAGGUGGUUGGUGGGCGUCUGUCGGCUGCUCCCCUGCUCCGCCUCUUGUUGGAGGCGCCAAGUCUGUGUCUUUCUGUGGAGGGUGCUCGUUCCUGCAAGAGUCCUUCUUGCGGCCAUGGAACGGGACCUGGUGCUCCCCUGCUCCGCCUCUUGGCCUCUGCAGCUUUCUUCUUCGACGACCUCCCGACAGCUAUCCUUCUGCUCUUGGUUGUUCAGGAGAGGUGGCAGUGCAGCUGUGGUGUGUGCCAGCGGCGUGGCGAGGUUUGUGCAAUUUGUCUGUGAUGGGGAUCUGGCUGGCGUCUGCUCUCGUUCUCGGGUGAGUGCCAAUGAUCCGACGGUGCGGCGCCUUCGAGCCUAAGCGAGAGGAAAGGGUUCCUCUUCGGCGUUGGGAGCGAUGUUCUGUCCUUGUCCUUGGGGUCAGACAGUUCACACCUUUCUUUGGCUAUCGGCUGAUCAUUGAGGCUUCUUUGUUGCUCCUCUCUCUCCUGACUAUGUGCAGUAGGCUUCGACACUACUAGCAGGGCUCUUCAUGUAUUUUUCUUUUGCUGUAGUGUGUGUUGCAUUGUUAGAUGUCCACUAAGAUCCAUUGUAUCUUUCGGUCGCUAUUGCUUGGUGGCCUGGUGUAAUCCUGGUCGGUUGAUGGCUUCGUUAAUUCAAAACCGAGCUCCCCUUGAGCCUUCGUUCUUAAAAAAAGACGUGGAGGAGGUACAGAUAGCGUCGCUGUACAAGAUGGACGACAAGGCAAGGAUAACAGCUGCCACUGCUCCUGCGAGACGCCGACCGUCAUGUACAUGGCCUGCUAUCUCUUUAGCGUGCUCCUGUGCUUCCGAUGAGCCUCCUCACCGCUUGUCGAGGUGCCGCCGCUGUGACAAAGAUGGAUCGGCCUGGUAUAGUAGGGGCUUUGUAUAUGUAUCAAGUCUGUUAGGACAUUUCUAACCGAUCCUCUAUAUGUAACGGAGGAUCCGGCGGAGUAAAUCCUUAGUGGAGUAUUUUUACUUCACUGAGAUUUGGCUGGACCUAGACGAUCCCUUAUGUAUAACAGAGUAAUUUUUUGUUUUUUCGAACUUUACGAUUCAAGCAUACAUUGCAACUACAUAUUAGCACACAUAUAGAAAUUAAACAUAAUAUGAAUGUUCAAGCAAAUCAUGAAUAUAGUUUACACACCGAUUUUCAAGUUUACUAACCAAAUUAUUCAAAUUUGAACACACCGAAUGGUCCAGAUGUAGCAAAUAACAUGUGAUAGAACAACUAGGACAUGCGAAGACGUUGCCAAUGAUGCUCAAUAAGAUCUUGUUGGAGCUAAGCAUGAACUUGUUGGUUCUCAAUCUUGCCAUGCUCUUCAAGGAAUGCCAGGACCCUAUUUGUAUUAUACUCUGGCUCAACCGGAGUCCCGUUGGUUAUGUACCGAAAGUUCUCAGGAAUAUCCAUCUCAUCUUCAGUGAUCAUGUUAUGCAAUACACUAGUAGAAAAGGGGGCAACAGUCCAGGCCGGGUCAGCCCAUUAUUCCCGGUUCAGUCCAGAACCGGGACCAAUGGGGGCAUUGGACCUGGUUCGUGAGCCCAGGGGGGCGGCCGGGCCACGUGGGCCAUUGGUCCCGGUUCAUCUGGACCUUUUGGUUCCGGUUGGUGGGACGAACCGGGACCAAUGGGCCUCGCUCCUGGCCCACCACCAUUGGUCCUGGUUGGUGGCUUGAACCGGUACCAAAGGCUCCCCUUUAGUCCCGGUUCAUGCCACCAACCGGGACCAAUGAGGUGCCUAUAUAUACCCCCUCGCGUAAGAGCAGAGCACACUGCUCUAUUUUUUUCUGGCCGAGGGGGAGAGGGCUUGGUGGUGCUCUAGCUCACCUCCUAUGCACACAGGGUGUUCGAUGGAAUGCCCGAGCCACACUACUUAAGCUUUCUCCACUCCAAGCUCGACCUCCAAGUUCUAUUUUUCUCAAUAUUUGUCUAGGUUUAGCGGUCCGUCACGCCCCGUCCCCGUCUUCACCGCCGCCGAUCACCCGCGCCGAGCUCAUCGCCGGCACCACCGUGGUGAGCCUCUUGUUCUUAUCUUCUUUUUGAAAGGAAAAAUAUUCUUACUUGUAUGUUUACAUAGAUACUUGUAUUAUUUUCUUACUUUUAUUAUUGCGUCUUAUAUAGUGCGAUGGUUUUGGUAUCUGCCCCCGUCGGCCCUCAUCCUGUCUAUGAUUCGGAUGUGGUAUAUAUAUUAUCUUUAUAACUAUUGGUUCAUUUAUUGUUUAUGAAAAUUAUGUCGACCAACAUGACAUAGAUUUCAUUUAUGUAGGAUGUAUGUGAAUCGGAAAUGCCAACCGACCCUAUUGUCGAGAGGUUAAAUUUAGUUGAAGAAGAAAACAAUUUGUUGAAGGAAAAAAUAAAAAAAUGAGGAGGAGAAGAUGAUAUUGGAGUUGCAUGUUGCGGAUGUCAUCGAUGAUCACAAAAUCAAGAUGGAUGCAAUGCGCUUGAAGAUUAGAAAGAUUAGAAAAUAUGCCAUUCAUACCGAGGCUUGGUAUCAUUAUGCCAUUGGAUCAAUUGUUACCUUGGUUGCGAUUAUGAUCGCAUUAGUUUUUGCAUUGAAAUGUUUUACAUAGUUUCAAUGUAUGGUUUAAUUAAUUAGAUGCUCUAGAGAGCUAUAUGUUGUUAGAUGAGAACUAUGUAUGUACUUUGGUUUUAAUGUGAUGAUGAACUUCUAUUAAUUUUGAAACUUAAUUAUAUAUAAUGCACGCAGAUGAACCGGCAAUGGAUGUACGGUGACAGACACACCUCCGAGUAUAUUAAGGGCGUGCAUGAGUUUCUCGAUGCGGCUGAGGCAAACAAGCAGAAUGGUUUUAUGUGUUGUCCAUGCACUGAAUGUGGGAAUACGAGGUCUUACUCUAACCGGAAAAUCCUUCACUCCCACCUGCUUUACAAGGGUUUCAUGCCACACUAUAAUGUUUGGACGAGGCACGGAGAAAUAGGGGUUAUGAUGGAAGACGGCGAAGAAUAAGAGUACGAUGACAACUAUGUGCCCCCUGAAUACGAUGAUGCUGCAACGGGGGGAGCUGGUGAAGAUCAAGAGGAACCAGAUGAUGUGCCCAAUGAUGCUGCAACGGGUGAAGCUGCUGAAGAUCAAGAGGAACCAGACGAUGUGCCCGAUGAUGAUGAUCUCCGCCGGGUCAUUGUCGAUGCAAGGACGCAAUGCCACGUGAUUAUGACGCAACUACUUCCAGUUGCAUUGAGUGGGCUUCUAUCGAAAAACGUCCGAUUAGCUAUUGUGAAGCUAUGUGCAUUCCUCAAUGCAAUCUCUCAGAAGGUGAUUGAUCCAGAAAUCAUACCAAGGCUAAGGAGUGAUGUGGCGCAAUGUCUUGUCAGUGUCGAGCUGGUGUUCCCACCAUCCUUCUUCAAUAUCAUGACGCACGUCCUAGUUCAUCUAGUCGACGAGAUUGUCAUCCUGGGCCGUAUUUCUACACAAUAUGUUCCCCUUUGAGAGGUUCAUGGGAGUCUUAAAGAAAUAUGUCUGUAACCGCGCUAGGCCAUAAGGAAGCAUCUCCAUGGGCCAUCAAACAGAGGAUGUUAUCGGGUUUUGUGUUGACUUCAUUCCUGGCCUUAAGUAGAUAGGUCUCCCUAAAUCGCGGUAUGAGGGGAGACUGACUGGAAAAGGCACUCUUGGAAGUGACUCAAUAAUAUGCAGGGACGGAUAUUCUUGGUCUCAAGCACACUACACAGUUCUACAGAACUCUACCUUGGUGACCCUGUAUGUCGAUGAACACAAGAACAGUCUGCGCUCCAAACACCCGGAGCAGUGCGACGACUGGAUUACAUGUGAACACAUCAGGACUUCCAGCAGUUGGUUGGAAACACGUCUCAGAGGUGACAACACUGUUUGUGAUGAGCUGUACUUGUUGUCCAGGGGACCAUCUUUGACUGUAUUGACUUACAAAGGAUACGAGAUAAAUGGGAAUACAUUUUACACGAUCGCCCAAGAUCAAAAGAGCACCAACCAAAACAACGGUGUCCGCUUUGAUGCAACAACCAAGAGCGGAAAGGACACAUAAUAUGGUUACAUAGUGGACAUAUGGGAACUUGACUACGGACAUGAUUUUAAGGUCCCUUUGUUUAAGUGCAAAUGGGUCAAUCUGUCAGGCGGCGGGGUACAGGUAGACCCACAGUACGGAAUGACAACAGUGGAUCUGAAAAAUCUUGGGUACACUGAUGAACCGUUCGUCCUAGCUAAUGAUGUGGCACAGGUUAUCUAUGUGAAGGACAUGUCUACCAAACCGAGAAAAAGAAAAUAUAAGGAAGUGAAUACAUCAUACGAUGAGCCAAAGCGCCACAUAGUUCUUUCAGGAAAAAAGGAUAUCCUGGGAGUGGAGGGCAAGACAGACAUGUCUGAAGAUUAUGAAAAGUUUCAUGAAAUUCCUCCCUUUAAUGUUAAGGCUGACCCAAGCAUCCUGAUAAACGAUGAAGAUUGUCCAUGGUUACAGCACAAUAAGAAAAUGACACAAGCGAAGAAAAAGUGAAGACUUUCUCCCGCAACUAUUAUGAUGAUACCAUGCCAACUUUGUAACACACGAGUAUGCUAUGCCAACUUUUUCAGAGUUCAUUUGAAAACUAUGAAUUUAGGUCGAAUUUUAUUUAUAGGUGCAUAUAUGUUCAUUUUUUAGUAAAGUUAAUCACAAACUUAUGAUUCACAUGAAUUUCAAAGAAUUCAAAUUUUAACUAUUCAAAUUUGAAAACUAAUGGCACUAACAGAAAGUUUAUAAUUUUUCUAAAACUAAUGGCACUAACAGAAAGUUUAUAAUUUUGCUGACCUAAAAGCAANNNNNNNNNNNNNNNNNNNNNNNNNNNNNNNNNNNNNNNNNNNNNNNNNNNNNNNNNNNNNNNNNNNNNNNNNNNNNNNNNNNNNNNNNNNNNNNNNNNNNNNNNNNNNNNNNNNNNNNNNNNNNNNNNNNNNNNNNNNNNNNNNNNNNNNNNNNNNNNNNNNNNNNNNNNNNNNNNNNNNNNNNNNNNNNNNNNNNNNNNNNNNNNNNNNNNNNNNNNNNNNNNNNNNNNNNNNNNNNNNNNNNNNNNNNNNNNNNNNNNNNNNNNNNNNNNNNNNNNNNNNNNNNNNNNNNNNNNNNNNNNNNNNNNNNNNNNNNNNNNNNNNNNNNNNNNNNNNNNNNNNNNNNNNNNNNNNNNNNNNNNNNNNNNNNNNNNNNNNNNNNNNNNNNNNNNNNNNNNNNNNNNNNNNNNNNNNNNNNNNNNNNNNNNNNNNNNNNNNNNNNNNNNNNNNNNNNNNNNNNNNNNNNNNNNNNNNNNNNNNNNNNNNNNNNNNNNNNNNNNNNNNNNNNNNNNNNNNNNNNNNNNNNNNNNNNNNNNNNNNNNNNNNNNNNNNNNNNNNNNNNNNNNNNNNNNNNNNNNNNNNNNNNNNNNNNNNNNNNNNNNNNNNNNNNNNNNNNNNNNNNNNNNNNNNNNNNNNNNNNNNNNNNNNNNNNNNNNNNNNNNNNNNNNNNNNNNNNNNNNNNNNNNNNNNNNNNNNNNNNNNNNNNNNNNNNNNNNNNNNNNNNNNNNNNNNNNNNNNNNNNNNNNNNNNNNNNNNNNNNNNNNNNNNNNNNNNNNNNNNNNNNNNNNNNNNNNNNNNNNNNNNNNNNNNNNNNNNNNNNNNNNNNNNNNNNNNNNNNNNNNNNNNNNNNNNNNNNNNNNNNNNNNNNNNNNNNNNNNNNNNNNNNNNNNNNNNNNNNNNNNNNNNNNNNNNNNNNNNNNNNNNNNNNNNNNNNNNNNNNNNNNNNGACCUAAAAGAAAAAAGAAAUCACUAAAAAACUAUAAGUAUUUUGUUCUAAGUAGAAAUGAAAAAUAAAUAGCAAAAAAGAAAAAAAAUGCCUAUAAUAUUUGUUAUGACUAACUAAAAUUACCAAAUUGAGUAUAAUGACAAAACACAGUAAUAUUAAAUAGCAGGUAAAAGAAUGACUCAAAAAUCAAUUUUUAUAGUAAAGUUAUUCAUAAACUAGUGAUUCACACAAAUUUUAAAAAAUUCAAAUUUAAACUAUUCAAAUUUUAAAACUAAUGACAUUAACAGAAAGUUUAUAAUUUUUGUGACCUAAAAGAAAAAAAAUCACUAAAAAACUAUAAGUAUUUCGUUCUAAGUAGAAAUGAAAAAACAAAUAGUAAAAAAAUGCCACCUACUGGGCCACCACGUCCUGAAUACGACUAGAAGCCCAUCCAUGGGCCAGGAUUCAGGCCCGCAGAAGGCCUAGCAGGCCCAUAGGCAUAGCGGUGUGAGAUUAGGCCCAAAGGCCUGCACUUCUGAGGAGUUCGAUGGAGAGGGCGGGGCAGCGCUUAUAAACAUGUGCGGCCGCUCCUCAGCUAGCGAGGUGGGCCUAAACAUCCCACCGCACCGCAGCUUUGGCAGGCGCAGGCCUUUGGUCCCGGUUGAUGGCACCAACCGGGACUAAAGGGGGCAUUGGUCAUGGUUCGUGGCACAAACCGUGACCANNNNNNNNNNNNNNNNNNNNNNNNNNNNNNNNNNNNNNNNNNNNNNNNNNNNNNNNNNNNNNNNNNNNNNNNNNNNNNNNNNNNNNNNNNNNNNNNNNNNNNNNNNNNNNNNNNNNNNNNNNNNNNNNNNNNNNNNNNNNNNNNNNNNNNNNNNNNNNNNNNNNNNNNNNNNNNNNNNNNNNNNNNNNNNNNNNNNNNNNNNNNNNNNNNNNNNNNNNNNNNNNNNNNNNNNNNNNNNNNNNNNNNNNNNNNNNNNNNNNNNNNNNNNNNNNNNNNNNNNNNNNNNNNNNNNNNNNNNNNNNNNNNNNNNNNNNNNNNNNNNNNNNNNNNNNNNNNNNNNNNNNNNNNNNNNNNNNNNNNNNNNNNNNNNNNNNNNNNNNNNNNNNNNNNNNNNNNNNNNNNNNNNNNNNNNNNNNNNNNNNNNNNNNNNNNNNNNNNNNNNNNNNNNNNNNNNNNNNNNNNNNNNNNNNNNNNNNNNNNNNNNNNNNNNNNNNNNNNNNNNNNNNNNNNNNNNNNNNNNNNNNNNNNNNNNNNNNNNNNNNNNNNNNNNNNNNNNNNNNNNNNNNNNNNNNNNNNNNNNNNNNNNNNNNNNNNNNNNNNNNNNNNNNNNNNNNNNNNNNNNNNNNNNNNNNNNNNNNNNNNNNNNNNNNNNNNNNNNNNNNNNNNNNNNNNNNNNNNNNNNNNNNNNNNNNNNNNNNNNNNNNNNNNNNNNNNNNNNNNNNNNNNNNNNNNNNNNNNNNNNNNNNNNNNNNNNNNNNNNNNNNNNNNNNNNNNNNNNNNNNNNNNNNNNNNNNNNNNNNNNNNNNNNNNNNNNNNNNNNNNNNNNNNNNNNNNNNNNNNNNNNNNNNNNNNNNNNNNNNNNNNNNNNNNNNNNNCCGACGCCGUCCGCCGCCCCUGCAGUCGCCCUCGACCGCGCCGUCGCCGUCACCCGUGCCUCGCCGUCGGCCGUGCCCUCGCCCGACGCCGCUCGCCGCCCUGCCCCGACGUGCGUCGCGUGCCCCGUGUUGGGGAACGUAGCAGAAAUUCAAAAUUUUCCUACGUGUCACCAAGAUCUAUCUAUGGAGAGACUAGCAACGAGGGGAAAGGAGAGUGCAUCUACAUACCCUUGUAGAUCGCUAAGCGGAAGCGUUCAAGUGAACGGUGUUGAUGGAGUCGUACUCGUCGUGAUCCAAAUCACCGAUGAUCCUAGUGCCGAACGGACGGCACCUCCGCGUUCAACACACGUACAGCCCGGUGACGUCUCCCACGCCUUGAUCCAGCAAGGAGAGAGGGAGAGGUUGAGGAAGACUCCAUCCAGCAGCAGCACAACGGCGUGGUGGUGGUGGAGGAGCGUGGCAAUCCUGCAGGGCUUUGCCAAGCACCACGGGAGAGGAGAAGAACUUGGGAGAGGGGAGAGGGCUGCACCAAAGGCAUAUGUAUGAAGUCCUCCAUCUCCCCCACUAUAUAUAGGAGCAAGGGAGAGGGGGGAGGCGCAGCCUUGGCCCUUCCUCCAAGGAAGGGUGCAGCUAGGAGAAGUCCCUCCUCCCCAAGGCACCUCGGAGGUGCCUUCCCCCUUUAGGACUCUUCCUUUCUCCCAUCUCUUGGCACAUGGGCCUCUUGGGGCUGGUGCCCUUGGCCCAUAUAGGCCAAGGCGCACCCCCUACAGCCCAUGUGGCCCCCCGGGGCAGGUGGCCCCACCCGGUGGACCCCCGAGACCCUUCCGGUGGUCCCGGUACAAUACCGGUAACCCCGAAACUUGUCCCGAUGGCCGAAAUAGGACUUCCUAUAUAUAAAUCUUUACCUCCGGACCAUUCCGGAACUCCUCGUGAUGUCUGGGAUCUCAUCCGAACAACAUUCGGUAACCACAUACAAACUUCCUUUAUAACCCUAGCGUCAUCGAACCUUAAGUGUGUAGACCCUACGGGUUCGGGAACCAUGCAGACAUGACCGAGACGUUCUCCGGUCAAUAACCAAUAGCGGGAUCUGGAUACCCAUGUUGGCUCCCACAUGUUCCACGAUGAUCUCAUCGGAUGAACCACGAUGUCAAGGACUUAAUCAAUCCCGUAUACAAUUCCCUUUGUCUAGCGGUAUUGCACUUGCCCGAGAUUCGAUCGUCGGUAUCCCUAUACCUUGUUCAAUCUCGUUACCGGCAAGUCUCUUUACUCGUUCCAUAACACAUCAUCCCGUGAUCAACUCCUUGAUCACAUUGUGCACAUUAUGAUGAUGUCCUACCGAGUGGGCCCGGAGAUACCUCUCCGUCACACGGAGUGACAAAUCCCAGUCUCGAUUCGUGCUAACCCAACAGACACUUUCGGAGAUACCCGUAGUGUACCUUUAUAGCCACCCAGUUACAUUGUGAUGUUUGGCACACCCAAAGCACUCCUACGGUAUCCGGGAGUUGCACAAUCUCAUGGUCUAAGGAAAUGAUACUUGACAUUAGAAAAGCUUUAGCAUACGAACUACACGAUCUAGUGCUAUGCUUAGGAUUGGGUCUUGUCCAUCACAUCAUUCUCCUAAUGAUGUGAUCCCGUUAUCAACGACAUCCAAUGUCCAUGGUCAGGAAACCAUAACCAUCUAUUGAUCAACGAGCUAGUCAACUAGAGGCUUACUAGGGACAUGGUGUUGUCUAUGUAUCCACACAUGUAUCUGAGUUUCCUAUCAAUACAAUUAUAGCAUGGAUAAUAAACGAUUAUCAUGAACAAGGAAAUAUAAUAAUAACUAAUUUACUAUUGCCUCUAGGGCAUAUUUCCAAUAGUCUCCCACUUGCACUAGAGUCAAUAAUCUAGUUCACAUCGCCAUGUGAUUAACACUCACAGGUCACAUCCCCAUGUGACUAACACCCAAAGAGUUUACUAGAGUCAGUAGUCUAGUUCACAUCACUAUGUGAUUAACACUCAAUGAGUUCUAGGUUUGAUCAUGUUGCUUGUGAGAGAGGUUUUAGUCAACGGGUCUGAACCUUUCAGAUCCGUGUGUGCUUUACAAAUCUCUAUGUCAUCUCCUAGAUGUAGCUACCACGUUCUAUUUGGAGCUAUUCCAAAUAACUAUUCUACUUGGAGCUAUUCUAAAUUGUUGCUCCAUUAUACGUAUCCGGUAUCUCUACUCAGAGCUAUCCGGAUAGGUGUUAAGCUUGCAUCGACGUAACCCUUUACGAUGAACUCUUUUACCACCUCCAUAACCGAGAAAAUUCCUUAGUCCACUAGUUACUAAGGAUAACUUUGACUGUUGUUCUGGUGAUCUACUCCUAGAUCACCUUCGUACCCUCUAGCCAGACAUGUGGCAAGGCACACAUCAGGUGCGGUACACAGCAUAGCAUACUGUAGAGCCUAUGUCUUAAGCAUAGGGGACGACCUUCGUCCUUUCUCUCUAUUCUGCCGUGGUCGAGCUUUAAGUCUUAACUUCAUACCUUACAACUCAGGCAAGAACUCCUUCUUUGACCGAUCCAUCUUGAACACCUUCAAGAUCAUGUCAAGGUAUGUGCUCAUUUGAAAGUACCAUUAAGCAUUUUGAUCUAUCCUUAUAGAUCUUGAUGCUCAAUGCUCAAGUAGCUUAAUCCAGGCUUUCCACUGAAAAACACUUUUCAAAUAACUCUGCAUGCUUUCCAGAAAUUCUACAUCAUUUCCGAUCAAUAUGUCAACAACAUAUACUCAUCAGAAAUUCUAUAGUGGUCCCACUCACUUCUUUGGAAAUACAAGUUUCUCAUAAACUUUGUAUACACCCAAAAUCUUUGAUCAUCUCAUCAAAGCAUACAUUCCAACUCCGAGAUGCUUACUCCAGUCCUUAGAAGGAUUGCUGGAGCUUUGCAUACUUAUUAGCAUCUUUUAGGAUUUGACAAAACCUUCCGGUUGUAUCACAUACAACCUUUCCUCAAGAAAAUCGUCAAGGAAACAAUGUUUUGACAUCCUAUCUGCAUGAUUUCAUAAAUAAUGCAGUAAUCGCUAAUAUAAUUCCAACAGACUCUUAGCAUCGCUACGAGUGAGAAAGUCUCAUCGUGGUCAACUCCUUGAACUUGUCGGAAAACAUCUUAACGACAAGUCGAGCUUUCUUAAUGGUGACACUUACCAUCAUUGUCCGUCUUCCUUUUAAAAUCCAUCUGUACUCAACAGCCUUACGACCAUCGAGCCGUUCUGCCAAAGUCUACACUUUGUUUUUAUACAUGGAUCCUCUCUCGGAUUUUAUGGCCUCGAGCCAUUUAUCGGAAUCCGGGCCCACCAUCGCUUCUCCAUAGCUCGUAGCUUCAUUGUUGUCUAGCAACAUGACUUCCAAGACAGGAUCACGUACCACUCUGAAGUAGUACGCAUCCUUGUCAUCCCACGAGGUUUGGUAGUGACUUGAUCUGAAGUUUCAUGAUCACUAUCAUAAGCUUCCACUUCAAUUGAUGUAUGUGUCACAGGAACAACAUCCUGUGCCCUGCCACACACUAGUUGAAGAGACGGUUCAAUAACCUCAUCAAGUCUCCACCAUCCUCCCACUCAAUUCUUUCGAGAGAAACUUUUCCUCGAGAAAGGACCCGAUUCUAGAAACAAUCCCUUAUUGCUUUCGGAUCUGAGACAGGAGGUAUACCCAACUGUUUUGGGUGUCCUAUGAAGAUGCAUUUAUCCGCUUUGGGUUCGAGCUUAUCAGCCUGAAACUUUUUCACAUAAGCAUCGUAGCCCCAAACUUUUAAGAAAUGACAGCUUAGGUUUUCUCUAAACCAUAGUUCAUACGGUGUCAUCUCAUCGGAAUUACGUGGUGCCCUAUUUAAAGUGAAUGCGGUUGUCUCUAAUGCCUAACCCAUAAACUAUCGUGGUAAUUCGAUAAGAGACAUCAUGGUAUGCAUCAUAUCCAAUAGGGUGCAGUUAUGAUGUUCGGACACACCAUCACACUAUGGUGUUCCAGGCUGUAUUAGUUGUGAAACAAUUUCCACAAUGUCGUAAUUUUGUGCCAAACUCGUAAUUCAGAAAUUCAUCUCUAUGAUCAUAUCAUAGAUCUUUUAUCCUCUUGUCACGACGAUCUUUCAACUUCACCCUGAAAUUACUUGAACCUUUCAAUAAUUCAGACUCGUGAUUCAUCAAGUAAAUAUACUCAACAUCUACUCAAAUCAUCUGUGAAGUAAGAACAUAACGAUAUCCACUACAUGCCUUAGCUCUUAUUGGACUGCACACAUCAAAAAUGUAUUACUUCCAACAAGUUCCUUUCUAGUUCCAUUUUACUGAAACCGAGGCUUUCAGUCAUCUUGCCCAUGUGGUAAGAUUUGCAUAUCUCAAGUGAUUCAAAAUCAAGUGAGUCCAAACUGUCCAUUUGCAUGGAGUUUCUUCAUGCAUAUACACCAAUAGACAUGGUUCGCAUGUCUCAAACUUUUCAAAAACGAGUGAGCCCAAAGAUCCAUCAAUAUGGAGCUUCUUCAUGCGUUUUAUACCGAUAUGACUUACGUGGCAGUGCCACAAGUAGGUGGUACUAUCAUUACUAUCUUAUAUCUUUUGGCAUGAACAUGUGUAUCACUACGAUCGAGAUUCAACAAACCAUUUAUUAUAGGUGCAAGACCAUUGAAGGUAUUAUUCAAAUAAACAGAGUAACCAUUAUUCUUCUUAAAUGAAUAACCGUAUUGCGAUAGACAUAAUCCAAUCAUGUCUAUGCUCAAUACAAACACCAAUCUCGAUGGUAGAAGGAGCGUACGAUAUUUGAUCAUAUCAACAUUGGAACCACUUCCAACACAUAUCGUCAGCUCACCUUUAGCUAGUCUCCGUUUAUUCCGUAGCUUUUAUUUCGAGUUACUAACACUUAGCAACCAAACCGGUAUCUAAUACCCUGGUGCUACUAGGAGUACUAGUAAAAUACACAUCAACACAAUGUAUAUCCAAUAUACUUCUAUCGACCUUGCCAGCCUUCUCAUCUACCAAGUAUCUAGGGUAAUCCCGCUCCAGUGGUUGUUCCCCUUAUUACAGAAGCACUUAGUCUCGGGUUUGGGUUCAACCUUGGGUCUCUUCACUAGAGCAGCAGCUGAAUUGCCGUUUCAUGAAGUAUCCCUUCUUGCCCUUGCCCUUCUUGAAACUAGUGGUUUCACUAACCAUCAAGAAUUGAUGCUCCUUCUUCAUUUCUACUUUUGUGGUGUCAAACAUCACGAACAUCUCAAGGAUCAUCAUAUAUGUCCCUGAUAUAUUAUAGUUCAUCACGAAGCUCUAGCAGCUUGGUGGCAAUGACUUUAGAGAACUAUCACUAUUUCACUUGGAAGAUCAACUCCCACUUGAUUUAAGCGAGUGUUGUACUCAGACAAUCUGAGCACAAGCUCAACAAUUGAGCUUUUCUCCCUUAGUUUGUAGGUUAAGAAAAUCGUCGGAGGUCUUAUACCUCUUGACAUGGGCAUGAGCCUGAAAUCCCAAUUUCAGCCCUCAAAACAUCUCAUAUGUUUCGCGACGUUUCAAAAACGUCUUCGGUGCCUCAACUCUAAACUGUUUAACUGAACUAUCACGUAGUUAUCAAAUGCGUAUGUCAGAUGUUCGCAACAUCCACAGAUGACGUUCGAGGUUCAGCACACUGAGCGGUGCAUUAAGGACAUAAGCCUUUUAUGAAGCAAUGAGGACAAUCCUCAGUUACGGACCUAGUCCGCAUAAUUGCUACUAUUAACUUUCAACUAAAUUUUCUCUAGGAACAUAUCUAAACAGUAGAACUAAAGCGCGAGCUACAACAUAAUUUGCAAAGACCUUUUGACUAUGUUCAGGAUAAUUAAGUUCAUCUUAUGAACUCCCACUCAGAUAGACAUCCCUCUAGUCAUCUAAGUGAUUACAUGAUCCGAGUCAACUAGGUCGUGUCCGAUCAUCACGUGAGACGGACUAGUCAACGUCGGUGAACAUCUUCAUGUUGAUCGUAUCUUCUAUACGACUCAUGCUCGACCUUUCGGUCUUCUGUGUUCCGAGGCCAUGUCUAUACACAUGCUAGGCUCGUCAAGUUAACCCUAAGUGUUUUGCAUGUGUAAAACUGUCUUACACCCAUUGUAUGUGAACGUAAGGAUCUAUCACACCCGAUCAUCACGUGGUGCUUCGAAACGACGAACUUUAGCAACGGUGCACAGUUAGGGGAGAACACUUCUUGAAAUUUUUAAUGAGGGAUCAUCUUAUUUACUACCGUCGUUCUAAGCAAAUAAGAUGUAUAAACAUGAUAAACAUCACAUGCAAUCAAAUAAUAGUGACAUGAUAUGGCCAAUAUCAUAUAGCUCCUUUGAUCUCCAUCUUGGGGCUCCAUGAUCAUCUUGUCACCGGCAUGACACCAUGAUCUCCAUCAUCAUGAUCUCCAUCAUCGUGUCUUCUUGAAGUUGUCUCGUCAUCUAUUACUUCUACUACUAUGGCUAACGCUUUAGCAAUAAAGUAAAGUAAUUACAUGACGUUUAAGUUGACACGCAGGUCAUAAAUAAAUAAAGACAACUCCUAUGGCUCCUGCCGGUUGUCAUACUCAUCCACAUGCAAGUCGUGAUACCUAUUAAAAGAACAUGAUCAAUCUCAUACAUCACAUAUAUCAUUCAUCACAUCCUUUUGGCCGUAUCACAUCACAUAGCAUACCCUGCAAAAACAAGUUAGACGUCAUCUAAUUGUUGUUUGCAUGUUUUACGUGGCUGCUAUGGGUUUCUAGCAAGAACGUUUCUUACCUACGCAAAACCACAACGUGAUAUGCAAAUUGCUAUUUACCCUUCAUAAGGACCCUUUUCAUCGAAUCCGAUCCGACUAAAGUGGGAGAGACAGACACCCGCCAGCCACCUUAUGCAACUAGUGCAUGUCAGUCGGUGGAACCGGUCUCACGUAAGCAUACGUGUAAGGUUGGUCCAGGCCGCUUCAUCCCACAAUACCGUCGAAUCAAGAUAAGACUAGCAACGGCAAGCAUAUUGAACAAAAUCAACGCCCACAACUUCUUUGUGUUCUACUCGUCCAUAGAAUCUACGCAUAGACCUAGCUCAUGAUGCCACUGUUGGGGAACGUAGCAGAAAUUCAAAAUUUUCCUACGUGUCACCAAGAUCUAUCUAUGGAGAGACUAGCAACGAGGGGAAAGGAGAGUGCAUCUACAUACCCUUGUAGAUCGCUAAGCGGAAGCGUUCAAGUGAACGGGGUUGAUGGAGUCGUACUCGUCGUGAUCCAAAUCACCGAUGAUCCUAGUGCCGAACGGACGGCACCUCCGCGUUCAACACACGUACAGCCCGGUGACGUCUCCCACGCCUUGAUCCAGCAAGGAGAGAGGGAGAGGUUGAGGAAGACUCCAUCCAGCAGCAGCACAACAGCGUGGUGGUGGUGGAGGAGCGUGGCAAUCCUGUAGGGCUUCGCCAAGCACCACGGGAGAGGAGAAGAACUUGGGAGAGGGGAGAGGGCUGCACCAAAGGCAUAUGUAUGAAGUCCUCCAUCUCCCCCACUAUAUAUAGGAGCAAGGGAGAGGGGGGGAGGUGCAGCCUUGGCCCUUCCUCCAAGGAAGGGUGCGGCUAGGAGGAGUCCCUCCUCCCCAAGGCACCUCGGAGGUGCCUUCCCCCUUUAGGACUCUUCCUUUCUCCCAUCUCUUGGCGCAUGGGCCUCUUGUUGGAAAUAUGCCCUAGAGGCAAUAAUAAAAGUAUUAUUAUUAUAUUUCCUUGUUCAUGAUAAUUGUCUUUUAUUCAUGCUAUAACUGUAUUAUCCGGAAAUCGUAAUACACGUGUGAAUACAUAGACCACAAUAUGUCCCUAGUGAGCCUCUAGUUGACUAGCUCGUUGUGAUCAACAGAUAGUCAUGGUUUCCUGGCUAUGGACAUUGGAUGUCGUUGAUAACGGGAUCACAUCAUUAGGAGAAUGAUGUGAUGGACAAGACCCAAUCCUAAGCAUAGCACAAAGAUCAUGUAGUUCGUUUGCUAGAGCUUUGCCAAUGUCAAGUAUCUCUUCCUUUGACCAUGAGAGCGUGUAACUCCUGGAUACCGUAGGAGUGCUUUGGGUGUAUCAAACGUCACAACGUAACUGGGUGACUAUAAAAGGUGCACUACAGGUAUCUCCGAAAGUAUCUAUUGUUUUAUGCGGAUCGAGACUGGGAUUUGUCACUCCGUGUAAACGGAGAGGUAUCUCUGGGCCCACUCGGUAGGACAUCAUCAUAAUGUGCACAAUGUGACCAAGGGGUUGAUCACGGGAUGAUGUGUUACGGAACGAGUAAAGAGACUUGCCGGUAACGAGAUUGAACAAGGUAUCGGUAUACCGACGAUCGAAUCUCGGGCAAGUAAAAUACCGCUAGACAAAGGGAAUUGUAUACGGGAUUGAUUGAGUCCUUGACAUCGUGGUUCAUCCGAUGAGAUCAUCGUGGAACAUGUGGGAGCCAACAUGGGUAUCCAGAUCCCGCUGUUGGUUAUUGACCGGAGAACGUCUCGGUCAUGUCUACAUGUCUCCCGAACCCGUAGGGUCUACACACUUAAGGUUCGAUGACGCUAGGGUUAUAAAGGAAGUUUGUAUGUGGUUACUGAAUGUUGUUCGGAGUCCCGGAUGAGAUCCCGGACGUCACGAGGAGUUCCGGAAUGGUCCGGAGGUAAAGAUUUAUAUAUGGGAAGUCCUAUUUUGGCCACCGGAAAAUGUUCGGGAUUUUUCGGUAUUGUACCGGGAAGGUUCUAGAAGGUUCCGGAGUGGGGCCCACCUGCAUGGGGGGACCCACAUGGACGUGGGUAGUGGGGGCAAGGCCCCACACCCCUGGUCAAGGCGCACCAAGAUCCCCCCUUAGAAGGAAUAAGAUCAUAUCCCGAAGGGAUAAGAUCAAGAUCCCUAAAAAGGGGGGAUAACAAUCGGUGGGGAAGGAAAUGAUGGGAUUUCUUUCCUCCCACCUUGGCCAACGCCCCAAUGGACUUGGAGGGCAAGAAACCAGCCCCUCCACCCCUCUAUAUAUAGUGGGGAGACACAUGGGAGCUUGAGACAAAGUUCUGGCGCAGCCCUUCCCCUCUCCCAAGUCGUCCUCCUCUCCCGUGGUGCUUGGCGAAGCCCUGCAGGAUUGACACGCUCCUCCACCACCACCACGCCGUUGUGCUGCUGCUGGAUGGAGUCUUCCUCAACCUCUCCCUCUCUCCUUGCUGGAUCAAGGCGUGGGAUACGUCACCGGGCUGUACGUGUGUUGAACGCGGAGGUGCCGUGCGUUCGGCACUUGAUCAUCGGUGAUUUGAAUCACGACGAGUACGACUUCAUCAACCCCGUUCACUUGAACGCUUCCGCUUAGCGAUCUACAAGGGUAUGUAGAUGCACUCUCCUUCUACUCGUAGCUGGUUUCUCCAUAGAUAGAUCUUGGUGACACGUAAGAAAAUUUUGAAUUUCUUCUACGUUCCCCAACAGUGGCAUCAUGAGCUAGGUCUAUUGCGUAGAUUCUUUGCACGAGUAGAACACAAAGUAGUUGUGGGCGUUGAUGUUGUUCAAUAUGCUUACCGUUACUAGUCCAAUCUUGUUUCGACGGUAUUGUGGGAUGAAGCGGCCCGGACCGACCUUACACGUACUCUUACGUGAGACAGGUUCCACCGAUUGACAUGCACUUGGUGCAUAAGGUGGCUAGCGGGUGCCAGUCUCGCCCACUUUAGUCGGAACGGAUUCGAUGAAAAGGGUCCUUAUGAAGGGUAAAUAGCAAUUGGCAUAUCACGUUGUGGUUUUGCGUAGGUAAGAAACGUUCUUGCUAGAAACCCAUAGCAGCCACGUAAAACAUGCAAACAAUAAUUAGAGGACGUCUAACUUGUUUUUGCAGGGUAUGCUAUGUGAUGUGAUAUGGCCAAAAGGAUGUGAUGAAUGAUAUAUGUGAUGUAUGAGAUUGAUCAUGUUCUUGUAAUAGGAUUCACGACUUGCAUGUCGAUGAGUAUGACAACCGGCAGGAGCCAUAGGAGUUGUCUUUAUUUAUUGUAUGACCUGCGUGUCAUUGAAGAACGCCAUGUAAACUACUUUACUUUAUUGCUAAACGCGUUAGUCAUAGAAGUAGAAGUAGUCGUUGGCAUGACAACUUCAUGAAGACACGAUGAUGGAGAUCAUGAUGAUGGAGAUCAUGGUGUCAUGUCGGUGACAAGAUGAUCAUGGAGCCCCGAAGAUGAAGAUCAAAGGAGCUAUAUGAUAUUGGCCAUAUCAUGUCACUACUCUAUUUGAUUGCAUGUGAUGUUUAUCAUGUUUAUGCAUCUUGUUUUCUUAGAACGACGGUAGUAAAUAAGAUGAUCCCUUACAACAAUUUCAAGAAGUGUUCUCCCCUAACUGUGCACCGUUGCUACAGUUCGUCGCUUCUAAGCACCACGUGAUGAUCGGGUGUGAUGGAUUCUUACGUUCACAUACAACGGGUGUAAGACAGUUUUACACAGCGAAAACACUUAGGGUUAACUUGACGAGCCUAGUAUGUACAGACAUGGCCUCGGAACACGAAGACCGAAAGGUCGAGCAUGAGUCGUAUAGUAGAUACGAUCAACAUGAAGAUGUUCACCGAUGAUGACUAGUCCGUCUCACGUGAUGAUCGGACACGGCCUAGUUGACUCGGAUCAUGUAAUCACUUAGAUGACUAGAGGGAUGUCUAUCUAAGUGGGAGUUCAUAAGAUGAACUUAAUUAUCCUGAACAUAGUCAAAAGACCUUUUGCAAAUUAUGUCGUAGCUCGCGCUUUAGUUCUACUGUUUUAGAUAUGUUCCUAGAGAAAAUAUAGUUGAAAGUUGAUAGUAGCGAUUAUGCGAACAGUAGAAAGCUUAUGUCCUUAAUGCACUGCUCAGUGUGCUGAACCCCAAACGUCAUUUGUGGAUGUUUCGAACAUCGAACAUACACGUUUUGAUAACUACGUGAUAGUUCAGUUAAAUGGUUUAAGUAGAGGCACCGAAGACGUUUUCGAAACAUCGCGGAACAUAUGAGAUGUUUCGAGGGCUGAAAUUGGGAUUUCAGGCUCGUGCUCACGUCAAGAGGUAUAAGACCUCCGACGAUUCUCUUAGCCUGCAAACUAAGGGAGAAAAUCUCAAUCGUUGAGCUUGUGCUCAGAUUGUCUGAGUGCAACAAUCACUUGAAUUGAGUGGGAGUUGAUCUUCCAAAUGAGAUAGUGAUGUUUCUCCAAAGUCAUUGCCACCGAGCUGCUAGAGCUUCGUGAUGAACUAUAACAUAUCAGGGAUAAAUAAGAUGAUCCUUGAGGUAUUCACGAUGUUUGACACCGCGAAAGUAGAAAUCAAGAAGGAGCAUCAACUGUUGAUGGUUGGUGAAACCACUAGUUUCAAGAAGGGCAAGGGCAAGAAGGGAUACUUCAUGAAACGACAAAUCAGCUGCUGCUCCAGUGAAGAAACCCAAGGUUGAACCCAAACCUGAGACUAAGUGCUUCUGUAAUAAGGGGAACAGUCACUAGAGCAGAAUUACCCUAGAUACUUGGUAGAUGAGAAGGCUGGCAAGGUCGAUAGAAGUAUAUUGGAUAUACAUUAUGUUAAUGUGUACUUUACUAGUACUCCUAGUAGCACCAGGGUAUAAGAUACCGGUUCGGUUGCUAAGCUUUAGUAACUCGAAAUAAAAGCUACGGCAUAAACGGAGACUAGCUAAAGGUGAGCUGACGAUAUGUGUUGGAAGUGUUUCCAAUGUUGAUAUGAUCAAGCAUCGCACGCUCCCUCUACCACCGAGAUUGGUGUUUGCGUUGAGCAUAGACAUGAUUGGAUUAUGUCUAUCGCAAUACGGUUAUUCAUUUAAGGAGAAUAAUGGUUACUCUAUUUUUGAAUAAUACCUUCAAUGGUCUUGCACCUAAAGGAAUGGUUUAUUGAAUCUCGGUCGUAGUGAUACACAUUUUCAUGCCAAAAGAUAUAAGAUAGUAAUGAUAGUACCACUUACUUGUGGCACUGCCAUGAAAGUCAUAAUGGUAUAAAACGCAUGAAGAAGCUCCAUGUUGAUGGAUCUUUGGACUCACUCGUUUUUGAAAAGUUUGAGACAUGCGAACCAUGUCUAUUGGUGUAUAUGCAUGAAGAAACUCCAUGCAAAUGGAUCGUUCGGACUCACUUGAUUUUGAAUCACUUGAGAUAUGCAAAUCAUACCACAUGGGCAAGAUGACUGAAAAGCCUCAUUUUCAGUAAGAUGGAACAAGAUAGCAACUUGUUGGAAGUAACACAUUUUGAUGUGUGCAGUCGAAUGAGUGCUGAGGCAUGCAGUGAAUAUCAUUAUGUUCUUACUUCACAGAUGAUUCGAGUAAAUGUUGAGUAUAUUUACUUGAUGAAACACAAGUCUGAAUUAUUGAAUGGUUCAAGUAAUUUCAGAGUGAAGUAGCAGAUCAUUGUGACAAGAGGAUAAAAUGUCUAUGAUAUGAUCAUAGAGAUGAAUAUCUGAGUUACGAGUUUUGGCACACAAUUAAGACAUUGUGGAAAUUGUUUCGCAAUUAAUACCGCCUGGAACACCAUAAUGUGAUGGUGUGUCCGAACACCAUAGUUGCACCCUAUUGGAUAUGGUGCGUACCAUGAUGUCUCUUAUCGAAUUACCACUAUCGUUCAUGGGUUAGGCAUUAGAGACAACCACAUUCACUUUAAAUAGGGCACCACGUAAUUCCGAUGAGAUGACACCGUAUGAAUUAUGGUUUAGAGAAACCUAAGUUGUCGUUUCUUAAAAGUUUGGGGCUGCGACGCUUAUAUGAAAAAGUUUCAGGUUGAUAAGCUCGAACCCAAAGCGGAUAAAAUGCAUCUUCAUAGGAAACCCAAAACAGUUGGGUAUACCUCCUAAUUCAGAUCCGAAAGCAAUAUGGAUUGUUUCUAGAAUCGGGUCCUUUCUCGAGGAAAAGUUUCUCUUGAAAGAAUUGAGUGGGAGGAUGGUGGAGACUUGAUGAGGUUAUUGAACCGUCUCUUCAACUAGUGUGUGACAGGGCACAGGGAGUUGUUCCUGUGGCACCUACACCAAUUGAAGUGGAAGCUUAUGAUAUUGAUCAUGAAACUUCGGAUCAAGUCACUCCCAAACCUCGUAGGAUGACAAGGAUGCGUACUACUUCAGAGUGGUAUGUAAUCCUGUCUUGAAGGUCAUGUUGCUAGACAACAAUGAACCUACGAGCUAUGGAGAAGCGAUGGUGGGCCCGGAUUCCGAUAAAUGGCUCGAGGCCAUAAAAUCCGAGAACGGAUCCAUGGACUUUGGUGGACUUGCCCGAUGAUCGGCAAGCCAUUAAGAUAAAUGGAUCUUUAAGAAGAAGACGGACGUGGAUGGUAAUGUCACCGUCCAUGAAGCUCGACUUGUGGCGAAAAGUUUUUCACAAGUUCAAGGAGUUGACUACGAUGAGAUUUUCUCAUCCGUAGCGAUGCUUAAAGUCCGUCGGAUUCAUGUUAGCAUUAGCUGUAUUUAUGAAAUCUGGCAGAUGGAUAUCAAAACGAGUUUCCUUACCAGUUUUCGUGAGGAAAGGUUGUAUGUAAUACAAUCAGAAAGUUUUUGUCGAUCCUAAGGAUGAUAAAAGGUAUGCUAGCUCCAGCGAUCCUUCUAAGGACUGGAGUGAGCAUCUCGGAGUUGGAAUGUAUGCUUUGAUGAUGAUCAAAGAUUUUGGGUUUGUACAAAGUUUAUGAGAAACUUGUAUUUCCAAAGAAGUGAGUGGGAGCACUAUAGAAUUUCUGAUGAAUACAUGUUGAUCAGAAAUGAUGUAGAAUUUCUGGAAAGCAUAUAGGGUUAUUUUGAAAGUGUUUUUCAAUAGAAAGCCUGGAUUAAGCUACUUGAACAUUGAGCAUCAAGAUCUAUAAGGAUAGAUCAAAAUGCUUAAUAAUACUUUCAAAUGAGCACAUACCUUGACAUGAUCUUGAAGGUGUUCAAGAUGGACCAGUCAAAGAAGGAGUUCUUGCCUGAGUUGUAAGGUACGAAGUUAAGACUUAAAGCUCGACCACGGCAGAAUAGAGAGAAAGGACGAAGGUCGUCCCCUAUGCUUAAGACGUAGGCUCUUCAGUAUGCUAUGCUGUGUACCGCACCUGAAGUGUGCCUUGCCAUGAGUCAGUCAAGGGGUACAAGAGUGAUCCAAGAAUGGCUCACAGGACAGCGGUCAAAGUUAUCCUUAGUAACUAGUGAACUAAGGAAUUUUCUCGAUUAUGGAGGUGGUAAAAGAGUUCGUCGUAAAGGUUACGACGAUGCAAGCUUGACACCUAUCUGGAUAGCUCUGAGUAGAGAGACCGGAUACAUAUAAUGGAGCAAUAAUUUAGAAUAGCUCCAAGUAGAACAGUUGUUUGGAAUAGCUCCAAAUAGAGCGUGGUAGCUGCAUCUAGGAGAUGACAUAGAGAUUUGUAAAGCACACACGGAUCUGAAAGGUUCAGACCCGUUGACUAAAACCUCUCUCACAAGCAACAUGAUCAAACAUAAAACUCAUUGAGUGUUAAUCACAUAGUGAUGUGAACUAGACUACUGACUCUAGUAAACUCUUGGGUAUUAGUCACAUGGCGAUGUGACCUGUGAGUGUUAAUCACAUGGCGAUGUGAACUAGAUUAUUGACUCUAGUACAAGUGGGAGACUGUUGGAAAUAUGCCCUAGAGGCAAUAAUAAAAGUAUUAUUAUUAUAUUUCCUUGUUCAUGAUAGUUGUCUUUUAUUCAUGCUAUAACUGUAUUAUCUGGAAAUCGUAAUACACGUGUGAAUACAUAGACCACAAUAUGUCCCUAGUGAGCCUCUAGUUGACUAGCUCGUUGUGAUCAACAGAUAGUCAUGGUUUCCUGGCUAUGGACAUUGGAUGUCGUUGAUAACGGGAUCACAUCAUUAGGAGAAUGAUGUGAUGGACAAGACCCAAUCCUAAGCAUAGCACAAAGAUCGUGUAGUUCGUUUGCUAGAGCUUUGCCAAUGUCAAGUAUCUCUUCCUUUGACCAUGAGAGCGUGUAACUCCUGGAUACCGUAGGAGUGCUUUGGGUGUAUCAAACGUCACAACGUAACUAGGUGACUAUAAAGGUGCACUACAGGUAUCUCUGAAAGUAUCUAUUGUUUUAUGCGGAUCGAGACUGGGAUUUGUCACUCCGUGUAAACGGAGAGGUAUCUCUGGGCCCACUCGGUAGGACAUCAUCAUAUGCGCAAUGUGACCAAGGAGUUGAUCACGGGAUGAUGUGUUACGGAAUGAGUAAAGAGACUUGCUGGUAAUGAGAUUGAACAAGGUAUUGGAUACCGACGAUCGAAUCUCGGGCAAGUAACAUACCGAUAGACAAAGGGAAUUGAAUACGGGAUUGAUUAAGUCCUUGACAUCGUGGUUCAUCCGAUGAGAUCAUCGUGGAACAUGUGGGAGCCAUCAUGGGUAUCCAGAUCCCGCUGUUGGUUAUUGACCGGAGAACGUCUCGGUCAUGUCUACAUGUCUCCCGAACCCGUAGGGUCUACACACUUAAGGUUCGAUGACGCUAGGGUUAUAAAGGAAGUUUGUAUGUGGUUACCGAAUGUUGUUCGGAGUCCCGGAUGAGAUCCCGGACGUCACGAGGAGUUCCGAAAUGGUCCGGAGGUAAAGAUUUAUAUAUGGGAAGUCCUAUUUUGGCCACCGGAAAAUGUUCGGGAUUUUUCGGUAUUGUACCGGGAAGGUUCUAGAAGGUUCCGGAGUGGGGCCCACCUGCAUGGGGGGACCCACAUGGACGUGGGUAGUGGGGGAAAGGCCCCACACCCCUGGUCAAGGCGCACCAAGAUCCCCCCUUAGAAGGAAUAAGAUCAUAUCCCGAAGGGAUAAGAUCAAGAUCCCUAAAAAGGGGGGAUAACAAUCGGUGGGGAAGGAAAUAAUGAGAUUUCUUUCCUCCCACCUUGGCCAACGCCCCAAUGGACUUGGAGGGCAAGAAACCAGCCCCUCCACCCCUAUAUAUAGUGGGGAGGCGCAUGGGAGCUAUACACGAAGUUCUGGCGCAGCCCUCCCCCUCUCACAAGUUCUCCUCUCCCGUGGUGCUUGGCGAAGCCCUGCAGGAUUGCCACGCUCCUCCACCACCACCACGCCGUCGUGCUGCUGCUGGACGGAGUCUUCCCCAACCUCUCCCUCUCUCCUUGCUUGAUCAAGGCGUGGGAGACGUCACCGGACUGUACGUGUGUUGAACGCGGAGGUGCCGUCCGUUCGGCACUAGGAUCUCCGGUGAUUUGGAUCACGACGAGUACGACUCCUUCAACCCCGUUCUCUUGAACGCUUCCGCUUAGCGAUCUACAAGGGUAUGUAGAUGCACUCUCCUUCCCCUCGUUGCUGGUUUCUCCAUAGAUAGAUCUUGGUGACACGUAGGAAAAUUUUGAAUUUCUGCUACGUUCCCCAACAGUGGCAUCAUGAGCUAGGUCUAUUGCGUAGAUUCUUUGCACGAGUAGAACACAAAGUAGUUGUGGGCGUUGAUGUUGUUCAAUAUGCUUACCGUUACUAGUCCAAUCUUGUUUCGACGGUAUUGUGGGAUGAAGCGGCCUGGACCGACCUUACACGUACUCUUACGUGAGACAGGUUCCACCGAUUGACAUGCACUUGGUGCAUAAGGUGGCUAGCGGGUGCCAGUCUCUCCCACUUUAGUCGGAACGGAUUCGAUGAAAAGGGUCCUUAUGAAGGGUAAAUAGCAAUUGGCAUAUCACGUUGUGGUUUUGCGUAGGUAAGAAACGUUCUUGCUAGAAACCCAUAGCAGCCACAUAAAACAUGCAAACAACAAUUAGAGGACGUCUAACUUGUUUUUGCAGGGUAUGCUAUGUGAUGUGAUAUGGCCAAAAGGAUGUGAUGAAUGAUAUAUGUGAUGUAUGAGAUUGAUCAUGUUCUUGUAAUAGGAUUCACGACUUGCAUGUCGAUGAGUAUGACAACCGGCAGGAGCCAUAGGAGUUGUCUUAAUUUAUUGUAUGACCUGCGUGUCAUUGAAGAACGCCAUGUAACUUACUUUACUUUAUUGCUAAACGCGUUAGCCAUAGAAGUAGAAGUAGUCGUUGGCGUGACAACUUCAUGAAGACACGAUGAUGGAGAUCAUGAUGAUGGAGAUCAUGGUGUCAUGCCGGUGACGAUGAUGAUCAUGGAGCCCCGAAGAUGAAGAUCAAAAGGAGCAAAAUGAUAUUGGCCAUAUCAUGUCACUAUUUGAUUGCAUGUGAUGUUUAUUAUGAUUAUGCAUCUUGUUUACUUAGGACGACGGUAGUAAAUAAGAUGAUCCCUUACAAAAUUUCAAGAAGUGUUUGUUGGAAAUAUGCCCUAGAGGCAAUAAUAAAAGUAUUAUUAUUAUAUUUCCUUGUUCAUGAUAAUUGUCUUUUAUUCAUGCUAUAACUGUAUUAUCCGGAAAUCGUAAUACACGUGUGAAUACAUAGACCACAAUAUGUCCCUAGUGAGCCUCUAGUUGACUAGCUCAUUGUGAUCAACAGAUAGUCAUGGUUUCCUGGCUAUGGACAUUGGAUGUCGUUGAUAACGGGAUCACAUCAUUAGGAGAAUGAUGUGAUGGACAAGACCCAAUCCUAAGACUAGCACAAAAGAUCGUGUAGUUCAUUUGCUAGAGCUUUGCCAAUGUCAAGUAUCUCUUCCUUCGACCAUGAGAGCGUGUAACUCCUGGAUACCGUAGGAGUGCUUUGGGGGUAUCAAACGUCACAACGUAACUGGGUGACUAUAAAGGUGCACUACAGGUAUCUCCGAAAGUAUCUAUUGUUUUAUGCGGAUCGAGACUGGGAUUUGUCACUCCGUGUAAACGGAGAGGUAUCUCUGGGCCCACUCGGUAGGACAUCAUCAUAUGCGCAAUGUGACCAAGGAGUUGAUCACGGGAUGAUGUGUUACGGAACGAGUAAAGUGACUUGCCGGUAACGAGAUUGAACAAGGUAUUGGAUACCGACGAUCGAAUCUCGGGCAAGUAACAUACCGAUAGACAAAGGGAAUUGAAUACGGGAUUGAUUAAGUCCUUGACAUCGUGGUUCAUCCGAUGAGAUCAUCGUGGAACAUGUGGGAGCCAUCAUGGGUAUCCAGAUCCCGCUGUUGGUUAUUGACCGGAGAAUGUCUCGGUCAUGUCUACAUGUCUCCCAAACCCGUAGGGUCUACACACUUAAGGUUCGAUGACGCUAGGGUUAUAAAGGAAGUUUGUAUGUGGUUACCGAAUGUUGUUCGGAGUCCCGGAUGAGAUCCCGGACGUCACGAGGAGUUCCGGAAUGGUCCGGAGGUAAAGAUUUAUAUAUGGGAAGUCCUAUUUUGGCCACCGGAAAAUGUUCGGGAUUUUUCGGUAUUGUACCGGGAAGGUUCUAGAAGGUUCCGGAGUGGGGCCCACCUGCAUGGGGGGACCCACAUGGACGUGGGUAGUGGGGGCAAGGCCCCACACCCCUGGUCAAGGCGCACCAAGAUCCCCCCUUAGAAGGAAUAAGAUCAUAUCCCGAAGGGAUAAGAUCAAGAUCCCUAAAAAGGGGGGAUAACAAUCGGUGGGGAAGGAAAUGAUGGGAUUUCUUUCCUCCCACCUUGGCCAACGCCCCAAUGGACUUGGAGGGCAAGAAACCAGCCCCUCCACCCCUCUAUAUAUAGUGGGGAGAUGCAUGGGAGCUUGAGACGAAGUUCUGGCGCAGCCCUUCCCCUCUCCCAAGUCGUCCUCCUCUCCCGUGGUGCUUGGCGAAGCCCUGCAGGAUUGCCACGCUCCUCCACCACCACCACGCCAUUGUGCUGCUGCUGGAUGGAGUCUUCCUCAACCUCUCCCUCUCUCCUUGCUGGAUCAAGGCGUGGGAUACGUCACCGGGCUGUACGUGUGUUGAACGCGGAGGUGCCGUGCGUUCGGCACUUGAUCAUCGGUGAUUUGAAUCACGACGAGUACGACUUCAUCAACCCCGUUCACUUGAACGCUUCCUCUUAGCGAUCUACAAGGGUAUGUAGAUGCACUCUCCUUCUACUCGUAGCUGGUUUCUCCAUAGAUAGAUCUUGGUGACACGUAAGAAAAUUUUGAAUUUCUGCUACGUUCCCCAACACCUCUUGGGGCUGGUGCCCUUGGCCCAUAUAGGACAAGGCGCACCCCCUACAGCCCAUGUGGCCCCCCGGGGGCAGGUGGCCCCACCCGGUGGACCCCCGGGACCCUUCCGGUGGUCCCGGUACAAUACCGGUAACCCCGAAACUUGUCCCGAUGGCCGAAAUAGGACUUUCUAUAUAUAAAUCUUUACCUCCGGACCAUUCCGGAACUCCUCGUGAUGUCUGGGAUCUCAUCCGGGACUCCAAACAACAUUUGGUAACCACAUACAAACUUCCUUUAUAACCCUAGCGUCAUCGAACCUUAAGUGUGUAGACCCUACGGGUUCGGGAACCAUGCAGACAUGACCGAGACGUUCUCCGGUCAAUAACCAACAGCGGGAUAUGGAUACCCAUGUUGGCUCCCACAUGUUCCACGAUGAUCUCAUCGGAUGAACCACGAUGUCAAGGACUUAAUCAAUCCCGUAUACAAUUCCCUUUUUCUAGCGGUAUUGCACUUGCCCGAGAUUCGAUCGUCGGUAUCCCUAUACCUUGUUCAAUCUCGUUACCGGCAAGUCUCUUUACUCGUUCCGUAACACAUCAUCCCAUGAUCAACUCCUUGAUCACAUUGUGCACGUUAUGAUGAUGUCCUACCGAGUGGGCCCAGAGAUACCUCUCCGUCACACGGAGUGACAAAUCCCAGUCUCGAUUCGUGCUAACCCAACAGACACUUUCGGAGAUACCCGUAGUGUACCUUUAUAGCCACCCAGUUACGUUGUGACGUUUGGCACACCCAAAGCACUCCUACGGUAUCCGGGAGUUGCACAAUCACAUGGUCUAAGGAAAUGAUACUUGACAUUAGAAAAGCUUUAGCAUACGAACUACACGAUCUAGUGCUAUGCUUAGGAUUGGGUCUUGUCCAUCAAAUCAUUCUCCUAAUGAUGUGAUCCCGUUAUCAACGACAUCCAAUGUCCAUGGUCAGGAAACCAUAACCAUCUAUUGAUCAACGAGCUAGUGAACUAGAGGCUUACUAGGGACAUGGUGUUGUCUAUGUAUCCACACAUGUAUCUGAGUUUCCUAUCAAUACAAUUAUAGCAUGGAUAAUAAACGAUUAUCAUGAACAAGGAAAUAUAAUAAUAACUAAUUUACUAUUGCCUCUAGGGCAUAUUUCCAACACCCCGGCCCGCCCGUCGUUGUCGCCCUGCCCUGCCCGUCGCCGUCGCCCCUNNNNNNNNNNNNNNNNNNNNNNNNNNNNNNNNNNNNNNNNNNNNNNNNNNNNNNNNNNNNNNNNNNNNNNNNNNNNNNNNNNNNNNNNNNNNNNNNNNNNNNNNNNNNNNNNNNNNNNNNNNNNNNNNNNNNNNNNNNNNNNNNNNNNNNNNNNNNNNNNNNNNNNNNNNNNNNNNNNNNNNNNNNNNNNNNNNNNNNNNNNNNNNNNNNNNNNNNNNNNNNNNNNNNNNNNNNNNNNNNNNNNNNNNNNNNNNNNNNNNNNNNNNNNNNNNNNNNNNNNNNNNNNNNNNNNNNNNNNNNNNNNNNNNNNNNNNNNNNNNNNNNNNNNNNNNNNNNNNNNNNNNNNNNNNNNNNNNNNNNNNNNNNNNNNNNNNNNNNNNNNNNNNNNNNNNNNNNNNNNNNNNNNNNNNNNNNNNNNNNNNNNNNNNNNNNNNNNNNNNNNNNNNNNNNNNNNNNNNNNNNNNNNNNNNNNNNNNNNNNNNNNNNNNNNNNNNNNNNNNNNNNNNNNNNNNNNNNNNNNNNNNNNNNNNNNNNNNNNNNNNNNNNNNNNNNNNNNNNNNNNNNNNNNNNNNNNNNNNNNNNNNNNNNNNNNNNNNNNNNNNNNNNNNNNNNNNNNNNNNNNNNNNNNNNNNNNNNNNNNNNNNNNNNNNNNNNNNNNNNNNNNNNNNNNNNNNNNNNNNNNNNNNNNNNNNNNNNNNNNNNNNNNNNNNNNNNNNNNNNNNNNNNNNNNNNNNNNNNNNNNNNNNNNNNNNNNNNNNNNNNNNNNNNNNNNNNNNNNNNNNNNNNNNNNNNNNNNNNNNNNNNNNNNNNNNNNNNNNNNNNNNNNNNNNNNNNNNNNNNNNNNNNNNNNNNNNNNNNNNNNNNNNNNNNNNNNNNNNNNNNNNNNNNNNNNNNNNNNNNNNNNNNNNNNNNNNNNNNNNNNNNNNNNNNNNNNNNNNNNNNNNNNNNNNNNNNNNNNNNNNNNNNCCCUCCCGAUAACUUCAACAUGAGGGGGGUCGAUAUAUAUACCACCUCCCGAUAACUUCAACACGAGGGGGGGUCGAUAUACCCUAAAUAGAAAGUACCGUCGAUGUGAGAUACAUGUGGCCGUCGGUGUCGGACACUACAUCCAUGUCCCACAAGUGACGCGGGCUUCGACGCCCAUGUCACUUGUGGGACGUGGAUGUAGUGUCCGACACCGACGGCCACAUGUAUCUCACACCAACGGUACUUGCUAUUUAGGGUUUCCUCUACUGCUCGGCGACCCUCGACGACCCUCGUUCCCGAUAAAAAAAAGAGGAAGAAGAAGAAAAAAAAGAGGAGAAGAAAGAAUAGAGGAGUUCUUACUCCUCUAUUCUUUCUUCUCCUCUUUUUUUUCCUUCUUCCUCUUCUUUUUUAUCCUUAAAGCGUUGUCGAGGCCACUCCAAACCCUAGAGAAGCAGCGUCGAGGCCACCCCAAACCCUAGAGAAGUAGCGUCGAGGCCACUAAUUAAUAUUAGCUCUACGUUUGCCACUAAUAUAUCCAUCUGUCAUGUUUGAAUAAUAAUUUCCAUGUUGUAAAUAUUUGUAGAAACUAUGGACACCGCCCGAGAUGAAGUACAAGAAGAGUUGUUGGGGGACAUAAUCGCACGAGGAAGUGAUGUCGUCUGCUUGUUGUUUCUCAACGACACCGAUGGUCUGGAAGCAAGAAGGAGACCGUGAGGACGGCUCCGGUGACACAAUGCUGGUGCAAGAAGGAGACCGUGAGGACGGCUCCGGUGACACAAUGCCGGUGCAAGAAGGAGACCGUGAUGACGUCUCCGGUGACCGAACCGAGUCCGGCCAGGUAUAUAUAUUAGUUAAGCUUCUGCUGACUAGCUAAUUGAUGCAUUCAUUGUUUUGGUAUGUACACAUAUUAAUUAAGUCUUUGUUCUUUUUUCUAGCCCUCUGGAUCGAGCACAACUUCGGUAAAGAGACGAGGCCCGAAGAAAAAGUUGAGCUCGGAUGAAAAGUUUGAGAUCAUAGCAAUUGCGCCCGACGACCAACCGAUUGAACCCCUCCGGACAAAGAGCGCAUUUGUUGCUCAGUGCGGGGUUUUGGUUAGGGACAAGAUCCCGAUCAGCAUGCAGCAAUGGUUAAAGCCGGCUACAGAAGACCCUGAGGUGUCUUAUGUCAAUGAUAUGCAGAAAAAUGAUCUUUGGACUGAGCUGAAGUCAAAUUUCACCCUACCACCAGAGGAUGAUCUGGAGAAGCCAGUUAAAGAGCAAUUAAUCAAGUCUUUUGCUCUUAAGAGGAUGGCAGAACUAUUCAGGAGGUGGAAGAAAGAGCUGAAUAAGUUUGUCGAAAAUAAAGAGACACCACAAUUCAAGGGCAGAUAUGAGAAGAUCAGAGAUCACUGGCCCGCAUUUGUUGCCGCAAGACAUCAGAAAAGAGUAAGAAGAUGUCGGCGACAAACAAGCAAAAUGCUGCGAAGAAGAAGCAUCAUCAUCGCACGGGGUCAGACGGCUACCUCGCAGCCUGGCCUAAGUGGGCCAAGAUUGAGAAUUAUCUGGUUGAUAAAGGGAUCGAACCAGAGACAAUUAACUGGCCAGACCGUUGCCGGACUUGGUUCUUCGGGGCUGGUGGAACCUUGGACCCUGUAUCAGGGAAGUGCAUUUGGACGGACGAGCAAAUGGAAAUACCAGUCAAGAGGCUUAAACACUAUAUCGAAGCAGCGCAGCAAGGGACGUUCGUUCCAGACAUAGAGAACGGCGAGCUCACAAUGGCCCUCGGGAAUCCUGAGCACCCUAGAUGGACACGAGGCACGCCAGGCUCCAUUCUGUGGAAGGCUGGGUUUCCGGACGUAGGCGGUUACAAAUGCCACGAGAGGAGGAAGAAAGUGGAGUAGACCCAACUGCAGGCGCUUCACGCUAGGGUACAAGCGAUAGAGGAACGAGAAGCAAAUCGCAGCAAACGAACUGUCGAAGCUUCCCCCGAAGCUACCCCGCCAUCUUAGCGAAGAAGCAGCGUGGCUUCCACUGAGCUGCUUCAGCCGGAGCAUGUCUUGACGGCUCCUGCCAGCUAUCCCGUGGAUGCUAUCACGGAGUCUCAAAAUUGCCACCUUAUGACGCAAUGGAUUAAUAUGAAGGUCAAGGCGGCUGUUGGCUCUGUUUUUCCUACUGAACCCGGCGCAACUUUUCACUGCCGGCCGAUUCCAGAAGGAUAUGCUAGGGUGAUGGUGGAUGAAAUAACGGAGGGAUUUGAGGACCUCCAGCUUGACCACCCUACCGGUGAAGGGGAGACUCGGCUGGGUUCUGCUCUGAAGACUCCAUGCCUAUGGCGGAAGGAGCUCAUCAACCUUCCGAACUGGACGCCUCCGCCUCCUCCUCCUCCUCCUCCUCCUCCUCCGGCGAGUCAGGGCACUCCGCCUCCUCCUCCGGCGAGUGACGAUCAGGGCACUCGGACGGCUCCUUCUCCGGCGCGUGGCGGCACUCCGCCUCCUUCUCCGCCUGUGCCGGCGCGCCCGAGCAGCCAGCCUCCUCCUUCUCCGCCUCGUCAGCAAGGGCGGAAGAGACCUGCCGCCGCUCCGGCUGCUCCGACGCGUCGUAGUCCUUCUCCUCCGACUCGUAAGCAAGUAAAGAAGACAACCGCUCCGUCCGCUCUGCCGGCGUUUAGCAGUACAGCCAGAGGUGGGAGGACAUACAGAUUCGGUCCUUCUCUAAAGACUCCAGAGAAGUUACCAUACGAGAGGACCCCGGAGGAGAACGCCGAGAUCGCGCGAGAAGAAGUGAGGAACUUCUUUGAAGGGGUGAAAGCAAAGAAACAUCCACCUCCGGAGGAGAAGGUAGAUCCGGUGAAAGCGAAGCGCACUCUGGCUGCCCUGACAAAACCACCCAAGUCUCCGCCGAAAGGAAACUAUGAGCGCAUUAUUGGAAAGGAAUUUGCCGAAGCGGAGCGGUCAGGAAGUACUGUCAGUGAUCAAAGGCUGAAAGAAUGACGAGCUGGGAAACAAAUUGCCCGGCUCGGCGAACAAGCAAAGAAAUCGUGCCCCCCGCUCAAGGUGCAUGUCGCUAAUGAUCCGAGGAUGGUGCCCGGUUAUAGCAAUCUUGAAGAUUACCUGCCCGACGAUGUACAUUAUGAUUUCAUGGAGGUGCGGAUACAAAGAUACGAGUACGGGAAGCCUCUCGUCAAAGAUGAAAGAUCUCUAUCAACGAUGAUGCGAAGAUUGCAUGAUUGGUACUUGAAAAUCUACAGAGAGUCUGGGGGGAAGAGUACUUUGUAUGUGAGAGUUAAAAAGGAGCAUGACCUCGUUGGAAUUGAUCUGUUGCCUGUUCCAUUUGAGGAGUUCUUUUAGUUUUUCAAUCAAUUGGCCCUCGAUAAAGCAACGGUCACCUGCUACUGUCUGUAAGUAGUACUACUUCUGUCAUUAAGUCUCUCUAUAUAGCUCAGCUCUUUCAUUGCAUGUAUUUAUAAUUAUCCUCACUAUAUUAUGCAGAUUGAAGAUCGUCGAAUUGAAGAAAAGACAAAUCGGUGAUACUGGGUUCAUUAACACAAAUAUCAUAGAUGCAACUCAGGUUAAAUUUCAUGCCGCAGAUACCGAGGCCAACUUGCUACGAUCGUUGGUAAUAAAUUAAAACAAAGAUAUAAUACUCUUUCCUUACAACUUCAAGUAAGUGUUACUGUCUUGUGCAUAUUCGGUUUCCCUUAUAUAUUAGUCAAGGUUAUAGUAAUGUAAUUGAUGAGUUAUGCAUGCAUGUGCAGUUUCCACUAUAUUCUCCUAGAGAUUAAGCUUGAGCAGGGACUAGUAACCUUCUUAUACUCAAGAUGAAAAGAUCCCCAGGACUAUGCGGACAUAACUCAAAUGCUCGAGAAGUAAGUUAAAUCGAUCAUUAUCCACCAUAUCAACAACUUUGUUCAUUUCCUGAUAUAUCAAGUAAUUGUUUUCUUUGUCUGGCAGGGUUUGGAAAAAAAUUCACCAAAAAAGCUCCGGGACUCCCGAAGAAGCUGCAAUUUAGACAACCGAAAGUAAGUACUAUAGUAGCAUGCAUGUUCCGCGCAUCUCCUAUUGAUUCAAGCGCUAGUUUCAUCAAUAACAUUUGGCAUUCUUGCUUAUCAGUUUGAUUGACCUCUAUUUCUUGUAAAGUGGUUGCGGCAGGAAUAAGGGAAUGAUUUCUGUGGAUACUACAUUUGCGAGUCCAUCCGCCACACGACCUGUGAGCGGGGCUACUCUGACGAACAAUAUGAAGUGCGUAAAUAACAACAUUCACAAUUUUAUUUUAUUACCAUCAUUUGUGUUGAGUUUCAUUCAUUCAUUCAUAUAUAUAUAUAUAUAUAUAUAUAUAUAUAUAUAUAUAUAUAUGUAUUGACCCCCUUCUUCAAAUUAGAUGUUUCGGAAGCGGGAUGAACUCCUAGCACCAGCUCGCAUGCGAGCAAUUCAAGAGGAAUUGGCGGCAUUCUUUCUUGACCACGUGAUCGCUGAAGACGGAGAAUACUAUGUGGACCAUGAGUCCGUAUGUUAGGAGAUUAUAUUUGUAAGAGAUAAUUAUUUUAUAUAUGUAGCCGGUAGUGUCGGAUAGAUAUACGAGAACUUGUUGUUCGACCAAUCUCUCGGAGAAGGAGAGGUGGUCGAUAUCACUUCUCUCUGUAUGCAUAUAUGUUCAUGACGAUCUUCUGUUUCCUUCGUUUGCUUACUAGCUAGCUAGCGUGUCUAGUCCUCUAUAUACGUAUGUAUAGUACGUAGCGUCGACCAAGUACGGACAUAAGAGAGGACACUUCUCUCUAUUAAUUAUAGCUAGCUAACACAAUAUAUGAAACACAUAAAUUAACCCCCCAAAACCCCCGAACCCCCCCCCCCUUUCAAAAAAAAAACAAAAACCNNNNNNNNNNNNNNNNNNNNNNNNNNNNNNNNNNNNNNNNNNNNNNNNNNNNNNNNNNNNNNNNNNNNNNNNNNNNNNNNNNNNNNNNNNNNNNNNNNNNNNNNNNNNNNNNNNNNNNNNNNNNNNNNNNNNNNNNNNNNNNNNNNNNNNNNNNNNNNNNNNNNNNNNNNNNNNNNNNNNNNNNNNNNNNNNNNNNNNNNNNNNNNNNNNNNNNNNNNNNNNNNNNNNNNNNNNNNNNNNNNNNNNNACACAGAAAUGCUGACGUGUGGAUGCCUAUUGGUCCCGGUUGGUGCCACCAACCGGGACCAAAGGCCCUCCUGCCUGGGCUCCGCGCACAGGCCAUGUGGAGGCCCAUCUGUCCCGGUUCUGGAUUGAACCGGGACUAAAGGGACAGGGCAUUAGUACCGACCCUUUAGUCCCGGUUCAGGAACCGGGACAAAAGGCCCUUACGAACCGGGACAAUAGGCCCUUUUUCUACUAGUGAUAUGAUGCAACAAGUCAUGAUCUGCCAUAGAACCCUGGAGCUCCAGUACUCGGAAGGGUUACAAACAAUUACAAAGCGCUUCUAAAGCACACCGAAGACUCUCUCCACAUCUUUCCUAGCAGUUUCUUAACAUUGGGCAAAGUGAAUAUUUUUGUUACCUUUUGGACGCGGAAUUAUUUUUACAAAGGUGGCCCAUGGUGGAUAGAUGCCAUCUGCGAGGUAGUAACCCAUCGAGUAGUUGUGACCAUUGACCGAGUAGUUGCAGCAGGAGCAUCUCCUGUAAUAAACCUAGAAAAUAUUGGUGAUCUCGACAACACAUUCAAGUCAUUGUUAGAGCUAGGCAAACCAAAGAAUGAAUGCCAUAUCCAAAGAUCCUUCUUCGCAACUGCCCUCAAGAAUGAUCGUUGGAUAGUUGCAGUGACCUUUGUAUUGACCCUUUCAUCCUGCAGGAUAAUUCUUCCACGUCGAGUGCAUACAAUCAAGUGAUCCAAACAUCCCUGGUCAUCCUCUUGCUUCACUCUCUUUCAUCACCCUAUGGGUAUCUUCCUCAUUGGGUGCUCUCAAGUACUCCGGGCCAAAUACAACAAUCACUGCUUUAGUAAACCUUUGAAUGGCCUUCAAGAUUGUGUCUUCACCAAUAUGGGCAUAGUCGUCAACUGCAUUGGCCGAACACCCAUAUGCCAAGACUCGAACAACCGCAAUGCAAUUCAUCAGAGGGCUUGCACUUAUCUCUCCACUUGCAUUUCUUCGAAGCUUGAACCAGUUAUAAAAAGACUUAUGUGCAUCAAAAAGUGCCGGCGGAAGUAUUUCUCCAGAUAGGUUGGCUUUGGAUCAAAGUAGUCUCUCAUGAUCUUGGCAUGGCCCCCCACUCUAUCAGGUUGAUGUGUAUGCGGCCAAACUAUGAUCCUCUCCUAGGCCACUGAACAUCAUCAUUGAAAAUCAUGCUUAAAACGGUUUCAAAGUCGUCGUCUUCUUCGUCUUCUUGUUCUUCUUCAGAUGACGAUGAGUCCUCGAAUACCAUCUCCCUCGGCCUCUUCAUCUACAAUUCAAAUGGCUACGUUCAAUCCAAACGGCUCGGUUCAAAAAGAAACGAAGACAAAAACUCAACUAGGAAAUUCGUCGAACACUUGCGGUGCGGUGGUGGUGUACCGGCUGGCCGGUGUCGGUUAGGUGAGAUGCGGCGGUUGAGAGAAAAAGAAGAAGAUUCGAAGCAAUCCAACGAAUCGUCCAUGGAGAAAGAAGCGUCGUUUCACCUUGAUUCCGGCAACGGCGACGGGGCCCGAACGGGCUCGACGAUGGGCAGAAAGCUGGCGGGGGCCAAGGAAGGGAACAAGGUAACAGCGGGGCCGAUGGGCUGCCGCCGGGAGGCGCGCCGGUGAAGAUGCAGUGGCGGGGGGGAGGCGAGGGAGAGGCUUGGCUUUUACUCCGAGCCAUAGCGAUCGAGAAUAUUUAACAGUUUUGCUAGAACUCAUCUAGAUGAGAUAUAAUUUGGUCUCAUUCAUCUUUUAUAGCCAUUGGAUGUGAUGCUAUAAGAUGCUAUAAGAUGCGUGUGUGCUGACGUGGAUGUUAUAUGUUCUUAUUUUCCAAGUGAAUGAGACCAAAUUAUAUCUCAUCUAGAUGAGUUCUAGGUACUCUCAAUAUUUAAGGGAAGGAGAGGCGCCCCUCCACUAACCGUUUUUGGGGAUCGGUUAGGUGCGCGUUAGAGGAGUAAAACUGACUUUUUACUUCUUUAAUGCUGGGUAGAGGAUUUGUUAGAAAUGCCCUUAGGAUCCAACACGUCCGGAUAGGCAUAACCGAUCUUGAAUCGAAAAAGGAUUCCAACCUGGUGAGUCGGGAAAAAAAAAGAUUCCAACGUGUUCUUCCUGGACUCAAACUCUAUGUUUUUUCCUCAUAAAAAGUCACCUGAGACACAACCCAGAAAGGGUCAAUGCGAGUCUUUUUGUGUGUAGAUCUACUUUUAAAUCUAAGCCAUCCAUCUUUAAAAUUAAUGGAUAUAAAAACGUGACAGAUGGAGAACUAAGAAAUCUUGCUCCCUUUAAUAGUAGGUAUAGAAUGGUUGAUAUGAUUUUUAUUCCUUGGAAAAUUAAUAGAGAUCAAAAUAGGGUUACAGAUUGCCUAGCAAGGUGUAGUCGAACUGAAUGCACCACUGUUGUGUGGUUGCAUGGCGGUCCGCCAUGUAUAGGGGAUAUCGUGCCUCUGGAUUGUAACCCCGUUACUAUAAAAUAAAACUCCUACUAGAACCGCAAAAAUAAAAUCACUUGCCCCUGUUGGUCAAAGUAUCUUAGCCGGUGCAAUCUUCAUAUCCUCUUUUUGUAACAUAAAAUCUUCCCCAUUAAUAAUACAAACAUAAUUUUAUUCUAAAAAACAAAAUAUGAUUCCACCUAAAAUAAAUAAAUAAAACUUUGAUGUAGGAAACACAAGAGGUGAUGACAAGAUCAUCCAAUAUAUACCCUAAAAACAUCGUCCAAUAUAUGUGUGGCGAGUGUGUCACAAAAAUGUUCUUUUAACAGAAAACCACUCUCGCUUAAACAGAAAAGAAAGCAAAAAUUAAUACUGGUAUGUCAAUUCCCUUCCAGGUUACCACCAGCUCGUUUACCUUCAUAUUGUGUUUCGCUGCUUCUGCAUCUACAUUUUUCUUUUGGGGCACUUCUUGCAUCUGCAAAAAGAAAAAAAAAUCGUUUUCAGCCAUGUGGGUGGGAUUUCUUUAGGGGUAUGUGGCCUGGGCUAUGACACGAAAUGUGCCCGCACCAGACACGGUCGACGCAGGCCCAUGCGAGCCCACUGAGGCAGCAGGUCGGCACUACAAGACGGACGGGAGACUCGCGGUGGGUCAACCAGUCGUUCUCCUCCUCCUUGUCCUCCGCCGCCGAAGUUGAAAAAGAAGUCCACUCCGCCGCCGUCCUCCACUGAACCCUCAUCUCCAUUCCCACCCUGCUGACUUAUCUCUUGGCCGCGCCACUUGUAGCGGAGGCUAUAUUGGCUGGCGAGCGAGCAGGAGAGCGGAGCGAGCGCCGGCGACGUCAUCGUCCUUCAGCUUCCGGAGGGUGGAGGUAAGAAAUCACCUCUUUCCUCCCCUUUUUCUUGUCACGGUUUAAGGCAGUUCCUCCUGCAACGCAGAGCUAUGUGGACGAUAAGCCCCGAUCCAUAAUCCAUAAGCCUCCAAGGAACUAUGUGCGUCCCCAAUCCGUAAUCCAGUGUUAAGUGUUAACACCCUUAGAUUCUUUGUUGGGUUUGAACUUUGAACACCCAAAGUUGGAUUUUUCUUCAUGCUAAACAUUUGACUCGUAGUUGACUUGUUUGAACUUACAGCUUAAUCCUUGAUAUCUGAACUUUGAAAUUUAGAGCUUUUGGAUUUCUUAACUGUCUAGCGCACAGUACUUUUCUGAUGCUUACAUGCCUUUAAUUUUGCCGCCGAAUUUUUACAACAUGGUCAGCAGAGCUACUCAAAUGGAUGGCGGUAUGGUAUUCCGUGUGCAUCAGCUCCUGAUGCCCUGAUGCCGCAAACAAAGGAGCAUAUUCUUCUAGGUCCACACGUUUCUUCUAGCAUCAAAAAAGUACUGUGCGGGCUAUGCCAAAUAGCGGCGGACAUAAAAUCAGCUAUAGCGGAGUUAUAGCGGGCUGUUUGUACAUGGGAUCAUUUAACGGCACCCUGCUGCAAAGGCUAUAGCAAGGCUAUAGCGGGGCCAUUGCCGGCUAUUUAAAACUAUGAUUCUGAGACAUUUCUUAGAAUGUUUGCCAGCAAUAGCGUGCUACCUUUGCAGUUCUGAGCAGAUCGACAUUGCUCCUCUGUGUUCCUUAGGCUGGUGUGCCAUCACUUAUUGAUGAUCCAGGGAGGUAGAACUUGGAUGUACGCUGGCGUUUUCCAGUUCUUUACAUUGUUUGUACUUUUUAUUUACUUAUUAUAUGUUCCCGCUCUAACAUAUUUCUCUUGUCUCCCUUUUUUUUAGAGUUCCUCAGUUUGUACAAGAUCCCUGGCGAUGAGGUUCCUAUCAUCCGUGGAUAUGCCUUGUCAUCCAUGGAUGGCCAUGGUUAUCCUCCCCCUCCUCCUCCUGCUCCUCGUGCCUCUCGCCGCUGCCGAAACUUGGCCAUUUUGCGGCAACAGUGGUAAAUUCGAAUCAAAUAGCACCUACGAAGCCAACCUCAGGCACCUCUCAUCCACCCUCCCGAAGAAGGCAGCAUCCAGCAGCACCAGCACCAGCCUCUUCGCCACCGACACCCAUGGGAAUGCUCCCAAUAUCAUCUUCGCCCUUGCACUCUGCCGCGGGGACUCCAACGCCUCUGCCUGUGAGGGCUGUUUGGUUACCGCCUUCCAGGACGGACAAGACAACUGCCCGAACAGUAAGGACACCACCGUGUACUACAAUGGUAAUCCCUGCAUGCUCAGGUUCUCCAACAAGAAUUUUCUUGCCACCACCGUCAAUGACAAAAUAUUCGUCGUUCCGAGCAUGGAAAUGCCGCUCAUCACCUCGACAAGAGCCGACUUCUUCAGGUUCUUGCUUUUCACGCUUCUGAACAGCACGGCUGAAUCGGUCACGGACAGCUCGUGGAUGUUCGCCACCUCGCGCUUAGACAUCAGCUCCUUGCCGACGCUCUACUGCCUUAUGCAGUGCACGCCCGACCUGAGCACCGAUGACUGUACGGACUGUUUCAAGGCUUACUACCAGUUAACGCUCAAGUACAUGGACGGUCGGAAAGGUGGUCAAAUUCUGGGGACACGGUGUAGCAUGAGGUACGAGAUAUAUCCAUUAGGGGACACCAUGCUGCGUAUUAGCGAAUUGGCAUCUGCAGUUCCGGCGAUCAACAACACCUUGCCGCCAGUUACAGUGUACCAGCAGUCGCCGGUUUCGCAAGCCACCAUCCAAGAAUAUCACGGUAUGUAAAAUUCUCAUCCUUCCCGGCAAAUCCUUCGUUGGAUAUGGCACCACGGCUUAAACUAGAUUCAAUAAUUUAGGUAACACAUGUCACACAUCUUGUGUGGAACAAUUUUUUUUACAGGAAAAUAACUUUCCUUUAUCCACUCCCUCUGCAUUUCCCGUCGAGUGAUGCAUGCAGCAACUAAAAAUAACUUAUAAUGAUUAUUAUAUAUGCUACUAGAAGUAAGGGCUAGCUAAUUAGAGUUGUGUUCUACACUACAUCGUUUUUCAUGGCAGUUGAUUUAGUCUACAUAGUUGAAAUAUCCACUUACAAGCAAUGUUUUAAAUAACGGGCUAUGGAAAAUAUAGCGGCAGGCCUCAAAAUCAGCUACAUCGAAGCUAUAGCGGGCUAUUUGUGAAGGUGGUCAUUUAGCGACACCCUGCUGAAAAGUCUAUAGCGGGCUAUAGCGGCCUAUAGCCGGCUAUUUAAAACUAUGCUUACAAAGACAAUCGAUACUUUGAUCUUUUCACUAUUAUGAUAAUUAGCUUGUUACAUACGUGAUAGCAUUUUUAGACAAGUAGAUAUAAAUAAAAAGAAACAAGUUAAAUGAAUAACGAAGGAAAUGGUGUUUGUUGAUAAGGGAAAAGAUGCUAGAGUCAGAAUGUUGAAAGGUCAAAGGGGGCCGAUCGACCCAUGGGUGAAAUGUGGUCGAGUAAGAUGAUCCGCAACCUACAACUGAUUUUCCAUUGCCUCUAUCAUCAUCCCUAAACAAAUUCGUACUUAUAAUUUUAUAUUUAUAUGACAACUAUAUAUGAAUUCGUGUUUUUUAGGACGCAACUCCCGCCGGAAGGCUCUGCGGAUUAUUGCUAUUGUAGCUCCAUUAUUGUCAAUAUUUCUGUGCUUUAUCUGUUGCAUUGUAUGGAUGACAAGACGAAGAAAAGGUUUGUUGUUAUCACGAUUACAACAUUGCUCUAAAAAACUACCGCUCAUUUAUGUAGUCGGCCUUAACGUUGUAUAUUUGUGUGUCCUCUCAAUAUAGGAACUGAUAUCUUACAUGAUCAAGCUGCCGCGAAUAGGCUGGAAGAAGACGCAUUCGUUUCGAGAUUGGAAGACAAGAGUUCUGAGUUCACUCUCUUUGAAUUUUCUGAGAUAUUGCAUGCUACACACAACUUCUCCAAAGAAAACCUACUUGGGCAAGGUGGUUUUGGUCCUGUCUACAAGGUAAAUACAUUGUCCAGAGGAAAGAUUCAUUCAAUAUUCUUUCUAAAAAUGUAUUAAAUCACGAUUGCCUAAAAACAUCCUUAUAUAUUUAGUUAUUUACAGUAGCGUUGUUUACAGUAGCCCAAUCUAUAAUGAAUCGUGCUAUGAUAUGCUUAGUUUUUUAAGCUACCUUGAAAAAUAAUCUAUAUAAGUUCCAAUAUCUACAAUUCAUUCAAUAAUCUAUAUAAGUUCCAAUAUCCUUAUAUAUUCCAUUAUAUUAUCGAUGCCCUAGAAUGAAAAAAAUAGUAAUGCAGACAGUUGCUUGGCAAACACAUAGUGUAUAUAGCCUAAACUCAAGUUUUAUAAUGUAUCUCAACCAAAUAUGAUUAGCAUAAGCAACCUCAUACGGGACUUGUUUAUUUUGCCCUAAAAUGCACUGAAACGGAACAUUAAGACAAUGUAUUGGAUAUGUGAUGUUGUAUAUCCCAAAAGUCCUUUUCCCAUAUGUUAGGAAGUAUUAGUAUAGGUCUAGGAGUCCUUAUUUAUCUACGUUUAGUUUCCUUACACCUCAAGUCAUGUGUAAUAUAUAUAUGCCCCUUGGGCCUUCAAUAAAGUUUUUUUUUAACAUCAGUACAGACACAAGCGCUCGUAUACACGCGCAUACACUCACCUCUAUGAACGCACAUACGCACACCCUACCCUUAUGAGCACCUUCGAAAGACCGCGCCGGCAUAUCAUCUUGAAAUUUAUGAAGUCACCAUAAGCACCUCGUCGUCGACGGGAACGUCUCCUCCCACUGAAUGCGCAUCGCCGGAAAUCCUGAAAUAAAUCCAGGAAUAAAUGCGAGCACCAUGAUUUGAACCCUAGUGGGCUGGGGAUACCACACUCCCUCUAACCAUCCAACCACAUGUUGGUUCGCGCCUUCAAUAAAGUUAAGUUACUUUGUAUUAGAGCCUAUGUUUAGGUCCCCUCCAGUGCCACAACUUGCCUAACGAUCACCUUUUUUCGGUCUUCUNNNNNNNNNNNNNNNNNNNNNNNNNNNNNNNNNNNNNNNNNNNNNNNNNNNNNNNNNNNNNNNNNNNNNNNNNNNNNNNNNNNNNNNNNNNNNNNNNNNNNNNNNNNNNNNNNNNNNNNNNNNNNNNNNNNNNNNNNNNNNNNNNNNNNNNNNNNNNNNNNNNNNNNNNNNNNNNNNNNNNNNNNNNNNNNNNNNNNNNNNNNNNNNNNNNNNNNNNNNNNNNNNNNNNNNNNNNNNNNNNNNNNNNNNNNNNNNNNNNNNNNNNNNNNNNNNNNNNNNNNNNNNNNNNNNNNNNNNNNNNNNNNNNNNNNNNNNNNNNNNNNNNNNNNNNNNNNNNNNNNNNNNNNNNNNNNNNNNNNNNNNNNNNNNNNNNNNNNNNNNNNNNNNNNNNNNNNNNNNNNNNNNNNNNNNNNNNNNNNNNNNNNNNNNNAGCUUUAUUAACUCAAAGAAGACUUACAUCGUUCACUAAUUGGCUGGUCAAAAACCCAGGAGGUUCGUCAGUCCAAUUUUCAUUAUGUUUAUUAGAAAAACUAAAUUAUGCUAGCUCGUGAGCUAAUGAGUUUGCAUCACGAAAACAGUGUGAAAAUAUAACCUUCCCUAUCGAUGUUACCGUGUCAAAACAUUCUGCAAAAAUUGCCGCUGCUGCAUCCCACCACUGUAUUUGUCCUUGGCAAUUGUUAAUCACAUUCAAAGAAUCUGACUCGGCUUCAAUUCUAUGAAAUCCCAGAGCGUUUGCUAGAUUUAAGCCAUCCUGCAUCGGCCGCUAUUUGAAUAAAUCUGCAUUGAGCUGCAAUAAAGCGCCCUUUGUCAUCCCGGAGAAUGCAUCCCGUCGCCCCAGAUCCCACAUCUUCAUGGAAAGAGGCAUCAACGUUUAGUUUGAUGAAUUUAGGCCUCGGUUUCCUCCAUCUGUGCUCAACGGGUUCGCUUUUGCUUCUAAUGGACUUGGAGUAGUUUGCGACAAUUGCUAGGACUGAACUCGUCCAUAUGUAUGGGGGUGGAGAAGAAUCGUGGUUAGUAUGUCGUAGCUUCAACCACCAGAUAUACCAACAUCGGACUGCUAUAACUUCCUUUGUUUUCAGACUGGGAAUAAUGGAAAGUGGGGAGUCUGGUUCCAACAGCAAAACUCCAGAAUGGCUGAACCCGAGAGAUCCACAGAAGUUGCUUGAUCUAUGCCUUCCAGGAGGCCAAGACCCCUUCAGAAUUCCCUUUUGUUUAGAACGAAGACGCUAGGGGCGUCCGGCUUUAAAUUAAUAAAGCCCUCAACGAAGAGGCAGAGUGUCAAGAGGUCGGACGUUACACGGACAAACCUAAACCCACGUCAUAGCUAGAGACUGAAGUCUGGAUGAGGUUCAAAGCCGGGCAGCGAGCAUAUUACAAGGAAGUAGCCCAUGACCAAGAGCGUGCAGGCUCGUUAACAAAAUAAACAAGCCCACCCUUAGGUAGGCAUCGCCGACUCCCUAGCUGCAAUGUAGACCUGGUGCACGCGAUCUUGUGCAAGCUUCAUGAGUUCAGAGUCCUUCUGCUUCGCCAACGGACUCCGUUGCUGCAAGAGGAUGGAGCAUUUGCAAAUAAUAUUAGCCGGGUGCGACAGGAACGAUACUUCAAUGGUAAAUUUGUUGCGUGUGAGCCAUAAGGACCAUAACAUUGCCCCAAUACUAGCCCAGAGCCCACGCCUGUGUUGGCCCUGAACCGAAUCAAGGAGUUCCACAAGUUCGGAAGAGGAGCGCGGAUCCCAGGGACCCCAGCAGCCUCGCGUACUGCACUCCAAGCAAACCGCGCGAGGGGGCAGAGGAAGAAGACGUGGUUUGCGUUCUCGGGGAUCCCACAUAAUGCGCAUGGACCCAUUGCCGGGCCAUUCCGUUUUGCUAUGUUGAUGGACGUGGGGAGACGGUCCCGGAACAAUUGCCAAAGAAAAACUUUGAUCUUUAGCGGAACACGGGCUUGCCAAAGUCCUUUCACCUCUCUCUGUACCGUCCCUUGGCACAAUUUGUGGUAUAAGGAUUUGACGGUAAACUUCCCGGAGGCGUUGAGGUGCCACGAAACCCUGUCGGGCUCCUUAGUAAGCUGCACGGGGGUCACCAGUUUCAACAAAGCACCCCCACCUUGCUGAUUCCUGCGCGCUAAGGUUACGGCAGAAAGCAAUGGCAUGUGGGGAAGCCAAAGCCUCUGCCACCCUUUGAUUUGGGUGCACCACGAUAGCAUACAACUCAGGGAAGUCUUCCCAGAGUGGUCGGGUGCCCACCCAAAAAUCUAUCCAGAAACAGGUGAAACGUCCGUUGCCGACGUUGAAUUUGGCCCCUUGGUCAAAAGCGGGUCUGAUGGUCUACAAGUCUUGCCAGAAAGGGGAUCCCCUUGCUUCCCCUUCAAAGAAAUUCCCAUUGGGGAAAUACUUGGCCCGUAGGAUAUCAGCCCAUAAAACCGUCGCCCAUUGCGAGAGCUUCCAGAUCCACUUACACAUGAGCGCAAUAUUUUGUAGUCUGGUGUUAGUGAUACCUAAUCCUCUCAAGGAUUUGGGCCUACAAACCGCAGCCCAUUUGACCAUGUGGUAUUUGCAUUUGAGGCCCGUUCCUUCCCAAAAGAAACGAGCACGCGGCGUGUCCAGUUUGGCAUGAACCCCCUCAGCCAGUAGGAACAAGCCCAUUGCGAACAUAGAAAGCGAGGAAAGGCUAGAGUUGGUUAGGACAAGUCUUGCCGCGGAGGACAUGAACUUGCCACGCCAUGGGCUGACUUUCUUUCCCACUUUCCCAAUUAGAGGAGCCCACUCAUCUAUCGUCACUCGGCGUGGUGCUAGAGGCAGGCCUAAGUACGUAAAGGGGAACUUCCCACUUUACAGUGAGAAGGUCGGCAAUGUGUCGCCCCUCCUCGCUAUCUAUCCCCGUAGACAGCAUUUCGUACUUGUGAAAAUCUAUUUUGAGGCCAGACAUCAGCUCGAAACUCAGCAGCAGUGCUUUCUCGUUGCAAUACUGUGCUCAUCUGGCUGAAACAGUAGCAGGGUGUCGUCUGCAUACUGCAAGUGCGAGAUCCCCCCUGGGAUGAGGUGGCCGACUACUCCCUUGGUGUGGCCCAGAAUUCCCUCGCCAAGUCACAUUGGAAGAGUAAAUGUCUCAUAUCCUCUGGUCCACUAUGGCAAACUAGACAUACAUCACUGACCGGUAGAUGCUUGUUUGCAAGUAUCGAGAACAAUGGGACAAUACCACGAAGAGCCCACCAGCAAAAGAUUUGAAUUUUCCGUGGCACUUGAAGCUCCCAUAGCUGCUUCCAAAUCUCAGCUCUCAUGGCUGAAGUAGAAGUUAAAUUUCCCACCGAAUGGCCUCUGAACCCAUUGUUCAUGGUAAGCCGAGUUAACAGAGAAAAUGCCACUCCUUGUGAGGUUCCAUGCAACAAAAUCAUCAAAAGCCUGAAAGUUGAGUGGUAUUUGAAGAAUUCUAUUUGCAUCCACCGGGUAGAAAAUUUGUCGGAUUAACUACUCGUCCCACUGACUAGUCACUGGAUCUAUUAAUUCCACAACUUUAACAAGCAAUGUGUGGCCUCGGGGUGUUAUUAUCUUUCUGUCCGGACUCGAGGGAAUCCAUGGGUCAUUCCAGAUGUUCACCUCUUCUCCUGAUCCAAUGCGCCAUAUAUACCCCCUCUUAAAAGUAGUAAGUCCAGCCACAAUGCUCUGCCAUGUAAAGGAAGAACCCUUCUUUGGCCCUGCAUGUAACAAAUCAGUGUUUGGAAAAUACUUUGCCUUCAAAAUCUGAGCACAAAGCCACAAACCGAAUCAGGGUUAUUUAUCAUUCUCCAACAUUGUUUUGCAAGAAGUGCCAGACUAAAAGAAUGAAAGAUCCCUAAAACCCAUGCCACCAUCUCUCUUCGGAAUACACAAUUUCCACCAAGAGAACCAAUACAAUUUUUUAUUUUUCCUCUUCUUGAUCGAUCGAGUCCGCCAGACGAUGGCUGCCUCCUUCGACCUCGGUGGAACUCAGCCCAGCCGCUCCCUGCAUCAACUUGGCCCCGUUGGAUCGAACGAUGCACCGCUGAGCUUCUACAGGCUCGCUGUUGGGCAGCCACGGGCCGCCUCCUGGGACUCUCGACGGUCGUCCGUGUUCGUCCCUUCGAGAUCGACGCCUCCAUCUACCAGGUCGCCGCCCUCCGCGCGGCCGUCAGGAUGCUGCCUAACCAGAUGGUGUUAGGAAGUAUUAGUAUAGGUCUAUGAGUUCUUAUUAGUCUAUGUUUAGUUUCCUUACACCUCAAGUCAUGUGUAAUAAAGUUAAGUAGCUUUCCUAACACCAUUUUCUGUAACUUCUAGGGCCAAUUACCAGAUGGAGUGGAAAUUGCAGUUAAAAGGCUUGCCUCACAUUCAGGACAGGGUUUCACAGAAUUCAAAAAUGAAGUUGAACUCAUUGCAAAACUACAGCACAAUAAUCUAGUCAAGCUCAUAGGAUGCUGCAUUGAGGGAGAGGAAAAACUUUUGGUGUACGAAUAUUUGCCAAAUAAGAGCUUGGACUUCUUUAUCUUUGGUAUGCACAAUUUAGGUUAAGCAUUAUUUUCGAUCGUGUUUCAGCCAUACUAAUGCACUCUCUAAUGUGCAGAUGUUAGCAGAACAUCUUUGGUUGAUUGGAAUAAAAGAUGUGUGAUAAUCGAAGGGAUAUCCCAAGGUCUACUGUAUCUCCACAAGCACUCUCGGUUGCGCAUCAUACACAGAGAUCUUAAGGCCAGCAACAUUCUCUUGGACCAAGGCAUGAAUCCCAAAAUUUCUGAUUUUGGGCUAGCAAAAAUUUUCAGCUCCAAUGAUACUCAAGGAAGCACAAAGAGGGUGGUGGGAACAUAGUAAGCAUAUGACACGAUUAAUUAGAAUACCAUUAAUCAGCUCAUUCAUCAACCUUUAAAAUUUGACAUAGUAUUUUACUUAUGCUUCUAACUCAUUUCAGUGGUUAUAUGGCUCCGGAGUAUGCAUCUGAAGGUAUUUACUCGAUCAAAUCUGAUGUGUUCAGCUUUGGUGUCUUACUUCUCGAGAUCCUUAGCGGACAAAGGAAUUCUGGUUUCCAUCAGCAUGAAGACUUUCUUAACCUCCUUGGAUAUGUGAGCAUUUUGCAAACUCUCACACACAUAUGUACAUUGUUUGUAAACUGAAGUAAUUUUUGACAUGUAUGUGAUGAUAAAUUUUCUGUAGUCAUGGCAGCUCUGGGAAGGAGGAAGAUUUCUUGAGCUUCUAGAAGCAUCAAUUGCUAACGAGAUCCAUGCAGCGGAGGCUAGGAGGUACAUUAACAUUGCACUAAUGUGCGUACAAGAGCAUGCGGAUGAUCGACCGACCAUGUCAAAUGUCGUUGCGAUGUUAAACAGCGAGGGUGUUAUUCUUCCAGAGCCUAAGCAUCCGGCAUACUUCAACCUAAGGGUAUCUAAGGAAGAUGAAUCGGGUAGUGUUCUGUACAGUCAUAAUGAUGUAACUAUCUGCAGUAAUAAUGACGUAACCAUCACUGAGGAACCAGAUGGCAGAUAGUUGGUCACUUUGCUUCAGACCUUCAGUUGUUAAUGGAAAUGCUAGUAAUCAGACAACUGGCAGGCAUACCAGGUCGGUCAAGUAAAGUAGAGCGGAGCAAGUAAGCCUAUCAUAUUUUGGAUCUGAUGAAGGAUUGCAACCAGCGUACCUCUGUAGUGCUUGUUCGGUUCCUGCCGUGAAGGAAGCUCUGCUGGUGUCCGUAGGCUAUAUUGAUACGCAAGUUAAUACUGUAUUUAGCUUUUGUGCAUCGCACCAUCAUUUUCCACUGGUGGCUGCUGCUGUAGACUUUAAAGGAAGACUUGAAAUCCAAAGGAUUUCAAUCUGAAAGUAGCUGCAUUAACUGAAUCCUGCUGGGCGAAGUAUGUGUUGCAUCUAUGUGCGCCUUUCAUGUUUUCCUCUAGGUUAAUUCCGUUGGUGUGCUAGGGUUGUAGCAGUUCCAUACUGUUACAAAAAGAAGCAUUUUUUGUAGAGUUGUCACGAUAAUACCAACAUUGACGGUGGAUAAAUUCAUUGACCGUACUACUCAUUGCUGCUAAGAACAGGAGUUCUUGAUUUACAGUUUCAAGCAAAAUUUAUCUGGCAAACUCCCUUCCAUGAGUUAAGGUAUGUUU
rnacentral:lncRNA from 1 species